rnacentral:lncRNA from 1 species
UCAGUGGAAAACAGUCAGGUGAUGGGCACUCAGUACCCCCAACCAAUGCAAGGUUCACAGGUGGUCGUCCUGCAUGCACAACCUGCACUGAGUGGAUUGCAUCUCCAGGCACCUUAUCCAAUGGGGAAUGAGCAAGCGAUGGGCAUGUACUUGCAACCAGUCGCAGGUGGCCACAUGCCAUUGCUGAAUAGCCAGGUUGUUCCGAUAAACCAAAUGGUAGGACUUACCACCUCAGCCCAUCCAAGGAGGUCCUUAUAUGGGGAUGGUUCCUCAGCCAAUGCAAGUAGGUCAGAUGGCUUAUUUAUAUCCCCAGCAAAUGUAUGGCAGCCAGGUGGCAGCCUACGGCUAUGGCCAACAAGGUGCUCAGUACCUUGACCAGCGGAUGUAUCGGUUAGAGAUGACAGCAGCUUAAGGAACUCUUCAUACCAGGUGUCCACUUCAUCAUAUGUGACGCCCAUGAGGCCUUCAAAGCCAGAGGACAAGCUAUUCGGAGAUCUUGUUGAUAUGGCUAAAGUGAAAUCGUCUGCAAAAUCUACUCCAGGCAGAGCUGGUAGCAUGUAGCAUUAGUAUUUGCCAACCAUGUUUUGCUUGUUGAGCUGAUUUCUUUUGAUUUUCUUAUUUCAAAUUUUUCUAUUAUACAUAUUUGGCAGUUUCUUCUGUUUGUGGCCGUGUACUAGCACUGCUUGUUUGGCAUUGAGAUCAUGUACAUUCUUUGUAAAGGGAAAGAAAAGGAAAUCUCCUCGACCUUUUAUCUCUUAUCGGGGCAGAACCGUUAACAAGUGCAAGUCAUUAAGUUGAUAUAAUUCUUAUAGAAUUUCGUAGUUAGAGUUGGUGCUACAGCAGAUUUUUAUGAGAAUUAGAGUGUGCUGAGAGAAGAAUUUUUCAGAAUGAUACUAGGAUUUUCAAUCUAGCAUGAUUAUUGGCUUUUGAUUUUGAGCAUACCUUCAUCGCAAUGGGUUCUCUUAUCUUCAGAAGAUGUACUUGUCAGUGAAGGUUUUUUUUUUUUUUUUGGUCGAAACUGCUACUUCGAUUAAUACUUCAAAGGCGGAUUACAACUCAUAGUAAGAUUUAAACAUAGUAUAAGAUAAAGUUCAUACAGGGUAAAGUACCCAAUUAGGUGAAGAGUACCGGUGUUGAAGGAUUUGGCAAUCCAAUCCGCUGCCCGGUUCCCCUGUCGCGGUUCAAACAGUAGCGAAAUGUUCUUCAUCUGGGCCAGCAGGUAUUGACAGUCCAUAAUGUGAGGUUGCAAGGCCCAAGGGAUCUCACUACGGCCCAAAAUGGAGUCCACCACAGGGAGAGAGUCGCUGGAUAUGUACACGGCAGUUUCAGUUCGCGUGUUUGAAGUACUUUCAUUCAACUCAGUUCUAUUCUCCUUCAACCACACGAGGGCACGCCGGAUAGCUAGGGUUUCACCCAAAUUGGCCGAUUGGGCGCUGAUUUUCUCCGCAAAUCCCCCAAUACAUCUUCCGUCGGCUCCUCUGCAGAUUCCAGCAACUGAACUCCUCUCGCUGUGUUCCACCCAUGAGCAAUCCACGUUGAUCUUCAGCGUACCCGGCUCUGGAGGUACCCAGCUGUGUGGUUUUGCGGUACGUUCUUCCCUCCUUGGCUGUGAUUUCUCAUAUAACUUUUGUAACAAUCCCGCUUCGCUGAUGAGGUGGUGUUGUUUUACUUGCUUACCUUGAAAAAUCAUAUUGUUGCGUGCCUUCCAUAUGAGCCAAAGGGAAGUCGCAAAGAUCGCUUUUUGGCUUGCUGACCUAUCCAAGGAGAGGUAAUCACAUACCCAUUGAUCUACUCUUGUGAUAGCUGUUGGGGUAACAUCUAUUUCGACAUCAUAGUUCAGCCAGAUGUUUUUUGUCCAUUGACACAGGAUAAAUAGGUGUUCAGAUGAUUCUGGCCACUGAUGGCAAAAGGGGCAAGUGGGCUCAGGUAUGAUUUUCCUCCGGUAUAGAUUGAUUCGUGUUGGUAGACCUUCAUUACAUAGACUCCACAUGAAGUGUCUGACUCUGGGGUUGAUUUGGAGAUGCCAUAUUUCUUUCCAUAGUCUUUUCGGAGCUUGAUGUGAGGAUGACGCCUGUUGUCUUGUGGUUGCUGAUGUUUCUGUUCUAAGUUGCUGGUAUCCACUUUUAACAUUAUAGUUCCCCGAGUAGUGCCCUAUCCAUAUCAGACGAUCUGAUCUGGGAAUAAUGUUGAGUGUGGUUUGCCGAAUCUCUUCUGAUAUAGGGCUGUUGAAUAUCUCUUGUAUAAGUUGAUCCUUCCAUGUGCGUGUGUUUGUAUCGAUGAUAUUUGCCACACAUUGGGGGGGUCGUUUAUGUUUGUUGGUCCCCCAAUUGGUCCAAACAUUAGCCACCGAUCCUCUCUCAAGUUGAUAGAUUUACCAUCACCAACUUUCCAUUUAAGAUCAGGCCUUAGGGCAUCUCGGCCUACUAGAAUACUUUGCCAACCCCAUGAUGGUCUGGCACCCCUUGUAGCAUUCCAUAGAUUAACAUGAGGGAAGUAGAGGCCUUUAAAGAUUCUGCUCCAUAAGGCCUCGGGAGCUUGAUCUAGUCUCCAACCUUGUUUCCCCAGCAUCGCCUUGUUAAAGUCCACAAGGUCCCUAAAUCCCAUUCCCCAUUCCCCCUUGCUCCUUUCUCUUCUUCAAAACUUCCCAACUAUUCCAAUGAACACCUUUUUUUUCUGCAUUGCUCUUCCACCAGAAAGCUGAAAUUUUUCUUUCAAUGGCUCGACAAAUGGAUAAAGGAAUUUUGAAAAUAUUCAUGGCAUAUUGGGGUAGAGCCUGAACAACUANNNNNNNNNNNNNNNNNNNNNNNNNNNNNNNNNNNNNNNNNNNNNNNNNNNNNNNNNNNNNNNNNNNNNNNNNNNNNNNNNNNNNNNNNNNNNNNNNNNNUGCUCUUUCCAACCCUCCAGUUUUCUAUCUACUCGCGCCAUGAUCCAAUUAAACAUCUGUUUUCUAGUUUGUCCCCAAUCUGAUGGUAUCCCCAAGUAUUUUCCGGUUUUUUCUAAUAUGGGGACCCUCAUUUCAGCUGCCAUGUUUCUUUUCAAGUCCUGUGGACAACUUGCCCCAAAGAACAGCCCAGAUUUAUUGAGAUUAAUCAACUGACAAGAUGCGAAGCAAUAACAGUUCAGUAUAUUUGCAAGAUUCUGAGUUUCCCUGAUUGUUCCAUCCAGAAAAAAGAUAGCAUCAUCCGCGAAGAGUAGGUGGGAUAAAGUAGGACACUGAGAAUUCAGUUUAAUACCUUUUAAGCUCCCGUCUGUCUCAGCCUUGUGCACAAUGUUAGAAAGAACAUUGGCCAGAAUUAUGAAGAGAUAAGGUGAGAGGGGAUCCCCUUGUCUAAUGCCUCUAGUUGGCGCGAAACUUUCUCCUGCUUCCCCAUUAAUUAGGAUGCGAAAUUGAGCCGAGGAGAUGCAAAAUCUGACCAGACUAACCCAUUUCUUGUUGAAGCCCAUCUUUUCCAUACAAUCACAAAGAAAGUCCCACUCAACUCGAUCGUACGCUUUCUGCAUAUCCAGCUUCAGCACUGCUUGGAAUUUUUUGCGUCGUUUCCUCACUCUAAGUUGAUGUAGGACUUCUUGAACUAUGAAAAUAUUGUCCUGUAUUUGGCGGCCUGCAACGAAUGCACUCUGUUCUUGGGAAAUAAUGGAUGGAAGCCAAGGUUUGAGUUUGUUUGCCAUUACUUUAGUGAUCACUUUGUAAUUAAAAUUACACAAACUGAUGGGUCGGAAUUCAGUAAUGCUCUCGGGGUUGGCCACCUUGGGGAUAAGUGUGAUAAAUGUCUCAUUUAAUAUUUGAUCAAAGGAACCAUCUCUAAAGAAAGAGUCUACCAUUUGAAAAAUAUCUUCCUGAAUAAGAUGCCAUUGACUUUGAUAGAAGAGGCCACUCAAACCAUCUGGUCCUGGGGCCUUAGAUGCCCCCAUAUGGAAACAGCUUGCUGCACUUCUUUCUUUGUAAUUGGGCUUAUCAACAUGUCGUUCAUUUCUUNNNNNNNNNNNNNNNNNNNNNNNNNNNNNNNNNNNNNNNNNNNNNNNNNNNNNNNNNNNNNNNNNNNNNNNNNNNNNNNNNNNNNNNNNNNNNNNNNNNNCAACCAGCGGGCACUGCUCUAGGAUUGGCUGGUAGUAUCUAGUCCCCACAGAUGAAUAUAGAUCUUUAUAAUAGCUUGUGAUAUGCUGUUUGAUAAUCUAAGGUUCACGGCUCCAUACAUUCUCCUCAAGCCGUAACAUACUGAUUUUGUUUCUUUGUCUUCUUUGAAUGGUUGUUGCAUGAAAGAAUUUCGUGUUCUCGUCCCCCCAUUUGAGCCAAUUAAUUCUUGAUCUAAUGCCCCAAUACAUUUCUUCUUGACGCCAUAGAGUGCCCAAUUUCUCAGUUAUUCUGUUAUAUUCCUCCCUCAUAUUUGUCUGGUCUGUACUGUUUGUUAUCUGAGUAAGCUGGUUUCUGAGUUGAUCAAGUUGUAUUGAUGCAUUUUUAAAUGCUUUUCGGCUCCACUUUCUCAAUGCUUGGGUCACUUGUUCUGUCUUCUUAACCAGGUAUCCUUGCUGGCCAUGGGAUUUCUUCCAUGCCUUCUCCACUACAUCUGCACACUCAGGGUGAUCUAGCCAGUAAGCUUCGAAUCUGAAUAAUCUUUGAUGUGUCUUUGUAAGUGAGUGUAAGCAUAAUAGGAUAGGGCCAUGAUCAGAUCCUAUGGCUGGAUAUGCAAAAGCUUCAGCAUUAGGGAAGAGAAGUCUCCAUUCUAAAUUGCAAAAUGCUCGAUUAAGCCGUUCUUUGACUAGAUCCUCUCCUGCCCUGUUAUUUGUCCACGUGAAUGCACCCCCCCCCUGCUUUCCAUAUCUAUUAAAGAGCAUGAAUCAACAAAUUCCCUAAAUGUCAUCAUUCGAAAUAUUUCCACUUGACGUCGACCCACAUUCUCCCAAUUAUAUAACACUUCAUUAAAGUCACCUAAGCAAAGCCAAGGUAAUGAUAUCAUACCGUUUCUAGCUCGAAGUAGGUUCCAAAGAGAGACUCUCUCUUGAAAAUUAGUAGAGGCGUGUAGGAAGGAAAUCUUCAUUUGAACUCCAGUACUAGCAUCUGUGCAUACACUAUCAAUCAUCUCCGGACUGCUAUACUCCACUGUGAUGUGCACCGACUCAUCCCAAAAUAAGACCAAACCCCCCGCAAUACCUAUAGGAUUUAUAGCAAACAUAGAUGAAUACUUAAGUCUGUUUUUGAUUUUUCAACCACCUGGAAUUGAUUCUUCGUUUCCAUAAGAAAAACCAGAUUAGGUCUCUCACGAGCCACUAAGGCUUGAAGGUGCUGGACUGUCAAGGGAGAGCCUAAACCUUGACAGUUCCAGCUUAAUACUUUCAUGGCUUUCUUGGUAGCUCAUUAGGGCUAGCCACCAGAGCCCUUGCUGAUUCGCCUCCCCAUAUUUGAAUGGGUGUAUCCAGCAGCUGAUCCAUAUCAUCAAGAGUCAUUAGUGAGACCCUUUUUUCAUAAGGGGCAAAUCUUUUGAGUUUUUUGGGUGGUUGUUGCUUUGAACCAGAUUUGACUACCCUUAUAUCUUGCAUUGAACGCCCCUUUGGCUGUUCCGAACUCUGCUGAAUUAUUUUCCCUCUCUUCUGUUCAGCAUACUCAUCCAUAACUGACACUUCUGAAAUUAACUGUGUGGCAGGGUUGUAAAUCACCAGGGCUUGGCCACCUUCAGAAGAACUCUUCCUAUUCGAUUCCUCAUUAGACGGGAUGACAGGGGUCUCGGGAACCAUCUCAUCCUCAGUUAAGGUAAGAUCUAUCUCACCAUAAAAUGUAUCCCAACAAGGGCUGGAAUUUUUAAUCUCAGCUUUCAACCAAGAACCAUAGCGUCCAGGUUUAUCUUGUGGAAGUCCAAAAUUUUCAUAUGGUAUGGUCGGACAAUAGUUAGCGUAGUGACCAAUGUAACCGCAUGAAUAACAAAAGUGCGGUAGUCUCUCAUAUUUAAAGUCUAUCCAUCAAUUACGAUCCCCCACAUGGAUAAUCGUUCCAGUUUUAAGAGGAUGCAGAAGAUUUAACCUCACUUUUGCUUUACCGAUUUUCCGAGAUCCAUUGGUUCUCGCAUUUCCUCCACCUCUCCCAUUUUUCCAGCGAUCAUUCGGAUACACUCCUCCGCCAAUGCAGCUCUUGGAAGUCCCAUCAAAUGCACCCAAAAAGAGCAAUGAUUAAAUUCAUAGCAGUGCUCGGGAACGGUAGGAUCCCCUUCCUGUAAUACUAACAGAUUGCUUGAAAAAGACGAGGGGCCUGUUUGGAGUAUUCUUCUCUGAUCUACUGCUGACUUAAAGGAGAAAGCAAAGAAACCUGUUGUAUUACCUCACAUCUAACUUCAUCAACCUUCCAGGCCUUCUUCAUGGUUUCCCAGAAUGCUUGAAAAUUAGCAUUUGGUUUCGAAAAUAAUUUCCCAUAUAACAGAUAUUCAUCGGCCCGUUUAUCUCUCGCAGGAAUAUGGGCAUUCAGUUCAGUUAUGUCAUCCCCAGUCCAUAGAUCGCCCAUUCUUUGACAAAGGGCUAGCAGUCGGAGCUGGUUUUCCUGGGUACCCUCCAUGCAACUAAGAAACAGAGACCUCCGAAGAUGAGGAAGAUUCCGUGGGUUUCAAAGUCAAGUAAACAGGAAAGGGUUGGUUGGGAGUGAAGGGAGUUCUAUUCCGAGAAUACCCCAUGUUAGGUUUGCAGAGAGCUCAAUAUCCAUAUUAGGGUUUGGGAACAAGUUUACAAAGAUGAUAAUCAGGGGAGUAAAUUGGGGCACCACACACUAUUUGAUGGAUGCGAAUCAGGUUGAAGAAACGAAGCAGUCGUCACCCAUCAGGAUGGAGGAACACGCACCUUCAGCGAGGGAGAAAACCAUUGACGACAGGAGGGAUAUCACGGUGACGAGAGGAAAAGGCAUCUUCCAUUGCCGAGAAAGGAUUCGUGAUGAGAGAACUAGGGAACCAUCACCCACAGGGAUGGAAUAGCGCUCACCUUCAGCGAGGGGAAAAGCCAUCGACGGCAGGAGGGACGUCACCAUGACGGGAGGGAAAGGCGUCUUCCAUCGCCAGAGAGAAAUUUGUCAGUGAAGGUUGGAUGAGUGAGUUUGUAUAGGUGUGUGAACAUUAGAGGAACUCUUCUUCAGUAGGGGAAACUAUGUCUUACUGUUCUGAUCUCAUUAUUGUGAAAUGUAAAUUGCUCGGCCUUUAGUGGCGUUCAUAUUAUGCUAUACUUGGUAUCAUCGCUAUAUUUGUAGAACGUUUUGGCCGAAAGUUAAGCUCCGUCGUUUUUUAUAGAUCGUAUGUAAUCUUGGAUUUAGCAAUUCUCUGCAAAAUUUACGGUACAAGACCUUUCCUGGGGUGGCUGUCUGUUUUAUUUUUUUAAUUGCCCUAAAAAGAAACAGUGGUGUUGUUUUCCAUCAAUGAUGCAUCAAACUUUCAUGAUUGUGGCUAGAUAGACCUCCUAGAUUGACCCCAUGACAUUCACUUCAAGAUGAGGGGUGAUUCUCCCAUGAUCAGAGCAGGGACUGACUUCACUGCAGAGGUGACCCUUUCUUCACGUUUUUGCUUUCACGAUCGGGUACGAGGAGAAUGACUUCAUAGCGAUUCACGGGUACCAAGAUCCUGAGAGCGUUUGGAUGAGACCAUUGCGUAAACGGAGUGAAGACGUUAAAGUACCUAAAGAUGCUCCGGCAACGGCGAUGCUUCCAGGGAAAUUCUCGCAUGUGCCCGAUAACGCAAAGCAUCGGAUUCGAUGAGUUUUGCAUGAGGCUCACAUGCUCUAUGGUUCAUAUGUGCUGGGGGUGCAUCGGGUGUAUGAUGCAAAAAUGGCCCGUGAUGCGAAGACGAGAAACGAAAUACUUUACCCGUGAAGGAGAUACGUUUUUUGGUCAGACCGUGAAGGAGAUAUUAACGAUUAAGAAUCUUGACGUUUUUUUNNNNNNNNNNNNNNNNNNNNNNNNNNNNNNNNNNNNNNNNNNNNNNNNNNNNNNNNNNNNNNNNNNNNNNNNNNNNNNNNNNNNNNNNNNNNNNNNNNNNCUAUUAUCAGGCUCAAUUACAAGUUUCACCAACUGAGUCACAUGUAUAACGUAUUCAUACCUAAUGAUUUUCCGCAAAGUGGUGAUGAAAGGUUGUGUUUGAUUAAGAAACAUUUAAAAUUAAAAAUACGUUGAAUGAUUUUCUUAAAAUAAGUUAAAUAAUUUUCUUGUUUAUAAUUGAAAAGCAAUAAUAAACAUAUUCAAAGGGCAUAUAGAGUGCUGCUAGGAUUCAAGUAUUUUUACCUUCGUUUAUUAUUUUUAUAUUUUUUCUAUGCCACAUUAUCCAUAUUUAUUUAACACCAUUUCUGAGGAGCAACAUUUUCAAUGUUUAAAUGCUCCUUAAACCUUUAUAUAUUUUAUUGUUCCAUGAUAACUUUCACUCGUAACUUAUACAGUUAAAAUAGAUUUCAAUUAGCUAGAGCUAACAAAAGUAGCAUAUUGAUAACAUUGCCAAAUUACUCGAUUUUCAAUAAAAAAAAUUAUAACGUUAAACUUUUUAAUAGAUGUAAGCAAAUAACAAUUACUAAAAGACGAUUUUCAAAAACUCAGUUUUAUCAUAUGAUAUGAAUGGGAUCAUCAUGGAUAUAAUGAGAUGCAAUUGCCAUUGAAAUUGCACAAAAGUUUCAAAGGCUCUGAAACCCAAUUAUCAGUUUUGUGGCUAAGAAAGAAACUGUAAGAACAAUCAACAUCAUUUUUCUGAUUAUGCAAAGCAAAAGAAUAAAUAUAUAUAUCUCUCCUUUUAGAUUUGUGAGGAAUUCCCUUAUGAGGUUUUGCAAAAUGAUAAAUCGAUCAUAGGCUACUAAUAUGCUUAUUGUGGAAUCAACUUGUCAACUCACAAAUUAAUAUGUAGAUGGAGUAUGGAACAGGUACCUCUAGAGGUUGGUAGUGCUCUGCUUCCAUAGAAGGUGAAUAAGAUAGAAGACGUGAAGAGUAUCUAAGGCUAGAUGGGUGAACAAGCUGUAGAGGUUCCUUAAAGCUUGGAUGGACAAGUAGAAGUUAUUAGUUUUGUGGAACUAGAAGCCUGACAACAUGCUUGGAGGGACUAGUUGUCGAAGGUGAACAGUCAAUUCAACGUGAAGGGUGAAAAGACUUUUUUUUUUUUGGAUUAUGCAUCAAAUAGUGAAGCAUAUAGCUUUUCUAAUCUUAGUACUAAUACUUUUUUUUUGAAGCAAUUGACACUGAAUUUUUUAACAUUUAACAAUAAAAAUAGUAAGGGUUCGAAUAAUAAUCAUUUUGUUUCUUUAUUAUUUUGUUCUUGAGGAUAUGUUUGGAAAAAAAUCCAUUUGGUAAUUUUUUAUUUUAUUUCUACAACAAAUUUUUAACUCUGAAAGUCACAAAAAUGAGAAUUAAAAAUUUUCUAUUUUUCUAUUUUUGAAAUAAAAAUAAAAAUAAAAACUCUUAUUAUCGCUCGCCUUAGUUGUUGCCCGCUGGCCACUACCUAGAAAUUUUGAGGCUUAUUGAAUGAAUUUCUAUUUCGAAAACCGAAAUGAUGUUGCUAUCAAAUGCGUAUCUCUGCUAAAAAACUCAUCUAAGGAAUAUAAAUUGAAAAAUCUAUUUCCACAUAGAAAUUGUUUCCAAGAAUAGAAGAAUUAGCAUUCGCGCCCUUAGUUCGAAAUCAUCGAUUAUUUUUAAUGUCCAUUAGAUGAAUUACCAAAUUACUUUAGAACCAAAAGCCAUCAUUAUUUUGAUUUUUGUAAACCUUGUUUACCGGAGAAUAAACAUCAAAGUAAUCAAGUCCUCCUUUUUUACGAUACUUUUUAGCCAUCAAUCCUGCCUUAUGUAUAGUUCUAUUGUUAGGAGGAAGGUUAGUUGAUGACCCUGUAUUAUUUCGCUUGAUAGAUUUUAUCUUAUCAUCCGUUGCCAUUUUCCACAUAUGCGCGUCCGGUCUAGAAUUUGUUUGGAAAAAGAUUCUUUAGAAAGAGAAAGAUAUUGUUCAAUUAUAACUUGUUUUCCUUUAUCUAAAGAAACAAUUUCUUUUCCUAAUAUUCGUCUCUUUCGAGACUAUUAAACAGGGCGGGCUUAAACUAAGAUUUCAAGUAAGUUUUUACCUGAUUUUCUUAUGUUUGGAAAAAAAAAAAAUUAUUCAUCGACAUAAUGAGAUCCAUAUGUUCAAAAAAUCCUCCACUUCUUCCUAAAUUCAGAAGAACAGAAAAAACGAAGGAAACGCCCUCAAGUAAAGAAAGUCAUGACCUUAAAAAAGAAAAAAAAGGCAUGUACAUGAAAUCGUCCACUUCAAAACCUAAAAAGCUUGAGUGGUGUCGCCUCCUCCGACUACGAUGAUACCAAAAUAAGUUCAGAUCUUUUCACAGGCUAAAGUUCAUUAGUCUUACAGGGUAGGAUGGGUUACAAUCUGAAGCUGAAACUAGUACUGGCAAAGGCAUAAUGUACUCCAAAAUCGUGGACGUUACAUCAUUUACUUGAGGAGACUCACGAGCAGGGAGAGUCAAUUCCUUAUGACACCUUGGUUGGUCUCAUUUCUCAAUCAAAUUGCCAAUUCAAAGGCCAAAAUCGAGAAUCAAGCUAGUGUUGAUCAACCAGGAAAUUUUUGAGAUCGUGAACUAAAUCAAUUCUCGUUGAAAUCGACUUGGAAUAGAGCUGAUUGAGCCAGUUCCAAUUUUACCCGAACCUUUGCUCACCGCUAGUGUGGAAGGGACUUUCGCAAAUUAGCAUUAAAAUAAGCUUUUUGCUUCAUAAUGAUUUGACUAUAUUUGAGAACACACCUCAAGGAUGAAAAUUAUAAAAAAAAGCUUCUUAUCUCUUUCUGAAAAAAAAAAACACAUAUGAAAUGAUAUUUUCCAGAGACAUGGGGAAUAGAUGCAUAUUUUUUUUCCAAAUGCAUUAUGUUUGUUAUUUAUACAUUACAAAUAUAUGAUCACUCAUUCUACUCUUAUGGCUUUUGCUUUGUCAGGGUUUGUACUUUCGUCACUCUUUCGGUUGGUCUUUUUGCUUGAUCUCAGUAGUUUCUAAGUUAGAAAUCUAGAAUUGUUGGGAUGUUUGACCUACCGGCGGUUUGGUAAUGUGGAGGGAGAGUCAUUGAUCGCGAGUUUAAAUGAGCUGGAGGUUGAUUUUAAGUGCGAUUUGGGUUCGCUGUUUGGACUCGAGACGGCAUCGUCAGAAAAUCGAAGUGACGGGACCAGUCAGCAGAUGAUGCCUGAUAUCGGCACUUUAUUUACUUUGAAAAAAUCGACCGGCUAGAAAUUUAAUUUGAUUAUCUAAAGAAACUGCAUUUAUUCUCCCGUUUCAAUUGCUCGACUCGUUCCCAAAUCAACUACUGAAUUAGCUUUGCCCUCUGGAAGUCGGCCUAACCAUCCAUUUGUCAUCAAUGUCAGAUACCCGUAGCCUUUCUUCCCUUCUCAAGCCAAGGGCAAGAUUAAACUAUUUCCUCCCCUCCGUCCAUAAGACCGAUGAUCUUUUGCUCACUAGAGGCAAAAGUAAGAGUUAUAUUAAACCUAUCCAUCUAAUCAAAGAUAUAUUACACUUCAUAAAGUCUUUGAGAGCUAGAAGGUGAUGUAUGCAAAUCGUUAGGUGUUCUUGGCAACGUGCCGAUUGGACAUUGUCCAUGGAGAGGGUGGAUGCAUUUGGCGAAUUUGAGGUAUAUUGAGAUCCGACAGGAUUGAGAUUUGCAAGCUAUUUCUCAAAUUGGAUGGCGAUUGAAAUGAAUUUAGAUGUUGGUUUGGCAUUGGAAGCUCAAAAUUAAUGGCUAUUAGAUGAUUGGACAUGUAAGUCAUUUAACUUUCGGUUAACAUACCCGUGGAUUGUGCUAGAGUUGUUUCAAUAUCACAUCUACCUUCCUUUUUCUUAUUAAAUUUGUAUACCACAAUGUCUUAAUAUGUCCCUAAUACAUAUCCACAUUCUCUCGCCUGAUAAUUUAAUUUUUUCGGUAAUUAAGAUUUAAUGUGGUAAUGGAGCCUGACCAAAUGAAAACUUCAUUCGGCUGAUAUCUUAGUAAAACGGAAAAAUUAUCUAGAAAGUCCUAAAUUUAUUGAGCUUUUACCCAUUUAGUUAUAAACAUAACAAUUUUGCAAAUUUAGUUAUAAACAUUUUCAUUUUUUUAUCAAUUGAAUCCAUUUGAUCAAUUUUGAUUGAAAAUCAUUAACAUGAAAUCGGUAAUAACACAUAUGACGGUUGGCACGGUCAUGGACCAUAUUUUUUAUAUAUUAUAUUUUCAUUUUUUUUUUAUUUUUAUUUUUUUCCUUCCUUUUCUUUUCAUUAGUAGCUGGGUCGGUUGGCCUUGCCAUAUUUGGCUUGGGUGAAGUUGACUCUUGCCUAGGUGAAGAUUAGCCCUGCGAGGAUCGACUCUUGCCUAGGUGAGGACGAGCCCUAUGAGGGUCAACCUCGCCUGGGCUUACCUGGGUGAGGGCUCCCCUCGCUCGGCUGUGCCUCACUUGUGGUGGGUGAGGCCAACUUGCUUAGCCAUGGUUGAUGCUGGCCAUAGCCACCGCCAAUAGAAAGCAAAAUGGAAAAAAGAAGAAGAAAUAAAUUAGAAAUAAAUAAAUAAAUUAAUUAAAAAUAUUAUUAAAAAAUUAUCUACAUCAGCAUAUGUCAAUUGGCUAGCGUUGGCAUCAGCAUCAAUGAAUUCUGAUGCCGGAUGGAUUCAAUUGAUAAAUUGUGAAAAUAUUUAGGAUUGAAUUUGCAAAAGUGGAACAAAGUUAGGAUUUUUUGGACAAUUUUAGCAAAUACUAGGAAAGUCCCAAAUAAGGACCUAAAAUGCUUCCGCUUUCUCAAAUAAGGGCUUGAAAUGGACUUUAUUUCAAAUAAAAGUUUGAAGUGGCUAAAUCGUCUCAAAUAAGGGCUUGAAGUGGCUGGAUGCCUCUUAAAGGGUAACGGAGGUGUGUGAAGGGAGGCUUAAGCUAAGAUUUUGCUAGUGAGCAUAAUGGUAUAAGCCUACCUAAUAAUGACACUGACUGGUCGAAUAGAGACGAAAGAAGACCAUAGUGAUCCGGGAGUCCAGAGUGAAAGGGCUCUCACUUAACAGAUCAAAGGUACAUUGAGGAUAAUAGACUGAUGACUCCCAAGAGCUCUUAUUGAUAGACUUGUUUGGCACCUUGAUGUUGACUCAUCAAAUCCUGGAGGUGAAAAGGUUCCCAAGAGUUUGGUUGUUCAUUGAUCAAAGUGGAAGAAAAUAAACUGCCAUUUGCCUAGGUAAGAGUCUUAGUAAGAAAUAGAAAAGGAAUGGCUGCCUUUGCAAAGGAGAAGCUGCUUGAUCAAGAGGCAGAGGAGCCGCAUAACUUAAUUCACAUUUUCUUCUUGAUUAGAGGAGUGUAACGGCAUUGGAAGAGAGGUACAUCAGUUUAAAAAAAGAACCUAAUCUCUCAUACUGAAGGGCAUUUUCAUCUUUUAUUUUUAAAUUUUUUUUCAAGGAAAAUUUCAAAAAAUGAUCUGAGUGGAGCCAUAUUCUCAAAAGAGAGUCUAAAGUGGAUAUUGUCUUAAAUAAGGAUCUCAAGUGGCCAAUUUAGUUUCAAAUUAGAGCCUGACUGGCCAAAUCUUGCAUGUCCAAGGGCAUUCUCAUCCAAGUAGAUUUGUUUCUUUAUUAUUCUUUUCUCUCUUUGUUUCAUGUUUUAAUUUCAUUUUUUUCCCUUUCUCUACGCCAUCAUCUUCUGCGAUUUCAAGUAUAAAUGCGCUGGCAAAAUUUUUUGUCUAACUUCUUGCUAUGUCUCUCGCCCAGCUACAAAACGCCGCUUCCUGUUUCCUCACUACGCAGCCACAAAUUCCUAACACCCGCAAAAGAUUAAUUGGCGAUAUUCAACAACCGUAUACAAAAUAUUUCACAACCCUAUACAACUUAUGACUCGACACAAAACUGUUCGUCGCCCCCUAAAAACUUUUCCACAGGAAUCAUAUGUUGAUUCAACUACUCUUUGUUUCAGGGAACACGGGAACUGUGUUGUGCAGCACAAUCGUCCCUUGAAAGACCAUCAUCCGGCGAUUCCUUCUUAAUUGUUUCAACUGCAAAAGAAAUGAAUGUAUGAGACCGAGAGUUUCAAAUCUCCUGCUCAAGAGGGAUAAAUGAAUGCACGUUCACAAACCUCCUCUGGGGUCAUCUUGCCAAAACCAAAUCGGUUCAUCCAUAUCGAUUCUGCUUCCUCUGCAGCAAGAAGCACGAGAUUCGUCACAAUGAAUAAGCCUCCUCUGAGUUGAACUAAGAGAAGCGUUGCUAAUGGCUUGCGUGCCAAUGGAUGGAUGGUGUGGUCGACUUGGUUGAGGAAGAAGAGAACUUUUACGAGGCAUUGCUUGACAGCGACUAUUCUGUUAUUUAUGACUCUGAAAUGGUGGCAAAGGACCUCUCCACAUGGAAUAUAAGAAAAGAGCUCUUUGGUUUCAUUUCUUUGAAUUAGAUGGGGUAGAGCGAAGAUUGGUGAAGGAUAAAUUGGGCAACUAAGCACUUUUUUUGAGUCAAAAUUAUCCCGCAUCCUUAUUGACUUCUAAAAUCCCAGGUUGUAGGAGAAAAAACAUUUGUUAUCUUAAUGGUUUCACAGUGAAAGGAGGCACCAACAUGAAGAAGGGUUACGAAUUGUGCGGAUUCAACUUGAAAAGUAGAGCCAUCGAGCACGUUAUUACACUUGUCUUACAUGUAGCUGAUCGCCGUUGCCCCCUUGGAUGGGGCACUGGUUUAUCCCCUUAUCUGUAGGAGUUCACCGUUCUGCUAAUCAUGCUAUUUUUGAUUGUUUGUUAGCAAAAACAUAUUCAGAUAUCACUAUUGCAUGGUAAAGAAAACAAAUACAUGAAACAAAGAUAAAGAAAAAGAAAAAUAAACAAAAAAAUUGUACAUGGAUGAGAAUGCCCCUAAAUGGGAACAAGAUUAUUUGAGACUAAAUUGCCAACUUGAGGCCCUCAUUUGAGACAAUGUCAACUUUGGACCCUCUUUUGAGAAUACAGCUGCAAUUCAGACCUUUAUUUGAAAAUUUCCUUUUUUUUUCUUUCCUUUUUCUAUUUUUUUUCUUUUUCUUUGCCCCUUCCCUCAGCCAGCCAUUGUGGAGGUUGUUGGACUUGGGUGAGGACCACCUCGUCGGCAUGAGGCGAUGGUCACCAUCGCCUGGGCUAAUGCCAAUAGGUCCUGCCCUCGCCAGAUUUAGGAAGGGUUGCUGAGGGUUACACUCCCUGAUGUCAGGCGAGGGUUACUGUCGUUGGAUCUAGUGAGGAACGCCCUCGCCUGACAUCGGCAAUAGUGGCCCUUGCCUGAGGUAGGCAACCUCCAUCGGCCAUUUACGGUGAUGGCCAAGGGAUAGAAGAGAAAAAAAAAGAUAAAAGAAAAGAAAAGAAAUAAAGGAAAAAAAUAAAAAAAUAUAUAUAGUUACAAAUUUUUUGACCAAAAUACCCCUUCUCCGAUGGCCGUAAUAGUCAUUAGCAGGCUAAAGUCUCUUAUUUGAGACGAUUUGAUCAUUUCGGACUUUUAUUUGAGAAAAUGAUGACACUUGGACCUUUAUUUAGAAUUUUCCCUAUGUCUUAAUUCCAUUACAUUUCAUUUUUACUCCACCCUCAAAGGAAGAAAAUAUCCUCUAACCACACCCAAGAAUUUAUGGUGUAAUGUCACCGGUGGUAUCUGUUAUUGACAGCUAACUGUUUUGCCCCAACGUCUCCUCAUUUUCAAUUCGCCGGUAAAUCGGAAUUUAACCCCUAAGCAAAAACAUCUAUACUGUAUGUCUCGACUUCUCAUUUCUUAAGUUUUCAGAAACGACGGUCACUUUUUACUUAAAAUAGGACGUCCGCAUCGAAUAUUAAAUUAGGCAAGAUCUUUAAUUUUUGUGAACCAGUCCAUUGCGUUGCUCCAGGUCAAACCCACAAGCCCGGCCUCACCCCCCUUAGGGGAAAUGGCAUGUACCGCUCCAAGCAAGAAGAGAAUGAAGACAUUCAUGGAAGUUGAGCACGACCAAGAUCAGUCGAGGUUAGGAAAUGUUUCAAUGGAUUGCAUAAUUCUCUUCGCAACAAUGAAAAUAUGAUUCUUUAGGAUUAGAUCGGUAUCGAGCACACAUACAUACGUUGUGCAUUCUAUAUCCGGCCUAGAUGCAAUCAAGGGGAGGAGUGAACCUAGCAUGCUUCUAUGCAACUUUGGGUCCACAGGUUUACUCUUUUGAUAUUUGUUCAGCUUGGUAGAAUGAGGCAUGGAUGUGUCCAUCCUCUUCUAAUUCUCCAUACCGCAUUUAUUUACAAGUUCCUGGGCACAUUUUCCUUGGUGAAUGAAGGUCCCAGCCUUGGUUUAAAUUCAUUUUGCAUUACCUUUGCAAAAUCCUUGCGCAGAAUCUCAUUAGUAGAAAUUUUGCAUUUCAUAUACUUCCAUAAUUUUUUUUUUUCGUUUUAUCAUUACUAUUUCAUAUUACUGUGUAUCAUCAUCAUCAUCAUCAUCAUCAUUUUUCCCGUUUGAUUCUACUUAGAAAAAAAACAAAAACCAUUUGGUUGCGAUGCAAUAUUAUAUGACAUUAUAAUUGGCCAAAGUCAUGAUAAUGUAGUAUAGUUGGUUCUGAAUAUCUAUCACUAGUGACAAACAACUUUGACUAGUAUAUGCACGUUAGUUUACGCUAAUCCCUGUCAAUGAGCUGUAAGAAAGGCACCCUUCUUACAUUAUUCUAACGUCGAUUUGCAAACAUUUAUAGUACAUUGUUCUAACUACCUUUGUCGUCUGUAUCUAAGCUUUGCAUCGAGGCAUCUUCAAGCUGCAUCUUUCUUUCUAUCCUGUAGACACACAUCGUUACCCCAACUAAGAGGCAUUUUCAAGUGACAUCUUGGACAAAAAUGAAUGAUUUUAAAAUAUUUUCCAAAAAAAGAUAGGUCAUAUUGCUUGAAAUGAUUAGUUGAUAAUUUUUUAUUAAUGGCAAUAAUUUAUAUCUAAGUGAAAUAAUCAGUUGAUUUUAAGAAAAUAUUUCCAAAUCAUUUAUUUUAUGCGAAACAAAUAGAGCCUCAUUUUUUCCUACAGUUUACUUCAUUUUAUAUUUACUAUUUAAUGUUUAAUCUUCUACGCAUCUCCUUAUUUAUUUCUUUCAUGACGAGCCCUGUAGCCAGUAAAUCAUCAUACUCAUGAACUACAAUGUCCACUAUAUUAUCAUCUCUUUUUUUUUUUUUUUUUGGGGGGGGGGGGGGGGGAGCGGAGGGGGUUCGGAAAUUGAGACAGUGUCUUAAACAGGUAAACAAAACUGAUUCUACUUAGGAAACAAAUAAAAGCCAUUUGGUAAUGAUGCAAUUUAUAUAACAACAUAAUUGGUCAAAGUCAUAUUAUUGUAGUGUAGUUGGUUCCUAAUAUCCAAUCACUGACAAACAUGUAACUAGUAGUCAGGAUGCCAAACUCCUAAAAAUUGCCACCAUCAAUAGGCAUUGCUAAAACAAAUCAAUAGCACCUGUUUCAACUUAACCUGCGUCAACUGGCCAACAGAAUAGAGAAAACCAAACAAAGCUGAUAUGACCCUUCAGCAAUCGAGAAAUUACACUGCAACUUCGUUCACUAAUCACCAUCGAAUGAGCUAUAAGAAAGGCACCCUUUUUUCACAUUAUUCUAACGACAAUUUGCCAACAUAUAUGAGACAUUGUUCUAACUACUUCUGUCUGUAUGUAUGCUUGGCAUCAAGGCAUCUGCAAGUGGCAUCUUUCUUUCCUCCCGUAGAAACGCAACUUAUGUACCGCAAUUGAAAGGAAUACCCCCUAUUAAGUGAAAAAUUGCAUUUCAUUUUUUUUUUCUAAAAUGUAUUUGAUUUUAGGGUUAAUCCCACAAAAAAAAAAAUCCAAAAUUGGUACAUCUAUAACAAAUUUACCCAAAUUAAUUUUUUAACUACCAAAAAUCACAAACCGGUACACCUGUGACAAAUGAAGGAUAAAACACAAACUUAUACACCCACUAACUAUCAUGUGUUGUCUAAGUAAGCAAUUUGACAGUAAAAUUCAAUAGAAACUAACGGAAGGUAGAUUUGUCAUGGAUGUAUCAGUUUGGGGGUUUUUUCAUGAUAUUAACCUUUUGUUUUAUCACCACCGGCCAUGGUGGCUCCGCUGGGUAGGCUUCAGUCCUUUGAGGGAAGGUCAGGAGUUCAAAACCCCUGCAACGCAAGUUGCAGGGAGGCUGGCGGGCUAUUAGGUGAUUGCCGCGUGGUGCUGGGGUGGUGGUUUUCCCGCUAGCGUUACUUGGGGGUUUACGUGAUGGCUGUUCGGCCAAGGCGGUUCCCUCCAGCACAAAAAAAAAAAAGAACCCUUUUGUUUUUAUCUUUUUCUUUUUGAACGUUGUUAUUAUAUUGCAUUUCUUUGUUUAUUUUUUCACAACGAAGCACAUAACCAGUACACCGUGAACUAUGACGUCUACCGUAUUAUCACGUCUCAUUUUUUUCCAUUUGUGAUUUGAGGUUGUGAUGUAGUAUUAUAUAACAAUGUAAUUAGUCUAAGUCAUGAUAUUGUAGUAUAGUUGGUUAAUAAUAUCCCAUCAUUAAUAACAUACAACUUUAAUGAGUAUUGCUCGUUGGGUUUUCUUUUAUGCGUUUGUAUUAAUAGGAAAAAGAAAGUCAAGUGAAGUGUGCCUGAUCCCAAAUUUCAUUCAAAGCUUCUGGUGUUCUCUCAACAAAAACAGGUCUUCUUGUUGCGAGCAAAAGUAGAGCGGUCAUAUUCAAUUAGAAAAUUAUAAGAUUCACCCAAUUUAAGAUCGCGCUUAUAAUGUCCCUUAAUCACGACGAUUAACCGUUUCGCGCGUUCAUACCAUGUACAAGAGGGGGGCGUUAAUUUCUCGAUCGAUAAUCAUUGCAACCCUCGCGACAUUUUCCUCGGCCAGGGCCUCAUGUCCAAAAGUCCCGCUAAUUAUUGACUUUUGACUGUCGUUUGACUAACGCUCGAUUUUGACCCGAAUUCCGAAUUACAAACCUCAUUUCCGCAUCACCUGCCCCGUAAUAAUAUUUACGAAAGCACGAUUAUUAUCAGAGCCCCCGAGUAGAAGGGUAAUAAUUGAGACAUUUUUUUUUUGUUGAUUGCUAAAACGUAAUAAUUGAGAUAUGAUUCCGUAUGUAGUUUUACGAAACGUUGAAAUAAUCGGAAAUAAUUCAUGGGAAGUUCGCCAACCCGGCGGGACGAAUACCCUGCCGUUCUCUCCCUAUUGGCAUCAUUUUGUUUUUCUUUUAUAAAUUUCUAAUUUAAUUUUUCUUUUAAAUUUCGUGUGGACAUAGUCGCCGGAGCUCUCUCUCUCUCUUCCCCCAAAACCUUCGCUGUGCAUCUCCGCAGCUUUCAAUCAGUCCCCCAGUCGCACCUUCGGACUUCUCCUGAUCACCAGCCUUCGGAGCUUCGCUUCUCCUGAUCACCAGGGGAGCCGGGACUCGCCCUCGCCCAGGUGAGGGUUGGCCUCCCUAGUCCAUAGGCCAGAUCCAAUGAGGUUGGCCCUCGCCGAGGCUGCUCUCACCCAAGCAAGGGUCGGCCUUGCUCAGGCCAGAGUUGGCGAGGCCAACCCUUGCCGAGGCUCGGCCUCGCCAUGGCUAGGUAAGGCCAGUCCACCUGGUUGUGGCCAAUGGCCAGCCAUUGCUUGUGGCCAGUGGUUGAUCACCGGCAAAAUGAAGAAGAAGAACAAAGGAGAGAAAAAAAGAAAAAAAAUCGAAAAAUCGAAAAAUUAUUAGAUUGUCCACGUCAAUACCAGUGGUGUCACGUAAAUAGGCCGGCAUCCACGUCCGCAAUAUCUGGCCAAAAUUAGUCGGAAGGACUAAAUUAGCAUCAGGUCAAAACAUUUAGGAUUAAAUUGACACUAAUUUAAAAUGUUUAGGAUUCAAUUGGUAUCAUUAAAAAGUUUAUGACUAAAUUGGCAUAAACUUAAAAGGUUUAUGAUUGAAUUGACACCAUUAAAAUGUUUAGGACUAAAUUGGCACAAAUGCAAUAGAUUUAGGAAUUUUUUUUUUAUACUUUUCCCCAAUUAUUAUUGGAAUUGCACAAAAAUUUCAAAGGNNNNNNNNNNNNNNNNNNNNNNNNNNNNNNNNNNNNNNNNNNNNNNNNNNNNNNNNNNNNNNNNNNNNNNNNNNNNNNNNNNNNNNNNNNNNNNNNNNNNNNNNNNNNNNNNNNNNNNNNNNNNNNNNNNNNNNNNNNNNNNNNNNNNNNNNNNNNNNNNNNNNNNNNNNNNNNNNNNNNNNNNNNNNNNNNNNNNNNNNNNNNNNNNNNNNNNNNNNNNNNNNNNNNNNNNNNNNNNNNNNNNNNNNNNNNNNNNNNNNNNNNNNNNNNNAUUAGACGUGAAGAGUAUCUAAGGCUAGAUAGUUGAACAAGUUGUGAGGUUCCUCAUGGAUUGGAUGAACCACUAGAACGUGAACAGUUUGUGGACAUGGAAGAUGACAGGAUGCUUAAAGGGAACGGUAUGUAGAGGGUGAACUAUGAAUUCAACGUGAAGCGCCAAAAGACCUUUUCUUUUUUUUUCUAUGGAUUAUGCAUGUAAUAGUAAAGCAUAUAUAUUUUCAGGUCUCAAUGCUAAUAAUAUUUUUGAAGCAAUUGACGCUGAAUUUUUGAGCGUUUGACAAUAAAAGAUACUACGUCUUUCGAAACAGAAAAAAACUGGGAAGAGAAAUUGUUUCUUAAGAUAAAGGAAAACAAAUUAAAAUUGAACAAGAUCCUACUCAUUUUAAAGCCUAUUUUUCAGAUAAAGAGAAACAAUUACUUAGAGUAAAAGAAGAGGAAGAGAAAAGUUUUGGGACCUUUCUUUACUUAUGUUAUUGAUUUAGUGGAUGAUCAACAGGGUUAUAAUGAUGCCGAGUCUAGACUCUAGACCGGAUGCUCAUGUGGAAAAUGGCAAUGGAUCUUGAGAUAAAAGCAAAAUAAUACAUGUCAUCAACUAGUCCUCCUCCUAACACUAGAACUGUAGGAUCUACAUGGGCGUUAUAAGUAAAAGAAUGAAAACCGGAUUGUCCGAUACGUAAGGCAGGAUUAGUGGCUAAGAGGUAUAGCAAAAUAGGACGUGACUACUUCGAUGUUAAUCUCCGGUGAGAAGGCUUACAACCAUUGCAAUAAGAGACACGAAGACGACGAUGAAGGAGUGUACUCGAUGAAGGGGAAGACGAAGAAGGAUUAGAGUGCUUUGUGGGAGAGAAAUAGAAUGAGCCCUAUUUGUUUUCAAAUUAGGGCUAAUUGAAGAGAGAGAGAGAGGUUGUCAUAUAUUUUCCAGCUCGGGCAAUUUCACAAUAAAAAUUGACGGAAGUUAAUUGGAGAGGUAAAUAUGCCAAUCUAUAUCAGUUUGAGGUUUUGGGUGACUCAAAAUAUAAAGUUUGGGGUAAAUAUGUUACAUGUGGAUCAACUUUGGGAAUUUUUUUUUUUUUUUUUUGUGAUUCAAAAAAUUUAGUUUAAAGUAGAUACAUCCACAAAAUGUAACUGCUUAUAGUAUUUCGGCGAAGAGAAGCCUUUAACAUUUAAACAUUUCCAUAUAUAAGAGUUGCUGAUCCAUCAUCGACCAAUAUGCCUCCAUAGCGUCGGUGACCCUCGGAUGUCACUAUGUCUAUGGGCAACCUCAGAUAAACCAAAGUCGAGGAGAUCACCAUUAACUNNNNNNNNNNNNNNNNNNNNNNNNNNNNNNNNNNNNNNNNNNNNNNNNNNNNNNNNNNNNNNNNNNNNNNNNNNNNNNNNNNNNNNNNNNNNNNNNNNNNNNNNNNNNNNNNNNNNNNNNNNNNNNNNNNNNNNNNNNNNNNNNNNNNNNNNNNNNNNNNNNNNNNNNNNNNNNNNNNNNNNNNNNNNNNNNNNNNNNNNNNNNNNNNNNNNNNNNNNNNNNNNNNNNNNNNNNNNNNNNNNNNNNNNNNNNNNNNNNNNNNNNNNNNNNNNNNNNNNNNNNNNNNNNNNNNNNNNNNNNNNNNNNNNNNNNNNNNNNNNNNNNNNNNNNNNNNNNNNNNNNNNNNNNNNNNNNNNNNNNNNNNNNNNNNNNNNNNNNNNNNNNNNNNNNNNNNNNNNNNNNNNNNNNNNNNNNNNNNNNNNNNNNNNNNNNNNNNNNNNNNNNNNNNNNNNNNNNNNNNNNNNNNNNNNNNNNNNNNNNNNNNNNNNNNNNNNNNNNNNNNNNNNNNNNNNNNNNNNNNNNNNNNNNNNNNNNNNNNNNNNNNNNNNNNNNNNNNNNNNNNNNNNNNNNNNNNNNNNNNNNNNNNNNNNNNNNNNNNNNNNNNNNNNNNNNNNNNNNNNNNNNNNNNNNNNNNNNNNNNNNNNNNNNNNNNNNNNNNNNNNNNNNNNNNNNNNNNNNNNNNNNNNNNNNNNNNNNNNNNNNNNNNNNNNNNNNNNNNNNNNNNNNNNNNNNNNNNNNNNNNNNNNNNNNNNNNNNNNNNNNNNNNNNNNNNNNNNNNNNNNNNNNNNNNNNNNNNNNNNNNNNNNNNNNNNNNNNNNNNNNNNNNNNNNNNNNNNNNNNNNNNNNNNNNNNNNNNNNNNNNNNNNNNNNNNNNNNNNNNNNNNNNNNNNNNNNNNNNNNNNNNNNNNNNNNNNNNNNNNNNNNNNNNNNNNNNNNNNNNNNNNNNNNNNNNNNNNNNNNNNNNNNNNNNNNNNNNNNNNNNNNNNNNNNNNNNNNNNNNNNNNNNNNNNNNNNNNNNNNNNNNNNNNNNNNNNNNNNNNNNNNNNNNNNNNNNNNNNNNNNNNNNNNNNNNNNNNNNNNNNNNNNNNNNNNNNNNNNNNNNNNNNNNNNNNNNNNNNNNNNNNNNNNNNNNNNNNNNNNNNNNNNNNNNNNNNNNNNNNNNNNNNNNNNNNNNNNNNNNNNNNNNNNNNNNNNNNNNNNNNNNNNNNNNNNNNNNNNNNNNNNNNNNNNNNNNNNNNNNNNNNNNNNNNNNNNNNNNNNNNNNNNNNNNNNNNNNNNNNNNNNNNNNNNNNNNNNNNNNNNNNNNNNNNNNNNNNNNNNNNNNNNNNNNNNNNNNNNNNNNNNNNNNNNNNNNNNNNNNNNNNNNNNNNNNNNNNNNNNNNNNNNNNNNNNNNNNNNNNNNNNNNNNNNNNNNNNNNNNNNNNNNNNNNNNNNNNNNNNNNNNNNNNNNNNNNNNNNNNNNNNNNNNNNNNNNNNNNNNNNNNNNNNNNNNNNNNNNNNNNNNNNNNNNNNNNNNNNNNNNNNNNNNNNNNNNNNNNNNNNNNNNNNNNNNNNNNNNNNNNNNNNNNNNNNNNNNNNNNNNNNNNNNNNNNNNNNNNNNNNNNNNNNNNNNNNNNNNNNNNNNNNNNNNNNNNNNNNNNNNNNNNNNNNNNNNNNNNNNNNNNNNNNNNNNNNNNNNNNNNNNNNNNNNNNNNNNNNNNNNNNNNNNNNNNNNNNNNNNNNNNNNNNNNNNNNNNNNNNNNNNNNNNNNNNNNNNNNNNNNNNNNNNNNNNNNNNNNNNNNNNNNNNNNNNNNNNNNNNNNNNNNNNNNNNNNNNNNNNNNNNNNNNNNNNNNNNNNNNNNNNNNNNNNNNNNNNNNNNNNNNNNNNNNNNNNNNNNNNNNNNNNNNNNNNNNNNNNNNNNNNNNNNNNNNNNNNNNNNNNNNNNNNNNNNNNNNNNNNNNNNNNNNNNNNNNNNNNNNGCGCUGACAUGGCGGCCCUGGUCAAGGUCGAGCGAGGGCCGCGACCCUCGCCGGCGACUAUCGAGGUCUCGCGGCCCUCACCUCCGCCCUAGCCUCGCUAGCCGCGGGCGAGGCUGGCCUCGCCAAGAUCCGGGCGAAGCCGCCUCGCCGACGGCUUGGGAGAGGCCGGGUGAGGGCCGCGACCCUCGUUGGCGGCAGGCGAGGGCUUCACGGCCCUCGCCGGCCACCCAAGGAAAAAGAGGCAGAAAAGAAAAAAGAAAAAAUUAAUAAAAAAAUCAAUAAAAAUUAAUAAAAAAUUUGAAAAAAUAAUAAUAAAAAUCAUAAAUGGUCACCAGCCGACGUCCAUGUCAGCACCGGCCGGCCAAAAUUGGCUGGAUGGACUAAAUUGGUACCGAUAUUAAAAGGUUUAGGACUGAAUUGGUUCAAUUAAAAAGUUUAUGACUGAAUUAAUACCAAUGCAAUAGGUUUAGGACUUUUUUGGUACUUUUCCCGAGAAAACAUUGUAAUCUUCCUAAUUUGUAUUGAAUCGUUAUGCACAUGUAAUCAAUUAGUACAUGAACUUUUUGACUAAAUGAAAAACUAAAGAUCCACAAGACUAAUUAUCAUAAACAAACAUCAUGAGGCAAAGCAAAAAUCCUAUGCGAUGGACGGUGCAACCGUGAGUCAACGAGGGAGGAAAGCGAGCGGGGAAGAGGAAUGAGAAAGGAGGAUCACUAUGCGAGAGGAAAAACACGAUUCUAAGAUUAGAAAUCAAGGAAAAAAGGGUUUUGGACUUUUAAACUUACAAAACCAGUUCUCAAAUGAGUUCCCAAAUUGGUCUGGUCAAUUUGGUUCCCAGGUGGGCAUUUACUCGAAAUCGGAAAUCGGACCAGUUCAAAUUGGUUUUGAAUUUUGGGAAUUGGUUCUCGGACCGAUUUCAAUGUAGACCGGUUUCUGGACUAUUUUUGGGGUGGGCCGGUCUAGUUCUCAAGUAGACUUGGUCCGAUUGGACAUCCCUAAAAUUUCAUCUCUUUCCUCCCAACACAUGGGUGAGUCAUCUAUGUGGGCACUGUUUGGCAUCUUUUGUGGACUUGUAUCUAGGGGUGUGCAUGGUCUAGGCGAGCGGUUCCCGACCUAGAACCAGGAACCGCCCGCUAAUGAUUCAUUCCAAAAAAUUGAAAUCGGGAUCCACCUAUUAAUUGCAUGAAUCCACUCGGGAACCGGACCGCCGAUCCGAUUCGGUUCUCGGGUGGAUCCAUGGAACCGGUCUCACAAUAAUAAUAAUAAUAAUAAUAAUAAUAAUAAUAAUAAUAAUAAUAAUAAUAAUAUCAUUUUCUCAAAAGCUCCGAUCUUGACGGAAAACAACUUUAGUUUUCGAUCAAAAUUGCUGGUUCUUUGCCGCCUCACCUAUUCUUCUUCUCCUCCUCCUGCGGCCCUGCUUCUUCGUGUGCUUGCUUUAUGCCCACCAAUUGCUCGACGUUUUGUCAAGGUGCGCUUUGGAUUUUUUCCCACUUUAAUUAAUUUUUUUAAUUAUUUGAUUUGGGUUUGUUAAUUUGUAAUCAUUUUUUCAAUAUUAAAAAUUAAUAUAUUAUUUUAAUAGAAUUGGUUCGGUUCGGGUGGACAGAUCCACCCAUGGAACUAGGAACCGGAUUGGUACCCACCGAUUCCCAUGAAUUGGAACCGGGAACCGGACCGGUACCCAUCGGUUUCCAUGAAUUGGAACUGGAAACCAGAUCGGUACCCACCGGUUCCCAUAAAUUGGAACUGAGAAUUGGACCGGUUCCCUCAAGAACCACCAGUCUGGGCGGUUUCGGAUGGUUCGGGCGAGUCCCGGUUCUUUUGCACACCUAUACUUGUAUCUAUCAAAAGUGGACUUUCCCAUCAUAAACAUGCCGAACUGAUCACCUUUUGCAAAGUUGUUUGAUUCGUAGACACCUAAACAAAGGACAUGUUAGGUAGUCGUGAGGGGCCUCCCUGUCGCUGAUGACCAGAAUUUCUUCAACAGAGUCAUAAACUUUUAUUGAAAAGUGCAACUGCAUUCUAGAAUUGAGUACUGAAUAUCUUGCUGAAAAGUAUUCUACACCUUUUAAAGUGCGAUUUCUAGGUGAUAAACAAAAAAUGUUGAUAACAAGACUGACAAGUCGGUUGAGAGAUACUGAGCAAAUCUAUCACUUACAAUGGGUGUACAAGCAAAAAGUACGAACAAAUUUGCAUAGUGUCUCUCAAUCGGGGCUACAAGGCCAACAAGUUGGUUGAGAGACAUUAUGUAAAGCAUAGGUCGACCUUGCAAUGGGUGUUUCUCCCACCCCCUCCACCUUCACCGGCACUCACGGCUACUAUAUCGGUCUACUAAUUCUUCAAAUACCCCCUUACAAGGUGCGGUAGAGUCUACCCUCUCCACUUGAAGGGCCCCUUAAUCCCGAGCAUAAUUUUUUCUUCCCCACCUAGGAGGGAAUACUCACGAUUUUAGUCCUAGAGUUCACAUGAAGCAGUUUUAGGAUAUACUCGAGUCUAAGGUGCGAUUUCCAGGUGAUAAGCAAGAAAUGUUGAUAACAACGACUUCAAAUUCGAUAAUACUGGUUUUGAACAGUUAAAGAUUCCAUUACAUAAACCUUAUCCACGGCAUCAACGUACCUUUUUUAAAGAAAAAAAAAAGAAAAGAACAUAUUGCGGAGACUAGGAAAAUAUAUUUUAAAAAUAUGGCUGAUUCAGAAAUCAUAUUAUGGCAAAAAGAAGAAAGAAAAAAGUAAGGCAUCUGAUUGCAAGAGACAUUAAAAAUACUUCAUUUGGACCCGCGGUCAUGAAGGUCUUGGCCUCGUGGGGCUGCAGAUCUCCAACGGAGGUUGCGACUUCCAUGGCUACGGCUCCCUCUCUCUCUGAAAAUCAAUCCAUCGGCUGGAGAAGAGCCCGGCCGCCACGACCAUGGAGGUUGUAGUGCUCACACGACCGUAGAUGAAAAGUAUAUCUUCCUAAAUUAUUAUUCCAUAUAAAAAAAUUUCAAGUGAAACUUCAUUGAAAUAACCAGAGUCAAGUUCACUUACGACCCAUUUGAUAUGAGAAAACAUCUUUAGGUCAUUGAAAACAAAAACUGUUUUCAGUUUCCAUUUUUUUUUUUCACACAUUUGGUAUGAAAUUCUUUUGUUGGAAUUCGAACUAAGAAUGUGUUUGGUGUGUUUUGCAUAACAUAUCACAAUUUAUCAAUUUCUAAACUAUGAGCCUCCAGAAAAGGAAUCUAUUGAUUCUCUCACAAUUGGUUGGAUUGUAGGUGCAACAAUUUACUUAACAGGCGAUAUCUCUUUGGUCAAGUUGGGGAUGGCUCAAUUGCACCAAGGAAAAGAAAAGAAUCAUGCAUGCUUCAUUUGGAUCGAGGGAUAUAGCUCAAUUCGUAAAACUCUGCUCUUACAAUAAGGUCAUUGCGAAUACAGGUCUGGAGUUUCUUUAUAUACUACUGGUGUUUUUUUAGAAAACAAUGAUAAAUUUAUCUCACCAACCGAAAUUAAAUCUUUUAAGUAAUCCUUGCUUGGUGAUCAUCUUAAUAAGUGGAAAAUUACUUAAGUCAUCUACCAAUAUCUUUUUCUUCUUGGCUAAUUAAAAGAAUUUGUUUGCCCGUCAUUAAUAUUAAACAACAUUAGAAUUUCAGAAUUAUCUCCCAUGACAUUAUAAAAGACUAUGAAACAAAUUUUGAGGAGGAAACCUCUUUGAAGCUUCUUGUAGCUCCCGAUGGAAUUGAAUUAACCCGUUUAGCUUAAAAAAAUGCUUCAACCUUCGAAAAAGCUAGAGGACUUCGAAUAACACGGACAUUGCUUCCGUAAAUGACGGAUUUGUGUUCCAAAGAAUCCAAUCUCAUAUCCUCGUAACAAUUGAAAUUUGAUGGGACUGAACUGUUCUGGAGCUACGAUUUUUUUUUUUUUUUUUGUCUUUUUCAUAGCUCGUAUGCAUGAGCGGGGAGCCCUAUCUACUUGAAGCCUCAUGCCAUACUCAGCAAGUCCCAUGAUGUUCAAGCAUUUGUUUGUGCAAAUGACCCCAACUAAGAGCAGUUUUGGUGAGAUCUGAACAUGUGACUCCAAUGUAAAAAAUUAUUCACACAAUUUAACUUAUUAAUCAAGAAGAAUCAUAUCCAUAUAUGAUUGUAAAACAUCGAUAUUGAUAAGCACAUCAGAAUUAAAGCGUACUUGUUUGAGCCAUUACUUCACUUGAAGAAAAAUAGAUCACUCUCAUACCAGAGAUCUAUCGAAAUGCCAUAUUUUCCUUUUUAUAACAUAUUUCAGUAUAGUAGGUUUUAAUGGAAUUAAUGCAACUGAAAGGUAUAACCUAUCAUUUUAUAGGCUAGAGAGGGGAUCUAAUAAACUCUAAUCAAUAGCAUUUCAACUGGCCCUUCUCAUUAUGGGUUUCGAUUAAACACAAUUGCUUACAGUUUGCUGCUCAACUAGGCCUGUUAUCAAUAGAUGCUAAUACCUAAUUCAAUUAGAUCACUAUAUGGUUUAACAAAUAUUUGAAUAUUCAUUAAUCCGAUUAUUUAAACUAGAAAAUUAAUUAAUUAAUGUAAGCCCAUAUUAUAGAAAAUUUCCAACAUUCUCCCACUUGGGCUAUAUUAAUUAACUUAUUUAUAUUUUGAAAAAGAUUCUAUAUUAAAAAUGACACUAUCAGGUUAAUAACUGAAAAUUUUGUUUUAUGUGGCCACAACUUUAAAAAAUAAUAUUUAAAUAAUGACAUCUCAAAACCAAUCCAAUCUCAUAUAACCUCAAUAUAAGACUAUGGGGAUCAAUGUGUUAAAAAAAUACCACUACACAUGACCUUCCAUAAUCACAUAUAAUAAGCAUUAUAUUUUUAUGGAUCAUGGGUCUAGUAGUGUAGUAAGAAAUAAUGUCAAUAUGUAAUCAAAAUAUACACUAUUUUUUAUUGAUUCUCAAUGUAAUUUCUCAACGACAUGAAACUAUAUUAACAUAAUUUCUAAACAACAUGAAAUUACAUGACUAUGUUACAAUCAAACAUGAGAUCUCAUAAUCAAUGAAAUCCAGUCAUCUUUAAACUAAAAUUUGUUUAAAGAUACGAUUUUAUACUUCUAUUUCUUAGUCAAUAGGAGAAAGAAUAACAAUAGAAUCAAUAAUAAUGAUCAUUGAAAAUAAAUGCUUUAAUAGACAUCAUGAAAGCAUUAUUAGUUUGCAUAUAACUAUAAUAUAUAAAAAUACAAAUUAUAUAGCUCCUAUUAACAAAAAAAAUCAAAAGAAUCUAAAACACCUAUAUUCUUUACAUGUUCUUUAAACAAAAUGAGUCAUAAGCCUUUUGUUAGAGGAUCAGCCGACAUGGACUCCGUUCUAGUAUUCUCAAUCACAAUAUUUCCUUUUUUGACCAAGUCUUUAACAGUAUAAUAUUUUAUCAAGUUAAUAUUUCAAUCGUGGCAUUAUCGUUGUUUACAACAAGGUAACUGCUUGCCACACAUAAUGCAAUAAGAUGAAUUAUGGAUAAUAAGCAAUUCAACAAAAAUAAUUUGUAUAUUAUAAACUCCCCCUUAGACAGAGUGUAUAAUGCACUAUUAUUUUCCAUAGCAUGAAGUUUAUAAAGCAACAAUAUGGAGAAUUACAUAUAAUUGUCAAAGAAUCCAUCCCAUUUGGGGAGACAAAUUCUUUAAAUCAUACAUCUCUAUAAUAUUAAUAUAGAGGGGAAUUAUAUAUAAUUUUCAAAACAUUUAUCCCGUUUGGGCAGAUAAAUAUUUUUCAAUUAUACAUCCCCAUCUCUUAAAUUUGAGAAUUGAUUUUCAUGUUAUUUUCCAAACUAAUAUACACAAUAACCCCCUUUAGGUGAGUUAUUGUAUAUACUAAUUUUGAUCAAUAUGGAACUCCAAUAAAUUUUAUAAAUAAUGUUCCAUUUAAUCAAUGCCCAAAAUUCAUCUAAUAAUAUGAAGCACUUUACAACAUGUGCUUUUCAAGAACAUAUUGCAUUUAUCAAUCAAUAAUUUUUUUUUAAGGUAAACAUAAAUCCAAAUUGAGUUUGUAAAAGGAAUAUAUAAACUAAAACGAGCAUGUGAGCACACUGACACAUAGCAUGUGUACACACACAAGCACAUGUGUACCCGAAAAAAAAAGUAGUCACAUAGGCACUCACACACACAACAUGCGAGGAUGCCUGGCUGCAAAACAAUUGGCCACCACAUUGUUGCUAUCAAUUUUCUAGUCAAAACAUCUAGCUUUUCGCACAGAACUAAGAUCAAGAUGACAAUGAUCAUGAAAUUGAUCCUUAUUCAGAUUCGGCAUAGUUUGAUGAUUAAGAGGAUUAUCAAUAAAGAUUAACAACGGCAUGGCAUUUUCUUUCAUUUGUUUUUGUGGUCGCCACAAUGAUAGAAACUAAGAUCCUACUAAUUUACCUAGCAUUUUCAAGUGCUCUCUAGAGUCUGCACAUCCGAUGAGUUGCAGUCACUAGACUACAUCCAUUGGCCAAGAAAGAGUGCUAAAUCCAUUGGCCAAGAAAGAGUGCUAAAUCCAUGCUAGCAAAUUUCUGACCAUGAUGAAAUUGUUCAGUCAAAAUCUAAGCAAUUUUCCAGAAUUGGCUUCUUCCUUGUGUAUACUUGCUAAAUUUUUUAACUCACUAUAAUUUGUACUCUGAGUGGGAAGAAACGCUCACGUACAUUUAAAGGCAGAGAAGAGUCCUUAAAAAUCUUCAUGCCCAAAUGACAACAAACUCGAGAAUGUCAACAUAAUCUAGGCAAUUUUACAAGAUUCAUUCUUUGACCCCAUCAAGAAAUAUGAUCACAUCAUAUAAGUUAUCCCAAAACAUCGAUUUGAUUCUUUGAGUUGACCAAAUACUGCAAACAAACAGAUAAUGAAGUCUUGCAUAGCACUUUAGAUAAUACUAUUUACCACGAAAGGGAUUUACAGAAAUCUUUGGUGCUGGCUCAUUCUUUAUCUAUCAUAUAUUUCUAACGUAAUUUAGCCUUGUGCACUCCUAAAAGAACAAAAACAAACACACACAAUUUGAGUGAUUCUAAUUCGAGCACUCUAGCCAAUAUUCUACUCCAUAUGUAGUUUCAAGGCAAAGCCUCUAUAAAGAGGCACCACACACCUGCCGCUAGUAGUAAAUGAGCCCGAACCAACCUUUUCGAAACGUAUGGCGAUCCAAAUUGGAGAACAGAUAUUCCCUCUUAGUAUUCAGUUCUUGUUGAGCCGUAGCUAGGAUGAGCUAGGUAGUUACGCACUGCACUAAGAGACCAGGGACACUUGGGCACGACGUAUCUCGCGUUGAGCGACAUCAUCAAGACGUGAAAAACUCUAACCGAGCAAGACUUAAAAAAAAAAGAAAAAAACCAUCAUUGAAAAAGGGUUUCCUCCUCGAGCAAAAUUCAAAAGGAAAAGGAAGCUUAAUCUGGAAGAAAUUAGUCAUUUGCGUAGUAACGCCGAAGCAUCAUUCAACCUCCAUAUGUAAUGGUCAAUUGCAACAGUAUAUCAACCGUAGCUGCUGCAAUAUCUACAAUAACUCUCCCGUGCUAUCUAAAAUAGACUAAAGGCAGCUCAACAUUGGAGACUCCGAUAAAAGACAAGACAAUUGGAGCAAACGGAUCAUGGCCUUGCUCUGCCAUCACAGGCAAAGUAGAUGAUCACCAAAGAUCUAAAAUUACCAUCUCAAAAUAGCUCCAAAAUCCAAUCUUGAAUAAUAAUAAUAAUAACAAAAAAAAAAAAAAACACGAACUUCACGAGUCCACGAUUCAUCCUACGGACCCUUCUCCAUGUAUACAUCAAAAAACGAGACGGGCGACUGCCUCACGAUGGGGAGAAAUUACAAGUCCAAGAUGAAUCUUGCUACCGAAAAAUUCUACAUCCAUAUCCCAAAACAACAUGUCAACAACACCACAUAGCCCACUCUCCACAACAGUUUCCUUCAAUCAAGAAAUAGUUUUACCCAUUGUUGACACCUAAAUUUUGGCGAUCCGUUUAGUCAUUUAUCGCAUUAAAAAAUCAGGGAUUAAUUUUAACCCCAAAAAAAAAAAAAUUUAAUUCCAUAACAUAUGGUCAUUAGAAGCAUAUUUCAUUUAAUUGCAUAUUUGUUAGGCCGACGGUGAAUGGAUUUUGGUGAAUGGCUUUGAAUAUUGAAGCCAACAAGAGCAUUAAACUGUGGAUAAGUCGAUAAUUCCUCCAUGGUGAUUGAUAUUACACGGGUGUCCUAAAUUGUUAAAAGUCAAUUAAGAAAUUUCCAGCAUAUUGGCACCAACAUAUUUGUGCAUUUAAGGGAACGAAUGCAAAGGAAGGACAGCGUGUAAGCGGCCACCGAAUCGAACAUAGAGAAGCCCAUCCACGUGAAGGAAAAUUAUGCGCUUUCCCAUAAUUCGGUCAACGUGGGGAGCGAGAAAUUGACCAGCAUUAUUUUAAGAGGAAAGAUACGAGCAUAUGCACAAAGGAAAUUCGGAAGAUCAGCAUGAGAGGGGAAUGUUGGGCACGUUCUGCAUUGCGGGCAUGGAUUUGCAAAAAAUAUAUAUAUCGGCAUUCGAUCAAUAAAGAGGAAAGGAAAGAAAAUAUAUUUCAACGCAUGCCCAGAAGGAAACAGAAUAUGCUUUCUUUCCUCAUUGGUUUACGCCUUUUCAAUAUAAAUUGACUCAUUACGGGACAAAAGGGGGGGAUUCCAAAAUAUACAGAGAACACACGUGAGAGAGAGCAGAGAGAGGGAAACCUCGACCAGUUCUCGGCCGAGGUGAUCGUCCAAACCGGUGCCCACUUCACGGCCAGACCUGUGGCCGUGCCUCUGUCACCAACAUCGCCGUAUCGUGUUGCUGCCCUGCUGAGCUGUCGACGACAACCAAGCUAUUCCUUGCACGCGUGCCACCUGAAAAGCCGAUCGUGUUCGAGCUGCUGUGCUUGACUACGCUGCUGCUUUGGUUUCGUUGUUGCUGUGCGCUGGCACUUUUGCUACCUGACUCGUCGAUCCUCCACCGUUGAACGCUACCCCACCGAGUUGGCCGUCUUUUGUGCUUUAUUUUCAGGUUCCCGCGAGUCCCAGAGUUACUUGCGCACAUCUGAAUUACAUUGGUGACCGGCCCUGGACGUUCAAAUCUUCACGCCAACAACCCUCCUUUUUGCUGUUCAAGUCUUCUGGUGGACGUCCCCUGCUGUGCUGGUCAUCCUCGUUGACUUUGCUAAGCAAAAUCAGCGAAGCAUCGGUCACCACUCGAAAUUUGCCGUUGCUUACUGAGCGAGGCAGCAUCUUUGAGCAGCACGUCAUCUUGAACUGCCGCCCGUGAGUCAUCCCGCCAUCCGUCGUUUGACCGAACUUGAUAACGUGGUUCACGUGACGCCGAAUAUUAGGUAGGAAUCUUUUUUAAUUUGAUAUAUCCUUAUUGCCUAAUUUGUGGGAUUAUCUCGUUCGAAUAUUUAAAUGAUACCGUCAUAUCCACAAAAUAUCGAUUAGCCUUUUAAGUUGGGAAAUCUUCCUAAUUUCGCAACGUCCAUAUGAUUGACGGUCCAAUUUCAUGCUCGAAAUACGACCCGCAAUUGUACGGAAAAAUCACCAAUCCGAUCUCAUGCUCGAGAUAUGAUUCGUGAUUUUAUUUAAAAAUUGGCCAAUCCGAUCUCAUGCGCGAGAUACGAUUCGUCAAUUUAUUUCCCAAAAUUAAAUGGACAUUGAUGAUAUCUUGCUUGAUUUAUUGCCGUGCUAUCCUUGAUGCCUUUAUUUGUUUGUCCUCGUAAAAUAAAAAGCAUUUGAGUUAGAUUAGAUGCAUGUUAGGAUAUUACUUGUUUUAGGUUAUUUUGCAUGUCUAGAAUAGGAAAUUUAUUUAUUUCGAAUUUCUUAAAUAAAAAAUCAAAAACAUAAUUUAGGAUGUUAGAUUUCCGUUCCACUAGUUUAAAUUGCAUGUUUAAUUAUUCGGUAAUUAUUAAUUUCGAAAUAAAUAAUAAAAAAAGAAAAGGAAAAACAACAAAAAGUCAUCAUGCAUAUAUCAUGUAGAGUUAGGGGAUUCUUUGCACGUCAUUGCAUAUUAUGAUAGAAUGCAUGCUUAUUAGGAUAACAAAAACCAUGUGCACGUCAUAUAGAAUUAGGUUCAUACAAUGCACGUCAUUUAAUGAUUUUUGUUAGGUUCAUUUAAUUAGAAAUUACCCGUCAUUAGAACUAGGUCAUUAGGUUAAUUUAGAUUGCAUAUUUAAGUGUUGCAAUUCUUUAAUUUCGAAUCUCAUGGAAAAUACAAAAAAAAUUAUUUUUUAGAAUAAAUCCAUCUCAUGCUUCAGGAUAUAUUAAAUGUUUAUUUAUGUCAUAUCGCUUAGGUCAUAUAGCUAAGUCAUGUUGCCAUGCCAUAUCAUUUCAUGUUAAAUUAGUGAUAUGCAUUGCAUAAAGCAUGAUUCUCAUUAAUUAAGUGAAAAAAAAAAAGAAAUUGCGUGUUAAUUAGAAAUCAUAUUUAGGAUUGCUGAUGUGAAUUCUAAACUAAUAACGCAGAUGCUUUCGUUGCUACGAGGUAAGUCUUGCAAUUUAUUUAUUGCUUUACUUGGGUGUUAAAUUGGUGGUUUGCGCACCUGCAUGGUCACCUCACAUGUUAGGAAUUAAAAUCAAUCCAAACUGCUUGCCAAACAUUUUUCAAAAUAAAAAGAAAGGUACCGAAAGGGCGUUAGAGAAAUCUAGCGUAACCAAGUCCCCGUACCCAAAUCUCUGGUUCGUAGGAGUAAAGUAAAUCUCCCAUUAUUUUGCUUGGGUUUCUAAUCGACCCACCAAAAAUUUAAGCGACUCCUAAUUAAAAAUUAAUUGCAUGUUAAAAAUUUAAAUGAAAGUUGCGAAUUGGUAUGGGUUUGGGAGAGCCCGAGUUAAGUCUAGGCUUAACAAUCCAUUAGCUAAACCUUAGGUGGUUCACACCCCGAAAAAAAUUGGUCGCGACACCCAUCCUCUAAAAUCCGAGUAACUACGAACAACUCUUGCGACUUAAAGGCAUAAUUUCGACUACCCUCUAGUUUUAACAUUCGAAGCUCCAAUCUCAAAUUAUCAAAUUUCAAACUUGCUGCCCAAAUAGGUAGUGAGAUUUGAAUCUAGCCUAACACUACAAAGCAAGAACCGAACAAAUCGUCAACAGCUCUUCAGACCAAAAUUAUAUAUAAUUUUCUAUUCCAUCUAGUUUUCUGGUCUGAAUAUUCAGUGGUGGGUGCAGUUUGCAAAAAGAAGUGGGCUACUUACAUAGAAAAAAUCAUAUUUUGUUUUUGUAUGAUGCUUUACUUGCCUACGAACCUGAGAAUUGAUCAUCUCUUAGCUGAGUGAUAGUUUUUUGUGGUCAGCAAUAAUCAUAUAAUUGCACCGACUGGUUUGUUAUAUAUUGGAAAUAGCUAAAAUUCACGUGCAACAGUUUCUUACUAAGCAUAAAUUUGAUAUUGGGGAUUUUUAUAAAUGCCACUGAAAUGGAGAUAUUCUUCAAAAACAUUACUGUAAUUUGAUAGUUUGACCACAGUGUCCUCCAUGUGGAUCUGCUUAUUAUCCCAGCAGGAUAAAGUUUCUGGGAUAGUUUAUGUAUCAUUUAGAUUAGCGAGCAUGCUAGUCAAAUACCUUGAGCAGUUGGUUCUCUAUUAGUGGCUGGUGUCUGUUUCUUGUAUUAUACGAACUCUCCAUAUUGAAUGGAGCCUCUCAGCUUUAUUGAAAUCUUGGAAAAGUAAUAUGGUAUUCAUAGUGGUCCAUGAUGAAAAAGUUCUCACGGAGCAGACACUCGACAAAUUCCUUUCGGACAACAAGUAGAAACGAACGACGGAGGAACAGAGGAGAGAGGACCGAAGUACACGCAAUGCGUAUGGACUAAUCUACUGACACCAAUCGCAUCGAAACUUAGAGAUCAAGUCAGCAAAAUCGGCCGAAACCCUAAUCGCUCAUCCAAAAGGGAACAAACGAUCAGCUACAGUAAUCUCCAAACCAACCGUUGCUACCGUCGAAUUGAAGAAAAAAACAAAGGUAACGCUAUAAUGUAACUUAAAAUUCUAGAACUUUUUUUUUAUGUAUAGACCCUAGAAUUUCAAAUUUAAAAUUCUCACUCAAUUCUCAAUGAAAUUAUACAAAUUAUUUAUGGUUAGAAAGAUCUCGACGUUUAGAACGAAAACCCUAUGGUUUUAGGAUCAAUUGAGCAAAAAAUCCACAUGAAAAAAUAAUACCUAUAUUUGGCUCAAAGAGGAAAAUUUUGAAUUUUGUUCAUAAAAAAAAUUUGGGUUCUACAAUCAUAUAUGACUUGCUCUGAUACCACAUGUAACAAAUUAUUCACAUAAUUUAACUUAUUAAUUAAGAAGAAUCGGAUCUAUAUAUGACUAUAAAACACCGAGAUCAAUAAGCAUAGCGAAAUUAAAGCAUACCAUUGCUUCACUUGAAGAAAAAUAAAUUACUCUGAUACUAGAGAUCUAUCAAAAUGCCAAAUCUUUCUCUCUAUGACCUAUUUCAGUAUAACAGCUUUUAAUGAGAUUAAAGCAAUUGAUAGGUAUAACCUACAUUUUUAUAGAGAGGAACCUAGCAAAUCCUAAUCAAUAGCGUGUCAACUAGCCCUUCCCAUUACAAGAUUCAGUUAAACACAAUUGUCUACACUUUGCUGCUCAACUAAGCCCGUUAUUAAUAGAUGCCAAUACCCAAUUCAAUUAUAUUACUAUAGGGUUCAACAAAUAUCGGAAUAUUCAUUAACCCGAUUAUUUAAACUAGAAAAUUAAUUAAUUAAUGUAAUCCCAUAUUAUAGAAAAUUUCCCACAUCCAGCUCUCCAGUUCUCAAGAUAAUAAUAUUUGACUACCUGACUAUUUGAGCCAACUUUAACGGAUUGAACCUAUGGUAGACGUAAUCAGCAUUAUAUUUAACCUCUGUCGCAUUAUCUUAUUUGACAAACCAUGUCGAUAUUUUCAUAUUGGGUUUAAAAAAAAAAUUUGCUUUUUAUAAUAAAGGUUCAAAUUUAUUUAGCUUUCUUUUAGAUUCCAAUUUCUAACCCACCCAGGAGCACAAUCCACAGGAGAUGCACAAGAAGCGUAAGACGCUCUCGCUUUAUUAUUAUUUUUUCUUAAAAGGCAGGAUUAAAGCUGAUUUUUAGUCAUCAAAGUGUGUGAGUCAAAAGUAGCAAAGUCACUUUCUCUGUAAUGUAAUGGAAAUCACGCGUCCGCCUCCUCCUUGGCUCAUCCAUUUCCCGUGGAACUUACGCCAGUGUUCAUUCAAUUUAUCUUCGGAAAAUUUUAGGUGCACACUUCUGCUUUACACCAUUUUUGCACUUGAUUAUGAUAAUGUAUCAUGACAUCACUCCGCAUUAUGAUGUUUCGGUACUUAAUUACUAUGACCCGUCCUAAGGUUGUAUAUUACGACAUUAGCGUGUGUAUCGUCUCUUUUAUCUAUUUGUCCGGAUGCAUCUUUAGAAAACCAGAAACUAGGAGAUCACCAUUAAGGCUACUCUAUCCUCUGUUCGUUCUUCUCCUAUUCGUCCCUUCAUGCUUUCUCUAUAUUUGGCUAUCUCUUUAAGGCUUGAAUCCUGUUCAUCCUUCGCUAGGUACGCAAACAACGCGAGGAAGCGAGGAAGAUUAGAGUUUGGACAUUGCUUCCUAGCAAGCGGAUUUCAAUUAGAGAUGAAUGCAUUGGAUCAUGAAUCUUAUUGGGGAAAUCAUUGUCUUUAUUCGGAAAUUUCAUCUCUUUCCUCGAAUCCCACAACACAUAGGUGGGUCAUCCAUGUGGGCACUGUUUGACAUCUUUUGUGAACUUAUCUAUAUUAUGUGGACUUUCUCUUCAUAAAGAUGCCGAACCUACUACCAUUUGCAAAAUUACCUGAUUCUUUAGACCAAAAAAUAAAUGCUAUGUUAGGUGGUAGUGAGGGUCCUUUCUGUCGGUCAUGAGACAAAUUUCUUCAACAAAGUUGUAAUCUUCUAUGAAAAGUGCAACUGCAAGUUGGAAUAAAGUACCCAAAAUCUCACUGAUAAGUAUAAACAGAUUCAAUACCUUUGAAAGUGCGAUUGCUAGGUGAUUUAAAAAACCAAUGUUGAUAAGGACUUUUUUUUGAACCGCUUAUAAGAUGGACUUGAAAUCAGAAAACUGAUUAAACACUUAAGUUUCAACUAGAUAAAUUGUUGGUAAGAGGUGACUUAUCCCUCAUCGAAAGGAUGUAAGUGCCCAUGUUGAUAAGAUUUAACAUUAAUCAAUGAUCAUUAUUUUUUAUUUAUUAAUAUCCAAAUCAAUAAUUAUAAAGAAUUAACUAUAGUGUCCUAUUGAAAAGAUUUACAGUUAUUUUAUAUUUAUAUUUAUUUAAUUUCGAAUUUUGUUACUUUGGCUAGCGAUUAUCUCAGAUAUUAUAUCUAUUCAGACAUAAUUUCUUAAUUUUUGAAAGGUCGUGUAUCUUUGAAUAUAAUUUCUUAUUUUUUUGCUAUUAAUUACUUAACGUGUCUAUUCAAUAACAUCUUCUUCCAUUUUAGUUUCUUCCAAAAGAAAAAUACAACCAUUAUUUUCUAUUGUUUUCUUUUGAGAGAUCCUUCAAAAAUACCUAAAUUGUUAUUUGAUAUUGUCAUUGAGAUUUUGUUUUAUGUAGGAGGAUUUUUGCUAAUAACCACGAGUACUAUUAUGGGCAAAUAAUUCUUAAAGAAAGUAUUAUCACGCUUUAAAGUUUGAUUUCAUUGUUCUUCUCCAUCAAUGGAUUUUUUUCCAUAAUAUAUACUUUGCUUGCAAAUUGACGUACCUCUUUUCUUAGGAUAAGAAGAAGAAAAGGACAAAUUGCUGCGAUCAGAAAAAAUUGGGCAGGACAAGACUAACUUGAGAUUUUUUCACAUUAUUUAGGAGCUUCAUGCACUUGUGUGAAGGGAAUACAUUUUCUGCAUCCUAAACUUGACGGGAUUGUGCUUUUUUUGUCCUAGAAGUUAUAUUUUUAGGAGAAUUAUCAAAAAGUCCUAAAUUUAUUGCGAUUGUGCCAAUUAGAUCAUAUAGCUUUUUUUUUUGUUAAUUAAAUCAUAAACUAUUAAGAUUGUGCCAAUUUAGUCUAUCUUAUCAAUAUUGACCAAAAUUGCCUACAUGGAUACUGGUUAUCCUACAUAGCAUGGUUGAUACUGACAUGGAUAAUUUUUAAUAAUUUUUAAUAUUUUUUGAAUUUAUUUAUUUAUUUAUUAUUAUUUUCUUUUUCCCUUUUUCCUUUUUUUUCCUCUUCUCUUCCUUUUUCCUCUAGUCAGUCGGCGGACUUUGGAAAUCAGUGAGAGGUGAGGGUUAAUAGGGGCAAGCUUUGCCCGCAUCUAGCAAGGUCGGCCUCGCCCAACCAUUAUGAGGCCAACCUCACCCUCUGUGACAUCCCAAUUCUAUUUUUAAUAAAUUGAGACAGGCAUUUCAUUGGCACAUAUAUAGUUCUUUUCCCUGAACUGAUCACUCAUGAGAUAACUAGUCUAUCAGGUGAAACCGUUAAGAAAUUCUAAUGCAUCGGACUCGAGAAUUUGACUAGGAAACGACCUUGCCACCGAGUUAAUCUGCAAGGGUCAUUACGGCACAGUUAAAAAUCGAUUAGAGAUCGGAGAUAGGUCGACUUGACAGAGGCAUGUGAUUGAGUGUGGGUGAUUCCACUAGAUCGCACAAUUCUUGUCGAUCGGCACUAGACUGGCUUUUCUGUCGUUUGGGUACACUGUGUCCGUGUUUGAAACCUUGAGAUUAUCCCGACAACCGAGAGUCGCCAAUGUGUCAAAGAUGUACAUUGUGGCUUGAAUUGAUCAACAACAGGUCAAAUGCACGAAAAUUUCUAAAAGCUACCCGGUAGAUUAGGACGCGCUAGUAUCGUGCCAAAGUGAAAUUAAUCGUGAAAUUGAUAUCGAAUUCAGAAAUUGGAAGUCAUGGUGUGUCACAAAUCAUUUUAGGAUCAUUGACUCAUCUUCGGAAGAUUUUUCAUACAAUAAGAGUUUUUUAGCAAAGUAAUCAAAGCAUGGCUAAUUUGGUUCGGAAAAUUGGUAGGCUCGCUUUUGGCUGUACUUUUGAGAUCUAAGAGGGUUCUAUGGUCAAGUGAUUAUGUGAAUUGAAGUGUGGUGACAUUGGAUUAAUUUUAUGGACUUCAAUUGGACUCAAUUGGAAGAGAAUUGAAUGGAAUUGAAGAAAUUAUCACACAAGAUUCUAUGCCUAGGCGGAAAAUGAAAUUGAACUUAUUGGAUUAAGGUUGUGGGAGGUUGGAGUUAGUGGAUUGUGACAUCACAAGUGAUGUCAUGGGGGUAGGGCAAGAUUGGCUAGGAUGGCGACACAUGGAGGGUGGGGGAUUGAAUCCCAAAAACGUGGGAUGUCACUUCCCCCUUGUCUCCAUCAUCUUUAAGCUUGGAGGAGAGAGAGAGAGGAGGAGCGACCGUUCGAACCAGGCCAGCUCGACCCCCUUUGUUCGCCUCCUUCGCUUGCUCACCGUCCGCUCGUUUGCCGUCGUCGUCGUCACUGCCGCGGUCGUCGCUCGUCCGUGUGUUGCUUGCGUGAUGGCUUGUCGCUCCGUCAUCUCCCUUUCGCUCGUAAGACCAAGCCCCGUCGACCAGCCGCUACCCUUGGUCGUUCGCCUUCGCCGGAGCCUCCUUCGUUGUCGCUGUCGUCGCCCGACACCACCCCGAGCAACCGCUGUCUUUCCUCCACCGUUCCUCCUUUCGAACUACCACCAAGCCACCUCUGUUGACCUUUAACCAACAACAAGCAAAAAUGGGUUUCUCAGCUCGGUUUUGGCCCGUUUUGGUUGGCUUCCCGACCCCGAAUGCUUGGCCCAUUUUGAGGAAAGUUGUUCUCCUUGGCGUCCCCGUCGUUUUGGUCCACUUGGCUCGCUAAUCCGGUGAGUUUAGCUCACUAAACCUUUAUUAGAGGGUUAAUGAUACUUUGGGUGUGCUUAGUUUAUGUUAAGUGUCAUUAGGUGGUUAGUUUAAUUUAUUUAAGUGUAAAUUAUAUUAAGGUGCUUAAUUAACUUAAAGUGUGUUUAAUUUAAGGUUAAGUGAAUGUUUAUAUUAAUAUAAACCUUGAUGCGACUUAAAGGAAAUUAUUUUUGAUUUAUUUAAGUAUUUGUAAAUUAUUAAAUAAUUUAAUAAUAUAUAUUUACUCAAAAUUAUUAAAAUGUUAUUAUUUAAUUAAUUUUCGGAAUAAAUUUAAUUAUUUAUUAAAUUCCGAAAAUUUCAUCGGGAUCUUAUUUUCUCAGAAUCUCGUGCUAAUCGUUACUGUGUAUUCGGAUUUUGAAAUUGAUGGGUGGAUAUUAUAAAUUGAGUGUAGAUUGUGAAAAAUAUGGAUAUUAUUUAAUUAAUUUUCGGAAUAAAUUUAAUUAUUUAAUAAAUUCCGAAAUUUAUUUUGGGACCCUAAAUUCUUAGAAUUUCGUGCUGAUCGCUACUGUGUAUUCAAAUUAUGAAUUUAAUGAUUAGAUAUUACAAAUUGAGUGAUGAUUUGUGCAAUUGAUUAUUGAAUUGUUGGGUGCUGGUUGAAAGACUCGGUCGCAGUAGUGGCUGCACCAACUGGACCUUUAUUCCUUUAGAAAUGCCGUCAACAGAGUGACGUGGCUCGGGUCGCAGUAGAGGCUAGGCCAACUAGACCCAUGCUCUUUCGGGAAUGCCGUCGACGUAGUGACGAAGUUGCGCUCCAAGGGGGGGAGGCGAUGCAUGGCAUUAAUGUCAGUAGAUAGCCGAACUGCGAGUAGGUUAUGCCAUUGUGUGGCAGUGAAUAAUAAUUGGAAUGCGUGCUAAGUGCGAUUGUGAUUUAUAUGAAAGUGAUGGCAUUCCAAUUGUUUGAAUUAUUAUUACUACUUGAGAUUGUGUGAUACAAAUUGUGCUAAUUUGCAGGAAUGAAUUAAGACGAGAUAAGUCUUCUGUGUGAUGUAGCUAGGCCACCCAGGGUGUAUUUUCUUUCUAAUAGGGGUUUAGGGGGUUGAACUUGCCGAGACAAUGUCUCAUCCCGGUUGUGGGAUUAAAAUUUCAGGUCCCUGGUGGACGGAGCGGCCAGAUAACUUUGAUUGGCCUUGAGGAGUUGUAGAGGUGAAGUCAUAAGGAUUGAAGAACGUGUCCUGCUAGUUGGUUUUAGGAUAGUUCCCCUUUUGUCGAGCUGGUCUAUUUUGUAGACAGUCUAGUGUUGUAUUUAAACCUAUGUGUUUGUAAAUGAUUAUUUGGUAUUGUGAUUGAUUGCCUGCUUUUUUAUCCCAAGUUAAAUGUAGAUUUGUUUCACUUCCGCAUGCGUAAUGAAAUGAAUGGGUCGGCGACGUAUCCUGGGAACGUCGCAUUUGAAUGACCAUGGCGGGAUGUUGGCGUGCUCAAGAUUCGGGGUGUGACACCCUCACUAGUGGUUGGUGGGAACGAGCUUUGCUAGGGGUCAACAAGACUGCAUUGGCCCUUGCCUCUAGUUUGGCGAUUGGCUAGAGGAAGAAGAAAGGGAAGAAAGAGAAAGAAAAGAAAAGAAAUGAAAAAGAAAAGAAUAAAAAGAUAAAUAAAUAAUUCCAAAAAUAUUAAGAUAUUAUUUAAAAUUGUUCACUUCAGUGCUGGUAGUGCCAUGUAGGAUGGCCAGCCUUCAUGUGAGCGAUUGCAAGCCAAAAUUGACUAGAUAGAUUGAAUUGACACAAAUGCAAAAUGUCUAGGAUUUAAUUGGCCAAAAAAGAAAGAGUUUAAGAACGAAUUGACGUAAUUGCAAUAUGUUUAUAACUUUUUCGGUAAUUUUUCCUCCAUUUUCUACAGCCCCAAGUUGAGCAAAAUUGAAUCACAUUAGUAAUGCAUGUCUUGAAAGAUCUCAUCCCAAAAACAAAAUGAGUAGAUUGUGAAAAAUGAAAUCAUGGAUUAUUUUUUUUUUCUGAACCACAAGAGGCAAUUAGAAAAUGAGCCCAUGCCUCAAUGAUAUUGGUAGAUCUUGAGUGAGAUCCGCAUGAUUUAACAAUUGUAAUGCAUUGAGCUCCCACUAAGCCAAUGUCUCCAAUGAUUUCUCGAGCCCAUUCCGGUAAGAUAAAUUGAAUAAACGAAGGCCUCUAUUUUCCAAGAGCCGGUCGCUUUGCUGGGGAAAUGAACAGUAGUUCCCCAUAUGACUAUGCAAUUAAAAGAAAGAUGUACAUGCUAACGUAUAUCGUAAAAAUAAUUUGGACCAUAAUUAGUUUUUGAGCGAUGCAUCUUAAUUUUUCAUUAUUCUGGAAACCUCAAAGCAUUUAGUCUUUUAGUGGGAAUGAGAAGAAAAAAGUCCAUCUUAAGUGCGUUUAUUUCUUAAAAAAUGAAUGAUUUGAAAAUUAUGUUUUUAGAAGUGACUGCUUCUAUUAUUUGAAAUAAUAGAUGAAUGAAAAUUAUUUUUAUCAUACAUGAAAAUAUUUAGAUAUAAAUUAUUAUCGAUAAUGAAAAAAAUUUCUAUUGACUAAUUAUUUCAAGUGAUACAAGUGAUCAUUUUUAAAAAAAUAUUUUUCAAAUUAUUUAUUUUUCGCUAAACAAACGAAAACUUAGUUGAAAGAGAAAGCUAAUGGAGUCCAGGAGCGAUUCCUCUUCUAGAUUAGGAGGCCACCAUGGGCAUUGCACAAAUAGCCCCGAUCGAUCUUUCAAUGCUUCAACAUUUCUUUAAUCUAAAUAAAUGACUACCCAUUCAUAUAUAUUUCCAAAUGGACAGGAAACCCUACCUAUGUAACCAAAUUCCAUUAUUCAAUCUAACAAGUGGAGUUUAGUUUCAUUCACUCCAAAUUUUGCCUUCCAAGCAAGUGAAAAUCUAGGACUAUUUCAUUCACUCUAAAUUAAAGUCUAGAUAGAUAAAAUUCAUUUCAUUUUGUGUUUGCUAUUCAGUCUUUCUUAUAUGCAAUACGUACCGGUAAACCAUCCUCCUCCUUGAUUUAUGGGCUUCGCACAAAUAGCCCUGAUCGAUCUUCCAACGCCUCAACGUUUUUAAUCAAAAUAAAUCACUAACCAAUUCAUAUAUAUUUCCGGAUGAAGAGGAUAUAAUUUCUAUUAUUCAUUCUAAUAAUGGAAGUUUGGUUAAUUCACUCUAAAUAUUUUGCCUUCCAAGCAAGUGAAAACGUAGGACCUCACUAAUUUCAUCCUUUUGCUGGUAGGGUUCUUGAUCCUCAAAAAACUCUGAACAAACAUUCAUCUUUUCUCUAGAUAAUGUUUUCUUUGCCUUGAUUACAUCCUGGAUUUCAUUUUUUUUUUUUUCCUUUCAGAGGGGCAUUUAUCCAUUAUGCACGCCCGCCAAUUACUAAAAGCACCAUUAGGAAAGAAAAUUAUACUACGUGAAAAAAUUGCAUUUCAUAUUCUUUCCUAAAAUUUAUUUCAUUUAUCUACAGUAUAUAAUCUUUAUUUUUAAAUGCAUCUAAUUCUUUAUUUCUUUGACGAAACACAUAGUGGGUAAACCGUCAUCCUUAUAAACUACAAAUUCCACCAUAUUAUCAUGUUGUAUUUUUUUUUUCUAUUUGUAAUUUGAGGUAGUGUAUUAAACAUGUUAACAGAAUUGAUUCUACUUAGGAUACAAACAAAAACCAUUUGGCUAUGAUGGAAUAUUAUAGAACAAUAUAAUUAGUCAAAAUCAUGAUAUUUUAGUGUAGUUGGUUCAUAAUAUCCGAUCACUAAUGACAACCAACCUUAACGACUGUUUACUUGUUAGUUUUCGCUAAUCCCGGUGGAAUGAGCUGUAAGAAAGGCAUCCUUUUUACGACAAUCUAGCGUCAAUUUGACAAUAUAUGUAAUAGGAUUUUCUAAUUAGUUUUGUCUGUUUGGGAGGUUCGCAUCAAGGCAUCUUCAAGCGGGAUCUUUGAUAACACAUUGUCUGUACCGCAAUUGAAAGGUUUAGCUAUUACUUUAUUUCACAUUAACAAAGUGUCCUGCAAUCUAUUAACGAAAUUGUACAUAAUCCAUUUCAACAUCUUUUACUGCCUCCGUAUUCGUACAAUCCUCUCGGGAUAUAAAGAAAAGGAAGAACCCACUCAUUCCGAAAAUAAGAAAUGCGGGGCGUUCUCCUCAUCAACCUCUCCACAUGUAGGUGAUUAUGAAGGUGGAACCUAUUACUAAGAGAACCAUUAGCAAAAAAGUUACACUACUGUGUAAAAAUUGCAUUUCAUAUAUACUUCCCCUUCUGUUUUAUCUUUACUAUUUACAAGUUAUUGUUUAAUGCAUCUUCUUAUGAAUAUCUUUCUUGACGAAACACGUUAUCAGUACACUGUCAUCCUCAUGAAUUACAAUGUCCCUCAUAUUAUCACGUCUUUAUCUUUUUGUUUGUAAUUUCAGGUAGUGUGUUAAACAUGUUAACACAAUUGAUUCCACCUAGCAAAAAGAAAAAAAUGAAAAAAAAACCAUUUGUUUAUGAUGCAAUAUUAUAGAACAAUAUAAUUGGUCAAAGUCUUGAUAUUUUAGUAUAGUUCGUUUAUAGUAUCCAACCAUUAAUGACAAACAACUGAAACAAGUAUUCAUUGUUAGUUUUCUUUUCUAUUUUUUUUAAUUAGUGGAAAAAAGCAAUUCAAGUCAAGUGUGCUGGAUCUCAAAUUUCAAUCAAAGCUUCACCUACCCUUGCUCGAAGCUUCAGAUCUAUAUAUUUCAUCGUUCACAUAGGCCAACUAUAAUGCCUUGUGAGUGUGUAAAAAGGAAAAAGAAGGAUUGACCGCAUUCAUCUCAUUAUGUAAUCAGCCGAAUUUAAUAUAAGACCACAACUCAAUUAUAUGUUAAUUGUGCAAACAAUGUUGUCAUAAUUGUCCAACUUGUGCAAGGCAAGCACAAACAAAACCACUGAUAUUUACUAUCUAUCGAUUGUCAAUUGCCUUGAUAAUCCAUAUCCAUAUGCUGUAGAUUCUUUGGCCACUGUUGAUAUAUCAAAUGCCCGAAUAUGCUUGUCACUCCCUUCAAAUUGCAAUACAAAUUCUCACCCAAUUCCACUUUUUGCAAAAACGUCCGCAUCUAAUCGUCAAUCAACCUUAAACAUCUUUAACAAGUGGUGACUAAGCAUGAAUUUGGUGGUUGUCUUCUUAUUUUCUGAUCAAAUAAGUUUCUUUAUCGCAAGUUGACAACUUUAUGCCAAUACAAAUGACACCAUCGUUAGGUGCUAACAUGCAUAAACAAGGGACCUUUGUGAUAUAAUAAAUCUUAUCUGACAUUGAUUCUGCACAUCCGUCCUGCAAAAAUAGAGUAGGCGUUAUCAAAAUCUCAUGUUUAUUAUAUAUAUAUAUAUUUAGGUCAAAAAAUGACAUUUUAUUUAUAUCAUAAAUGGGUGAGGAUCCAGCAGCUCCCAGGAGUGGGCAUCAUUACAUAGCAGGGCCCAAACUCAAAGGGCUUGGGGUGGAGAAGAAAGCCAAUUGGACGGUAAUGUCUGUUUCCUCUGCUCGCGCGGCUCAGUCUGCAACGGCAUUUUCGGUUCUUUGACAGGAAUGAAGGCCCACCAGCGGUAAGUUCCGAAGGUCUUUGCACUCUGUCCAUACAGCACGUGUGUCCCAGUUAAAGUCUCCCGCGUACUUGAGAGAUCUUACCAGACUUUUGACAGUCGGGACUCCACCGAAACCACACCCAUCUGCUUCUUCUUGAUGUACUUCAGAGCUUCUAACAGAGCUACGGUUUCCAGCUGAGCAAUGGAAGCCGCCCGAACUGUUUUGGUGAAAUCGUCCACAGGGCGGCCUUCGAAGUCACGGAUGAUGCAGGAUAUCGCGCCUUCCAUCAACCCUGCACAAAUCAACCCAUCGACGUUGAUCUUCAUGGUCCCUGUCGCUGGAGCUACCCAAAUCUGAGGUAUCUCGGUUUCGUCUGACUUUCUUGCUUGAGGGUGUUGAAAGGCCCAUUUUCCAUAGCUUUUCUGCUGAAAUCGGGCAAGAUCUACUAUUUUGCAGGCAUCCGGCUGACUUCCCCGAUAUAUAUAGUUAUUUCGCCCCUUCCAAAUUUGCCAGAGGAAGUUUGAAAUACCUUCCAAGGAAGGUAAUUGAGUGUCUUUCCUUAUAAAGAGCGCCAACCACGCAUCAAUUCGGGUGACUUCCUUAUAUUAGUCAGUAGAGAAAAUGGUGACCAACGAGGGACACUAUUGCUCGUUGGUUUUUUUUUUCAUCAUUAAUAGAAUAAGCAAGUCAAGUCAAGAAGCAGCUGCAUAGAAUCCACGCACCUUCCAUAUAAUGCUGCGAAAUUGCUCUCCUGUUCUUUUAUUAGUAGAGAGUGCUGUGUGUUGGUAAUAAAACGUGGAAGGCCGAGAUCGGUGGAAAACAGCAGUGGCUGGAUACUUUUUUUUUUAGCACUCCUCAAAUAGUCGGUCACUCCUUGCUCCUCUUCUCUGUUUUCCUGCUUUGAUUGCUCCAUUUUCUCCAGAUUAGGGUGUGUGAGAGCUCUUGUAUUUUUGUUUGAAUUAAUGUUGCUCCCAAUCAAAUUCUGAGAUACAUUUCUGCAAUUUGCAGAUCCGGGUCUGAUGUGAAUCGUUGCGGAAGGAUCGUUCUACGAAGGCCCAGAUGGUGCGAAUUGCAAACCUCGACCUCCAAUCAAACCUGUGAUUGGCAACCUCGGUAUGAACGUGACCUGUUGACGAACACGUGUCAACCAACCAACGUUAUAGACGCCACGAGCGAAAGAAUUCGCUAUCUCGCUCGAUAAGUCGAAGAGAAUCUUGAUUAGGUCAAGUCCUCAAAAGAACGGUAAAAAGAGAACCUCUCAAUUCUUUUCCUCCAAAAAAAAUAAAAUAUCUUCGUCCUCAAAGAAAUUUGGCAAAUCCUUUAUAUAGGCUGCCACACAAACCCUAAAAACCAACCCUAAAAAUCUAAUGCGAUAUAUUCUAAAAUAUUCCUAUUUUAGAAUAUUCUUAAACAAGAAUAUAUAUAUAAAUUGACUUGGUCAAUUAUUUGGUGACAAGAUAAUUAAAUUGCACCAAGAUUUCCAAGAUUCUUCAAGAUUUGAUCCAAGGUCAUCUUCACGCCAAAGAUCACGAACCAUGACGCCAACAGCUUGCUUGAAUUGUUUGGCCCGCGCUCGAGUAAUCGAACCAGUAGGAAUAGACAAUGGGUCCCUAGCACCUCCUCCUCGAUAUGACUCGAUGUCCACAUCAGGGUCUGUGAAAUCUGCCUUUCCUCUAGAGCUCUGCUUGAUCAAUCUCCUACUUUGAAAGAAAAUAAAAGGUAUUUUUUUUUGUCAAUCACUGCAUGAUGUACAUCCAAACAAGAAGAAGGGAAAUGAAGAGUCCCUUCUCUUCCUUAUGGUCCAACUCCUUUCUUUUCUUUUCCCUUCAUUUCCCUCUCAACUUAAAUUGCCAAACAAAGUGGAAAAGAAAAGAACCCAAUCAUUUAGAAGAUCUGAAUUCCGGGGCCUCUUCCUCAUCGACCCGCCUUGCAUGGAGGACAUUACAAAGGCGGAGACAAACAGCAGAAAGGGAAUGACUUCGAAGUGCUCUUGAGCACUCCUCAGGUAAUCAAUGACUCCUUACUCUUCUCUUCCCCUCUGUUUCCAGCUUUGGUUGCUCCAUUUUCUUCUGAUGACUUGUGUGAGAGUUUUUUUUUUUUGAAGUAGCUCCGAAUUGAGUUCUGAUGAGUUUUUGAUCUGGGAUUAUAUAUAUGUAUGUUUUCUGUUUCCUGCUUUCUUUUGAGUCUCUGCUUCAUCAAUCUCUUUUACUCUUUGAAUUAGUAUAAUCCUCUCGAGGUGGAAAAAGAAAAACCCACUUAUUUAGAAGAUUCAAUUUACGAGGCGUCUUCCUUAUUCGCCUCUGCACAUAGUGGUGACUAUGGAGGCAGAACCAAAAAGUCAAAAGCAAAAGGUUACGAAGUAUAUAUGAACUUUAGAGGGCCAGACACCCGUAAGGGUUUCGUCGAUUAUCUCUAUACUAACCUUGUCGAUGCAGGAGUUCACGUGUUUAGAGACGAAGAGAUCUCUAUUGGUGCAAAGAUUGGUUUCGAUUUUCCUUUCGUUAUUGCACAGACUAAGAUCUCGAUUGUGAUUCUCUGAGAACUUGGCUUCCAGGGCAUGGUGCCUUAAGGAGCUAGUUCAUAUAUUAGAGUGCAGGAGAAGCAGAGGGCAACUAGUGUUGCUGUUGGGAAUAACGGAUCCCCAAAAACCGGAUUCAACACUAAAUCGAACCCCUAAAUCAAUGCGGAAGCGAAGCCCGGGAAAAACACGUAUCACCGAUCCUAAAGCACACCACGGAAUUGAGCGUACCUUGUUAGCCACAGAUUAAACACCAAUGCCGAAGAUCGAGGAAGAAAUUCUAACCCCGUUCAAUCCGAUGACGUCGAUUGGCCUUGAAGGGAAGACGGGUCGCCUUAAGCAUUUUGUCUUUUUCUUUUGGAGGGAGAGAAUAAACGUACGUGCAUUAAUUGAUCCAAGAGGUGUCUUCUCUCUCUCUCUCUCUCCUCCCUUUUAUACCUUCCCCCAUCCACGGGCCCUAUUCUCGUGGGCCAGGCUUUUUGGGCCCAACUUGGGCGGACGGGCCUUAAGCCCAUCUCAUAUAAAACCAUCAUCUCCCACUCGCACAUGGUGAGCCGAACAGAAUUCUCUUUACCUCUCUUCAACAUUCAUAUCGGUGAAUAAUCCGUGCGACCAGCAUACUUUGAGAGCUCGUUACUAUACAUCUGUUAGGAAUAUAUAGCAGCUCAUAACGGGCAUCACAUCCUGAGUAGAUUUAGUAUGCAGUACCCUAGAUCGAUUGAUCACAUUUAUAUCUCUCUUGAUCUCUUUCAAACAAUGAUAUAUAUAUAUAUAUAUAUAUAUAUAUAUAUAUAGUAUUCACAAUUAUAAUUAUCCCAAAGACAAUCAUAAUUGGUUAACCGGUGAAUACAAAACUAUGAUGUGAUUCUCCAAAAUCGAUCUUCCUCUUUCCUUCAAACUCUCAAUUUCAGUUCAGCUUGCUUUUCUAGAAAUGCCCCAUUAGAUUGAAUCAACUCAUGACCAUUGGCAACAUCCUAAGAUAGCAAACACUAAAUAGAAAUCUUGAGAAUAAGUAAGAGUCAUGAGGGGACCAAAAAUUGAGGAACUCUUUUCCUCAAGAGCCUCACACGACAUAAAAGUUGAGAUCAAACUUUUGUCUCUCUUAUUGGUCGUCUCAUGCAUACGUAGUAUGAAAUACGUAUUACGGUAAUAACUCCUUUCCCAUGGAGCGUAUGUCUACACCUUCAAUACCGUACAGAUGAUAGUUCAGACAUACCCAAUGUCUAACUUGAGUUCACGUAUCUACUCAACCAUAAAUUCAUCAGAACUCACAUCUGGCAUCAUAGACAGAUAAAGUAAAAUAUGUGGGUUAUUUUACUUUCGGACAUAGUUAGUAUUAUGUCCUCAUCUUAACACUUAGUUAAGGCGACAUACAUAUUUUAAGCUUGAGCUCUCGAUUAUCACCUAGAUAAUAAGCUUAAAAACAGUCUCAUCUCUAUUUAUCGCACAGUAAAUAGAGGCGAUUACCCGUGUGAGUGGGCUAAUUUUAUAUCUGUCCGACAUACUUUCUCAACUUAAAAUAAUAUACUUAGUAUUAAGAUGCAUAAAGAUCAAACAAAGAUUCAUAGGCAUUAAUGAUGAAAAACACAAAUUCAUCAAAUGUGAACACUUCGGGGAAAUUACAAUCCAGUACAUCAGACUCUACGCAAUCCUAGAGAUUUCAUAUGGCCACAAAACACAUCUCUAGGUAUUGGCUUUGUCAUAGGAUCUGCUACCAUUCUAUGCGUAGUAUGUACUCUAAGUUCACAUCUUUUCGUACAAUCAUAUUCUUGACAAAAUUAUACUUGGUAUCUAUAGGUUUGGUCUUGCCAUGAUAUUUUGGAUCUGUGGUGUACACUCUUGCUGCUUGGCUAUCAUAAUUAACCAAUAAUGAAUCUGCAGCACUUCCAAUAACACCUAAAUAAUCCAAUAAAUCUCUUAAGCCAAACACCUUCUUAUACUAUUGCUGAUAAUGCCACGAACUCAACUUCUAUCGUGGACAAGGCUAUACACUUUUGUUUCUUACUGCUCCAACAUAUGGUGCCAUUAUUCGGUAAGAAAACAAACCCAGAGAUAGAUUUUCUUUCAUCUAAAUCUCCUCCUCAAUCAUCAUUAGUAUAGCCUCAGAGUCGCAGAUCCUUUACUUAAUGACUUAGCGUAUAAUCAGCAGUCCCCUUUAGAUAUCUCAGUAUUCUCUUAACGGCUUUCCAAUGUGCUGGACCUGGAUUGGAUUGGUAUCUACUCACCAUUCCAACUGCAAAACAUAUGCCAGGUCUUGUACACAUCACAACGUUCAUCAAGUUCCCAAUAGUACUUGCAUAAGGAACAUGCUUCAUUUGUUCCUUCUCUUGUGGAGUCCCUAGACAUAGUCUAUGGCUCAACCCUUCACCUUUUGCAAUAGGAGUGUCUAUGGGUUUACAAUCUUGCAUACUAAAUCGUUCAAGAACUUUGUUUAUAUAAGUUUCUUGCGAAAGAGACAACGAUCUCUUCGAACGAUCUCUUGAAAUCUUAACUCCAAGAAUGUAUGCAGCCUCACCCAUAUCCUUCAUCUCAAAGUUGGAAGAUGACCAACUCUUGACAGUAUUAACAAACUCCAUAUUGCUUCCGGCAAUCAGUAUAUCAUCAACAUAUAAUGAUAUGAUCACAAAUUGAUCCUUGGAUCUUUUGAUAUAUACACAAUGAUCCUCAUUUAUUAUUGUAAAGUCAUAUGCCAUUAUGGCAUUAUGAAAACGUAUAUACCAUUGUCUCAAUGACUGCUUAAGGCCGUAUAUCGAUCCCAAAAGUCGAUAUACAUUUUUCUUGUUGGCCUUUCACUAUGAAACCAACAAGUUGUUCCAUAUAUUUCUUCCUCUAAUUCUCCAUUGAGGAAACCAGUCUUUACAUCCAUUUGAUGCAACUCAAGAUCCAUGCUAACCACUAUUGCCAGAAUAAUGCGAAUCGAGGUAAAGCUCACUGCAGAAGAAAAUGUAUCCUCAUAAUCAAUUCAUUCCUGUUGAUUAUACCUCUUCGCCACAAGGCAAGCCUUAUGCUUUUCUAUCGAGCCAUCAGCCUUUCGCUUUAUUUUGAGAACCCACUUGUUCCCAAUAGCUUUGUGUCCUUUUGGAAGAUCAACCAGUUCCCAGACUUAGUUUGAUUUCAUUGACUCCAUUUCCUCUUCUAUUUCAUGAAUCUAUUUUUCCUUACUAUGGCAAUUCAGAGCCUCAUUAAUAUUUCUUAGCUCAUCCUUAUCUUGUGGAGCAAUCAUAAAAGUUUCCCCUUCAAUGUCAAAACGUCGACGGGGAAUACUUUGGUGACUCGUUCAUCGUAUGGGAGAUUGUAUACUUAGCACAUCAUUCCCCAUUAUGCUCCCACUUGGAUUAGGUAAUGAUGAUGUCGUCUCAUCAAGUGGUUGCAAUUGAGAAUGAGUUGAAUUUAAUUCAUCACUUCUCAUAUUACUCCCACUUGGAUGAACUCCACUAACAUCAUUAUCCUGAUCCGAGGUCUCAAAUAGGGGUAAUCUUCCCCUAUUUCGCCCUUCUUAGGAAAUUCAUCCACUAAGAAUGUGACAUCCUGUGAUUCAAAUUUAGCUAUACUCCCACUUUCCUGCUCACCUACGAACACAUACCCUUUCGAGUGUUCGGAGUAUCUCAUUAAAAUACUCUUCUUUCCUUCGGGACCCAAUUUCCCAAACUUGUGAGAGGACUCAUGAGUAUAGGCAGCACAACCCAUGGCUUAAGAAAACUUAAGUCCGGUUUUCUACCUGUCCAUAACUCAUAUUGAGUGGAAGUAACUGAUUUGGAAGGCACCCGGUUAAGUAUAUAGGCAGUAGUUAACAACGCAUCACUCCAAAAAGUGAUAGGCAAGUUAGCAUACGCCGUCAUGGACCUAACCAUUUCUAGUAGGGUUCUGUUUUUUCUCUCUACAACACCAUUUUAUUGAGGAGUAUAUGGAAUAGAUAACUGUCUUCCUAUUCCCUUUUCAUCACAUAAUUUUCUGAACUCAUCAGAUAAAUAUUCUCAACCUCGAUCAGAUCUCAAUGCUUUUAUUUUCUUGUUUAAUUGAUUUUCAACCAAGUUCAUAAACCUUUUGAAACAACAUAAUGCUUCAGAUUUAUGAGAAAUCAAAUAGACAUAUUCGAAUCGAGUAUAAUCAUCUAUAAAAGUGAUGAAAUAAACAGCCCCAUGCCUUCUUCUCACAUUCAUUGAACCACAAACGUCAGAAUGGAUUAAAUGCAGAGGAACGUCAGCUCUUUUACCUUUUCCAAAUAAUUUCCUUGUCGUUUUCCCUACUAGGCAAUGCUCACAUAUGGGCAAAUCGACUUUUUCAAUUUUGCCCAACCAGCCCUUUUUGGCUAGUCUAUUCAUAUAUUAUUGGCCAAUAUGACCAAGUCUAGCAUGCCACACAUUCACAUCAUUAUCAUAUGAAGUAUGAGACGUGAAACAAGGGAACAACAUAUAUUGACAUCACCACAGUCAACAUUUAGUACAAUAAAACCAUCUAGAAAGUGACCACAAUCAUAGUAGUUUGUAUCCAAAUACAAAUCUACACCGUUAUUACGGAAGUUCACACUAAAACCAAGUUUAACCAACAUCAAAACAGACACUUAAAUUUCGACGAAUCUCCAGAGCAUUUAGAACGUCAUGUAGGAACAAGGUGCGUCCACCACACAUGUUCAGUUGGCAGGUGCCAAUCCUUUUAACUUCAGCUCUGGAGUUGUUUCCCACAUAAAUCAACUUAGUUCCAGUUGGUAUUCGUCGGAAUUCCACGAAGGAUCAUCUAUCCUUUGCUACAUGGUCUGUCACUCCUGAAUCUAUAGUCCACAAAGGAUUGGAUUCAGUCUAUAAAGCAGAACUUGACACAAAAGCAAAGUUCUCAAAUGUGCAAGAGGUGUAUACCUUCUUUGGUUCACGACAGUCGCGAGCAUAGUGACCUCUAUUGUCACAAUUGUAACACCUCACCCUUAACAUUUUCUUCACUUGAGGACGUUUUCCUCUCUUGUGUUGGUCAACUCUUGAUCUCUUGCAAUAAGGACUUGAUCCUUUGCAUUCCCAUAUAUUGAAUGAAUCAAUACGCUUGCGCUUAGAGCUCAAAGCCCUUUCUGAGCUAGAACCAGCAUUGCAAAUUUCUAUUUUCAGUUCACAUGCCGUUAGGCAGUCCUCUACUAGCUCAAGGUGGCGCACAGCAUCCUCUAGAUUUUCCAUAAUAUGGUCAAGAGCUUCUAGUGCUUCUAGCUUUUCCAGCACAUAUUGAAUCUUCAUAUUCAAUAUUCCACAAUUGUUGCCGUUCAUAUCAGCAAUUACGUUCUUAGUUGCUGAAACCAUCGAUCUGAACACAUCGGACUUAUAUGCACGAAUAAUUAAUGCCAAUCAUUUAUGCAUCCCUUUUGCACAGACCCAUCAUAUUAAUAAACAAUUUCAAGUAAGGUUUUAGAAUCAAAAGGUCACUACGUUUCCAAUCAUCCUCCAAAAAUCCUAACUUAAAACUAUCAUUAAUAUGAUUUUCAUAUGCAAAAUCAAUUCUAUGAAACUACAAAAACUUCUAAACUACCCACAGCUAAUUACCCACAGCAACCAGCAAUAACAGAAAGCAACAAAUAAUUGAUAUCCAAUAAAACAAUAAUGCUUUCAACAUAAUACAACAAUCCAUUACACUAAGUAAUAUAUCCGAAAAGAAAUAUCAACAUAGAAAGAGAUAUGCAACACUAAAAAACAUCUCAAACUAAUCUAAGAAAUAAAUAGGGAAAGUCCCUUCUAAUCUAUCAGUCAAAGUAUCUGAGAAAACUAAAGGCACAUUUGCCAACCAUGGGAAAACUUUUGGAGAGCUCUCGUGUCGCCACCAAGCGCAUUCACUCUGCGCAUGUGGCGCUUAAUCUAAGGGUUGAAGUUUUGGCCAACUCAAUCCUAUAGUACUCUCUUACAAAAGCUUCCACUAGCCCCCUGUAAUCCGGGACCACGUUGACCUCCCAUAACCGAUCUAACACUGCUUGCCAUUCAGGUGGAAGAGUGUUCAUCAAAGCUCGCACCUUCUCAAAAUCCGGCAUAAGAUAACCAUUCCAAAUGAUUUCCUGUAUCAUCUGAUUGACCUUGACCAUGUAUGAUACUAAAUCACCAUCAAGCCACUGAUAAUCAGCUAACUCUUUCAUCAGCCUUUUUAGUCUAGCUCUUCCUUCGUCCGUUCUCGGGAUUGCAGGUAUCCGUGCAUAACGCAUCAUAGUUCCUGCGACAAAUGCAGAACUAAAAUGGAUAACUUAUAAUCCAUAAUAAACAAAAUGGAAAAUACAUAAUUUUCCAUGAUUCAUGCAACAAAUGCAGAAAAAAAAUGGAUUACCUAUAACCCACACAGACAUAAUUGAAAAAAGAAACAAAUUCUUUUUUUUUUUCCGGGUCAACGGUCAACGGUCGGUCAACAGUCAACAGUCAACGCUCGGUCAACGGGUCAACGGUCAAAGGGCGGCGGGUCGGACCGGUCGGCCGGUCGGAUGAACCGGCCGCACGUGCCGCGUGCAUGCGCGGGCUGACGUCAUGCAGACGUCAUCGGGCACGCGCCGGGCGGGUGCCGGGUGUUGCGGUUUGGGUCGGGUCGGGUCGCCGGUCGGGUGGCCGGCCGGUGACCGCCCGGCCAACCGUCAUCGUUGCUGACGUCAUCGAUGACGUUACCCCAGCGGUUAUCGACCGUUGGGUGACGUCAUGCUGACGUCAGCACGUGUCGGUCUGUCGACCGGCACGUGUGCCGCACGCGCUGGGCAAGCCAGCGAUUCCGGGCGUGUCGGGACCACGUAUAGCGCCUUCCGGCCGUGCGUGUGGGCGCGUGCGGCGUCACCCGGCGGCGCAUAACCUGUCCCUGGACUCGUCUCGACGAGCCAUUUGUCCCUAUAUUGUUAGAAUUCGAUUUCGACUUAUGAAAACUCGGAAAAAAGGACGAACAGCGCUCGGGUGUCGGGAUUUCUCGCCCUGAUCCGUGUCGGCCAAUUUCUUUGCGAAAAUUCAAUCAAAAAACGUCAAAGGGAUCGGGAAAACAUGAACUAGAGCUCUGAUACUAAUGUUGGGAAUAACGGAUCCCAAAAAAUCGGAUUCGACACUAAAUCGAAUCCCUAAAUCAAUGCGGAAGCGAAGCCCGGGAAAAACACGUAUCACCGAUCCUAAAGCACACCACGGAAUUGAGCGUACCUUGUUAGCCACAGAUUAAACACCAAUGCCGAAGAUUGAGGAAGAAAUUCUGACCCCGUUCAAUCUGAUGACGUCGAUUGGCCUUGAAGGGAACACGGGUCGCCUUAAGCGUUUUGUCUUUUUCUUUUGGAGGGAGAGAAUAAACGUACGUGCGUUAAUUGAUCCAAGAGGUGUCUCCUCUCUCUCUCUCCUCCAUUUUAUACCUUCCCCCAUCCACGGGCCCUAUUCCCGUGGGCCGGGCUUUUUGGGCCCAACUUGGGCGGACGGGCCUUAAGCCCAUCUCAUAUAAAACCAUCAGUUGCCUAUAUAUUACAAGGUGAAACCCUCACAAUUGAAAUAUCUUACCGGGAGAUUUAGAGGUGCUAUUGAUGCACAUAAAAGGAAAAUGGGCGAAAUGGUUGUGAAUUACUGGAUAGAAGCGCUCCGAGAAGUCACUUCGGUGAAAGGAUGGAAAUCGGAAGAAAUUGGGUAGAUUAUUCUCCUCCAAAACAUUAUUCAAUUUCUCAUCAAUAAAUAUUUUAUAAAAUAUAUAUCGCGUUAAAUAUUGCCGUCCUAUAUUGACAUUUAUUGCUAUUUAACAGACAUGAAGGAGAAUUGGUUAGAAGUGUUGUCAACGAAGUUAUGAUCGCGUUAAAUGGAACCAAAAGGAUUAUGAGCUCGAUAGACAAUAGUGAAGUCCCAACCAAAAAGGCGAAAGCAAAGGCAUGUGAAGUGUUCUUAAGCUUUAGGGGGAAAGACACCAGUGAAGGUUUUACCAGUUAUCUCUAUACUAUCCUCGUGGAUGCAGGAAUUCACGUGUUCAAGGAAGACAAUGACCUCUGUGAUGGUGAGCAGAUUGGUUUGGAGCUUCUUGGCAGCAUUAUGCAAUCGAAGAUUGUGAUCCCAACUAUCUCAGAGAAUUAUGUUUCCAGCCAAUGGUGCCUUCGUGAGCUGACUUUGAUGUUGAAUUGCAUGAGAAGUGGAGGCCAAAAGGUGUUUCCCAUAUUUUACAAAGUGGAAGUCUGGCAGCUGCGAAAUCUUAGAGGGAGAUACGGAGAUGCUUUUAAUAAGUGGAAAAAGAAUUUGGAUGAAAAAGUUGUGGAGGAAUGGGAAGAAGCGCUUCGAGCAGUCUGUUCCUUGAGAGGAUGGAAGUCAUAGAGCUAUGAGAAUGGUUACAUUAUUCUCCACCAAAACAUUUUUAAUUUCCCACAAAUGGAUCUUUCUUGAAAAAAAUAUAAAUUUAGCCAUUCUAUACUGAAAUUGAUUGUUAUAUGACAGGUAUGAAGGAGCAUUGGUAAAAACUAUUGUCGAAGAAAUUAGGAGCGAGUUAUAUGGAACUUCUCAGCUAAUAAAAGAGUUGAUGGGAAAUUACGAGCUGGAUAGAUGUUAAAUUUAAUGAUACAAGGAUUGUCGGAAUUUGGGGAAAUAUUGGCAUCGGUAAAACAAUUCUUGCAAGGGUCGUGUACAACAAGCUUUCUAGUCAGUUCAAACAUCUUAGCUUUGUGGCAAAUAUUCGAGAAACAUCUUUGCACAAGGGUAUUGAAUGUUUGCAAAGACAGUUCAUUGACGAUAUACUAAGGAGUCCAAACGACGUGUCUAUCGACAAAAUCAGUGUCAUCAAGUCUCAAUUUAUAGAUAAGAAAGUUCUUGUACUUCUUGAUGAUAUAGAUGCCAUUACCGAUUUUAAUGCUUUGAUUGGAGACAUUAGUUGGGUUAAAGUAGGAAGUAUAGUCAUUGUCACAACAAGAAACAAGAAAUUUCUCGAUGAGGCUAAGGUGGACCACAAGUAGUCAAUAAAUUGACUCUGAAUGAAUCAUUGAUUUUAUUUAGUAGACAUGCAUUUCAAAAGGAUUAUCCUAUUAAAGGUUAUGAGAUUCUUUCUCAUAGUAUUGUAUCCAUAACAGCUGGACUUCCCUUGGCUCUUAAAGUUAUAGGUUCAUGUUUAUAUGAACAAAGCAGAAGAGUAUGGAAUAAUAUAUCAAAGAAAUUAAUGGAAGUGCCUCAUCAGCAAGUACAAGAGAUGUUGAGGAUAUGUUAUGAAUAAUUAGAUGAUAUGGAGCAACAAAUUUUUUAGGAUAUAGCAUGUUUUCUUAUUGGAUCAUCUAAGCAAAGUCCUACUUAUAUGUGGGAUGCCUGUGGUUUUUUCCUGAGAAAUGGGAUUGAAGUGUUGAGUCGUAUGUCUUUAAUUGAGAUUGAUGAAGAUGACAAGCUAAGGAUGCAUGAUCAACCGAGAGAUCUAGGACAGAAAAUUGUUCAUCUAGAAAAUCCAAAGGAACCACAAGAGCGUAACAGAUUAUGGAAAUAUGAAGAAGCAGCGUAUGUGCUUGACAGCAACAAGGUAAGUGUUUUCCUCUACUCGUCUUACUCAAUGAAUGUGAUUCCAUUUUCCUUUCUUGUUUGAGAUUAUAGUUAGUUUCGAAUCCCCAAAACUAGCUGCUUCUACCAACAAAAGAGCUCGUACGAUUAAUUGUUGUUCUUGCCUGAUUAUAGGACAUAACUGAGGAUUGUGAUUAGAACACAUUCCCUUUUGGUAACUUCAAUGCAAGAACAAAACUAAAAAAGCGUUAUGUUUGAUAGAGCACUUUCAGAUAAAACCUGAGGACUAUAAUUUAUGGGGGCCAUGCUUUUCCCACAUACUAGUUACACGCAAAUUUUUGGAUUCUUCUUUUGAUUUUUUGUGAGGUCUUUUCUUUCUUUCUUUUCUUCUACUAAGUAUUGACUUCUUUUGAGUUGUUUGCUAUGAUAAAGGAGACCAUCAUGCUUUCCACAGAUUUCGAUAAGUAUCCAUGAGAUCGAAUAUGGAAUUCUGUUUACUUACUUGAAAUUCAUUUGUAAUUAUUAGCUAUCCUGGUUCAUGUAUUUUUCGAGUUGGAUUAAGUACAGAUUAGGUCCCCCAUCUAUUCUUUCUUCGCUCAAAGUAGUCCUUCAUUUUUCGCAGUUUGUGCAAAUAAUUCCUUUAUCGUCAAUUGCUAAUUAACAUCAUCAAAUUUACUCUUGGGGCUUUCGUAUUCAUUUAUGAUAUAUGCACCGCUGUUAGUAUAACCCUUUAAACAUAUAAACAUAUACUAUUUUCGUUCAAUAGAGAUUUCAUAAUAGUGGAUAAUUUUAUUUCUCUGAAUUUGCUAACAAUUUUUUUGUUUCUUUUGUGAAGAUGGAUAAUUUUUCUAUUCCCUGAUAACAUUUAUUUGUUAAAUAUAGGCUAUCAAGCUAUAAUAAUUAUUUCUGCAUCUCUCAAUUCUUAGUGAGUACCUUAUUUUAGCAAAUAUUUAGUUAAUUUAUAUCAUCAUUUGUUAAAUAUAUGCUAUCAUAUUACAUAAUUCUUUAUCGAUCUGUUAUCAUCACUUUUGUAAAACGAAAAAAAUAUUUUCUCAUAAUGAGUAUCAACACAACUUUUCAAUGAUAACAGCUAUUACUUAUCAUACAUUUCGUUAUAUUCAAUAUUCAAAUAUAUGUAGUGAUGCAACAGAACUCUUUAAAAAUGUACUUUUUUUCUUCUAUGACGGCUAAUUUCAUUAUAUUAAUUCAUUUCUAAAGCAUGUUAUAUAUAUAUAUAUAUAUAUAUAUAUAUAUAUAUAUAUAAUGAUGGAUAUCUUUUUCUAUUUAUUGAUCUUUAAAUAUUCUGCAUUGUCAAAUUUAGUCCAAUAUGAUAUUGAUCUUUUUGAUAUUAUUAUUUGGUAAAAAAAUUAUUUAACGGUUCUUAUUGGUCACAUAUGAGCCCAUUGCACAUAAUAAAUGAAAUAUCCAGAAAUUGUAUAUAUAUAUAUAACUAAAUUUAAUAUGCAUACAACUAAAUGGCAUAUGUUUUGUGGUAAGACCUCCGGAUUAAAAUAAGGCAUUAGAAGAAAAAAGUUGAAUUUUACAAUAAACUGGAUUGAUAGAGCCAUAAAUAUUUUACUUAGAUAUUUUAACAAUCAAAAGCUUUUAGCUUUUGCUGCACACUCCAAUCUCAAGAUUUCGAUCAUCCAUAUUCUUAAAACUGUGGAAACAAUAAUGAGAUUAAAAUUGAGAAGAAUAAUGGGGAGAGAAAAAGUAAAAUCCACUAUAAAAAUUCAAUUAUUACAAAAGGUGGUUAAAAAAAUCUAAGACUCUUUCCAUUUUAAAUUUUUAAGGUAAUAACUUGAGAAAAAUAAUAUUUAUAUUGCUCUUAGGUCCUAACAUUGGCCCAAACCCAUAAAUAAUUCAAGACAACUCAACAAACCUCCAUCUUGGCUUGAAUUUUACAUAAGUAACAAAAUCUUCUCCUCCCACUAGAGUAAAAAUUUGUUGUGGCAAAUAUUAACCAAAUCCAAGCAUCACAAAUAUUAACCGAAUCCAAGUGAUGCUUGAAUUUGGCAGCGGGCAAGGACUUUGUCAACAUAUCAACUAGAUUGUUUUCUGUACCAAUCUUAGCCAUCGAUAAGUCUUGAAUAUAAUAAUACCAAACAUCAAUGUGCUUCGUUCGCUCAUGAUAUAUUUGAUCUUUAGUAAGAUGUAUAACAUUUUAACUAUCACAAUGGACAAUAGUCACACCAUAAUCCACAUUGAGAUCCUCAAAUAAAUCUCUUGACUAUAUGGCCUCUUUAAUUGCUUUUGCAAUAACUAUAUACCUUGAUUUUAUAGUAGAUAAAGCAAUUGUAUAUUGUAAAGUAGCUUUCCAACUUAUUGUACAACCUUCAAUAGUAAAGAUACACUCAAUCAAAGACUUCCUUAUAUCAAGGUCACUAGCAUAAUCAAAAUUAAUAUGUUUAGUAUGAUUGUCACUAGUUUUCCCAAACUCUAAACUAAAAUCAGAAAGUACCUUUCAAAUAUUUCAAAAUCAACUUCACAGCUUGCCAAUAAACUUUGCCUGGGCGUGAUAAAUAUCUAUUUACUAUGUUAACAAUAUGUGAUAUGUUGGGUCGAGUACAAACCAUGGCAUACAUAAGGCUACCAAUUUAUAUCCUCAUCGGUUUGUGGAUAUAAACUUGCUGAUAAUUUAAUAGCAAGAGAAGUAGUUACCGGUUUGGCAUCUUUCAUGUCAAAACAACAUAACACCUUUUCAAUUUAGUUUUUUAGGGAGAGAUACAAAAAAAAUUUCCAUUUUUUCCAUCUCGCCAAAUUUCCAUGUUUAAGAUAUUCUUCGUUGCAUCUAAAUCUUUCAUGUCAAAUUCAAUGCUUAACCGUGCCUUCAAAUUCUAUAUAUCAGAUUUAUCUUUUGCUGCAAUCAACAUAUCAUCAACAUAUAAUAAUAGAUAUAUAAAUGAGCCACUUGGAAGUUUGCGCAGAUAUAACAACUAUUGUAUUUGCUAUUAUAAUAGCCAAAUUGCGCCAUAACUAAAUCGAACCUUUUAUACCACUAUCUAGGCGAUGAGUGCCUAUGGAGAUUGUUCGAGAUAGAAUUGCAGAAGGUCGGAUUUCGUAUUUGAGGAUGAGUGCCUCUAAUGUCUUGCUCCAUAAGAUUGUGAUUAACUGUCUGAGAUCCAAAUCCACAUCAAAGACUAAUGUCUCCAAUUCUGAAGCGAAGCUGAUGUACGCCAUUAACCUUGGUUACAAGUUCUCUCUGCCUCAUACCAUAAUGUUUCACAUGUAUCGGUCAAUGGUAAAAGAGAAGGGACAACUUCCUUACUCUGCUCUUGUUACUCGUCUAUUCAAACAUCUUAACAUUCAGCCUUCCAGAAUUUUAUGUAUUCGAACCAGUGUUCUAAUGGUGAUAGGACUGAAGAUAGUUUCAAAGAUGCGUCUGAAGGAGCUAAAUAAGGCUUUAGAGAGAUUUAAGGAGAAGACACCUGUCAAGACUCGACAAGACCCUGUGGAUGCAAAAAGAAAAUGGAAGGAGCCCAUGAUAGCUCCAUCUAAGAAGAGGAGAGUACUCAUCUUGCAGGAUGAAGAAGAUGAGGAUGACAUAACUAUCUCAGCCCUUGCCUUAAAGAAUUUACAGCGUCUUGUUCCUGAGACAGAGACUCAAGAAAACCAAGACAGAGAAGAGACAGAGCAGAGGAGUGAAGAGAGGGAAAUGAUGAGGAAAGAAGAAGGAAGAACAGAAGAAGGAAGAAUAGAAGAAGAAGAGCGAAGAGGAGAACAAACAGAAGGAGAAAGUCAUGGUGAUUCUCCAGCAGAGGAAGAAGAACAAGAUCAUCGUGACAUUGGAGAAAAACCAGAGCAAGAAGAGUACUUUUCUCCACCUGAAAGCAUUGAAAUAGGAGAAGCUAUUGAUAAAAGAGGUACUCCUUCACUUGCUUUUACCAGUGAUGAUGUUAGUCAUUCUCCUGUCAAUCCAGAGGAAGUGUAUGCCUCUCACUUUCAUGAAGAAGGUAAUGAGGCUUCAUCUCCAAGUCUGGAUGUUCAUGUUGAAGUUCCAUCAUCUGGCAACACUCCACAAACUGAUCAUGCUGAAGCAAGCACUCAAACUGACAACUGAACAAACUUUAAAAGAUCGCUUGAACUUCUUCUGGAAAUCAAAGGUCGGAUUUAUGCCUUGGGAUGUGAAUUUCAGAGCAUGCAGAAUGCUCAUCAAGCCACUUCAGUUUCUUUGCACGAUCAAGUUCAAGCCCUUAAUCUUCAAGUUCAAGCUAUCGCAAGGUGAGAUUUAGCGCAACUGAAAGAGGAUCUGAAAACACNNNNNNNNNNNNNNNNNNNNNNNNNNNNNNNNNNNNNNNNNNNNNNNNNNNNNNNNNNNNNNNNNNNNNNNNNNNNNNNNNNNNNNNNNNNNNNNNNNNNNNNNNNNNNNNNNNNNNNNNNNNNNNNNNNNNNNNNNNNNNNNNNNNNNNNNNNNNNNNNNNNNNNNNNNNNNNNNNNNNNNNNNNNNNNNNNNNNNNNNNNNNNNNNNNNNNNNNNNNNNNNNNNNNNNNNNNNNNNNNNNNNNNNNNNNNNNNNNNNNNNNNNNNNNNNNNNNNNNNNNNNNNNNNNNNNNNNNNNNNNNNNNNNNNNNNNNNNNNNNNNNNNNNNNNNNNNNNNNNNUUUGCUUAAGUGAUGUCUGCAGGUCUAAAGUUUCCAAAUCUGCAGGAAAGUUUGUCAUCAUCAAAAAGGGGAGAUUGUGAAGAAAACUUCCUAUUUAUUUUGAAGUUGACAAAACGUUUCCAUCAGUCUAGUUUGAAAACUUGAAGACUCUAUCGUCAAAGUCUGAAGACCUCCAGACUCAAGAUUUAAAGUCUGCCCUCAUUGACAGUUUCCAGACCGACGAAGAAAAGUAUUGUCUGUUGAAGAAGACUUAUCCAGAUGCGGGCAUAUAAUUAAGGAUUUAAUUCAUACAGUUGAAGAAGAUCUCACGGCUAGAGAUUACACCUUGAGAUCUAUUAUUUGCUCUGAAAUUAAUUCAAGCAUUUUAGACCCGUUGAUUGGCGAAGUAUACUUGGAAGGUUCUACUUAUGGAAACCUAGAUCCUGAUUGAAUGGACGAGCGGGAUUGGUGGGCUAUCAUCAUAUUCCUUAAAUAAUUUGAAAUCUCCCUAAUUGAUUCUGUCCAACGGGUUGAUUGGAAGAACUCCUUUGGAAGGUACCAAUGGUUAUGAAGGCAUGAAGGAGUAUAUAAGGAAAACUCUCCAAUUAUUCGAGUGUGUGAAAAGAUAGAGAAAUUUCAAAGUCUAAAGCUCCAUGUUCUUUGAUGUUUCAAUUGUUGAGCUUAAAUUUGUACUCAAAAGAGAGAUUAAAUACUUGUGAGACCUUGGGGAAGUGUAGCAAAGUCUCUACAUUGUGAAAUCAAGGACGUGAGACUGCAAAAUCUCUUUUAAUUCUUAGUGGAAUUCAGCUAGUGGACUAUCAGCGUGAGAGAGUUGACGUAGGCUUGAUCUAAGCCGAACCAUUAUAAACCUUGUGUUUUGAUUCUCUAUCCCUAAACUCUUUACUUUAAAUCGCAUCUCUAUAUAACUGUUUAUAGUUGUUCACAACUUCAGUUUGUUAUUCUUAGAAGUCAAUUUGUUUUGAUAAGAUUUACAAAAACUUCUUUGAUCACCUAUUCAGCCCCCUCUAGGUGCUCGUACUAGCCCUUUCAGAGGGAUCCUCUAAUUCAGGAGUUCAACUUUAAAAUCUUUGUCGGGAUCAAAGGAAGCUGUUGAAUAAAGGAGGAGCAUCUAAAACCAAUUAGCCAAACAAAGCUAACAAUAAAUCAAGACUCUGUUUGAAAUGUCAUGGAUUUGGUCGCAUCGCCUCGAGUGUCCUAAUAGAAAGAUCAUUUCUCUUGUGCGAGAUGAGCAACAGGGAGAGUCACAACACAACCCUUUGCUCCAAGAAGAUUCAACACAACCCUUCGCAGCACAACCCUUCGCUCCGAGAAGAUUCAAGGAGCCGCGAAGAAAUUGUUGACAGAGAUCAAGGAGAAGCUCUUGUCAUUCAAAGGAGCUUGCAUGCUGCUCAUCUCGAGGAUGAUGAUUGGCUUUGCAACAACAUACUCCAUACAAGACUGUACUUCUUAUUUUAAAGUACGUGAUGUCACAAUUGAUAGUGGAUGUUGUGAGAACGUUGCGUCGACCACCAUGGGAGACAAGUUGCAUCUCAAGGCGGAGGAUCAUCCACAUCUUUACAAGCAUUCUUGGCUCAAGAAAGGGAAUAAGAUAAAAGUAAAUAACCGGUGCUUGAUUUCAUUCUCUAUUGGCAAAAGCUAUAAAGAUGAGAUUAUGUGUGAUGUAUAACACCUAUCCCUUUGUCAAAGACCGCGUCAAGAUUACAUUGGGCCCUUGCAAGACGGAGAGAGUUCCCAAGCCUCCUCAUGGGAAAGGAACAAAUCUUCUUUCCAAGUCUAAGUUUUCCUAAGCAUCGGAGGAUGCUUGUGAGGCUUACGCUUUUUUUAUAGUGGAAGAAAAUGAAGCAAAAGAGGAGAUCCCAACCAUUUUGCAGCCGUGGCUUGAGGAUUCCUGUGAAGUCAUGCCGAUGAAAUUCCAUCCAACCUUCCUCCUUUGAGAGAGAUUCAACAUCAUAUCGAUUUUGUGCUUGGUGCUUCUGUUCGAUCGAUUGAGCUCCGAGAAGCAUAAAGAACUUCAAAGGCAAGUUGAUAAACUCUUGGCCAAGGGAGCAAUACAAGAAAGCUCGAGUCCUUUUGCUGUCCCGGCACUUCCAGUUCCAAAGAAAAAUGGUUCUUGGCAAAUGUGCAUUGAUAAUAGAUCGGUGAACAACAUAACCAUCAAGUUUUUUCCUUUUCCUUGCCUUGGUAUUUGCUUGAUCAACUUCAAGGAGCUUGUGUGUUUUUCCAAGAUCAAUCUUCGGAGCAGCUAUUGUCAAAUCCUGAUGAAAGUAGGAGAUUAAAGGAUGACAGCUUUCAAAACUAAGAAUGGUCUUCUUAAAUGCAUGGUGAUGCCCUUCUGACAUUUCUAAUACUUUUAGUACUUUUAUGCAUCUUAUGAAUCAUGGUUUUAAACCUUUCAUUGGCUAGUUUGUCGUGUAUACUUUGAUGACAUCGUGAUUUAUAGCAUAGCAAGGCCCAAGUGGAGCUUUUGGAGUAUCAAAUUCUUCAAGUGCUACGGGAACAUCGUUUGUAUGCCAACCUGAAGAAGUGUCACUUUUGCACAAAGAGCCCGGUGCUAUGUUGUCUCCAACGAUGGUGUUAGAGUAGAUCUUAGAAAGAUGGAGGCAAUAAGAAGUUGGCCAAUUCCUAGCUCGCUGAAUGAGAGAAAAGCUGAAGAAUGUUUUUGACCUUUUUUAUUUUUCAAAUAUCGUCCGAAUGUUAUGUUACACAAAUAAGGCCAGUUACUCCAUUUGGACGUAGCAUCUGAACUUUAAGCACAUAGACCAAGCAACUAAAUAGACAAAAAAAAAAAAAAGACGAGGAAAAAAUACACACCAAAAAAAGAAAAAAAAAAGAAUAAUAGUACAAGGACCAACAUUGCCAUGACGUCUCAUCUUCCACUUUCAAUUUCGAAGGGCACUUGGUUUCGUAUGCUAUCAUCAUUUCCUGAUGCAUUGCUUCUGAGGAUGCCAUCACAUUUGCUUGAUCUCUCACCAAGGAAAUGCUCAGCUUCUUCAAGGUCACUGCUCCGAUUCAACCAUGGAUGCCUGUCCAUCACCCUCAUCAGUCCCUCCAAUUCCAUUGCCACUUCCUUCAUGGUUGGCCGAUCUUCGCCUUUCACUGUCAGGCAUUGGUUUGCCAGCAUCGCAACUUUCAUAAUCUCUUCCGGGUUCCCCUCGUUCAGCACCAUCGGGUUGAUGAUUUCGAACAGCCUCCCGCCCUUUAUUGCAGAAGCAAAAUAUAAGGACAAGUUCCUCUCAUUCUCAGCCCGCUCAAAGGACAAGGCCCUCAGUCCGGUCAGCAACUCAGCCAACACAACCCCGAAGCUAUAGACAUCGCUCUUCUCAGUCAACUGGCUCGAGCGGAGGUACUCGGGAUCCAAGUACCCAAGCGUGCCUUGAACCAGUGUGGUCAGUUGUGUGCCGUCGAGGGGGACUAGCCUGGAGGCUCCAAAAUCAGCGACCUUUGCGGUGUAGUUUUCAUCCAACAAUAUGUUUGUGCUCUUUAUGUCUCUGUGCAAAAUCUGAGCGGAUGCAUCGGAGUGCAAGUACGAAAGCGCACCUGCGGUCUCCCCUGCAAUGCGCAGACGAGCCCUCCAGGAUAAUGUGGACUCGUGGCCGCACUUGUGUAUGUGGUCAGAAAGGGUGCCAUUGGUCACAAACUCGUAGACUAAUAACGGGACCUCCGUCUCGAAGCAACAACCGAUUAGCUUAACCACAUUGCGGUGAUUAAUUUGGGAGAGGAUGAUCAGCUCGUUGAUGAAUUCUUCAACCUGACUUCGGUCCAAAAUCUUGGCCUUCUUGAUGGCGACAACCGUGUUGUCCGCUAAGAUCCCUCGGUAUACAGUUCCGUGGCCUCCCUGGCCUAGGAUUCGGCUUUCAUGGUAGUGGUCCGUGGCCUUCUUGAGCUCUUCAUCGGUGAAUAUUCUCGCCGAUUCAAUGGAGCCUUCGUGCUCAGAAAGAAUUUUCUGCAACAUAAGGCGGCCCCCAUUUUCUAGGAAGAACUUCUCUCUCCGUCUGCUGAUUUUUCUUUCUCGAAGCCCCCAAUAUAACCAGGAAACACCCAAAAGAACCAGCAGGAAGCUUAUGCUCACGCCUAGUGAAAGACAUUAUAUUCGGUGAACAAACAAAUUAGUUGUCCAUCACACUACAUAUGUUUUCAAAACCAAGAAAAGAAAAAAAAAACAGAAACGAACUUUGCUUGACUCUUUCUUUUUCAUUACUCAAACAAUCUUGUGUUAAUUUACUUCUCUGUCCUAUUUUCUUUUUCUUCUCCAUCAACUUGAAGCUUUUUCAUUAAGAAUAACCUUGAUAAUAGCAAUAUAAACCUAAACAUAUAAUUAUGCUGAGAGUAACUUAUGAUGACAGGAACGAUUCAAUGCAUCAAGUGGAUAAAACGUACUUGAUUCUUUUUCAACAACAGAAGAGCAAGUUGUUGAUUUUGUUAAUUUCGAAUUGAAUAACUUGAGAUUACGACACAUGUAUAUAAUAUCAAUUUAAUUCACGGACACAAUUAAUUCAAAGAGAAAUAUUUACGUCCGAAAAACCUCAAUAACUAAUAGCAAAAGAUGGAACAAUGGCAUAAUAACAACAUUUAAAGAAUGUGAAUAAAUUACAAGAUAAAAGAAGCUUUUCUAUGAUGAAAAAGUUUGAGCAAUGUGUACGACUUACUGACUAGCACGAUGUCCAUUGAGCGAAACCUCUUUGUAGGAGUACAACCGUUGCCAUCUUUUUUUCCAUCUCCUCGGGAUCCCUUCGGACAUGAACAAUUAUACGUUCCCGGCAAGUUCGUACAUAUUCCAACACAUGGUUGUAAAAUCAUACAUUCAUCGAUAUCUGGAGGAAUAUAUUCCAAAUGGAAUAAGCAAUCCGACACCAUUUCAAUUGGAAGAAAGUUGAAAAAGUAUAUAGAAUUCCAUGAUUUGGCAACACUUUCAAUAUGAGAGGACAUAUCAAGUUAAUUUACUUUUCCUGAGAUCGUGAUACCUCACCACACUUUUUAAGUGAUAGGUCACUAUCUCAAGAGCCUAAGCGUAACCAAGCAUUUGAUCUUUGUUUAGAAUAGAAGAUUUAAGAAUUAUCCAACAAAAUUGUGCCAUUACUAAUUAGAAUAACACAUUACAUAGAAAAUAAUUCAAAAAUAAUUGUCUAUAAGUACAGAAUAAUGCUGGAUGUAUUAACAUCGGUAGAUGAAAUUGAUUUACAAGCUAACUUUACCGAUUCAUAUUGAGGGUUCGGUAUGGACCAUCUGUUUAUAAAAUCAAUUGCGCUCGACUGAUUCAGUUUGUAAAAAAAUUGUACAGAUUAAACUUAAGAGAGAAGAAUGUCUAGCUAUAUCUGGAAUGAUAGCUGUGAAAAUUUACAGAUUAUUACUAAACGCUUCAUAGGUCAUAUUAAAUUUCAAGCAAUGAAAUUCCGUGCAUUUGAAAGGAAAAAAAAUAUUUUUAACAGCCUAGAUUGAUAUGAUUUUUAAGAUUAUAAAUGUUACGUGAUUACUAGGAGAAUCGUUUGAAACAUGUACCAUUCAUCAAGUCAAAAUUUGGUCCUCUGACUUGAAGUUUCUAAGAAUUUCUUUCUCUGGGUUUUUUAUGCAAUUGGAUCCAUUUAACAUGGUCGCCCUUAUGGAAAUAAUAUCCACGAUUCUAUACAGAAGCACUCGUUCGGAUGUGAGGUGGGUCUAAUGAAAAGACGGGAAAAGGUACCUUGACAACCGUUUUGGAGAUAGGGGUUCCCUUGAAAACCCUUCAAGCAGUGGCACUGGUAGCCAUUUCCAUUCUCAGCAUCUGUACAAUUGGAGUUCUCUUGGCACAUGUAGGUCGUUGCAUUCUUCUUUGCAUCAUCGCAUGUUUGAUUUGGAAUUAACCAAUCGACAACUAGAGGGACCAUAUCAAAUGGCGGCUCGCGCAGAUUGUCCGUAGAGAAGCUAAAGAAGCCGUCUUGGGCAACGAAAGCGUAUCCGCACGGAUUGAAAUCAGUGAUGCCGAGAUGAUUGUUGUAGCUAGUGACAGAGAUGUUGUAUCGGUAGGCGUCUCGAGGAAUGCCAGUCUCGCAGCAGCCGAUGCCCGAGCACGACCCAUUAAUCACGUCCAAGACGUUGUCGCAUGAGGACACGCACCCCGUCAUAUACGUGCUUCCUUGUCGGCCGCUAAAGGUCGCGUACGUGUCGCAUCCCACGGCGAUAAAUUUGUUCUUGGCAGAAGAUAUGGGGAAUAUGGGAAGAGCGAACUCAGGAUCAUUAUUGUAUAUGGAUGUGCCGGACGAAUUAUAACAAUCUUUGGCUACAAACACCGUUACACUAAUCUCGUGACUCUCCAUAGAUAUAUCGAGUACUCGGAAAUUAGAAUCUUUACUGUACAUAUGAGGAGUGGGAGGAUCAGUCGAGUCGUUGCAAAAGAUGAGGAAAGACUCUGAUUCUUCUUUGAAGUAGCAGUCGUCGCCGGCAUCAUUCAUCCCGAAUGGGUACGGGAAGGUGAGGUUGCCACAUCUGUUCGCGCAUCCGGGCUUUGUUGUUUGGACUACAUCCGCAGUAACUACUGAGAAUAGAGCCACCAAUGAGCACAACAGCAGCACAACUCUCAAGGGAAGUCUAUGGAGCAGCAUGGAUCCACCCAUAUUCUUCCUGAAAUGAGAUGAUAUUUUGCAACGAGAUGAUGAGCUUCAUAGCCCGAUGACAACCUUUAUAAGCGAUGAUGGAGCUUCUGGAAAGCUAAGUAGUAUAUGCAUUAUUCAUAGUCCCCACUAUAUUGACUGUCUUCACGGUGAUUACAUCAUUACUAAUCAAUCAUACGGUUUUGUCCACUCUCUAUGGCUCUUCACUAAAGAAGCCUUGACAAGCCUAUCGCGAUUCACGUUGUGGCGUCGCAAUCAUUCGUAGGGAUUUCCAAACUGACUUGCAAAUAAUAAAAGUCGUGAUUAGAUAGAUAUUUUUUUCUUUUCAAUCUCAGAAUUAGUUUCGACGGGUGGUGCUCAUAAACUAUUGCAUGCACAUCUCUAAUGUAUGAACUCCUUAAAUAUUUGUACAAAUAUCAACACCGUAUUUAAAUCUUUAUGCGCAGAGUAAAAUAUUUCAAUUUAUGCUAUGUACAAUUAAAAAAAAAAAUAGGUACAUCGAUGGUAAGUACUAAAGAUUAGUUAGAUAAAGCAAGAAACUGUUGAUUCGGGUCAGUUCGAAUUUGAAUUUGAAAAUCAAAACAGCACCAAACAAUCCAAAUAUAGAAGAUGAAUGAGAAUGAAAUUUGCGGUGUUUAGAUAUGAUUUGCUAAGUAAAAAGACUUCAAGAGUCCGAAAUUGAUUUUGAGAAUUUUUUUCAGAUUCGCCUAUAAAGUUUCAAGUAAAUCCUAAGUCAAUGCCAUCAGUUUUCUUGGCAAUUUCUCACGUACGAGAGUAUGUCUCAUCAGGGUGUUUUCAUUAUCCUGCCAAGACUUGAAAAGUCAAGCAAGUAUGAAGCGCAUGCAAUGGGAGAUCACAACGCUAAAAUUCGUUAAAAGGACUCAUUGCCCUCAAGGAAAGCUUAAGAGGUUUCAUAUUACAAAAUUAUCAAGAAAAAAAAUUCUAAACCUAUUAUACUUGUACAAAUUCAGUCAUAAAAUCUUCAAUUGUGCUAAUUAAAACUCAAACCUUUUGAAAGUUUACCAAUUUAUUUUUUUUUGAUCAAAUUUGAUCAGAAAUCUCCAUAGUAUAUAAUUUUUAUAAUUUUUGGGAAAUUGAUUUGGGACUUUGGGAGUCUAAAAUUGAUUUUCAGAAAAUUUUUAUGGUCGAACUAAAGUUCCAGGUAAAUGCCAAGUCAAUGGGGUCCGUUUCCUCGACAAUAGGUCACAUCAGAAUUUGUUACUGCCCACCAACUUUGACUGUGUCAUUGAUAGAUUCAGGGUGCUUUCAUUACAUUUCCAAGACUUGAGAAGUCUAGCAAAUCAACGGUAAGCGUAUGCAGUGGAGGAGAGAUCACAACCCCAAAAAAGAGAAUGAGAAAGAAGAAAAAUCAACAAGAGCAGAGUGGUUUGAGCUGGGGAUUGUCUACAUGAAAUGUGUUUCAAGUUGGAUGGAUUUUAUAAUCUGAAAAUUUGUAUUUUCCUGUUUCUAGUCUGUAUAUAUGCAUUCUAAAACAAAGUAACCGGUAGCUUCAAAAUAAUUAAUCAACUAGCUUCAAAGAGAUAAAAUAUCAAAUUUUUUAAUUGUUGUGUUACAAAAUUAAGAUGUUGAAAUAAGAUUCCGUUAUGUACUUUUAAACUACGAAAAGAUACGUCGCAUGUGGAUAUUUUUUUCCUUUUUCUAGGCUAACAUUUCCAACUAAUAUGGAUUGUGAAGGGAACAUUGUCCAAAUAGUCCUAAACCAAUUUAGUCCUAAACUUUUCAAUUUUGCCAAUUGAGUCAUAAACAUUUUCACAUUUUGCCAAUUCAAUUCUAAACAUUUUUCAUUUUUUGGCUAAAAAUUACUAACGUGGACGACUGGUGUUAACGUGGCACUUUUAAAAUAAAAUUUUUUGAUAUUUUUUAUGGUUUUUCUACUUCUUUUUCUUUUUUUUGGUUUUGGAUCUAGUCGACAAAGGUUGUCGGCCAACCCUUGCCAGCCACAAGCGAGGGCCAACAAGCGAGAGCCGAUCAACCCCUACCAGCUCUGGGCGAGGGCGCACAAGCCCUCGCCUAGAAAUAACGAGGCUUGUGACACCCUCACCAAAUCUAGUAAGGCGAGGGCUUGGCGACCCUCGCUGGCUCCAAGCAAGGGGGGUGACCUCGCUCAAGGCCUUUGCCUAGUUAGAUCUAGCGAGGGCAAUGACCUCGCUUGAGGCAUUUGCCUUGCAUGCCCUCUCCUUCGCUGGCGAGGGUGUCGCGACCCUCGACCAAAGCUUGCGAAGGGCACAGCACCCUUGCCCAAAGUUGGCGAGGGUCAACUAGCCCUCACCUAUGGCUAGUGAGGGUUGCCGACCCUCGCCUAUGACUGACACUAGCCCUCACCUAUGGCCAAGGCCGGCCAAAUUCGAACCCCCCCCCCCCCAAAGCAAAAAAAAAGUUAAAAAAGAAAAAUCAUAAAAAUUCAAAAUAUUAUUAAAAUAUGAUUUAAAAAGUGCCACGUCAGCACCAGCCAUCCGUGUUACAAUUUCCAGCCAAAAUUGGCUAGAUAGAUUGAAUUGAUAAGAAGUGAAAAGGUUUAUGAUUGAAUUAACAAAAUUGAAAUAUUUAUGACUGAAUUGGUAAAAGUGUAAUAGGUUGAUAACCUUUUGGAUAAUUGUCCCAAUUGUGGUUGAUAUGCAUUUGUGGAGAAUUAUCAGCAUCAAGAAUUUAAUUUUUCUUUUCCUUUUUCUGGUCCAAUGACUGUAGUUAUUAGCUUAUUUUAAGCUGUGGAGUUAACAACGGCAGGUCCUGGAGACUUUCAUGAGACGAUUCCACUACAAAUCCUUGUGUGACGAAGUCUUUGUGUGGUGUGGUGCGAGUUUAAAUUUUCCAAAUGCACGAUUUAUUUGACAUAUAUUUCUUCAAUCUUUCGUCGCUGCUCAUCCGAAAAAACAGGCCAUUGUGGGCCAGAGACUGGUGCACACUUGUCACAGAAGAGCUGCUCUUACUUUCCAAAUAAUCCGUGGGAAACAAUAAGUCUUGGUCUUCUCCUUUCCCAAUUGAUUUUUAUAGUAUGGUACAUUGGGGAUGUUACUUCUGCGCAGGGAAAUUUUUUUCUUUCGAGGCGUUGAUUAAUGCAAAAAGUGAAAGUUGAUAGCGAAAGGAGAAGACCUAACCUCUCUCUUUCAUCAAGAAAGAGACUUCUUGUUUAACUCUAUAUUUGAACAAUUCCAAAACUUAAUAAUGCACCUUAACUCUCAGUCGUCAGGCAGCAAUUAUCAAUGAAAAAGGCACACUAGUUCGUAAAUUUCAUCAGUUAAUUUACAGUAAUACAUAAUUAUCUUCGGCAAUGUCUCUCUACAAAUCCUUAGAAUUCUUUGGAGAGACUAAUUGAAAAUCCCAACCGCCAAUGUAAUUGGACAAUGCAUUGAGAGAUGAUGUGCAUCCAAACUCAAUAACUUAUUAAUGAGGGCUUUGACACUCUCCAUCAUAAGCAUCUACAAACUUUUCAAACGGGUUCUUUGCCAACUAAUAAGCUAAGUACCAUUGUCAAAUUUCCAAUAGAAAUCUAGCCGCAGGAAAUUUUUUCAACACUCACAAAUUGACACAUGAUGCCUACAUGGGCAGGUCGAAUUACUUUGAUAAUCUAAAUCUAUCAGUAAGAAAAUUGACAUUAUUUGGAGUCUUUCCUUGAGUAAUAGUAAAAUUGUAUCAGUUGAUAACAGAGCCUAAAUCUGGCUGGUCCAGCCGAUUUGAGAAGACAAGUGCAACAUCUCCAACAAGAAUUGGAGCAAUCUUGAUUGUUAAUGUCAUGCCCCGAACUCCGAGCGCACGCACAUCUCUCGGUGGUCGAUUAAAAAUUUGCGACGUCCCAGGAUGCGUCGCUGACCCAUUCUUUUUAUCUUUCAAUUAAGCAAAUACACCACCCAGUCAAAUUUGACCAAAACUCACUAUAGUAUAUAAUUUUUAUAAUUUUUGGGAAGAGGCUAAGCCAAGGCGGUCGGUUUCCUUGGCAAUUUCUCAUGUGCAACAAUAUAUCUCGUCCGGAGUUAUUGCCCACCAACUUUGGGUGCAUCAUUGAUAGUGAGUAUAAAUGAGACAGGAUGCUUACUGCACCAAGACUUGAAAAGUUAAGCAAGUACUAAGCGUAUGCAAUGGGAGAUCACAGCUUGCACCAAGACUUGAAAAGUUAAGCAAGUACUAAGCGUAUGCAAUGGGAGAUCACAGCUUGCACCAAGACUUGAAAUGUUAAGCAAGUACUAAGCGUAUGCAAUGCGAGAAUUGGACCAAAAGGAUUCUAAAACCAUGAAUCGAACCAGUGCCCCUAAAACUGAACCGACCAAUAUAGUUAAGUUCCUACGUGGAUCAUGGAACCGGUGGCAUGUUCAGAUUUUUUUUUUUACUGUUAUUUGUCAUUAAUGUUGAAGACGAAUUGAAGAUGUUCUUGAUAACCAAGACAUUUCUACAAUCAGCCAAUUACGUGUAGCAUUGUAGGUUUCACAUAAUUUUUACAAUCAGCGAAUUGAAGAUGUUCUUGUCAUCUUACUCACAUGCAUGAGUGAAAUAGGAGUUGUGAGACUUGUGCUUGUCUGCAUGCGUGAGUGAAGUCCGAAAUAUGAGAUAGAUUACGGUUUUUUUUUUUUUUUUACAAAUUAAAGGAAAUUAAAAAAAAAAAUUGGUCUAACCCAUGUGGGCAAUCCACGCCUGAAAUUGGGAAUCAGAUUGAAAUUCACUAGUUUCAAUUUUAUAGAAUUGAGAACUAGAUCAGUGCCCCUAGGAACUGCCCAAAAUUGGCCGAUCUAGUCCCAUUUAAGUGGCUCCUUUUGCUUACCCCUAGUCAUAACUCUAAAAUAGAAGAAUGCCGAAGAAAAAUCAUGAAGAGCAAACUGCUUUGAGCUGGCGAUUGAUGAUGGGGUUUACACUCCUAGGAGUGAAAUUUCUAUUGCAUUCUGGAAAAGAAUAACGCAUAUUUCAGAGUGAUUAAUCAACUAGUUUUAAAGAGGUAAAAACUAAACAUUUGCCAUUGCCGUGCUACGAAAAAUAAGAUUCUUAGAUAACAUUUCAUUCUAUACUUUUACAUUAAGAUAAGAUACGUUAGACGUAGGUUUGUUUUUUUAUUUUAUUUUAUUUUUUAUCUUGGUUGUUGGCCUAGGAUUUCUAAUUAAAAAUAUGGACUGUGGUGAUACAUAUUUGUGGAGAAUCAUCAUUCCAAGGAAUUUAUUUUUCCUUCCAUCUGGUAUCCGUGUUGUAAAUCUUUUGUUGCAUUUCCAUACUUUUGAGGAAAACACCAUCUUGCUGACAUCGUGGUAACGAAGAAAAACGCAAUCAUUAUUGCCAAAGUCAUUUUGAAGAAACUAGGCUAAUCGAAUUAGGAGCAAAAUAGUGUCUCAUAUUGGACCUUAGUGUAAAUGUGACUUAAACCAGAAAAAGUAAAAAAAAAAAAAGUAUAUAAUCUAUUGUCAUGAUACCAAUUCAGCUCUUAACCUUUUAAAUAAUCAAUUUAAUUCUAAACAUUUUCAUAUUGAUACCAAUUUAGUCCAUCCGACCAAUUUAAACCAAAAAUUGCCAAUGUGAACGCCAGCUAUCCUACGUAGCAUGAUCGAUACUGGCGUGUAUAUUUUUAAUAAUAUUUUAAUAUUUUUUGAAUUUUUAAAAUCUUUUUUGCUUUUUCUUUUUUCGACCUCCCUCUUCUUUGCUUUUUCUUUUUGCCAGUGGCCAUUGCUAGCCAUCGACCAUAGCCAUGGUCGGCUAGGGUUGGCCUUGGUCGGCCUCACCGACCAUAGCCAUGGUCGGUGUGGCUAGCCUUGGUCGACCUCACCGACCACAAGCAAUGGUUGGCCUCGCUGGGUCGCCUUUGAGCGAGGGCAAGCGCCGAUCGUCCUAGCGAGGCCCCCUCGUCAGAUCUAACAACCAACCAUCGCACAGGUGAGGGCGAGGCUAGUUGGGCCUCGCCAUCACCCACGUGGGGCUCACCAAGCCUCAUCCUCGCCGAAGCGAGCCUCGACGAGGCCGACCCGUACUUAGGCGAGGUGUAAUGAGGCACCCUGGCCUAGGAGAUGGUCAGCCUCCUCAAAUCCAGUGAGGGGGCCUCACCUAGCCACACCUGGACGGCCGACGCUCCCCCUUGACCACGCCCUCGCCCAAAGAAAUUACCAUCGGAUAGUUGCAUAUAUGUCGCAUUGCUAUGUAUACAAAGAAAUUACCACUAUGCAAGGCGCCUAUUUAAGCAAAAACAUACGUUCUUCAUUCAAAUUAUUUGAUGGCAAAUUGAAUAUUAGUAUUGUGUUGCUGAUUGGAGAGCUUACCUUGUACUCUAACGAUUAUACCACACAUAAAUAGACAAUGUUUCCUUUUGACAUAUUAGUUCUAGAAUAUAUAGAAUUAAUGGGUGAAAUAUCUUUUAACACACUGUCAUAAGGCUUUGUGGCAGAACGUCAAUUAGAUAUAACAAAUGUGACUAUCCAUCAACAAAUUAACCUAGCCCGAACCAGUCAACCUACCCUAGCUAAAAACUAUUCAUUCAGGUUGGUUUCGUUUCGAUUUGAAAUCUGAAAAGAACAAAAUCUAACCAACCUAUAUAUAGCAGAAGAACAAAAUCUGCAGUGUCCAAAUCUACACAAUAGAAAACAUAAUCCUCAAAUCAAAUUACAUUUUCCAGUUCAAAGUAAAACCAAAGAUAUGGUCCGAGAUCUGAUCAUUGCUAACUAAAAAUAUCAUUAUUCUUUUUUUUCCUUCUCUUUUUUUUUUUUAAAAAAAUUGUUUUGUGGUGGAGUUUCUCCCAAAGACCCUCCUAAUAUAACAUGAAAAUUUCCAACACAAUAAGUAUUCAAAAGGCUCACUCAAUUAAAAGUUGGAUAAGGAACAUAAAAGCAAAUUUUCUUUUGACAAUACACCCCAAACAACCAUAGCAAUCACUUCUCCUUUUUUUUCUUCUUUUUUUAUACUCCAUCCUUCCUCCCAAAUUUCUAUUAAGCUCAAAUAAUUUUUUAUCCAAAAAAAAUAAAUCAACGUGUUCAUAGGGCAUGGGACAAUGAUAUAAUUUGAUAACUACUGGGUUAAAUUUAUAUGGGUGCCAAUGAAAAAUUGGGUAAUAAUUAAAGCUCAACGGGGUGACUGGGGAUAAAUAAACAGGUUAGCUUGAAUGGCUCAAUUGAUCCAAAAAUUGCCUAAAUCAUUUUUUCAGUUAGAUUUAGCUUAGGAUUUCGCCUCAAGAGAAAAUCAAACAAAUUCUAAAAUUUGGGUGAAAUUUAAGAAAAUCACAUACUUCACAUGAAUGUUCUCUAGAUUUACACAUAAUUAAAAAAAUAAAGGACUUUUAGUGCUCAGUAAGUAAAUCAACAUAAUCAAAAUUAAAAUUAACUCACACAUCAAUUGCAAGUUUCUAAGAAUCGCAAAAAUUCAUAACUAGAAAUGCAAUCAUGAUAAAAAAAAAUUAGCCAAAAAAAAUUGUCUCCUCCCCCCCCACCCCCCUCCAAAACUGGAAGAAUGAAGUAGGGUCUCCAUGGCGAAUAAAAAAAAUGGGAAAAGAAAAACUCCCUGGGUGGAGGGAAACCUCCUAAGAUAACCUGGAGGAUUAAAUCCUGGAAGGUGGUCCCCAAAAAGAUUAAUUUUGAUAAAAUUAAGAAAAAGUAAACCUUUUUUUUUUUUGCCAAACAUUAAACUUACCAUUAAACAAAAAUAAANNNNNNNNNNNNNNNNNNNNNNNNNNNNNNNNNNNNNNNNNNNNNNNNNNNNNNNNNNNNNNNNNNNNNNNNNNNNNNNNNNNNNNNNNNNNNNNNNNNNUCUAGAUAAUGAAGUUCAAUGGUGGUCUAUGCUGUGUAACACUCAAAGUAGGGUUUCAAAUGUGAUUGUUCACCCUGACUGUGCCUUAGUGUCAUGCUCAACUUUAACUGUUCCGUAUGGGAAUACCUGUGUAACUGUAAAAGGACCAGACCAUCGAGACCGCAACUUUCCUGGAAAAAGUUUAAGAUGAGAGUUAUAAAGUAAGACUUUUUGAUCAAUUUUAAACGACAAAAGAACGCUUCGAGUGUCAAAAGUUGGCACAAAGGGACACUUAAGUGCCAAAAGUUACGAAAUGUACACUUAAGUGCCACAUUUGAAGAAAAAUGGAUCACUUAAGUGCCACUCCGUCCAAAGUCCGGUCAAAAGGCUGACAUGGCAUUUUUCCGACGAAUUUCUAGCAAAGUUAACCCAAAACGAUGCCGUUUUGCAUGCUGACGUAGCCAAAUAAUGCAAAAAUGGCAUCGCUUUAGGAUGACGUGGUAAAAAAAUAAUAUAAAAAUUAAAUAAAUUAAAUUUAAAAUUAGAUUUAGUUAAAAAAUAUUAAAAAAUAAUAAUUUUAAAAUUAAAAUUAGUUAAAAUAUUAAAAAAUAAUAAUUUUAAAAUUUAAAAAAUUAAUAAAAGGGGGGGGUGGCUAAGGGCAACCACCGCCGCCUCCUUGCUGUCGCCAGGAAGUGCUGGCGACGAAGGGGGGAGGGUCAACCAGGGUCGCUGGCCCUUGGUCAGGGGUCGACGACCCGGCCAACCGGCAGUGAGGGGGAGCGAGCACUCGCCAUAAUUUGGGGCGAGGGUUGCAGCCCUUGCCUAGAUCUGGCAAGGGUCAACAGCCCUCGCCCGACCAAGCCAAGGGUCACCGCUCGUCGGGGCGAAAAUAGAGAAAAGUUAAUCUUUUUUUUUUUUUGCAAAACAUAAACUUAACAAUAAACAAAAAUAAAACAUAAUUAAAAUGCUUGAGUUGCCUCUCAAGAAGCGCUUGCUUUAUAGUUUUCAGCCAAACUAUCUCAGAUGUCGCUAUUCUAGAUAAUGAAGUUCAAUGGUGGUCUUAUGCUUGUUGUAACCACCUUCAAAGUAGGGUUUCAAACGUUGAUUGUUCACCCUGACUGUGCCCUCAGUGUCAUGCUCAACUUUAACUGUUCUGUAUGGGAAUACCUGUGUAACUGNNNNNNNNNNNNNNNNNNNNNNNNNNNNNNNNNNNNNNNNNNNNNNNNNNNNNNNNNNNNNNNNNNNNNNNNNNNNNNNNNNNNNNNNNNNNNNNNNNNNAAUUUACACAAGCCUCAUUGCGAAAUUCCUUCAAUUCAUUCAGUUGCAAUAAUCUUUCUUCACCUGCAGAUUGCAUGUCAAAAUUCAGGAAUUUCAAUGCCCAAUAUGCUUUAUGCUCUAAUUCCACUGGUAAAUGACAAGCCUUCCCAAACACUAGCCUAAAAGGAGACCUCCCAAUUGGAGUUUUAAACACUGUCCUAUAGGCCCAAAGUACAUCAUCAAGUUUUAUUGAUCAAUCUGUCACACCCUGAUCCUCGGGCACACGCACAUCCUUCUCGGUUGGUCGGUUUUAUAAUGCGAUAUCCCAUGAUUAUGUAUCGCCGACCCUUUUAUUUUUAAGCACAUGUGAAAAUAGUUAUAAUCUCCAGACAAUAAAACGAUGUGAUAGAAAAGCAAGACCAUAUUUUUCAUAUUGAAACUUAUAACCAAACUUUUCUACAAAAUACAAACCAAAUUACUUUACAACUAUUCACAACUUUUUACUCUAACUCUAUUAACAUCAAGACAGGAUUCACAAAAGAGGAUAGGAUCUCAGUCCUCAUCCGGAUCGUACUCGAGAUCCCUCUCGAUAGUAUAUUCUUCUUCCAAAAAUCCUUCUCCUUAGGUUUCCCUUCAGAGUUCUCCUUCUCAGAUUCCUCCUUAGCUCCUCAUCGGGGUCUUGAAAUGUUUUCCCCAAACUAGGAUGAGACUACGUCUCAGUGAGUUCUACCCCACUAAAACUCAAUUAGGGAACCAAUACACUACUCGGUUGCCUAAGCACACCAUAAGUCAAAGGACUUACCUUGGCCUCAGUCUUAACCUACAAUUCAAGGUUAUAUAUGAACGCUUCACAAAUCAUAACGAACAAUCAAUCAAAUCAUGACAAUCUAAUCAAAUCAUUGAUCAAUCGAACUAGUCGAUUACAUGUCAGAUGAACCAUUCCAGAUCAUUGAUUCCACACCAAAUAACCUUCCAUCGAGCACUCGGUCACAGAGCCACAUCAAUGCUCUCGGGCGUCAAGUUCGCCAAUGUGAUGUAAAUAACAGAUGGUCUACGUGCGUUCUUUAAGGCGCCGUUUUCGCACAGUGAUAUUCCUCAUCACGAAACCACGCCCAUCAUAGAUCACAGACAAUCUAUGUGCGUUCUUUAAGGCGCCAUUUUCGCACAGUGAUAUCCUUAAUCACCGAACCACGCCUGUCUGUACUUUGUACUUGAUCGGUCUCAGCCGAUAGAAUUUUCAGUUAGUUCUCGCCACUCUCUCCACUUACAGCUCAACAAGGUAAUCAAAAUGCUAAAUAGUCAUACUCGGUCAACUACCAAUCAAUAAUUCAAUUUCAAUCAAUUUAGGGUAAAUCCCUAAAAUAUCACAAUUUAUUUAAUUCCAUGCAACGUAGAGCUCAAUUAAAUAAACAGACUGUGCCACGACAAUCAGCAUGGGAUUUCGAUCGUCGGCUAAGCCAGCCUUAAUUUCUGAAAAAUAAAUAAUUAAUUCAUUAAUUUCGAAAAUUAAUAAUUAAUUACAAUAAAUCCAAUUUAGCUCAAAUCGGAGCUCAAUUAAAUAAAUGGACUUCACCACGAUUAUCAGCAUAAAAUUCUGAUCAUCAACCAUCCUAGUUGAAUUUUCGGAAAAUAAAUAAUUAAAUAAUUAAUUCCAAAAAAUAAUAUUUAAAUACCAAAAAUUCCACUUAGGCCAGAAUUGUCAAAUUGAAGCCCGAUUAGGGUCGGGAAAAAUCCUAGGCUACCCUCAAUAAAUAGUAGACCAUGUCUACUUGCUAAAUACACAUUCAAUUUAUCUAAUUUGCAUCACAUUGACUAAUAAACACUAAUCAAUACUAAUUUAACCGCCUAAACCUAAUUAAUUAAAACUAAACAACCCUUAAGUGUAAUUAGUCCGCUAAACAAGGAUUAGUGAGAUUAUUCACUAGAAUCACAUGCAAGUCGGACCAAUCCGAUGGGGAUGACGCGAGGAACGAUAAACCUCAAAGCGGGUCUCGGGUUCUGGGCCUGGAAACGGCCCAAAAGCGGGCCCGAAGUCGCUGGAGACCCACUCCACAACUUGCUGGGUUGCUGCAAAAUAGAGGGGAAAAAGAGAUGGUUGGGGGCAGCAAGGGGUCAGGAGAGUGGGCGAAGCUUUGGUGAGGCCGGACGGUGGCUGGAGGGGGUUGGGCCACAGCCUAAGCUGGUUGAACAAGGUUAGACAGAGGCGGAAGUCACACGGGGGAGGGAUGGCAAUGAGCAGUGGGCGCGCUAGCGUGCGCACAGUGGCAAGUGGCGGACACACGAGCACGGGCGGCGAGACGGGCGGUGACGGCUUCGGCGAGCUGCUGCUGCUCGGCUUCUUCCGCUUUUGGUUCGCUGGUUGCACGAAGAAGAAAGAAAAGAAGGGGUUCGGUCACGAGGGGGAGAAGAGAGAGGAGAGAGAAGAAGAGAUAAGUGAGAGAAGGGAAAGGGUUUGACUAGUCAAAUGGGGAGAGAGAAGAAGCCAAAUUGAAUUUGGCAAGGCAAGUGUUCGGUGGGGGAGUGUCCGCACGAAGGGGGAGGGGAGAGGAGAGAGAAGAGAGAGAGAAAAAGAGAGAAAAAGAGAGAAAAAGGGAGAGAGAGAGAGAAAAAGAAAUAAAAUAAUAGCCUUAUCCUUUUUUUUUUUACUUUUCUCUUUCCCUUUCCUUUUCUAUUUUCUUUUGAUCUUCGAUUUUUCCUCUGAUAAUUUCUUUUUUGAAAUUUCGGACUCGUCAAUAAAUUGACAGACGAUGAGACGGUCCUAAAAAUGAAUUGUGACAUGCUCGAAUAUUCGAUUCCCGAAACCAAUUUAAAUUUCAUGGUUAGAAUCGAUCAUACAUGAUUUUAGUCCAAUCCAACUAAUUGAGUAGCUUUUAAGGAUUUUACUGUAGAUACAUCCCUUAAUGGCUUCACCCAAUAGGUUAGUUAACUCGUGAGUGAUCGGCUCAGAGAAAAAGGACCAUAGGUACAUUGAUGACGUGCCCAUUUCACUUUAUCGAAAUGGGGUCGAAUUUCCCGAUGUCAUAACUCUUCCCCUCUUAUAAAAAUUUUGUCCUCGAAAUUUAAACCAUUACACACUUUUGUCAAAAAGGUGGGGGUACAAUUCUCUCAUCGACACUUCAGUCUCCCAAGUCGCUCCUUCAGUGCCAUGGUAUUGCCAAGACCACUUUGAUCAACGGAAUGGUCUUUGUACACCGAACUUGCUCUUUAUGAUUGACAAUUUGAACCGGGCUUUCAACGUAUGACACAUGGUCAUCCAUGUCCAAUUCCUCAAAAUUGAGUACGUGGGUUGGAUCAGGCUCGUACUUCCUUAACAUCGACACGUGAAAGACAUCAUGCACUUGCGCCAAUCUUGGCUGCAACGCAAGACGAUACACUAGGUUUUCGAUUCUUUCAAGAAUCUCAAACGGACCUACGUACCUCGGACUCAACUUGCCUUUCUUACCAAAGCGCGAAGUUCCCCUCAUUGGUGACACUUUCAAAAAACGUGAUCACCAACUUGGAAUUCCAAAGACCUUCGACGCUUAUCUACAUAACUUUUCUGCUUGCUUUACGCUGUCUUUAAUCUAUCUCUAAUCACCGUCAUGGCAUCUACUGAUUGCUGAACCAACUCUGGGCAUGUUAUCUUCCCUUCUCCGACUUCAUCCCAACAUACUGGAGUUCUGCACGCUCUGCCAUACAACGCUUCAAAAGGAGCCAUCUUGAUGCUUUGCUGAUAACUGUUGUUGUAGGCGAAUUCAACCAGAUGAAACUGAUCUUCCCAACUUCCUUUGAAGUCUAUUACACACACUCUCAUCGUGUCUUCAAGAGUCUAAAUUGUCCUUUCAAACUGACCAUCCGUCUGAGGAUGAUAUGCUGUACUGUACUGAAGCUUUGUACCUAAAGCACUCUGCAAGCUCUUCUAAAAAGCAGCAGUAAACCUCGGGUCUCUGUCGGAUGUUAUCGUAACCGGCACUCCAUGCAUACGAACCACCUGACGCACAUACAUGUUUGCGUGUCUAUCCAUACUCAAGUCCUUUGGAAUUGCAAUGAAGUGAGCCGACUUUGUCAGCCUGUCGACCACUACCUAAAUUGAAUCAUUUCCUCUUUGACUCUUUGGUAGUUCAGUCACGAAAUCCAUCGUGAUAUGCUCCCAUUUCCACUCUGGGGUCGCAAGAGGUUGUAGAAGUCCUCUUGGCUUGCAAUUCUGAGCUUUUACUUGUUGACAAGUCAAACACUUAGCGACAUGCUUGGCAAUGUCCGCCUUCAUACCUGACCACCAAUAGUGUUGGCGCAGAUUCUGAUACAUCUUAGUGCUUCCAAGAUGAAUGCUAUAAUUGCUACAAUGUGCUUCAGAUAAAAUUUCUUCUUUAAGCUCUAUAUCAUCAGGUACAACUAAACGUCCACAGAGCCUUAGUACACCAUCAUCAAAAACCUGAAAAUCAGCCUUUCAUUUAUCGGUAUCCUCUUGAAGAAUUCUUUGUACACCUGGAUCUGUCGAUUGAAGUUGCUUGAUUCUGACUUAGACAUUCGGUUCAAUUCUGAGGGUCGCUAUAAGACUCUAGAGGUGGCCUACCUCAAAUUUGAAUUCCGAAUCUCGAGCUCUCUCGAUUAAGUUCCACUCCUUAACCAAGAUCUGCACCACUGAAGACUUCCGACUUAAUGCAUUGGCGACCUUGUUCGCCUUUCCCAGGUGAUAUAGAAUAUCACAGUCGCAAUCCUUCAACAAUUCCAUCCAUCGGUGCUGUCUCAUGUUUAACUCCUUCUGAGAGAACAAAUACUUGAGACUCUGAUGGUCUGUGAAGAUCUGAAACUUUUCUCCACACAAGUAGUGCCUCCAAAUCUUCAAUGCAAAUAUUAUGGUUGCAAGUUCUAAGUCAUGCAUUGGAUAAUUCAAUUCAUGAGGUCUCAACUGCUUGGAAGCGUAUGCAAUAACUCUACCAUGUUGCAUCAACACGCAACCCAAUCCCCUAAAUGACGCAUCACUAUAGAUCUCGAAUCCUCCAGGACCAGAUGGAAUCGUCGGCACAGGUGCGGUAGUAAGCUUUUCCUUCAGCUCUUGGAAACUAGCUCACACUUGUCUGUCCAUAUGAACUUCUCGUUUUUCUUCGUGAGCUUUGUCAGAGGCGACGCUAUCGAUGAGAACCCUUCCACAAACCGUCUAUAAUAAUCUGCUAACCCCAAAAACUUCUGAUCCCUGUCAUUGUUGAUGGUCUGGACCACUUGAUCACAGCUUCUAUCUUGCUCGGGUCGACGAAGAUUCCUUCUUCGGAAAUCACAUGACCUAAGAACGCAACACGAGUUAGUCAAAACUCGCAUUUGCUAAACUUAGCAUACAGUUGAUGAGUUCUUAAGGUCUGGAGUACUACUCUAAGAUGAUUCUCAUGCUCUUCAUCACUUCUUGAAUAGACCAAGAUGUCAUCAAUGAACACGAUCACAAAUUGAUCCAAAUAUUCCCUGAACACUAUGUUCAUCAAAUCCAUAAAGGCAGUUGGAGCAUUCGUCAACCCGAACGGAUCACUGUAAACUCGUAAUGGCCAUACCGGGUACGAAAUGCUGACUUAGGGAUGUCCUCCUUCCUAAUUCUCAGCUGAUGAUAUCCUGUCCUCAAGUUGAUCUUCGAGAAUAUCGACGCUCCUUGUAAUUGAUCAAACAAGUCAUCUAUCCUCGGCAAUGGAUACUUAUUCUUGAUCGUUACCUAAUUGAGCUGCCGAUAGUCGAUGCACAAACGCAACGAACCAUCUUUCUUCUUAACAAAUAGAACUGGUGCUCCCCAAGGUGAUGCACUAGGACGAAUAAAUCCUUUAUCCCAUAACUCUUGCAUCUGCACCUUCAGUUCUUUCAACUUAGAUAACGCCAUCUGGUAAGGUGCCUUCGAAAUUGGUUCAGUCCCUGGUGCUAGCUCAAUUACAAAUUCAAUCUCUCUUUCUGGCGGUAACCCUGGCAAUUCUUUUGGAAAGACAUCUGGAAACUCCUGAACCACCGAAAUAUCUUCCAUUUGUAACUCCUCAAUUGUUGUAUCCACGAUAAUUGCUAAGUACCCUCGACAAUCCUCGUCUAACAAACGAGCUACUUCCAGCGACGAGAUUAAGGAAAUCGAAGGUCCUCCUUGAUUCCCGACAAACUCGAAGCUCUUAUCCCCUAAUGGGUCAAACUGAAUCGUCUUGCGAUAGCAGUCCAUUUUAGCUCGUUGAUUGGUGAGCCAGUCCAUGCCAGUUAUCAAAUCAAAAUCAUACAUGGCUAGGACUAACAAGUCAAUUUUCCACACUCGCUCACCAAUCUCUAACUUGCACCCCGAACAUCCUAAAACAUCAAUAACUUUAGCUUUCAAGGGUGUAGAUAUGCAAAUUAUCGACUUCAACAAUACAGGACUCAACCCUAGCAUCUUAACAUAUUGCUCGGCAAUGAAGGAAUAGGUUGCUCCCGAAUCAAACAAAGCAUAAGCAGGUUGGUCAUUGAGUGAGACCGCCUGUGNNNNNNNNNNNNNNNNNNNNNNNNNNNNNNNNNNNNNNNNNNNNNNNNNNNNNNNNNNNNNNNNNNNNNNNNNNNNNNNNNNNNNNNNNNNNNNNNNNNNUCCUUGCAGUGCAUUUUGAGGGGCAUACUCUCCUAUCUGUCUCAUCGGUGGCGGCGGCGGCAACUGAGGUUGUCCUCUCUGCUACUUUGGACAAUACCUUGCAAUGUGGCCAUGUUGGCCACAUUCGUAACAUGCUUCUAUUCUGGCUAGAUACGGAGUUGUCCCGUGUUGUCUUCCACAUGAGCGACAAGAAUUAACCCUAUUAGGCAUUGGUCUAGUGAAUCCGCUUCUCUUGAAGGGUGGAGCAUUGGGCCUACCUCCAGGCAUGGGUCUCUUCCCUUGACGGAUAUUCUCUAGAUGGAAGCCAAACCUCGAUCCAAAUGAGGUAGCUUGUUCAUUCAAUCCUCGCUCUAUCAUCUGGGCUCGACGAUAAACCUCCCUGUAAUUUUUCAAGUCCCAUGGUAGCAAAGGUUGUUUCAAUUUAACACGAAGACCGCUUUUGAACUUCCGAGCUUUCUCUUUAGAGUCUUCUAUCAGCUUAGGAGCAUACUGUGAUAGUUCUGCGAACUUGACCCCAUACUGGUCAACUGUCAUGCUCCCUUGGUGGAGACAGUGGAACUCUUCUAUCUUUUGUUCCUGAGCAGUACUCGAAAAGUACUGAUCAUUAAAGGCUUUGAGGAAGGUGUCCCACACUUAGACCUCACCUUCCGGAAACACUAUAUCCUUGGCGGAUCUCCACCAUAUAUUAGCGUUACCUUGAAGUUGGUACACAGCUAUUAACACAUUUUCCUCCUCAUUGCACAUCAGAAGUGCAAAUGCCUUCUCCAAAUCUUGUACCCACAGAGACGCGGCCUCAGGGUCUCCGGUACCAAUGAAUUUCAGUGGAUUCAUUUUUAAAAACUGAUCCACUAACUGGUGAAUCGGCCUCCCAGCGGCUACAACUCCUGGUAGUAUUUCAGCAGGAGCGACGGCAGGUGGAACUGCAGGUGCGGCGACAGGGGCAGCUUGAGCAGUAGCGACAGCUACGGUAGCAAUGGUAGCGUUGGCAGCGGCAGUGGCGGCAGCUUCAACAGCGGUAGUAAAGGUGGUAGUUUGAUCUCGGGCCUGUUGCCCCAUCAUCCCCCACAUAGCAUUUAGAGCCUGGUUGAUUCCGACAGUUCCUUGCUCACCCGGGGCUACUACCCCAGUACCAACAGGAGGUGGUGCUACUCUAGCAUCUACAACAGGUGGAAUCAUUCCACUCACGCUAGCCUCUGUUGGCGCUCUACCUCGGCCACCUUGGGCACCAACUCUUGUUGGCGUCCUUGUCCGAGUUACUGAGGACAAGGUCCUCUGUCUAGGAGUUCUCGGCUCCUGAUCGCUCAUGGUGUCAUUUUAAUCUACUAACACCUACUUCCAAUUCAAAACUGAAUUAGAAACAGAGCGAUUCAAACAACAAGCAAUUUGAGUACUCAGCUAACACAGACAUGCACCAGCAUGAAUUUAAAGGCAUUUCCUACUUACUAUCCCAUGGUAAACGCUCCUUAUCACUCCAAUAUUGAACUAAGCUUUGAUACCACAAAAAGGGGAUGUCACGCCCCAAUCCUCGGGCAAGCGCACAUCCUUCUAGGUUGGUCGGUUUUAUAAUGCGAUAUCCCAGGACUAUGUAUUGCCGACCCUUUUCAUUUUUAAGCAUAUGCAGAAGCAGUUAUAAUCCCCAAACAAUAAAACGAUGGGAUAGAAAAGCAGAGCCAUAUUUUUCAUAUUGAAACUUAUAACCAAACUUUUAUACAAAAUACAAACCAGAGUACUUUAUAACUAUUCACAACUUUUUACUCUAACCCUAUUAACAUCAAGACAUGAUUCACAAAAGAGGAUAGGAUCUCAGUCCUCAUCCAGAUCAUUCUCGAGAUCCCUCUCGAUAGUAUCUUCUUCUUCCAAAAAUCCUUCUCCUUAUGUUUCCCUUCAGAGUUCUCUUUAUCAGAUUCCUCCUCCUCAGCUCCUCAUCGGGGUCCUGAAAUGUUUUCCUCAAACCGGGAUGAGACUACGUCUCAGCGAGUUCUACCCCACAAAGACUCAAUUGGGGAACCAAUACACUACUUGGUUGCCUAAGCACAGCACAAGUCAGAGGACUUGCCUUAGCCUCAGUCCCAACCUGCAAUUCAAGGUUAUAUACAAACGCUUCAUAAAUCAUAACGAACAAUCAAUCAAAUCACGACAAUCUGAUCAAAUCAUUGAUCAAUUGAACUAGUCGAUUAUAUGUCAAAUGGACCAUUCCAGAUCAUUGAUUCCACACCAUAUAACCUUCCAUCGAGCACUCGGUCACAGAGCCACAUCAAUGCUCUCGGGCGUCAAGUUCGCCAAGGUGACGUAAAUAACAGACAAUCUACGUACAUUCUUUAAGGCUCCGUUUUCGCACAAUGAUAUUCCUCAUCACAGAACCACGCCCGUCAUAGAUCACAGACAGUCUAUGUGCGUUCUUUAAGGCGCCAUUUUCGCACAGUGAUAUCCGUAAUCACCGAACCACACCUGUUUAUACUUCAUGCUUGAUCGGUCUCAGCCAAUUACAGCUCAACAAGGUAUUCAAAAUGCUAAAUAGUCAUACUGGGUAAACUACCAAUCAAUAAUUCAAUUUCAAUCAAUUUAGGGUAAAUCCCUAAAAUAUCACAAUUUAUUAAAUUCCAUGCAACGUAGAGCUCAAUUAAAUAAACGGACUGCGCCAUGACAAUCAGCACAAGAUUUCGGUCGUCGACUAACCCAGCCUUAAUUUCCAAAAAAUAAAUAAUUAAUUCAUUAAUUUCGAAAAUUAAUAAUUAAUUACGAUAAAUCCAAUUUAGCUCAAAUCGGAGCUCAAUUAAAUAAAUGGACUUCACCAUGAUUAUCAGCAUAAAAUUCUGAUCAUCAACCAUCCUAGUUGAAUUUUCGGAAAAUAAAUAAUUAAAUAAUUAAUAUUAAAAAUUCAAUUUAGCUCAAAAUAAAGCCCGAUUAAAUAAAUGGACUUCACCACAGCCAUCAGCAUAAUAUUCCGAUCACUGGCCAUCCUAGAUGAAUUUUCGAAAUAUAAAUAAAUAAUUAAUUAAUUUCGAAAAAUAAUAUUUAAAUGCCAAAAAUUCCACUUAGGCCCGAAUUGUCAAAUUGAAGCCUGAUUAGGAUCGGGAAAAAUCCCGGGCUACCCUUAAUAAAUAGUAGACCACGUCUACUUGCUAAAUACACAUUCAAUUUAUCUAAUUUGCAUCACAAUUGACUAAUAAACACUAAUCCAUACUAAUCUAACCACCUAAACCUAAUUAAUUAAAACUAAACAACCCUUAAGUGUAAUUAGUCUGCUAAGCAAGGAUUAGUGAGAUUACUCACCGGAAUCGUGUGCAAGUUGGACCAAUCCGAUGGGGACAACGCGAGGAACGAUAAACCUCAAAGCGGGUCUCGGGUUCGGGGCCCAAAGUCAUUGGAGACUCACUCCGCAACUUGCUGGGUUGCUGCAAAAUAGAGGGGAAAAAGAGAUGGUUGGGAGCAGUAAGGGGUCGGGAGAGCGGGCGGAGCUCCGGUGAGGCUGGACAGUGGCCGGAGGGGGUCAGGCCACGGCCUGAGCUGGCCGAACAAGGCUGGACAAAGGCGGAAGUCACACGGGGGAGGGAUGGCAGCGAGCGGCGGGCGCGUUUAGGGGUGAGCGGUUCCAGGUUCCGGUUCGGUUCCGUCCGGAACCUGGAACCUACCCUCGGGUACAGGUUCCUCAAAAUGAGGAACUUGGAACCUACUCGUGGGAACCGAGAACCUGGAACCCACCCUGGCACAGGUUCCAGGGUCGGUUCCAGGUUCCAACAGGUUCUUUUUUUUUUCUUUUUUUUCAGAUUUGAACUAUAACAUAUGCGCACGUUACCCAAAAAAACUAUAACGUACGUGCACGUUACCAAAAAAAAAAAAACUAUAACAUAUGCGCAUGUUACCAAAAAAAAAUAUAACGUAUGCGCACGUUACCAAAAAAAACUAUAAUGUACGUGUAUACUACACGGUAACUUCCCAUUGACAUGUUAUCUUGAUACAUUAACUUCGCACUGCACAACAAUAAUAAAAUAUAAUUAGAAAUUUCAAAACAAAUAGCAAACUAGAAAGUAGAAAUAAAACACCACUAGAAUAAGAAUGUCUAGAGGUACAAGUUUUGAAAACAAUUUCGAUUAAACCCUUAAAUGAACUCAGAAAAUUCUGAAAUUUGGACACGUUGUAUUUAAGACCUAGAGGUACAAGUUUCAUGAAGAAAUUGUAGUCCAAUUCGUUCUGGAUUAAAAGAUAAAAUUGAUUUACUUUUCCUAUUCUCUACUUGCGCAGUUUUUGCAACAUUUUUGGUUAAAUAGGCAAAUGAACUACAAAAAUUACGAAAUUUAAAUAUGUUGUAGGGAAGACAUGAAGAGAGAUAUUUCAUACAGAACACAUUUCCAAAAGAUCCUCAUACAAAUGAUAUAGUCCACGCAUUGCAACUUACAAGAUCCGAACACAUCAGAUUGCACAGUUUUAGAAACAUUUCCGAUUAAAUACCCAAAUGACCUUAAAAAAUUAUGAAAUUCGACUAUGUGAUAGCCAAGACCAUAAGGUAGAUACUUCAUGAAAUCAUCGAAGUCAAAUUCGUCUUAGAUAAUUAAAUAUGGACGGUUAAAAUCCCUGUUUGUAGUACCGUAAUUCCAGAUCUAAUCAUCUCCAAAGGACCACGAUUUCACCUACCUAUUCUUGUUUUUUUUCUCUAAAUUUUUGAUAUGUUGUACCUCAGGAUGUCCUUUACAACUUUUGUUAAGAAACCGAAGUAAAAUUUCGACAAAAAGGUUGCCUUACAGUCAAUGCAUUCAUCAAGGGUCGGUCCCAAAAUCUCUAGAUCCAGUCUUUCCAAAGAAUAACGAUUUAACCCACUUAUACUUGUUUUUUUUGUCCCAAAUUUGAGUAUGUUAUACUCCAAGAAGUCCUUUACAACUUUCAUUUAGAGGUCGAAGCCAAACUUCAACUAGAACAUCACAUACAAGUCACUAGAACAUCGAACAUCACAUACAAGUCACUAGAACAUCCAAGACGGUUUUGGUUCCGAAACCGGUUCCGGUUCCUAGAAAAAAGGAACCGGAACCAGAACCGAUCCCCCUUGGAACCGGGAACCGCGCUCAGCCCUAGGCGCGUUGGUGUGCGCACGUCGGCAAGUUGCGGACGCAUGGGCGCAGGCGCUAGUGGCGAGACGGGCGGCGACAGCUUCAACAAGCUGCUGCUGCUUGGCUUCUUCCGCUUCUAGUUCGCUGGUUGCACGAAGAAGAAAGAAAAGGGGGGGGGGGGUUCAGUCAUGAGGGGGAGAAGAGAGAGGAGAGAGAAGAAGAGAUAAGAGAGAGAAGAGAAAGGGUUUGACUAGUCAAACGGGGAGAGAGAAGAAGCCAAAUUGAAUUUGGCAAGGCAAGUGUUCGGUGGGGGAGUGUCCGCACGAAGGGGGAGGGGAGAGGAGAGAGAAGAGAGAGAGAAAAAGAGAGAAAAGGGAGAGAGAGAAAAAGAAAUAAAAUAAUAGCCUUAUCAUUUUUUUAUUUACUUUUCUCUUUCCCUUUCCCUUUCUAUUUUCUUUUGAUCUUUGAUUUUUCCUCUGAUAAUUUCUUUCAUGAAAUUUUGAACUCGUCAAUAAAUUGACAGACGAUGAGACGGUCCUAAAAAUGAAUUGUGACACGCUCGAAUAUUCGAUUCCCGAAACCAAUUUAAAUUUCAUGGUUAGAAUCGAUCGGACGUGAUUUUAGUCCAAUCCAACUAAUUGAGUAGCUUUUAGGGAUUUUACUACAUAUACAUCCCUUAAUGGCUUCACUCAAUAGGUUAGUUAACUCGUGAGUGAUCAGCUCAGAGAAAAAGGACCAUAGGCACAUUGACGACUUGCCCAUUUCACUUUAUCGAAACGGGGUCGAAUUUCAGGAUGUCACAGCUUUCCUAGAGGCAUUCACUAUUUUUUUUCUAAAAUUCUCUUGAUUUCCCUAUUUAAAAGCUCUACUUAAGCACUAGUCUGAGGAUGAUAAGGGGCUGCAACCUUAUACAUGACUACAUAUUUACUCAAAAGUGCUUCAAAUUAUUUGUUGUAAAAAUAUAUCCCCUUAUCACUUAUAAAUUGCCUUAGGAGUGCCGAAUCGGGUAAAAAUAUUUUUCUUCAAAAAUUUGACCACAACCUUAGCGUUAUUUGUUGGUAAUGCUACAACUUCUACCCACGUAGACACAUAGUCCAUAGCCACUAAAAUGUAUAAAUUUCCAUAAGAAGGUAUAAAGGGUCCCAUAAAAUCAAUACCCCAAAUAUCAAAUAAUUCACACACAAUAAUGUUGUUUAAAGGCAUCUCAAUUUUUUUGAAAUAUUUCCAGUUCUCUAACACCUAUCACAUGAAACUACAUAAGAGUAUGCAUCUUUAAAAAGUGUAAGCCAAUAAAAUCUAUAUUGUAAAAUCUUAGCUGCAGUUUUGUUGGCACCAAAAUGGCCACCUACCUCUCCAUCGUGACAAUGAUGUAGAAUGUUUGUCUUCUCUUUGCCUAGAACACAUCUCCUUAUGACUUGAUCUGCACAUACUUUAAACAAGAAGGGUUCUUCCCAAAAAUAAUUUUUAACAUCAUAAAAGAAUUUUUUUUUCUUCUAUUGAUAUGAUAAUUCAGAAGGAAUAACAUUACUUACUAAAUAAUUUACAAAGUCAGCGCACCAGGGAAUUUUUGUGGACUUAAUGAAAAAAAAUUUCUCAUUAGGGAACUCUUCCAAAAUUGGACUUACCUCUUCUUUUGAAUUUGGAAUUCUUGAUAAGUAAUCUGCAAUUAGAUUUUCAAUCCCCUUCUUAUCUUUGAUUUUCAAAUCAAAUUCUUGCAGCAAUAGAAUCCACCUGAUCAACUUGGGUUUUGAUUCUUUCUUUUCAAGCAGAUACUUAAGAGCAAAGUGGUCAGAAUAAAUUAUAACUUUUGAGCUAAUUAAAUAAGAACGUAAUUUGUCAAAAGCAAAAACUACUGCCAAAAGUUCCUUUCUAGUUAUUGAAUAAUUGAAUUGUGCACCAGACAAGAUUUGACUAGCAUAGUAUAUGGUUCAAAAAAUUUUAUUCUUCCUUCAUCCCAAAACAGCUCCUAUUGUAGAAUUGCUAGCAUGACACAUCAGUUCAAAAGGUAAAUCCCAAUUUGGUGUUGCCAUAAUUGGUGCUGAUAUUAACUUCUCCUUUAAAGUGUUAAAAGCCUGCAAGCAUUCAACAGGAAGAUUAAAAGUAGCAUUUUUUUUUCCAAAAUAUUAGAAAGAGGUUUAGCAAUUUUUGAAAAAUCUUUUAUAAACCGCCUAUAAAAUCCUGCAUGCUCCAAAAAUUCUCUGACAAGUUUCAUAGAUAUUGGCGGAGGCAAUUUUACAAUGACCUCCACUUUGGCUCAAUCAACUUCUAUUCCGUUUUGAGAAAUUUUAUACGCAAGCACUAUUCCUUCCUGCACCAUAAAGUGAAACUUCUCCCAAUUCAAAACAAGGUUAGUCUCCUCACAUCUUUGUAAGACCAAAGCCAAAUUAUUUAAACACGAAUCAAAUAAUAAGCCAAAAGCGGAAAAAUCAUCCAUGAAAAUCUCAAUAUAUAUUUCAACCAUAUCAGAAAAAAUAGCCAUCAUGCAUCUCUGAAAAGUAGCUGGUGCAUUACAAAUACCAAAGGGCAUUAUUCUAAAAGCAAAAGUACCAUAGGAACAAGUGAAAGUAGUUUUCUCUUGAUCUUCUGGUGUAAUAGGAAUCUGAUUAUACCCCGAAUAUUCAUUAAGAAAACAAUAAAACUUAUGUCCCGCAUGUCUUUCUAACAUCUGAUUAAUAAAUGAUAAAGGAAAUUAAUAUUUUCUAGUGACAUCAUUCAAUUUUCUGUAAUACACACACACACACCACCCAGUAACUAUUCUAGUUGGAAUCAAUUCAUUAUUGUCGUUUUUCUGAAUAGUCAUACUACAUUUCUUUGGCACAACUUGUAUAGGACUUACCUAAGAACUAUCAGAGAUAUGAUAGAUGAUACCUGCAUCAAGUAGCUUAAUUACCUCAGCUUUCACUAUUUCUUGCAUCUUUGGGUUCAAACGCCUCUGAGGUUGGAUAAUAGGUUUAUAUUGUUCCUCCAUCAAAAUUUUGUGCAUGCAAAUUGAAUGACUAAUUCCCUUGAUAUCAGCUAUUUUCCAUCUAAUUGCACCCUUAUGUUCUCUUAAUAAUCUAAGUAGUUUCUCCUCCAUCGAAUUUGUCAAAGAAGAAGAUAUAAUUACCGAUAAUGAAGAAACUCUAUCAAAAUAAACAUAUUUUAAAUGAGAAUGUAAGGGUUUGAAUUAAAAAAUUAGAGGCUCUUCAAUUGAUAGUUUAAGCUUUGUAAUGUGCUAUCCCAACUCCUCAAAAUUAAUUGCCUUUUAUCUUGAAUAUGGUGGAAUUGCCUCCAUGAAAUUUGCAUGCUCCUUUAUCUCCCCCAUUCUGAAUAUCUCCGUCCCUUGGUUGAAUCAGACAUACUUCAAGUGGAUCUUUAAAAAUAUUUUCCUGAAAAACCUUAUUCACCAACUUGUCAAUUGUCUCAAUUCUAAAACAAGAAUUAUCAUCAUAUGGAUAUUUCAUUGCUUUAAAAACAUUCAAUGAAACGAUAUCAUCUUGAAUUCUAAGAAUCAACUUCCCUUGUUGUACAUCAAUAAGAGCUCUUCUUGUUGCUAGAAAAGGUUGACCUAAGAUAAGUGGUACCUCAAAAUCUUCCUCCAUGUCAAGAACUAUGAAAUCUGCAGGAAAGAUAAAUUUGUCAAUUUUUACCAAAACAUCUUCCACAAUACCUCUAAGAUAUUUAAUUGAUCGAUCAGCCAGUUGAAGUGACACUGUGGUUGUUUUUACCUCACCCAAUCCUAAUUUCUUGAAAACUGAAUAAGGCAUCAAAUUAAUACUUGCACUUAAAUCACAUAAUGUCUUUUCAAAGUAAGAAUCUAGAAAUAGUAAAACUCCCUAGAUCUUUUAAUUUUGGAGGCAAUUUGUUUUGUAGGAUGGCUGAACACUCCUCGUUUAACUUCACAGUUUCAUAAUCCUCCAGUUUCCUUUUGUUCGCCAAAAUCUCCUUCAAAAUUUUUGCAUAACUAGGCAUUUGCGCUAAGGCAUCUACAAAAUGAAUGUUAAUGUGCAAUUUUUUUAAAUACAUUAAGAAAUUUAGAAAAUUGCUUAUCUAUUUUGUGCUGCUAGAGUCGCUGAGGGAAUGGAAUUAGCAGCACAUAUGGCUUGGGAUUAUUUGGAAAAAUUUUACUCUUGCUUGUCUCCUUUGAUUGUUUAUUGAUCACAUCUUCCUUGUCUCUAAUAAUCUCCUGUUUGACAUCUUCUUCUCCCACUUGUUUACCACUUCUCAAGGUAAUAGCCUUUAUGUUUUCAAUUGGAUUUUUCUUUGUAUUGCUGGGCAAAGAACCUUGCUAUCUCCCUGACAUCAUGCUUGCUAACUGACCCACUUGCAUCUCCAAAUUUCUAAUUGAAGCCUCUUGGUUUUGAAAUCUCACAUUCGUGCUUUUGAUGAAGUCAUGAGUUGUGUUAGCAAGUUUGGUGACUAUAUCUUCCAAAUUUGACUUUGUAUCUUCUAAUUGUUUGAAUCUCGGUGGUCUCGUCACAUUCUGAUUAUUCCAUGAAAAAUUUGAAUGAUUGCACCAUCCCAUAUUGUAUGUAUUGGAGUAGGGAUUAUUCUAUGAUCUGUUAAAAUUCCCAACAAAAUUAGAAUUUUCACUAGAUUGUUUAAAAGUAUUACCUACCUAACACGCUGUGCUAACAUGUCCUCCACCACAAAAAUCACAUGUCAAAUUUUAAAUUUUCAUGAUUGAAACACUCAUAUUAUCUAGCUUUUUGUUGAGUGCUUCAAAUUGUGUAGCAAUUGCAACAAAAGCAUCCACUUUGUGAACUCCGCUAACUUUUUGCAUUAGUAGUCUCUCAGUAGGCAAAUAAUAACUAUUGGACGCCAUCCCCUCUAAUAAAUUGUAGGCUUCUUCUAAUGUUUUAUUAUUUAGAGUUCCUCUUAUAGCUGCAUCAAUCAUAAAACGGAAAUUUGUACUAGAGCCAUUAUAAAAAGUUUGUACUUGCAUCCAUAUGGGUAGUCCGUGAUGUGGGCAUCUCCUAAGAAAUUCUUUGAACUUUCACAUGCUUCAUAUAAUGAUUCAUUAUCCAUUUGCAUAAAAUUAGUAAUAUCGUUACGUAUCUUCGCAGACUUUGCAUGUGGAAAGAACUUGCCAAGAAAUUUCUUAGCCAUAUCAUUCUAUGUAGUAAUUGAUCUCGUAGGAAGAGAAGAAAGCCAACUCUUAGCUUUGUCUCUAAGAGAUAAUGGAAAUAAUCUCAAUCUAAUAGCGUCAUAUGUAACUCCAUUAUAUUUAAUGGUAUAACAGAUUUCAAGAAAAACAUCGAUGUGAGCAUUUAGAGCAUCGCUUGGUAGCCGAUCGAAUUGCACUAAUUAUUGAAGCAUCUGAAUGAGUGACAGUUUGAUCUCAAAGUUGUUUGCUUGAAUUGCAGGUCUUCUAAUACUUGAUAUGGUGCCUUAAACUGUUGAUGCAGCAUAAUCUCUUAAGAGUCUACAUGGAUUUUCAUUAUAACCGUCUGCCAUCUUCUUAGCAUGAUUUCUCUGUUCUCUUAGUCGCCUUUUCAAUGUACGCUCGAUUUCUAGAUCAAGCUCAGCAAGUUUCCCUUGUUGGCUGUCAUAAACUAAUGUACACCCUGAAAAAUAAAACAAAACAAAAGUUAGAUUAAACUUAGAAUUAUCUGGUAUCAAUAUUAAUUAUUAUUAAACAAACGAUCCCUGACAACGGCGCCAAAAACUUGUUUGUAAAAUUAUAAACGCAAGUGAACGUGUCGAACAAGUAAUAUAAUGAUAAGAAAAAGUAUCGUCCCACGAAGAUCGAUGAUUAAUAAACUAAUUAAAUACUAAAAUAGAUUAAUUCUAAAAUUUAUCUAAUAGAUCAAAUUAUAAUUUAGAAUAAAUUAAAAAAAGUUGAAGACUAAAUGCAGUAAAUCAAUCAGAUAAAUAUGUUAGAGCAUCCGAUUUCACCAUAACCACCAGAUAUGAAUUUCAGAUUUUGUGGGUACAAGAACAAUAUCAAAUAUGUGAUAGCGGAAUUUCUUAAUCUAUUUACUAUCCUAUCUCUAGGUAUAACAAACCUACUCAGCUUAUGAAUCCACUAUAUUUCCAUGUGAAUUAAAAUAAACAUGAGUGCAUUAAAACUAUUAAUAUUCUCGGCGUACAAUGAGUCUUUUUGAUUUGCCUGGCAUGCCCUCACCUUUGCUAGCGAGGGCAUCGCGACCCUCACCCAAAGCUCGUGAAGGGCACAACACCCUCGCCUAGAGUUGGCGAGGGUCGAUUGGCCCUCACCUAUGGCUAGUGAGGGUUGCCAACCCUCCCUUGUGGCCGACGUUGGCCCUCACCUAUGGCUGAGGCCAGCCAAAUUCGAACCCCAUAAAAAAGUAAAAAAAAAAAAGAAUCAUAAAAAAAUUCAAAAUAUUAUUAAAAUAUUAUUUAUAAAGUGCCACGUCAGUGUUGGCCAUCCAUGUUAGCAAUUUUCAGCCAAAAUUGGCUAAAUAGAUUGAAUUGAUAAAGAAGUGAAAAAGUUUAUGAUAAAAUUAGCAAAAUUGAAAGAUUUAUUAUUGAAUUAGUAAAAGUGUAAUAGGUUAAAGACUUUUUGGAUAAUUUUCCUGAUUAUGGUUGAUACGCAUUUGUGGAGAAUUAUCAUCAUCAAGAAUUCAAUUUUUCUUUUCCUUUUUCUGGUCCAGUGACUGUAGUUAUUAGCUUAUUUUAAGAUGUGGAGUUAACAAUGGCAGGUCCUAGAGACUUUCAUGAGACUAUUCCACUACAAAUCCUUGUGUGAUGAAGGCUUUGUACAGUGCGGUGUGCAUUUAAAUUUUCCAAAUGCAUGAUUUAUUUGACAUAUAUUCCUUCAAUCUUUUUUUUUUUUUUGUAAAGGGUAAUGAUAUAUUGAGCUUUAACCAACAAAUAUACAAGAUCCGGCACCACAAAACUUGCACUCAACAAGACACAAACGUCUCAUUGAGUGAAAGGGCACCGGACACAAAACACCACAAAGCGGUCAACUCAAGCAAGGGCCGAAACAGGAAGCCCAAGAAAGUAGCCAUGCAGGGCCGAGACAACAAACUAAAAAGACAGACUAACCAAAAGGCCAUGCAAGGCCAAGAAGAACAACCCACAAAGCUAGACUAAGGCGCCUAGGUGGUCGGCAUAGGAGAGCUGAAGAUAGACGGGUCAAGGCCCCAAUUUCUUUGUAACCUCCUAUUUCUCAGGCAAUCUUCCACGCUUUUGAAAGUUGAGGCUUUAUCCUUCACAACUUUAAUAAGAUGCUUCUUGAUAGCCGCAACCAAUAUUCCUUCAAUCUUUCGUCACUGCUCAUCCGGAAAAACAAGCCAUUGUGGGCUAGAGACCGGUGCACAAUUGUCACAGAAGAGCUACUCUUAGGGCACGUUUGGUAAUAAUUCUGUUCCUGAGAAUAGAUUCUGAUCAGAAAUGAUUCUUUUUAUUUUGUUCCCGGGAACAAUUUCUAAGCAUUUUAAGUCGUUUGGAAAGUGUUCAAAAUUUCUAAUUCUGGAAUAAAAUUGUGUUUGGUAUCGUGCUCAUUGAAUCUGUUCCAAAUCAAUUUCUUUUAAUUUUUAAAUAAUUUUUUUUUCUUUUUUUCCUUUUUUCCAUUUAUUUUUUCUUUUUUUUUUCAUUUUUUUUUUCAUUUUUUUCCUUUCUCUCUCAUGUUCUUCUUCUUUCGGUGCCUAGUCGCUGGACCGACGACCAGCCAAACGAGGGCCUGUGACCUCACUAGAGCGUCAUCAGCCCUCGGUGAGGUCGGCCUUGUCAACCGAGCCUCACCAGCAACUGGGCGAGUUCGCUUGGCCACUAGCAAGCUCACCGAUGGUUGGGCUUGCCUUUGGCGAGCUCGCCGGUGUGGUUGCCAGCAACUGGCGACAAUGGUGACGGACAACAACCACAGGAUGGCGGUCAAUGAAGAAGAAGAAAAGAGAAAAGGGAAGAAGAAAAGCUGGUUUUGAUUCUUAGAUUUGUUCCCGGAACAAGAAUCGAGUUUUUUUUUUUCAAUCUUAAUUCUGCUCCAAAUCUAUUUCCGGGAACAAAAAUUUUACCAAACGCGAUUCUGUUCCCAAACUGAUCCCGGGAACAAAAAAUCAGAAUCAAACACUGUUUGGAUGGUUACCAAACAGUGGCUUACUUUCCAAAUAAUUUGUGGGAAACAAAAAGUCUUGGUCUUCUCCUUUCCCAAUCGAUUUUUAUAGUAUGGUACAUUGGGGAUGUUACUUCUGCGCAUGGCAAGUUUUUCUUUCGGGGCAUUGAUUAAUGCAAAAAUUGAAAGUUGAUAGCGAAAGGAGAAGACCUAACCUCUCUCUUUCACGAAGAAAGAGACUUCUUGUUUAACUCUAUAUUUGAACAAUUCCAAAACUUAAUAAUGCACAUUAACUCUUAGUCAUCGGGCAGCAAUUUUUGAUGAAAAAAGGCACACUAGUUCGUAAAUUUCAUCAGUUAACUUACAGUAAGGUAUAAUUAACUUUAGCAAUGUCUCCCUACAAAUCUUUAGAUUUCUUUGGAGAGACUAAUUGAAAAUCCCAGCUGCCAACAUAAUUGGACAAUGCAUUGAGAGAUGAUGUGCAUCCAAACUCAAUAACUUAUUAAUGAGGGCUUUGACACUCUCCAUCAUAAGCAUCUACAAACUUUUCAAACGAGUUCUUUGCCAACUAAUAAGCCAAGUACCCUUGUCAAAUUUCCAAUUGAAAUCUGUUUGCAGGAAAUUUUUUCAAGACUGACAAAUUGACGCAUGAUGCCUACAUGGGCAGGUCGAAUCACUUCGAUAAUCUAAAUCUAUUAGUAAGAAAAUCGACAUUAUCUGGAGUCUUUCCUUGGGCAAUAGUAAAAUUGUAUCAAUUGGUAACAGAGCCUAAAUAUGGCUGGUCUAGCACAUUUGAGAAGGCAAGGGCAACAUCUCCAACAAGAAUUGGAGCAAUCUUGAUUGUUAAGGCCUGACGAUCCCCACCCUAACCAAGAAGAAGAGAUUAACACUUUCCAUGAUGUUUAUUUUUUACGCAGCUUGUGAAGUGGCUCCUUUGCAUCGCUGGUGUUGGAAUCGCGAUUCUAAUGAUUUCGAUGUUAAAGUAGACAUUUCAAACUUCCAAGGCACUUUUCAAAAGGAGGUAAGGAAGUCUUGAUCAAAGCAGUUGUGCAAGCUAUUCCUCAGUACAUCAUGUCUAUCUUUAAAAUUUCGAUCUCCCUGUGCAAAUCUAUUGAACAGAAGGUGGCUAGAUUUUGGUGGCAAUCUCAAGGAAACUAAGUCAGGCAUACAUUGGCGAAAUUGGGACAUUCCCUUACUUCGUGGUAGCUUGGAUGAUCAAACAAUCGACGAAAUCCUCAAAAUUCAUAUCAGGCCGCAAUACACACAGGAUCAACUAAUUUGGAAGGGGAGAUCAAAUGGUAUUUAUACUGUUAAAAGUGACUAUAAUCAAAUUAGAUAAGGAGAGAGCAGAGUUAGUCAACAUCUGGCUUCAUCCUCCUUUCAACCUCCAAAACGACUAUGGACAAACAUUUGGAUGGUGCUGACUACUCCCAAAUUACAUAUCUUUCUAUGGUCUUUAUGCCAAAACACUCUAGCAACUGGCAAAAAUCUAUACUAUCGACAUGUUAUAACAGAUCCUAUAUGUUGGUUAUGUCGAGACUGUUGUAUUUCUAUAGUCCUUGAAUCUACAGAACAUCUAUUCUUACAUUACCCUUGGACAACUAACAUAUGGUCUCAUUUGCAGCUACAAUUCAAUGUUCAGCAAGUUCAUGCGCAUCGGUUCGAUGUCUGGCUACUGCAAACAUUAGAUAAGGAGAACAACUCAUGGGUUCUUGUGGUAAUUGUAUAUGUUUUGUGGCACAUCUGAAAAGCCAUAAAUGAUUUUGUUUUCCGCCGGAAAAUCCCCAACCCAAAUCAAGUUGUAUUUGUUGCUCUCACCCAUGCCUGAUCUUACCAGAGCUGCCAUGUGACCUUGCUGCAACAGAGUUCAAAGAAAUAGUAUCCAAUUGGCAACUAGAGAGGAGAUCGAAGUUAGGCGGCUAAUAAAACCCUUACCGUCACAGGCUAUGCUCGACCAUGUUCUAGGGCGCCACUAAAUUGACACCUUCGACGUCCACCUUCGGAACAAAUCUAGCGUCCCCCUGAUCGUGGUGUGCUGAAGAUAAAUAUCGAUGCUUCCUUCCUUACGGCCUUAAACAAAGGUAUUGUCGCUUGUGUUUGCCGUGAUUCCUCAAGUAAGUUGAUCGAUGGCUUUGCCUGGCGCACCAUCUUUGUUUCACCCCUGCAAACAAAAAUACAAGCCCUCAACUUUACACUACAAUAUUUACUCAAGAAAUGAAGGAAUCAACAUCAUCUCCUUUUAGCAUCCGACUAUCUAGCAGUGGUAACGGCGCUGCUUCAUCUUUUCCAUAACCUACAAAUGCGACACUGCAGAAGAGAAACAAACUUUGCGGCCAACUGGACCGCAAAGGCCCAUGGACAAAAUCUUCUCCCCUCUAACUAGGCCAAGUUCCCCCCUCCCGCUCUUUUCGAUCUUCUAAGUACUGAGGCGUUAAACUCCUGUAUUUUUGCUGAUCGUGUAUGAAGUUUUUCACCUUUCUGAUAAAAAAAAAAAAACUUCCAAGGCACUAUGCAUCGGAAGACUUCAUAGAUUGGCUCGACAAAAUUGAGCAAGUUUUUUAUUAUGAGAAUAUGGUGGAGAAUCGAAAGGUGAAGCUUGUGGCCAUCAAGCUUAGAAAAGCAUGCUUUGAUUUGGUGGGAAAAUCUAAAGUGUCAAAGAAAUCGUGAAGGAAAGCAGUGUAUCGAGACAUUGGAUAAAACAAAGGAGCUCAGGAGGAAGCAUGUCUCAAAAACGAAAAAUUGUCCAAAAAGUCCGAGAUCUAUUGUACAAUGGCUUAUUUAGCUCUAAACAUUUCAAUUGUGCUAAUUUAAUCUUAAAUCUUUUAAGAACUUAUUGAUAUAGUUUUAAACAUUUUAGUUGUGUUGAUUUAGUCAUAAAACUUUUGAUGAUUUGUUAAUUUAAUUCUAAAUAUUUUGACAGCUUGCCCAUCUAGUCAUUUUGACCAAUUUUGGUUGAAAAUCGCUAAUGUGGAUGUCGGCCGACCACCGGCCAUCUAUAUGGCAUAGCCAAUACUAAUGUGGACAAAUUUUGCAAUUUUCUUCUCGUCUUUUUAAUUUUUUUCCUUUUUUUUUCCCCUUUGGCUUGUGGACGAUAAUUAGCGAUGGCUAACAAUCAGCCACAAGCAAGGGCCGAUGAGGGUGCCUACAGCCCACAAUGGAUCUAGAGAAGGCUUGCUCGUGGCCUGGGAGAAGGCUGUCCUCAUCAGAUCGAACAAGAGCUCGACCUUUGCCUGACCACAGGCCAAAGAGAAAGAAAAGGAUAAAGAAACAAAAGGUAAACAAAUGGAAAUUUUUUAUUAAAAAAAUGCAAAAAUUAUCCACGUUAGUGCUAGCCAUGCCACCUAGCCAUGCCACCUAGGAUGGUCGCCCGUUGUCGAGUGUCCAUGUCACUAUCGUGACCUCUCUUUUGCCGUUUGGGGAAAAAAGAAGAGGUUUAGGAGUAUUCACGAGGCAGGCCAACGGCCCUCAUGUGACAUUGGAUUUUAUAUUUUAGUUCUUAACAACAUAUGUAUUUCUAGGAGUCGUAACUAGCCUAUUUGGGUCAUAUGUAUUUCUAGGAGUCAUAACUAGCCUAUUUGGGUCAAUUAGAAACCAAUCAAGAUGCGAGAGUGUUGUCUCGAUUCCUACGCAACCAGAGAUUUCUAGGAACGGGGACUUAUUUACGCCAAUGUUUCUAUUAGCAUUUUUGCGGUACUGCUAACUUGACUAAAAAUGAUCUUUUUAUGUGAAAACUCAAUUUUUGACCCAAAGUUGACUUUUGAUGAAAGGAUUGACCAAAAAGUUAACUCAAAAAUCAACCAUUUGACUUUUCUAGUUUUUAAUUAAAAGAAUGAAUAGGAAGGUGCUUAACAAUGACAAGACAGAAGAAAAAAAUGAAAACAACACUUUUUUGUUCAAAAAACAAGCUCUAUUGCAAUUGGCAACCCGAACCUCGAGUUUUUAUCUUUAUCGAUGCGUCAACUAAAAAUCAAGUGUCAACAACCUUAAAAAAAGUUUGGUUACCAAGUUGGUGAAUAGAGGGGUAAGAAUCUCAGACAAAUUAUUAGCCAUAUGAUUAAUCAAAUCAUUUUGUGUUCUUCAUACAUCCUCCUCACGGUGGCCAAUACUGUUGAAUUUGGGUCAAAUCCCUCCCCUAAUCCUUGGUAAAGUUCCGGGGGAUAUCACCGAAAUUCAAGCUCAAAUUGACAUCAUCAACUGGGUCUGCCUCCUUGUUGGAAUUUUCAAAAGAAGUCGGCCUUUCUCCCAAACCUUGCAAGGACUGAUUGUCCUUGCCAAUGGUAGUGCCACUCUCCUUGUUCCUUAUUCUUGCCAUAGACACCUCCUAGGAAUGGACCAUGAUGGUCCCACCGGAUGUGCCAAAAAAAUGUUAACAACUUCCUUGACAAAUAUCUUUUACCGAAGAGGCAAAUCUUGGGCCUUUUUAUGUAAACUAGGUUUUGUGUCAUUUCAAAAAGGAAGCGGCUAGUCUUACUCUAUAGACAAUAAAGAAAAGGAUAAAUAGGAGAUAAAAUGUGCGAUAAAAUGUAAACGUGCAAUAACAAGAUAGUCAAAAGAUAAAUGUUCUUGUGUUUUAGGAAAAGGGUCCUUUACAAUUGUGUUUCUUUGGCUAUUUAUAGUUAAUCUCACAAGUAACUGUUCUUUAGCAGUUAUUAUCUUCAAUUUCGAAUCACUUCUGGAGACUUUGGUACCACACCAAUAAUUGCAUCACCUUAUCCAUAGUGUCAUGGGCACCAAACUCUCAAAGUUGUCUUCAUUUUAUCGCUUUGAGCCGGAGCAAUUACUAAUUCCAACUCCUCUGUAUCUCUUGUAAUCGGCUAUUCUUCUCACGACUUGGGCUUAAUGGGCUUUCCUCUUUUCUACGCCCAAUGAGCUAAUUUUCGCGCCAACAUCAGUUAUCCAUUAAGUAUGAAGUUUUGACAAAUUAUACCACAAGCAAUGCAUCAGGACAGGUGAGUCCCUAAAAAAACUAAUAAAAGCAGCAAACCGAAACCGAGCGGCUUCAGAUGUGAACAAUGAAAAGAACUAUGUUCAGCAAAAAAAUCAUCGUAACGAACAAAGAAGUUCUUAAGAAGCAAUUAUAUUUUGACAAGAAAAUGCAGUAAUACUGUGUCAGAAACCGAAUGUUGUAUCAACAUACAAGAUUGUACCGAAGGCUUGCAACUUUUGGUACUAGUUCAGAACCUAAGGAUAUAAUCCUUCAAUCCUAAGACUUAAUAGGAUCCACACAUCUCCGGUCAAUCGAAGUUCAUCAUGAAUGGUUACCGAAUUUGUUGACACCUAAAUUUCGACGAUCCUCUCAUUCAUUUAUUGCAUAAAAAUUAAGAGACUAAACUUUAGCCCCUAAACAAAAAUAAUAAAUCGCAUUACAUAUAGUUAUUAGGAGCAUAUCUCAAUAUACUUGCAUAUUUAUGGACUGGUAGCUGAUGGGCUUAAGUUUUGAACAUAAUUGCAUUGAAUCGGGUUGGCGGCGGAUGAACUCGGGUAAAUGGUUUUGAGCUUUAUUGAAGUUAAGCCUGCAGAAAGUGAAAGAUUGGAGUAAGCUUCGUAAUAUAACCAAGUUUGAUACGAAUUUGGGAAAGAUUGAGCACAUUUUUCACAUGGGAUCUUAACAAGGCAUGAAAAAUCUUUGAGGAAAAAUAAAUAUCUUUAUUAAUAGAAGAUAAUCUCGGUCAACUUGGUGCAGAGAAGUGUGAUAUUUCUACGCAAAAAUAUACCAAAUUAAAGAUUGGGACACAUAUUUCUUGUUUUAAAACAAGAAAGAGUGCACCAAUAAAGAAAAUUUCAUGCGUCCUACGCAUCCAAGGGCGUGAGCAGAAAAGAAAAGAAUUCGUGGCCGAAAAUCAUGAAUAUAUGGUCAAUUGGGAGUAUUCACGCAUUUGAGGAAAGGAAGGAAUAAAAUAUAUUAUAUUGGGUCCUUUCCUUUGAAGGCCUUGGUUGUCCUAUAAAUAAGGAGAACGCUAACACUGUUGUGGGGGGUCGGCACUUCUAUUCUAAAAGGCACGUUGAGAGAUUUACAUGUGAGAGAGAGAGAAAAGAGAAGGAACUCUCUCUGCUGAACCGAGGAGCCCCAUGUUGUGCGAGGCCCUUUGCUGCAGCGUCACACCCGAGCCGCCUGAUUUACCGUCGCUACACUGUCUUUGCUGCGUUCCCCCUGCAGCAACGACAGACUCGCUGCUGUGACCUCUUUGCCUUUCCGACAAGCUGCUGAUCUGGUGCCAACCUCCUACCGUCAUGACCAAGCCUUGACGAGCCCAGCUCAACCGAGAUGUUGAUGGAGCUACUGCCUUCCUCGCGCUCAAUUGUUGCUUGAUUCGCUGUUGCCCUGAUGGGAUCAUAAUUUCUCCUUGCCGCAAUCACUCAAGCAACCCUCACAUCCCCGAUGAUCCAUGAUCUGCUGCUUUUGCUAUACCACGAACCAGCACACCCCAGGGACGCUUGAACCACUACAUCCUAGUUUGGAGUCGGCAAGGACUCCCGCAAGUUCCAUCUAGCCUGGCGAUGUCCUGAAGUGUUUUCUUUUGACUCACCGACAAUCACCAAACAGGCUUUUGCGCUUUGUUCAUAUUCAUUCUUUGCAGGUUUCGUCGGAGUCCAAAGAGGCCAACAUCUCUUGACUAGCAUGAAUACCACGUCAUAUACUGUGGCCACCACUUGCAAGCCUGGAGUCCAUAGUCCAAAGAGUCGUUAGAAUUUUGAUGAAAUAAGUCUAAGUGGUGAAUUGGUCUUCUACAGGUAUUGUCCAGAAGUGAAAUACAAAAGAAAAAAUUGUCAAAGCUUCCUCUCUGCGGCAUCACCUCGACGUCUUUGACUUUAGAUGAGCGGUCCACUAUGAUCCAUCUUGGGCGUCCUCGUUGCUGCCGGUCACCCGCCACACUGUGUUGCUCGCUGCAUGCCGUUGCUCACACCGUCGAGCAUUGCAAACCACCAUCGGUCACCAUUCGUGAUCCAUUGCCCGGCGCUCGAAUUUGGAAAGUUAUUGUCACAAUUAGGUAAUACUCCUUACUCGGUGCCAUUGAAUAUUUUAUCACCUAAUUUGUCUAUCUUAUAUCCAUUAAGCAUAUUUGAAUGAUAGGCAUAUCUCCCAAUUAAGAUUUAUUGCCCAAUUCGCAACCACACCUCGGUUUUUUAUUUCAUCUAUAAGGCUUUAGAUGAAAUAAUUAAUCAAGCAGGAAUAAAAUUGAUAUUUUGAUCUUUAAGGCUUAAGAUCAAUUUAUCGAUUAUUAUCACUUAAUCUAAAUGGUGUGUGAUAUCUUUGAUGAUUUUGAAUGGUCUAUCUUGUCUCCAUUGCUUUAUUCAUCUUGAGAUAUGUUUAAGUUAGAAUAUCGCAUGCUUUAGGGUUAUUUGCAUAUUUAGAGUAAGCAUUUUAUUUAUCAUGAAUUUUCGAAAUAAAAAAAAUAAAUUUAGGAUGUUAGAUUUUCAUUUCAUUAACCUAAAUUGCAUGUUUAAUUAUUUAACAAUUUUAAUUUCGAAUUUUAAAAAAAGGAAAACUUAGAAUUGGACCAUUCUUUGCAUGUCAUCGCAUAUUAGGAUAGAUUGCAUGCUUAUUAAGUAAAUAAAAAUCAUGUGCACGUCAUAUAGCAUUAGGUUCAUGAAAUGCAUGUCAUUUAAUAAUUAUUGCUAGGUCUAUUUAAUUAGAAAUUACAUGUCAUUAGAAUUAGGUCAUUGAGUUAAUAUUGCAUUGCAUAUUGCAUGAUUUUCAUUAAUUAAGUGAAAACAAAAAAAAAUUGCGUGUUAAUUAGAAACCAUAUCUAGGGUUGUUGAUGUGGAUUUUAAUUUAACAUUGUAGAUGUUUUCAUUGCUUUGAGAUAAGUUUUUGCAAUUUUAUUUAUCGUUUAUCUGGGUGUUAAAUUGGUGGAUUGCGCACCCGCAUGAUCACCUCACAUGUUAGGGAAAUAGAUUUAAAAUCAAAUGGUACCGAAAGGGCAUUAGAGGAAUCUAGUGUAACCAAGUCCCUGUACUCAUAAUCUCUGGUUCGUAGGAGUAAAGUAAAACUCCUGUUACUUUACUUGGUUUCUAAUCGACCCACCAAAAAUAUAUUAGUGGCAACUCCUAGAUAAAAUCUAUAUGUAUGUUAAAAAAACUUGAACCUAAGUCGCGAAUUGGUAUAGGCUUAGGAGAGCCGAGUUAAGUCUAGGCUUAACAAUUCAUUAGCCAAACCCUAGGUGGUUUACACCCAAAAAUUUGGUCGCGACAGAAUUAGAUUACUGCUUCUUGGCUUUCGGUAGGAAUUCCUUUUCUUUUCUUUUUUUCAGUUGAAUACUAGAAGUGGUGCACAUGGUACUCUUGCACCAAAUUAAGAAACAGAAUUCAAUGGACUCGAAUUCGCUGAAAUAUUUGGCUUGAAGGAUUUACAUCAAUCAUUUGCAAUGCCACAUUCAAUGCUAAUCAAUCAUAUUUUUAUCAUCUCAACUCUAAAUUCCCAUUGAAGAGCAAUCCCUUUCUCUCUCGACUUUGAGAGUUUUCCUCUAUCCAUGGUGGUAGCUACCCCCCAAAACCCUAAAUCUCCAGGAGCUUUCCUUUACCCAAAACCACAAUCCCCCUCUUUGAACCAAUGAAGCCCAUCACAUAAUCCUCAGAAACCCAACCCUAAUAUCUUUCUCUAUAAAAAGGUGAAGUCUCAAGCAAUGGAACAAUCCUGCCAUCUAUCUUCAGAGAAUUCUACCAAUGCUUGAUGAAUCAUAGCUCUGGCCUCGCAAAAGGUGGGAUGUGACCCUUCUCUUCAUGGUCAUCUUAUGGGCAUUCUGAUUAUGAUGUAGUGGAAUGGGCUUUGACGUUUUUUUCUCGAAAUACCUAGAUGGAAGUAGACUGUAUGUAGUAAGUAGAGAGGGUCUUGCCUUGUUUGAUCUUGUGUUGGUUCUUGUUACUGGCCUGNNNNNNNNNNNNNNNNNNNNNNNNNNNNNNNNNNNNNNNNNNNNNNNNNNNNNNNNNNNNNNNNNNNNNNNNNNNNNNNNNNNNNNNNNNNNNNNNNNNNNNNNNNNNNNNNNNNNNNNNNNNNNNNNNNNNNNNNNNNNNNNNNNNNNNNNNNNNNNNNNNNNNNNNNNNNNNNNNNNNNNNNNNNNNNNNNNNNNNNNNNNNNNNNNNNNNNNNNNNNNNNNNNNNNNNNNNNNNNNNNNNNNNNNNNNNNNNNNNNNNNNNNNNNNNNNNNNCCUGGGCCAUAUGUGGUCGGAGAAUGAUGUAGUCGAAGUGAUCAAAGAAAUCCCCCCAGAAAAAAAGAGAACAAUGUAAUCAGACCAUUUUUGGGAAGCUAUUUUCCAAACCAAAUGUCAACUUCCAUGCUUUUCUUCAAAUUAUGAAGAAAGCAUGGAGAACAGAAUAGGUGAUAUGCACACAAAAGGAACCAGGUUUUUUCUCAUUCGUUUUUCAAUCGGAGGAAGACAAUGAGAGAGUUAUGAAAUCUGGGCCCUGGUCUUUUGCUAAUAAUCUAUUAGUACUUAAACAAUGUAAACUUGACAUUCUAGAGCACUGUUAUAAUUAUUCUCAAAGUGCUUUUUGGGUGCAUAUGAGAGGGAUACCCCCUGGGUGGAUACUAGAAGAAGUGUUUACUGAUCUAGCAAGAAAGGUAGGCAGAGUUCUAGAAAUUCAGGUGGACUUUAAGGGAAACGAACUACAUAAAAGUGGAAAAGUAAAAGUGGAAGUGGACUUAUCAGCUCUACUAAAAUCGAGGGCUAUUCUGGAUAUUGGAAACAAGAAGCUAUGGGUGGAGUUUAAAUAUGAACGGCUGCCGCACAAUUGCUAUUCGUGUGGAAGAAUUGGUCAUUAUGCUACUAAUUGCGAAGAAAUCCUGUAUGGGCAAACAGCAUGGGCUGAAAACAAAGCUGGAAAAUAUGGACGAUGACUUAAGGCAAAAGUGUAAGACCACAGCCCCCACUGGGAAGCAAUCUAUGGCAAACUAGAAGAAGAAAUUACUGUGGAAGAAACAACACUAGAAAUUCCUCCUAUAACCUACUAAAUGGACCUAGUGGCCAGAGAUGAAAUCGACAACUUGGCAUCCCCAAAUCGCAACAAGAAAAGGGCUGAAAACUUAAAUGUGCAGGAGGCACCAAAAGAACCAGCAGACACAACUAUGAAGAUUACAGAUCAUAGCAAAUAGAUUAUGUGCUUCAAAGCUAAUAGGCCGAUCCUCUCAAAAGUUGGGAAAUGCAGCAAAAAAAGUAUGAAGGUGUAGAGGGCGAAAAAAUAGAAAUGCAUAAUAGAACAAACUCCCAUGUUGAUUGAUGAGAUGGAGCUCUUGGAGACCCUUAUCCAGUUGAUCAAAGAUGGUAAUGAAUGGGCUAUGAUGACUAGCCCUAAUAAGCCACCGGCGACGAUAUGAAAAUCAUAAGCUGGAAUUGUUAGGGGCUGGGCAAUCUCCUAACAUUCCAGGAGCUAAGAGCUCUAGUAGCUCUUGAAAGGCCCAACCUGGUCUUCUUGAUGGAAACAAAGAACAAAGCAACGAUGGUGGAGGUGUUAAAAGGUGACUCAACUUCCAAAAUCUAUUCCUAGAAAAUCCGGAAGGAAUUGCGAGAGGUUUAGCAAUUUUGUGGAGUGAGGAAGUGGUGUUAAAGGUAAAUGACAGCUCUAAAGAAUUUAUUGAUUUGGAGUGCAGAGAUCCAGAUAGUGGCUAACAAAUGAGGAUAACUUUUCUCCAUACAUCGAUGAACUUCAGGGAGAGACUAAAGCUAUGGCAAAAGUUGAAGGAUUUUCAAUUAUCAAAUCAUUUACCGUGGAUAUGCAUGGGAGAUUUUAAUGAAAUUUUAUAUAUUUGGGAGAAGGUGGGGAAAAGAGAAGCUGAUAAUCAUAGAAUAGCAGCGUUUCAAGAUUUAUUAAAUGAGUGUUCCCUAAUAGAUAUGAACAGCAAAGGCUGUGCUUACACUUGGGCAAACAACCGGGAAGGGGAGGCCCUUAUUAAAAAAAGAUUAGAUAGAGUCUUAUGCACACUGGACUGGAGAAUUACCUUUCCCGUAGCUGAAGUACAGGCUCUACCAGUAAUUGACUUGGACCACAGCCCUCUUCUCCUGGUAUUGCACCCUAAAAGUAAGAAAAGGAAGAGGGAAUUCAGAUUUGAAGCAUACUGGUUAGAAGAUCAAGAGUGUGGAGAGAUUAUCAAGAGAACUUGGAACAAAACGCCAUUAAGCCAGAUAAGUUUCUCUAUGAAAGUCAAUGAUAUUUCUACGGAGCUUGUUAAGUGGAGCAAAGAAAAAUUCACCAACGCACGACGUCAUAUCAAGGAGCUAAACAAAGAAUUAAUAGAGAUGACCAACAAGAAUUUUGAAAAUUCCAGCAGGAAUGAAGCAUAGAAUAUUAUCGACAAGAUAGACAAACUAUGAAAACAAGAGGAAAAUCUUUGGGGGAUGAGAGCACGCAUCAAUUGGCUGCAAUGGGGAGAUAGGAAUACCAAGUUCUUCCAUGCCACAACUGUACAAAGAAGACAAAGGAAUAGAAUUACAACGCUGCAAAUGGAAUAUCAAAGCUGGUGUAGGGAUCCGGCGGCACUCAAAAAACACAUAGGGUUUUUCUAUUGAAACUUAUAUAAAUCGGUGGGUCCUAGGAACUAUCAACCAAUCCUAAACUAGUGUCCCAGUCCAGUAAGUGAGGAAAUAAAUGAAAAUCUAAUGGCAAAUAUUACCCUUGAAGAGGUGAAAGACAUGGUUUCCUAACUGGGCUUUUUAAAGGUCCCUGGGCCCGACGGUGUAAAUGGGCUUUUUUUAUCAACAAUCUUGGGAGGAUAUUAAGCUGGAUUUGUUUCAACUAGUGCAGAAUUUCUUUGAAACAGGUAUCAUCGACCCCCUCCUCAACAAAACACACAUUUCCUUGCUACCAAAAGUAAAAAACCCAGAAAAUAUAGGCCAAUUCAGACCUAUUAGUUUGUGCAAUGACAACUGCAAAAUCAUCUCAAAAGUUAUGGCAAACAGACUAAAGAUUUGGCUUCCAAAGAUCAUAGAGCUUGAACAUAAUGCCUUUGUACAAGGGAGGCAAAUACAAGAUAAUAUUUUCAUAAUUCAUGAAGUCUUGCAUCAAUUGAGAAUAACAAAAAGGAAGAAAAAGUUUCAGGCGAUAUUGAAACUCGAUAUGCAAAAAGCCUAUGACAGAAUCAAAUCGAACUUUUUGAGGGAUUGUAUGCUGAAAAUGGGUUUUUAUGAGCGGUGGGUAUCUCUAAUCAUGCAACGUGUUUCGAUGGUGUCCCUAAGUGUGAAGAUAAAUGGGGAGCCUACUCCAUAUUUCACCCCUUCAAGAGGAAUUAGACAAGGUGACCCUCUUUCCCUAUAUUUAUUUAUCCUAGUAGCAAAUGUUUUGACUAGGAUGAUGAACCAAGCCUUAAAGAAUAGAAGCAUUAAAGGGAUAAAGCUAAACAGGUUCUGCCCUACACUGUCUCAUUAACUCUUUGCAGAUGAUGCCAUAUUUUUCUUGAACGGGACUAUAGUAGAAUGCCAAAACUUAGCAAAUAUUCUCAACCAGUACUGUUUUGCAUCGGGCCAAGCCAUUAAUCUAAACAAAUCAGGGGUAUGUUUCAGCGGCACUUGUCCGUUAUUUCUGAAAAGAAACUUAGCACAAGAACUUAGAGUCCCAAUAAUAGAAAAAAUAGGGAAAUAUCUUGGAAUACCAACAGAAUGGGAUCACUCAAAGAAGGAGAUGUUUGCAUGGAUUCUAGCAAGAAUAAACUUGAAGCUAGAGGGAUGGAAAGAAAAAUUACUAUCCAAAGUAGGUAAAGAACUGAUAAAGAGCGCUGUACAAACCCUCUCUCAUUAUGCGAUGUCAGUCUUUAAAUUGCCUAUCUCCAUUUGCAAAACCAUAGAAAAAGAAUUGCUUCAUUUCAGUGGCAGAAAAGCGAUUCAAAAGGGGUCUGCAUUGGAAAAAAUGGGAAACAUUAAAAANNNNNNNNNNNNNNNNNNNNNNNNNNNNNNNNNNNNNNNNNNNNNNNNNNNNNNNNNNNNNNNNNNNNNNNNNNNNNNNNNNNNNNNNNNNNNNNNNNNNNNNGUGAAGUAGAAUUUUGAAGGCAUUUAUUUUCCAAACGGAGACUUGUGGAAGGUAAGAAAAGGGCAACGACCGUCUUAGGGAUAGCAAAGCAUUUUAACAGGGAGAUAAGCCAUAGAAUUAGAGGUUAAAUGGUCAGUUGGGGAUGGCCAAUCUAUUAACAUACAAGAAGACAAAUGGCUAAAGUCUGGAGUGCUUGGAGGCCCAGCUAACCAAAAUGAACCAAUUGUGGUGGCAGAACUUAUCAAUGAAGACUCGCGGGUAUGGAAGGAAAGUUUAAUCCUAAAUAUUUUUGAAGAACAAAUAGCAAAUGAGAUACUUGCAAUACCCAUUAGCCUAUCCUCGAAGGAUGAUUAUCUAGUAUGGAUAGGUAAUAAAUCAGGGACAUACACUGUGAAGAGUGGGUACAAUAGGGCCUAUUCUAACGCCACAAGAACAGAACAAAAUAGAGCAACAUGUUCUUACAAGCCUCCAAGAUCCCUCUGGACAAGAAUUUGAAGUCUAUCUAUUCCCCUGAAAAUGAGACCUUUCCUAUGGAGCCUUCGCCAAAACGCCUUACCAACAAGGGAGAAUCUGCAUGAAAGGAAAAUGCUACCCAACCCCUAUUGUCCGCUUUGCUCUACACAUGGAAACAACAGAACACCUAUUUCUAUUUUGCAAAUGGACGAAAAAAAUUUGGGCAGAUCCACAAAUCAACAUUGAGAUAGCUAGUAUAAGCACCUAGAGGGGGGUGAAUAGGUGCACAAACAAUUUCUCGAGCUACGGAAGCAAUUCUAGGCAAACGAUAGAAAAGAAAAUGCGAUCAAAGCGAAGUAAAUGUUAGGCAAGAGAGAAAUGAACACAAGAUUUAUAGUGGUUCGGCUUAUUCCAAGCCUACGUCCACUCUUCCGCACUGAUAGCCCACCGGUUGGAUUUCACUAUGAACAAAAGAGAAGUUACAGCACAGCUUUUCCUUGAUUUCACAGUGUAGAAGUUCUACCACAUUUCCUCAAGGUUUCUCACGAAUAUAGACUCUCUUUUGUUUACACGAUUUUGCUCAAUAAAUGAAUUGACUAAGAACAAGGAGCUUCAGACUUUGGAAUUCUUCUAUUGUGCACUCCCUCGAACAACUGGAACGCCUUCCUUAUAUACUCCUUCAUGCCAUCAUACUCGUUGGCACUUACCAAAGAAAUUCCUCCAAUCUACCCGUUGGAUGGAAUCAAUUAGGAAGAUCAUUCGAGCUAUUAAAGGAACAUGUCGAUAGUCCAUCAAUCAUGUUUGCCCAUACAAUCAGGAUCUCGGUUUCCAUAAGUAGAUACUUCCAAGUAUACUUUGCCACUCAUCAGAUCCUUAAUCUUCGAAUCAAUUAUGAUCAAAUAAAGAAUUCCAUUGUGUCAUAUCCAGCCAAGAGAUCUUCUCCAGUCGAUAAGGCCACAUCCGUNNNNNNNNNNNNNNNNNNNNNNNNNNNNNNNNNNNNNNNNNNNNNNNNNNNNNNNNNNNNNNNNNNNNNNNNNNNNNNNNNNNNNNNNNNNNNNNNNNNNNNNNNNNNNNNNNNNNNNNNNNNNNNNNNNNNNNNNNNNNNNNNNNNNNNNNNNNNNNNNNNNNNNNNNNNNNNNNNNNNNNNNNNNNNNNNNNNNNNNNNNNNNNNNNNNNNNNNNNNNNNNNNNNNNNNNNNNAAAACUUUGACCUGCAAAACAUUUCUUAAACACAUAUACAUAUCUUAUAGAGAUAAAUGACUAAAUGAAUAACGCUAGAAUCUGCAACCACAGAAAAUAGGUUAGUCUAGUAUACAAUAAAGCCAUCCAUAAGAUAUCAAUAGUAGUUAAUAAUAAGCAGUCAAAUCCAAAUCCAAAUUUAGUCCACAUCUAGACACAUGACUCAAAAGUCAAGUCAAAACAAACCACAAACCAAACAAGCCAAAAGUUCGACAAAGUUCGACAAAUUUGAAUUCAAAGUUUUUCAAGUCUCACAACUCUCCCCCUUUUUGUCAGAAUUAAAAAAAUGAGAUGAAAAUGAAGUCAAGGAUUCUUGGGAACACGAACAAGCUGGAAAUCUCCCAUCGACUGAACGAUACUUUCCAACCUUUUUAAGUCUUCCUUCAGCUGAGCAACAUCCUCACUCUUAGCAUUAGCCUGAAUCUGAAGAGAAAUGGCUUGGAUUUGAUCAUUUAAUGAACCCGAAGAGACUUGUCCUGCAUUUUGCAAGUUCUGAACUUCACAUCCCAAUGCAUAUAUCUGACCUUGCAUCUCCAAGAGAAUAUCCAUCACUCUGCGAAAGUCUGCUGAAUUGUCGGUCUGCGUACUGGCGUUAGCACGAUCUGAUGGAGUAAAUGCAGACGAUGGUAUAUCAGCAUAAUCACGCAGAUUUGGCGAAGAAACCUCAUGACCUUCCUCAGGAAACUGAGAGGCAUAAAUAUCCUCUGGAUCUGCUGGGGAUUGACUGACUCCCUCACUGGUUGCAGGAUUUGAAGUCAUUCCUCUUUUCUCUUGGUCUCCCCUUGUGUUCAUGCCNNNNNNNNNNNNNNNNNNNNNNNNNNNNNNNNNNNNNNNNNNNNNNNNNNNNNNNNNNNNNNNNNNNNNNNNNNNNNNNNNNNNNNNNNNNNNNNNNNNNNNNNNNNNNNNNNNNNNNNNNNNNNNNNNNNNNNNNNNNNNNNNNNNNNNNNNNNNNNNNNNNNNNNNNNNNNNNNNNNNNNNNNNNNNNNNNNNNNNNNNNNNNNNNNNNNNNNNNNNNNNNNNNNNNNNNNNNNNNNNNNNNNNNNNNNNNNNNNNNNNNNNNNNNNNNNNNNNNNNNNNNNNNNNNNNNNNNNNNNNNNNNNNNNNNNNNNNNNNNNNNNNNNNNNNNNNNNNNNNNNNNNNNNNNNNNNNNNNNNNNNNNNNNNNNNNNNNNNNNNNNNNNNNNNNNNNNNNNNNNNNNNNNNNNNNNNNNNNNNNNNNNNNNNNNNNNNNNNNNNNNNNNNNNNNNNNNNNNNNNNNNNNNNNNNNNNNNNNNNNNNNNNNNNNNNNNNNNNNNNNNNNNNNNNNNNNNNNNNNNNNNNNNNNNNNNNNNNNNNNNNNNNNNNNNNNNNNNNNNNNNNNNNNNNNNNNNNNNNNNNNNNNNNNNNNNNNNNNNNNNNNNNNNNNNNNNNNNNNNNNNNNNNNNNNNNNNNNNNNNNNNNNNNNNNNNNNNNNNNNNNNNNNNNNNNNNNNNNNNNNNNNNNNNNNNNNNNNNNNNNNNNNNNNNNNNNNNNNNNNNNNNNNNNNNNNNNNNNNNNNNNNNNNCUACUCACACCAACCUUUGAUCCAUUGAUAUUUUCCUCUCUCAACUCCUAACACAUCUGCCAGCAUAUCCAUAUCCACAACAAAGUCUUGAUCUUUGAUACUGAAGGAGAAUCUAUUCGCAUCCAAGAAACUAAGAUUUGAAUAGAAAUAUGCAGUUAGUUGAGGAUAGGCCUCUGUGGUGUCAGAACAGAAUUUCUCAAGUUGAAGAUGACCGAAAUUUUCCCUUAAGUUCACAUUUACAGCAUCCAGAAAGUCAAAAUCCACACUUCUAGGGUUUAUCACCCCAUGCUUCAGCAAUUUUGAGUAUAGAUCCUUCUGUUCCUUCGAUCUAAACAACUCUCCCCUUUUUUUUCCUCAAUUUUCCGCCGCAAUUCCCAUUCUCGGCUGAAAUUCGCUGUAUAAUUUGUCAUCAUCAUUUCCAUCCACCAGAUUAGAUCCCCAAUCACGAGGGUCACUUGGGAUAUUCGCAAGGGAUUCUUCUGCCACCCCCUUACGAGCAAUUCCCAAACUUUCCAUUUUUCGCAAAAAGAUAUAUUCAUUUCCAUAUUCUUUGUCCUUAAGAAAAUCAUCCACAUAGUUUAAUGGAGUACUAGUUCAUUUUAAAGCACGAUACAACUUACAAAUAAAAGAGGGCCUUUGACCUCUUACAGGAUCUACAUCUUCAAUGAUUUCUUCAUUUUGAUGAUCAACAUCUUGAGGACUAGAUGAAGGAGAAUGACGCUGUUGAGAAUGUUGUGGGCUCUGCUGCUAAUUUGGAGACACUUCUUCUUCAGUGAGAUCGAAGUGCGUAGGCCCCUCACUCAUUCGCCGUGGUCCCCUGCUUGCGAUCCUCGAAGACUUUCUUAAAAACAACAUCUUUCUUAGUCUUUGAAAGAUUCCUUGCUUGACUUUCCCAAGAAAGAUGACAAAUUUUUCAAAGAUUAAACAAGAGAAGAAAAUAGGAUUGGAAGAUCGGUGCUUUUUAGGGUUUUGGAGUCAAGCGAAGAGAAACCAACUGUAUAUAAGACAAUCGAAAGAAGGGGAUACCAAUCGUUCUAAUGGAAAGUGAAAAGAUACCUUUAAAAAAAUAACUGCAUUUUUUGAAAAAUGGUCAUUUCAAAAUAACUUCUUUAUCUAAAGGAAACGAUGCAAUAAUCUCGUCAAUUAAAGAUAGCGGUUGAGAUAACAAUAAUCAACACGGUUGAUGAACGUACCUUUUCAAGAUGAGAUUAGAGAGAGAAUAACUUAUAGUCAAAGUCUUGCAGUCAAAGUCUUAUAUGUCUGAGUCUGAGAGUCUCUAGACUUUAACUUCUUCGAACCUCAAAAUGUUGAGUCUAGAACGGAUAAUUUUAAAUUGAUUUUUCUCCAAAGGCUUUGUAAAUAUAUCCGCCAGUUGGUUCUUUGAAUCAACAAACUGAAUCGUAAUUUCUCCAUUUUGAACAUGAUCUCUAAUGAAGUGAUGUCGAAUCUCUAUAUGCUUUGCUCUUAAGUGAAGAAUUGGAUUUUUGGUAAGAUUGAUAGUGCUGGUGUUGUCACAUUUAAUCUCCGUGCAUGAAUCUUCAAUUCCAAAGUCUCUUAGCUGUUGUUUUAUCCACAGAAUUUGUGAACAGCAACUUUCAAAAGCUACAUAUUCUGCUUCUGCUGUAGAAAGAGCUACUGUACUUUGCUUUCUUGAAAACCAAGACAUUGUCCUGCCUCCAAGUAGUUGACAUGUACCUGAGGUGCUCUUUCUAUCAACUCUGCAUCUGGCUAAGUCUGCGUCUGAGUACCCAAGAAGAGUAAAGUCUCCCCUUUUUGGAUACCAGAGACCGAAGCUUGAAGUUGAUGCAAUAUAUUUGAUAAUAUGCUUUGCAGCAUUAAAAUGUGAUUCUUUAGGGUCUGCUUGAAAUCUGGCACAAAUGCAAACACUAAACAAAAUGUCAAGUCUAUAAGCAGUAAGAUAAAGAAGUGAACCGAUGAUACUCCUGUAUAACUUUUGGUCGACUUUCUUUCCUCCUUCAUCUUUAUCUAUCUUCACGGAGCUUGACAUUGGUAUAUCAGCCUUUUUGCAAUUGUCCAGUCCAAACUUCUUCACAAUAUCAUUAGCAUAUUUUUCUUGAUGAAUAAAAGUUCCUUCCUUCAAUUGUUUCACUUGAAGUCCAAGGAAAAAGGUUAACUCACCCAUCAUGCUCAUUUCAAAUUCAUCCUACAUAGUCUUAGAGAAUUUCUUACAUAGACUUUCAUUAGAGGAUCCAAAAAUAAUAUCAUCGACAUAUAUUUGAACAAGUAGAAAACUCUUGCUUUCUCUUUUAAUAAAAAGAGUAGUGUCUACUUUACCUUUAACAAAUCCAUUUUCAAUUAAAAACUUACUAAUGUGUCGUACCAAGCUCGAGGAGCUUGUUUCAAGCCGUAUAAAGCCUUUUUGAGUCUAAAAACUGAGUUUGGUUUCCUUGGAACUUCAAACCCAGGUGGUUAUUCCACAUAGACUUCCUCUUGGAUGAAUCCAUUUAAGAAGGCACUUUUGACAUCCAUUUGGAAUAACCUGAAAUUCUUAUAACAAGCAAAAACAAGUAAUAAUCGAAUUGAUUCUAACCUUGCUACUGGUGCGUAAGUCUUAUCAUAGUCUAUCCCUUCUUCUUAUGUGUAUCCCUUGGCCACGAGUCUUGCCUUGUUUCUUAUGACUUUUCCUUUCUUGUUCAUCUUGUUCUUGAAAACCCAUUUAGCUCCAAUAACAGACUUACCAUUUGGUUUAGGAGUCAAUUCCCAUACAUCAUUAAUACUGAAUUGCCUGAGCUCUUCUUGCAUAGCUUCAAUCCAGCUUUCAUAAGAUAAAGCUUAUUCUAUGCUUUUGGGUUCUAUUUCAGAAACAAGAGCCACAGCACUAGACUCUUCGCGCCUUUUGGAUCUUGUGCGAAUUCCUUCAUUGAUGUCGCCAAUAAUAAGAUCUUUGGGAUGACUGGACUUAUGUUUCCAGUUGCUAGUUAAUUUGUCAGAUUGAUGGUCACUUCCUUCACUUGAAUCUUCAACAGUCACUUGUUGCUGGUCCUUCAAAGUCUGAGUUGUUUUAGACUUUGUAGAUUCUAGAGCAGGUUCAGAUUCUUCAAGAUGAGUCUAAAUGGAUUCAUUUUGCAUAGAGUCUUGAAAUUUAACAUUCAUUGAUUCUUCCACUAUUUGAGUCUUCUUGUUGUAGACUCUAUACACUUUGCUUGAGAUUGAAUAUCCAAGGAAAAUGCCUUCAUCUGACUUUUCUUCAAACUUACCAACUCGAUCAUUUGCACUUUUCAGUAUAAAACAUUUGCAUCCAAAUACAUAAAAAUAUGAAACAAUAGGCUUCUUUUCUAUGAAUAGUUCAUAGGGGGUUUUUUCCAGAAUAGGCCUUAGAAAAACUCUAUUUAUAAUGUAACAUGCUGUAGAAACUACUUCAGCCCAAAAACGUGAAGAGAUGUUACUUUCAAUUAAAAGAGUUCUAGCCAUUUCUUGAAGAGAUCUAUUAUUUCUUUUCACAACUCCAUUCUGCUCUGGAGUAUAUGGAGAGGAGAAUACAUGUUGAAAACUAGAUUCAUCAUAGAAUUUUGUAAAAUCAUGAUUUUCAAAUUCACCUCUAUGAUCUGUUCUUAUACUCGAGAUAACAUAUUCUUUUUCAUUUUGAACCUUUUUAGCAAACUUUUCAAAGUAAGAGAAAGUUUUAGACUUACUUGCCAAGAAAUAUACCCAAGUAAAUCGUGAGUAAUCAUCCACAAUUACUAGGCAGUAUUUCUUACCUCCAAUGUUUUGUGUUCUGGUUGGUCCAAAAAGAUCCAUAUGCAGAAGCUGCAGUACACGGUUAGUGGAAACUUGAUUUAUUGGUUUAAAGGAAUUUCUUACCUGUUUUCCCAAUAUACAUGGUGUACAUAGAUUAUACUUUUGGUAUGAUAAAUUGGGUAGACCACGAACAAGCUUCUUUGCUGAGAUUUUGGCUAUUUCCUUCAUGUUGACAUGCCCAAGCUUUCUGUGCCAUAAGUUUGCUUCGUCUUGGAUUGAGAUUAAACAUUGUGAUUCAUCUAGUUUCACAUCCAAGAGGUAGAUAUUUCCAUGUCUUUGAUCCAUGAAUGACUGAGUAGAAUCUUUACUAAUUCCAGAACAUAUUCCCUCUUGAAAGUUGAUUUUGAAACCAGUAUCACAUAGCUGACUAAUAUUGAGCAAAUUGUAAUUGAGCCAUUCUACUAAGGAAACAUUGCUGAUUGUGAGAUUUCCAAUCUUUACAGUUCCAAAUCCCACAAUUUUUCCUUUGCCGUUUCCUCCAAAAGAGACUUUUCCACCAUUUACUUGAACAAUCUUUAUGAAGUAAUUUGAGUCUCCUGUCAUGUGUCUUGAGCAUCCACUAUCUAGAUACCAUUUUACCUUUUUCUUGAUAGUGACAUGCAUUUAAAAAAGAAACUCAAACCUUCUUUGGUACCCAUAUUUUCUUGGGUCCAUUGGUGUUAGUUUGAUAUACGGUUUUUGCCCAUUCCUUUUUAACAAGUUUCCAAAUCAUGGGACAUUCUUUUACAAAAUGAUCUGCACUAUUGCACUUUGAGCAUCUGAGAGCAUUGUGACCAACUGGUUUUACAAAGUUCCUUUUAAAAUGAUUUUUGUAAGCAUCUCUUGUUGGUCUUUGUUUGAUUCUUUCCUUCACUUUAGGAAAAUCAAUUAAAGGAAUGGUUUCAGCAGUCAUUCCCAAACCAGAUUUAUUGAAAUAAGAUCUUUGAACAGAGAGAAUUUUUUCCAGUUUCUCAGAUCCUAUAGAAAAUCUUUUGGAAAUAUUUGAGAUAUCACAUUUCAAGAAUGCAUUUUCUUUUAAAAGAUUGUCUUCACUUUCUUUAAGAGAAGAAGCAUUCUUGUCUAAACAUUUCACUUUUUCUUUCAAAAUAUUUUCCUGUUGUUUUAGAGCAGAAUUUUCCUUCUUGAGUUCGGAAAUUCUUUUAAGAGAAGUCUUAAGACUAAAACACAAUUCAUCAAUAUACUUUGAAACCUUAAUAGGGAUUUUGAAGUUACUUACCUCAAAUUCGCUUUCUGAGUCUAAAUCUGUCUCGGAAUUUGAAUCUGAAUCCGAUUGAGCCAUCAGACAUAUAUUGGCAUAUUCAUCAUCACUUUCUUCACACUCUGUAUCACUCCAGGUUUCAGCUUUAAGAGCUUUUCGAUUUUUUUUUCAGUUUUUCCUUUCUUCUUUCUCAGAAGAGGACAGUUGGGUCUGAUGUGUCCCUUUUUCUUGCAUUCAAAGCAGACUACAUCUUUGUUUGAUUCAUCAUCCUCAACAGACUUAGUCUGUUGCUUUUGAAAACUUUGUUUCUUUGGAUUGAAUCUUCUUCCUUUUUUGUUCAGCUUUCUUAAUCUUCUUAUCAUGAGAGCAAGUUCCUCAUCAUCCAUAUCGUCUUCAGAAUUUGUAACAUCAAAAAUCAUCAUUAGAUUUUAAUGCAAUGGAUUUCUUACCUUUAGGGUCUUCGUCUUCAUUGAUUCAUUCCACUUCAUAAAACUAAAGAGUCCCAACUAACUCAUCAACCAAAUAGUGGCAUGAUUCUUUGGGUCUCUCUGAUUGAGGUCUUUAUGUGAUUCCAAUCCUUGGAGAGUCCACGCAGCAGCUUGUUUACUUUCAUGGGAUCAGAAAUUAGUUGACCUUGGUUUUCAAGACCAUUCACGAUUUCUGUAAAGCGACUGAACAUAUCCGUUAUAGAUUCUCCUAGUUUCAUUUUGAAGACUUCAUAUUGACCGAGGAGAAUGUUGAUUCUAGUCUCUUUUACUCGAUCGGUUCAUUCAUAGGUAAUAUGUAAUCUAUCCCAGACUCCUUUAGCUGUAACACAAUAAGAUAUUCUAUUAUAUUCAGUAGGGGAUAAAGCACAAUAUAAAGAAUAAAUUGCUUUUGCAUCAAGAGCUUGUCUCUUGACUUUCUCCUCCUAAGUUAUUUCGCUAGACUCAACAACAUUUUUUCCUCUUUCUGAGAUAGAUGCAGCUUUAGGAAUGAUUCCUUGUUCUACAACGUCCCAUUCCAGAGGAUCCUUUGAUCUUAGGAAUGCUUUUAUUUUGUUCUUCGAUAGGUUGUAAUCAUUUCCAUCAAAGUAAGGUGGUCUGGUAUUGUUUUGCCUUUCUACCAGUCCUGGAGUCAACAUACUAGCCAUGGAUCUUAACUCUGAAAUAAAACACUUCAACAAAAGUGAGUACACAGGCUCUAAUACCAAUUGAGAUAGCUAGUAUAAGCACCUAGAGGGGGGGUGAAUAAGUGCACAAACAAUUUCUCGAGAUAUGGAAGCGAUUCUAGGCAAACGAUAGGAAGGAAAAUGCGAUCACAGCGAAGUAAAGGUUAGGGAAGAGAGAAAUGAACACAAGAUUUAUAGUGGUACGGCUUAUUCCAAGCCUACGUCCACUCUUCCGCACUAACAGCCCAUCGGCUGGAUUUCACUAUGAACAAAAGAGAAAUUACAGUACAGCUUUUCCUUGAUUCCACAGUGUAGAAGUUCUACCACACUUCCUCAAGGUUUCUCACGAAUAUAGACUCUCUUUUGUUUACACGAUUUUGCUCAAUAAAUGAAUUGACUAAGAACAAGGAGCUUCAGACUUUGGAAUUCUUCUAUCGUGCACUCCCUUGAACAACUGGAACACGUUCCUUAUAUACUCCUUCAUGCCAUCAUACCCAUUGGCACUUACCAAAGGAAUUCCUCCAAUCUACCUGUUGGACGGAAUCAAUUAGGAAGAUCAUUCGAGCUAUUAAAGGAACAUGUCGAUAGCCCAUCAAUCCUGUUCGCCCAUACAAUCAGGAUCUCGGUUUCCAUAAAUAGAACCUUCCAAGUAUACUUUGCCACUCAUCAUAUCCUUAAUCUUCGAAUCAAUUAUGAUCAAAUAAAGAAUUCCGUUGUGUCAUAUCCAACCAAGAGAUCUUCUCCAGUCGAUAAGGCCACAUCCUUAAUGAAACAUCCAGUUUUGGAUAACCUUUCUUCAACGGAUUAGAAACUGUCAAUGAGGAUAGACUUUGAGUCUUGAGUCUAGCUCUUCGGAGGUCUUCAGACUUUAAACAGCAGAGUCUGCAAGCCUUCAGACUAGACUGAUGGAAACGUUUUGUCAACUUCAAAACACUUCAAGAGGAUUUCUCCAACAAACAUCAUUAGAAACCCAAGCAACAUAACAAGGUGUGAUCAAUGGCUAACGGAAGUGUUCGAAAGAAGUGACAUCUCACCUGAAAGAGAACUAGUUGCUGCUGUAUUGUGGAAUAUCUGGAAGACCCGAAACAAUUUCAUUUUUCGAGCAAAGCGUCCCCAACCAAUUGAUCUUGUAGAUCUCGCAAUAGCACAACAAAAAAAUUUCAGUAGAUGGCAGAAUCAAAAAGGGCAAAAACCCACAACUCGAAGCCUACCGAUUAGAUGGACGCCGUCGGACAGAGACGAGAUGAAGCUAAACGUCAACGCCUCAUGGACUCCAGGCGAUUUCCUAGGUUCAGUAGCGGGAAUUGGGCGAGAUCCGUCGGGUCUCGUGGUUGAGGGCUUCGCAGUGCAGAUACGGGCGUCUUCUCCUCAACAAGCAGAAGCCUUAUCUUUGCUGCAUGGUUUCAUGUACUAGAGAGGAAGAGAAGCCGUGCAUGUAGGCAUAGGAACUGGUCAAAGUUGCAGAUGGGUGCUCGAAAGUGACAAUUCAACUUUGGUGGAAGCUGUGAUGGGUCAGGCCGAAACAUCGUGGGACUUGAAGGAAAUUGUGGAACCGUGCAAAGAAGAAUUAUGCCUUUUCAAAUCAGCAAGGGUAGAAUAUUGUCCUUGCGAGGCAAACCGAGCGGCAUAUUGGCUAGCUAACUCUCACCGAACCAAAAAUCUCCCUGUAAAUUGGGUGACUUUUACUCCUCUCUCCCUUUCGGAAAUUCUAUGUUUAGAGUUUUACCCAUAGUUGCCUUGUAAGGCUCACUUAUUUUUAUGAAUGAAUGCAAUAUCUAUUUUCGACCCAAAAAAAAUUAUAAAUUCCCAAUCCUUCAAAGAGAACGUGCUGAAAUAUUUGGCUCGAAGGAUUUACAUCAAUCAUUUUCAAUUCCCCAUUCUAUACUGAUCAAUCAUUUUUUUAUCACCUCAACUCUAAAUUUCUAAUCCUUCAAUGAGAACGUGCGAAAGCCAGAAGAAUUUCAUUAUAAACCACAUAAGUACAUUUACGCGAUUAAAAUCGAGAGAUAUUUACUAACUGAGCUUCUGUAAGCUAGAAAUUACGAGAACCCUUUUUUAAUUAUCUUCAUACGUGUGCUUUCUAGCGUUUAUGCUCCAAAAAAUGAGAUCCAAUUUCUUUUCAGGAAGGCAUACAUAGAUAAGUAUUUCUCUCCUCCGUGAGAGCUUCUCCAUUAUCCUUACUCCUCAAACGGGCUCUCUAUAUUAUCAUGAGUCAUUUCCAUGUGCUUUCUAUUUUAGUUGACUAGUCCCCUCGCCAUUGUUCCAUCCCAUUAGUAUUCCUAUCACUACACAUUGCCCCUAACAACCAUUCGACGAUAUUUCUGAGUCGAUUCUCUGCUGACCCAUUUCUUUUUUUCUCCUUACAGGAUGGCUGCAGAGGUUCCAUUUAACAUCCCAAGCAUCUCUGCCAGACGAUCUUCUGGGGGGAUCAAAUUGGACUUGGAGCAAGUUGAUGAUAAGGAUGCUGAGAUGGUUUUGAAUGGAAGGAUUUUGUCGGAGGAGGAAUGCUCGAGUCAAGCUGCAUAGCUAAUGUUUUAAGGAAUGCCUAGGCUGGUAUUGGUGAGAUUCCCAUAACCCCUCAAAUUCAUAGGACAUAAGGAAUGGAGGCAUUCCAGCCCAAACAUACUCCCAUCCUCGCCUCAGCAUAGAUCGUGCCAAAAUGAAAAUUGAAGUAACAUGCCUGCCCACGCAGGACUAGGACGCUGGUGGUGGGCCGAUGCUGGACCAAUGCUUUUGGCAGCGGUGGUGCUCCACGAUAUAUCGGCCUCCGUUCAUUCCAAUAGCGGGUGCGGUUCAAUCUGGAUUGCGGAUUGCUUCUUCAGGCCCCAGGCAAUGCCAAAAAAUGGCUUCGUUAAUCGACGGAGCGGACCUCCCACGGCCAUGACUAUGAAGUUCGCCAGCCUCAUGAGAUCGCAGAUCUCCGUCGGAGUGAAUCAACACAGGUUGCGACGUCCAUGGCCCUGGUUCAUGACCAUAGCUGAAAUUAAAUGAGCGGAAACAACAGCUUCCAUUCCUAUUCUUACAAAAACAGGUCCGGUAUGAAAAUUUAAUGUAAGAACACACGUUUGAUAUGUCAUUUUUAUAUAUUCUUACACCUCGGUCUCUUUAUAUACUAUUCGUGUUUAUUAAAAAACGAUUACAUAAUCCUUUUAGAAUAAUCAUCUUAAUGAAUGGGAAAUUACUGAAGUAUAGAUAUUUGUUUCAGUUGAAAUUACUGAAGUUUUCCAAAAACGAAUAGAUAGUUUUCCAAAAAACAAUGUGGGAAAUUACUGAAGUAUGGCUUUCACUUAUGCAAAAAAUCUUCUUCUUUUUUUAAUUGUUCUGUGAAGGCUGUAUUUCUUGUAAUUUUGCAAGUAAGGGGAUUGCAGUGUUGUAAGAGAUGGUUGAGUCUGUAAGUUGAAGGCCGGAACACUAUAAAUUUAUCUUACAAUAUCAUCCAUCUCUUCACCUUUUUUAUUAUCCAUAUAUAUAUAUAAACUACUGCAUCUAUAUAACUAUGUUUCUUUUGCAAAAGCUAAUUUUCUCCCUUUUAUGAGAUGUUAUAAUUCUUUUAAAAUUCACCCUUCUUGAGUUUUACAUUAGUAGUCAUCUCAAGAGUAGAGGAUUAUGUUAGUUUUGUUUUUGUCGUUGGAGUAAUCUAUUUUAUCCAUACUAACAAGAAUUGUAUACUGAUACAAAAAACAAAAAAAGAUUAAUACUACAAAAAACUCAAAAUUGAUAUAUUUAUAACAAAUUUAUUCCAAUUUUUUUUAUUAUUAAAAAUCCUAAAUUGGUACAAUGACAAUAAAUUUAUCCUCCAUUAAUUUUCAUUAAAUUGAAUUAAUAUCAUGAAAAAACAAAAAUUGGUACGCCUUUAUAACAAAUAGAGAAUAAGACCCCACAUUAAUACACCAAUAAAUUGUUAUAUGUCAUUUAACUUAUUAAUUUGAUGAUAAAGUUUAAUAAAAACUCAUAGAAGAUGAAUUUGUCACAGAUGUAAUAGUUGAAGGUCUUUGGCAAUCAAAAUUUUAAUUUGAGAUAAAUUUAUAAUAAGCGUAUCAAUUUUUGUGGUAUUAAUCCAAAACUAUUUCCUUUUCUUUUUGAAAACAAGAGAACUAUUUACCGACCAAAAGAAAACUAUAUAAGAAACCUGACGUUAAGGGUGAAAAGAAAAGCCCAUGUGAUUUGUUUUUUUCUUUUUUUGGUCGGAAAAAGCCAUAUGAUUAAAAAAACUCAAGAAGGAAACGAGACCAAAAGCUUCAGAUGGGAGUCCAUUUCUGAUUCUUAGUCGUCAUUCGAGUUCGCGUGUAUUGUCUUGCGGAAUCGCUUUGCCACCAUCGACCUCGUACCGAGCUAGAAGACCCUUUGACUUCAAUCGUAAUUUGUCGAAGACGAGGCAUAUUCUCUUCGAUCACGAGCUUUCCGAUUUCUUUGUUGACUGCGAAUUGUUCGUUCUUGGUUCGGUUCUUCGAUACCCAGAAAUCGUUCGAUCGAUAUUUGAUCAAAAGCAACAAAUUUUUCAUCUGGGUAUGCUUAAAAGAUUGGCUUUGAUUGCUUUCGUUGCGGUGGUAGGUGAGUCUGUGCUCGCGGUACAUUUUCGUGCUUGAUUCUUGAGAAAUUUGCCCGGAUAUGAGAGGGGAGUGAUUUAGGAGUGGUGAGAAUGCACGACUUAUAUACCCAAAUGUUCGCUGGGUAUGCUUGAAAGAUUGGCUUUGAGUGCUUUCGUUAUGGUGGUAGGCGGGUCUGUGCUCGCGGUACAGUUUCGUGCUUGAUUCUUGAGUAAUUUGCCCAGAUAUGAGAGGGAAGUGAUUUGGGAAUGGCGAGAAUGCGCAAGAUAUAUACCCAAAUGUUAGACAGCAUAAGGCAUGAUUUUCUUUUUUCUUUGAGCUUUUUGAUAUAUUGGUUCACCGUUCAAUUUUUCAGUUGAAUUUGGUGGAAAUCAGAUUUCCUGUAGCAGACUUAAUUCGGGAGGAUAUAUUGAAAUGCAGGUAUUACUGAUUACCUACGGCUACCAGCUCUUUGUUCCGCUGUUUACACACGAUGGGGAGUGAAGUCUAUUGUUUUCAAAAUUAUGCACCCAGAAUCAGAUCAUUCUUGAAAAGAAAAAUUCUUAUGGUGAAAUUUACGCUACGUUAUCAUAUUUAUGUACUGAGUAAGUCAUUUUGCAAUGCCGGUUAUCUCAUGAAGCAGCAGAUUUGAUCUCCUGCAAUUAUAUACAUGGAGGAAUUGCUUUCUGCUUUUUUCUUUAUGACCCCAGGUUGGUUGUGGAUCCUAAUGUCGAUGUGUGCUUGUAUUUGUAGACAUCGAGGGCAAGGCCAUUCAAGGAAUACAAAGAGGUGCAGCGAGAGAAGGGAGCUGAUCCAGACAUUCAGUUGGUUUGCAAUGACUCAAACAUAUUUAAGUGGACUGCUCUUAUCAAGGUGAGAUUGAAUGGCUGAUGGAGGUAAUUGUCAAGAAAAUGGUGCUGUUGCUCAUAUAAAAGAUAUGGUGAUUCUCUCUUUCAUUAGGGACCAUCGGAGACUCCUUUUGAGGGUGGUGUUUUCCAGCUCGCAUUUGCUAUACCUGAGCAGUAUCCACUGCAGCCACCUCAAGUUCGUUUCCUGACUAAGAUAUUUCUCCCCAAUGUGCACUUCAAGGUAUAAUUUGUUUGUAUAGGAAUGCUUAUUGAUGAUAACUUAGUUGGAACUAGUUGCAGUGCAUGUGAAUAGGUCAAAGGGUGAACUGAUUUACUGUGUUGUUUGGCGAUCAAUGUUUCUUCUCAUCAAUAUCUAUUAUGUUCAGAAUCAGAAACUUGAAAGAGUUGCUAGUUUUAGGGUGUUGAUUUAUCUGGCACUUAAAAAAUAGAUAGAGGUGCAGAAGCUGAGAAUUGGAGACUUCUUUGACACUUUGUCAGGAAACAAUCUUGACCUGUAUUUUUCCAAAUUCUGUUUCCAGAGAAUCUCUGCAUGAAUAGAUUUUCUGAUAACUACUAGCUUGGGAAAAUCAACAGAGAUACCUGAUGCAUAAGUAUGAGAUGCUGUAAGUGUUUGUUUGACUAAUAGAUUGACAUUUUAAUUUACUUUAUACAGACAGGGGAGAUAUGCCUUGAUAUUCUGAAGAAUGCAUGGAGUCCUGCCUGGACACUUCAGUCUGUUUGCAGGGCUAUAAUAGCUCUCAUGGCCCACCCUGAUCCUGACAGCCCACUAAAUUGCGAUUCAGGUAUCAAUGAGUUUUUUUUUUUUAAAAAGAUAUAACAUCUGUAUCUAAAAACUCAUUAUUCUUUCAUUAGUACAUAAACCUCAACCAGAAAUUUCCUUACCUAAAGUCUUUGUAACGCCUAUUAUCUAAGUGGCCUGGUGUUUAAUAUUUGUUGCUUGCACCUCUUGCAAGGAGUGCAUACUCGUAUGCUUGCAUGUUCACUGUUUCGUGAUAAAAUGUGGCACUGUCACUUCCUUAAUAAUAUCUAGUUGAAUGUUGUCUCACUUACAUUUAAACUAUGCAGAGUCAGGGCCAAGAGCCUAAAGUUGGUAGAGUCACCUUUCUUGGUAUAAAAAUCUUGAUUCGGGGUUUCCUCCACCUUCCCACCUUGUGAAUACCACAACAAGAACAAGAAGCCAUUGCACUUUAUGGAGUAAUAUUUCCUCCCCUCAGCCAAAAAGAGAAAAAUGAAAUUCCCUCUAUACCGCCUGGUUACAGGAAAAGAGCAAAACUUUAUAGUGUAGUUCAUAUGAGAACAAUCAUACUCCAUCCUCCUUGAUAUUGACAUAGACUAGUUGUAUCAGUGCCAAAGAGGAGUGCCCUUGACAUCUUGCGGGGAUUCUUGAUAGGCUGCUUUUAGAAUGAGGUGCAAGAGUGUCUUUGAUUGAACUUUUCUGGAAAUAACAAGGGUAAGACCUUUGUAAUCGUUUGACAAGUAUUGAGAGAGAGCGUGAGAUUUCAGUGGGAAUCUUUCAUGCUCCUUUUCCACAUUUUGUUUCCUAAUCCUAUCUCAAACGAUACUUCAUAUCAAAUCUUUAUUUCCAAUAGUCAGUUUGUUGGAUCAGAUAUAGAGGACAGUAGUGCUGCGACAAGUGAUAAUAGUUGGAUGUCUUUGCCUCGAUUGAGUAUUCACAUAAACACAUUCUGUCGUUCUGUCAAUUACGCAUGAGAUUCUGGGGAUUAGAUGAAUUAGGUAUGAUAUGAUGCUUCGAUUUCAACUCAAACUCUAUCUGUUAAGAACCUUGAGAGCUAUUCAUCUUAAUCAUUCAUGCAGUCAAGCAUUCUCAGGGUUUGUUGAUUGCCUUCUGGUGGGCCAAUAUAUUAUAUGGCAUAAAAGAGAUAAUUUCAACAAUGAAGUGAUAGAGAAUGGUAAUAAAGAACAAAUGCUUGUACUUGUUCAAUGUAACAGUUGAUGGUUAUUUUUUCCUAAUGUCCUGCCUGUAAUGGUCGUAGUGUAUUAGAAGAGAGAUCAUGUUUUCCUGAGGUAAUCCUUCAGAUGAGAAUGUGGAGCCCCUGGGCAGGACUGCCUGCUCUGCAUGAAUCCACUGUUGUGUCGAUCAUGUUCUUCUACUGCUGUCCUUAAUACAACUCUUCACUCUGCUCGACCAUGUGUGGUGAGGCAAACCUCUCGUUUCCUUUUAUUUCUCUCUAGGCAGCUCUCUUGCUCAUGUUGCUGCUGAGCUCUUGGAAUCAUCUUUGAUGGGAAUUAGGCUCCUUGAAAGGCUAACUGUGAGAUAUCUUGUCUGAUCACUCAUGGGAGGAAAUAAAAGAUUAAAUAAAAGAAGCUCUCACUCAACUGACAGGAAUUGUUCACAGCCAGUGAAAGGAUGAAUUUUGGUGCAGCUAAGAAGAUGAGAAUUAUAAAUAAAGCACAAUUGCAGAGACUAUCAACAGUUGAUCUUCCUGAAUUUGAAUGAAAUUUAAAAGAAAAAUUCCCUUGGGGGUUGCCAAACUUGAAGGAGGUUCUUAGUUAACAUUAUUUUCUUUAUGUCGGGUUCGGUUGAAGUGAGUUUAUAUCCCCACCUCUCUCUCUCUCUCUCUCUCUCUCUCUCUCUCCAGGGUAAUUCCAUAACUCAGGUGUGGAACUUCUUCCUAGUAGUCAUUAGAAAUGCACAUGCUAAAUCUCAUAAGAAGGGAUGGCUUAUUAGUUCCAAAUUGAUCUUGUAAUCCAGGGAUGAAUCACUUCUACGUCAAGGAUUAGCUUAGAAUGAUGAUUUGCAGUGUGUACUUGCCAAGCAUGAAGUCAUUGCUUCUGGAAGUUCAGUUCAGGCUGAGAAAACCUCGCUGGGACCUUCUGGCACCAUGACAGAUGUCAAAGGUCCUCUACUUGAUAUUGUAGAUAACAGCACAAAGCCUGAUGAAAGGUAACUGUUUCAUUAGUCAUGAUUGCAAUAUAUAAACCCCAAAUACUUGUUCUGUGGCAAAUUAUGACGUUCAGCUGAAGUCUGUGAACUGAGCAGUGCUACUCUUAUGAUAAUUUGAUAUGGAUAUUUUUUGCUAAUUUUCUGCUGUUUGGUAAAACUUGGUGGAUAUUUAUACAUUGAGGCUCCGUUUGUUUCAUAAAAAAAUGACUGGUUUGGAAAAUUUUUGCUGAAAAUGACCAUUUAUAUUGCUUAUAGAAAGGAACGAACGAAAAAUAUUUUCAUCGUCCACAAAAAUGUUUAUACACAAAUUGUUGUCGACAAUGAGAACAUUUUCUGUUGACUAAUUAUUUUAAGCAAAAGCUAUAUGAUGAAAAUGUUUUCCAAAUCAUGUAUUUUCCGCAAAACAAACGUAGUGGAAAUUUAUCAUCUGUCUUUGAUCCUCUGGUUGUCAAGACCUUGUCUGGUGCAACUUUUGCACAGCAGAUUUGGCUGUGAAAAUGUGUGUCUGCAGCUUUUAUGAGCUGUUUGUCAAAUUCUUUACUGCUGCAGUGCCCUCAAANNNNNNNNNNNNNNNNNNNNNNNNNNNNNNNNNNNNNNNNNNNNNNNNNNNNNNNNNNNNNNNNNNNNNNNNNNNNNNNNNNNNNNNNNNNNNNNNNNNNNNNNNNNNNNNNNNNNNNNNNNNNNNNNNNNNNNNNNNNNNNNNNGCUUUACCAGGCAGAUCCUUAGUAGUACUAUUGAUGUGAUUUAGGUCUUGAGAGAAGAAGAAAGGAGAGAGGAAGAAAUGUACCAAUGCAUCUUGUACAUGUGCUCAUUAUAUACAUGCAAGUACAAAAUGAUUGAAGCAUGCUGCACUAAACAUUUAUCUUGUGGCUUAAAUUGAUCUAAGAUCUCAAAUAUUUGCUCUUGAAACUUUGUGUCUAAAAAGGCUGAUUAAACUUUGGGAGAUUGCUGUCCAACAUUGUGCAUUCAGUUCUUGAGUUCCGAGUGUUUCUAUGUCUCCCAAUUUGCUCAUAGGAUCGCUAGGGAUCAUACUUAAAAAGCUAGUCUAGAUUGACAAGAGAGCAGCCAUUUUUUUGGGUUAAACACCUGCUGUCUCUCUCCACUUAUUACUUGAGAUUUACACAAAGAUCGGUUCUGUUAGUGUUAUACAGCAAGAAAUUUAUUUGAUACAGGAUAAGCAUGAGUAUACAUAAGAAUUCGGAUUUACUAUAAUAGAAUGUAAAAUGAAGUUAUCACAACUUCACAAAAAUUCUAUUCUAACGGAAAAGAUUUACGUGGUAGAAUAAGACCAUUUAAAUUACAGACUUUGUAAAAAUAUUAUAUUUAAUAAUUGAAUUUUGUUAUAUUUUUGUGCUAUCUUAUGAAAGUGAUGCAAGCCUAGGGGAGGCUUUUUCAAACAAUAGGAUCGGGAGAGUGACUCGCGCACAAGAAACGGGACGAACAGUAAUUUCAGCACUGCGCAAGCUCAGGAGAAUAGUCGUAUCUUUGUCGAUACAAAUCGGAUCAACCUGAUUCCAAAGCCAAAUGAACAAAAACUUCUGGAUCUACAAUUUCUGUGUUUUGGGUUUUUUGAAAUAAGCACUGUAGGAUAGUCGAAAUUGGGUUGGAAGUAACGAACAGAACAGGAAAAGAUAGGAACUUCGUUGGUUGCUCUUCUAGGCCUCCAAGGAAGUUGAAAGGGACACCGAUUCUUCUAGAUCGAUGACUGCAACUCUUCAAGGAUGCAGAUUUCAAAAGCUCCGACUCUUCAAGGACGGAGUGAAAAAUCUUCUAGGUUUUCAAGGGGAUGAACUCUACAAGGUUCACGAUACUUGCUUCAAAGCAAAGUUUUUCAUUCAUCAAAAGCUAUCUGUCUUCUACAAGAAAUUGGGCUUAUAUCAUCAAAGAAAUAAAGAUAGAGCAUUGAAAACUAGGAGAAAUAAAGGAGCAUUGAAAUUAGGAGAUAUAGUAAAGGGCAUGGAAACUAUAAACUAGUAAAAGCGUCACGCGAGCUUCCAAGGUGUCUUUCAAGCUUCCGGGAUGGACUCAAGAUGUCAUUAUGGCUUCUCGGUUUCGUCGAGCUUUAAUGCGGGCCGAUCUUCUUGGUCGAGAGAGCCGGUCUUCAAUGUGGGCUGCAUCAGAAAGUUAAUAUGAAUAUUAUACUUAUUCUUGUGGAUGUGAUACUAUAUAAUCACCUAUUAACAUUGGCAUGUUAUAUCCUUAAUAGACUAAUAAUAAGAUGCAAAAUAAGUUCCAAGUUCAGCAAACACCCAGGAGAGGGAAGUAAAACUGAAAAUCAUGUACAUAUGUGCAUUUUACCUGAAAGUACCAGUAAUUUACUAUUAGAGGAUAUUGAACACCAGUUUCUGGCCAGUUGAGCUAUAAGAAGUGGGAUUUUCUGCAGAUCAUCAUCAAGUGCCGGUACAGGGUCCAUCAUCAAGUGCCGGUACAGGGUCCAGCUAAACUUGAUCCAAAAACGGACCUUCUCAGUGGAGAGGACUACAGCUUUCCUAAGGCAGAGACUUCACUAGCACUAGUGCCUGUUGGACACCCACAGUCAACUGCAUCUCAGUCACGGCAGAAUGGACUUGUUCUUUUCGAUGUGUUUUCGGACAGUAACAACAAGCCCAAUACUAUCAAUACCCAGAGUGGCUAUCCAACUACACAAAGCAAUUCUUCUACUCCUCAAUUCCAACAGCAGCAGAAUCUGCAAGCUCCACAACUUGGGGUUUAUGCUAAUGGCAACAUGCCAAACAUGGGAUCGAACGAGCAUGAUCAAUCACCUUAUUCUCAAAGCUCUGUUCCUGUUUGGAAUGGCCAUAUUGCGCAGCAGCAACGGCCUCCCUCUCCUGUCUAUGGUGCACUUCUGCUUCUUCAUCAGUACUUGACAUUACUUUCUUAGUGAUGCGUAUUUUGUCGGUUGGCUUGUACUGUACAACCUUAUUUGGCAUGUACUAGGGGCAUGCUUGGUAUUCUUUUCCAGAUUACUGAGUUGCUAUGAGACUUAAGUCCUUUUGGCGAGCGUUGACCUCUUCUUUGUGGACAUAGCUGAACUCCUAACAAACAAUCUUACAAUCUGUUGAGCCUACGGUUUUGUGGUGUUUCGCAGGUGCUCAAACUAGUGAUUCGCUACCACCACCCCCUUGGGAAGCUCAGUCAGUGGAAAACAGUCGGGUGAUGGGCAGUCAGUACCCCCAACCAAUGCAAGGUUCAGAGGUGGUCGUCCUGCAUGCACAACCUGCACUGAGUGGAUUGCAUCUCCAGGCACCUUGUCCAAGGGAAUGAGCAAGCGAUGGACAUGUACUUGCAACCAGUUGCGGGUGGCCACAUGCCAUUGCUGAAUAGCCAGGUUGUUCCAAUAAACCAAAUGGUAGGACUUACCACCUCAGCCCAUCCAAGGAGGUCCUUAUAUGGGGAUGGUUCCUCUGCCAAUGCAAGUAGAUCAGAUGGCUUAUUUAUAUCCCCAGCAAAUGUAUGGCAGCCAGGUGGCAGCCUACGGCUAUGGCCAACAAGGUGCUCAGUACCUUGAUCAGCGGAUGUAUGGGCUGUUGGUUAGAGAUGACAGUAGCCUCAGGAACUCUUCAUACCAGGUGUCCACUUCAUCGUACAUGCCACCCAUGAAGCCUUUGAAGCCAGAGGACAAGCUAUUCGGAGAUCUCGUUGAUAUGGCUAAAGUGAAAUCGUCUGCAAAAUCUACUCCAGGCAGAGCUGGUAGAAUGUAGCAGUAGUAUUUGCGAACCAUGUUUUGCUUGUUAAGUUGAUUUCUUUUGAUUUUCUUAUUUCAAAUUUUUCUAUUAUACAUAUUUGGCAGUUUCUUCUGUUUGUGGCCGUGUAUUGGCACUGCUUGUUUGAGAUCAUGUACAUUCUUUGUAAAGGGAAAGAAAAGGAAAUCUCCUCAACCUUUUAUCUCUUAUCAGGGCAGAACGGUUAAUAAGUGCACGUCAUUAAGUUGAUCUAAUUCUUAUAGAAUUUCGUAGUUAGAGUUGGUGCUAUAGAAGAUUUUUAUGAGAAUUAGAGUGCUGAGAGAAGAAUUUGUCAGAAUGAUACCAGGAUUUUCAAUCUAGCAUGAUUAUUGGCUUUUGAUUUUGAGCAUACCGUCAUCGCAAUGGUCUCUCUUAUCUCCAGAAGAUGUACUUGUCAAUGAAGGUUGGAUGAGUGAGUUUGUAUAGGUGUGUGUACGUUAGAGGAACUCUUCUUCAGCAGGGGAAACUAUGUCUUGCUGUUCUGAUCUCAUUUUCGUGAAAUGUAAAUUGCUUGGCUUUUGGUGGUGUUCAUAUUAUGCUAUACUUAGUAUCAUCGCUAUAUUUGUGGAAUGUUUUGGCCGAAAGUUAAUCUCCGUCGUUUUUCUUAGAUUUUAUGUAAUCUUGGAUUUAGCAAAUUCUCGGCAAAGUUUACGGUACAAGAGCUUUCCUGGGGUGACUGUCUAUUUUGUUUUUUUAAUUGCCCUAAAAAGGAACAGUGUUGUUUUCCAUCAAUGAUGCUUCAAACUUUCAUGAUUGUGGCUAGAUAGACCUCCUAGAUUGACCCCAGGACAUUCACUUCAAGAUGAGGGGUGAUUCUCCCAUGAUCAGAUCCGGGACUGACUUCAUUGCAGAGGUGACCCUUUCUUCUCGUUUUUGCUUUCACGACCAGGUACGAGGAGAAUGACUUCAUAGCGAUUCACGGGUACCAAGAUCCUGAGAGCGUUUGGAUGAGACCAUUGCGUAAAACGGAGUGAAGACGUUAAAGUACCUAAAGAUGCUCCGGCAACGGUGAUGCUUCCAGGGAAAUUCUCGCAUGCGCCCGAUAACGCAAAGCAUCGGAUUCGAUGAGUCUCGCAUGAGGCUCGCAUGCUCUAUGGUUCAUACGUGCAUCGGGUGUAUGAUGCAAAAAUGGCCCGUGAUGCGAAGACGAGAAACGAAAUACUUUACCCGUGAAGGAGAUAUAUUUUUUGGUCAGACCGACGUUUUUUUAAUCCAACGGGUUAGCCAAAUUUUAAGUAGGCAGGUGCCCAAAGAUGCAUGGUGACGACCAAUCAUUUAAUGAAAAUGACGUUAAAUAAAGAUCUAUUAUCAGGCUCAAUUACAAGUUUCACCAAUUGAGUCACAUGUAUAACAUAUUCAUACCUAAUGAUUUUCCGCAAAGUGGUGAUGAAAGGUUGUGUUUGAUUAAGAAACAUUUUAAAUUAAAAAUAAGUUGAAUGAUUUUCUUGUUUAUAAUUGAAAAACAAUAAUAAACAUAUUCAAAGGGCAUAUAGAGUGCUGCUAGGAUUCAAGUAUUUUUACCUUCGUUUAUUAUUUUUAUAUUUUUUCUAUGCCACAUUAUCCAUAUUUAUUUAACACCAUUUCUGGGGAGCAACAUUUUCAAUGUUUAAAUGCUCCUUAAACCUUUAUAUAUUUUAUUGUUCCAUGAUAACUUUCACUCAUAACUUAUACAUUUAAAAUAGAUUUCAAUUAGCUAGAGCUAACAAAAGUAGCAUAUUGAUAACACUGCCAAAUUACUCAAUUUUUAAUAAAAAAAAUAAUAACUUUACUUUUUAAUAGACGUAAGCAAAUACCAAUUACUAACAGACAAUUUUCAAAAACUCACCUUUUAUCAUAUGAUAUGAAUGGGAUCAUCAUGGAUAUAAUGAGAUGCAAUUGCCAUUGAAAUUGCACAAAAGUUUCAAAGGCUCUGAAACCUAAUUAUCAGUUUUGUGGCUAAGAAAGAAACUGUAAGAACAAUCAACAUCAUUUUUCUGAUUAUGCAAAGCAAAAGAAUAAAUAUAUAUCUCCCCUUUUAGAUUUGUGAGGAAUUCCCUUAUGAGGUUUUGCAAAAUGAUAAAUCGAUCAUAGGCUACUAAUAUGCUUAUUGUGGAAUCAACUUGUCAACUCACAAAUUAAUAUGUAGAUGGAGUAUGGAACAGGUACCUCUAGAGGUUGGUAGUGCUCUGCUUCCAUAGAAGGUGAAUAAGAUAGAAGACGUGAAGAGUAUCUAAGGCUAGAUGGGUGAACAAGCUGUAGAGGUUCCUUAAAGCUUGGAUGGACAAGUAGAAGUUAUUAGUUUUGUGGAACUAGAAGCCUGACAACAUGCUUGGAGGGACUUGUAUGUAGAAGGUGAACAGUCAAUUCAACGUGGAGGGUGAAAAGACUUCUUUUUUUUGGGGAUUAUGCAUCAAAUAGUGAAGCAUGUAGCUUUUCUAAUCUUAGUACUUAUACUUUUUUUUUUUGAAGCAAUUGACACUGAAUUUUUUAACAUUUAACAAUAGAAAUACUAAGGGAUCGAAUAAUAAUCAUUUUAUUUCUUUAUUAUUUUGUUCUUGAGGAUAUGUUUGGAAAAAAAUUCGUUUGGUAAUUUUUUUUUUAUUUCUACGACAAAUUUUUCACUCUGAAAGUCACAAAAAUGAGAAUUAAAAAUUUUCUAUUUGUCUAUUUUUGAAAUAAAAAUAAAAAUAAAAACUCUUAUUAUCGCUCGCCUUAGUUGUUGCUCGCUGGCCACUACCUAGAAAUUUUGAGGCUUAUUGAAUGAAUUUCUAUUUCGAAAACCGAAACUAUGUUGCUAUCAAAUAUCAAAUGCGUAUCUCUACUAAAAAACUCAUCUAAGGAAUAUAAAUUGAAAAAUCUAUUUCCACAUAGAAAUUGUUUUCAAGAAGAGAAGAAUUAGCAUUCGCGCCCUUAGUUCGAAAUCAUCGAUUAUUUUUAAUGUCCAUUAGAUGAAUUACCAAAUUACUUUAGAACCAAAAGCCAUCAUUAUUUUGAUUUUUGUAAGCCUUGUUUACCGGAGAAUAAACAUCAAAGUAAUCAAGUCCUCCUUUUUUACGAUACUUUUUAGCCACCAAUCCUGUCUUAUGUAUAGUUCUAUUGUUAGGAGGAAGAUUAGUUGAUGACCCUGUAUUAUUUCGCUUGAUAGAUUUUAUCUUAUCAUCCGUUGCCAUUUUCCACAUAUGCGCGUCCGGUCUAGAAUUUGUUUGGAAAAAGAUUCUUUAGAAAGAGAAAGAUAUUGUUCAAUUAUAACUUGUUUUCCUUCAUCUAAAGAAACAAUUUCUUUUCCUAAUAUUCGUCUAUAUCGAGACUAUUAAACAGGGCGGGCUUAAACUAAGAUUUCAAGUAAGCUUUUACAUGAUUUUCUUAUGUUUGGAAAAAAAGAAGUACUCAUCGACAUAAUGAGAUCCAUAUGUUCAAAAAAUCCUCCACUUCUUCCUAAAUUCAGAAGAACAGAAAAAACGAAUAAAAAAAUCCUCAAGUAAAGAAAGCCAUGACCUUAAAAAAUAAAAAGGCAUGUACAAGAAAUCGUCCACUUCAAAACCUAAAGAGCUUGAGUAAUGUCAUCUACCCCGACUACGAUGAUACCAAAAUAAGUUCAGAUCUUUUCACAAGCUGAAGUUCAUUAGUCUUACAGGGUAGGAUGGGUUCCAAUCUAAAGCUGAAACUAGUAUUGGCAAAGGCAUAAUGUACUCCAAAAUCCUAGACGUUACAUCAUUUACUUGAGGAGACUCACGAGCAGGGCCGGAGCCAAUUCCUUAUGACACCUUGGUUGGUCUCAUUUCUCAAUAAAAUUGCCAAUUCAAAGGCCGAAAUCGAGAAUCAAGCUAGUGUUGAUCAAUCUGGAAAUUUUUGAGAUCGUGAACUAAAUCAAUUCUCCUUGAAAUCGGCUUGGAAUAGAGCUGAUUGAGCCAGUUCCAAUUUUACCUGAACCUUUGCUCACCCCUAGUGUGGAAGGCACUUUAGCAAAUUAGCAUUAUAAAAUAAGCUUCUUGCUUCAUAAUGACUAUAUUUGAGAACACACCUCAAGGAUGAAAAUUAUAAAAAAAGCUUCUUACCUCUGAAAAAAAAAAAAACAUUUGAAAUGAUAUUUUCCAGAGACAUGGAGAAUAGAUGCAUAUUUUUUUCAAAUGCAUUAUGUUUGUUAUUUAUACAUCACAAAUAUAUGAUCACUCAUUCUACUCUUAUGGUUUUUGCUUUGUCAGGGUUCGUACUUUUGUCACUCUUUCGGUUGGUCUUUUUGCUUGAUCUCAGUGGUUCCGAAAUUAGAAUUCUAGAAAUUGUAGGGAUGUUGAGCUAGUGGCAGUUUGGUAAUGUGGAGGGAGAGUCAUUGAUCGAGAGUUUAAAUGAGCUGGAGGUUGAUUUUAAGUGCGAUUUGGGUUCGCUGUUCGGACUCGAGCGGCAUCAUCAGAAAAUCAAAGUGAGGGGACCAGUCAGCAGAUGAUACCUGAUAUCGGCAUUUUAUUUACUUUGAAACAAUCGACCAGCUUGAAAUUUAAUUUGAUUAUUUAAAGAAGCUGCAUUUAUUCUCCUGUUUCAAUUGCUCGACUCAUUCCCAAAUCAACUACUGAAUUAGCUUUCCUCGCUCGAAGUCGGCCUAACCAAUAACCAUCCAUUCGUCAUCAAUGUCAGAUACCCUGUAGCCUUUCUUCCCUUCACAAGCCAAGGGCAAGAUUAAACUAUUUACUCCCCUCCGUCCAUAAGACCGAUGAUCUUUUGCUCCCUAGAGGCAAAAGUAAGAGUUAUAUUAAACCGAUCCAUCUAAUCAAAGAUAGAUUACACUUCAUAAAGUCUUUGAGAGCUAGAAGGUAAUUUAUGCAAAUCGUUAGGUGUUCUCGGCAAAGUGCCGAUUGGACAUUAUCCAUGGGGAGGGUGGAUGCAUUUGGUGAAUUUGAGGUAUAUUGAGAUCCGACAGGAUUGAGAUUUGCAAGCUGUUUCUCAAAUUGGACGGCGAUUGAAAUGAAUUUAGAUGUUGGUUUGGCAUCGGAAGCUCAAAAUUAAUGGCCAUUAGAUGAUUGGGCAUGUAAAUCAUUUUACUUUCGGUUAACAUACCCGUGGAUAGAGGUGUUAAAAUGGGUCAUAAACCCACUUAUGACCCAUUUAAAUCUUAAAUGGGUCAUAAAUGGGUCACUUGUUUAAUACAAAAGAUAGUUAAAUGGGUUUCACAAUUAAAUGUUUAAGAUAGGUGGGUCUUAAGUAGGUUUUUAAAUGGGUUGGGUUGAAAACUCAUCUUUAACAAAAACAUUAUAAUUCCUCCCUUCUUUCUUUAACUUUAUAAAAAUCUAAAUUAUAAUUUUUUUAUUUUUAUUUUCUCUUUUCUUUUUCUUCCUUUUUUUUUUCUUUCUCCUUCCUCCUUCUAGUCGCCGGCACGGCGACGGCUGGCGACCGGCCAGGCGAGCCUCGAGCUCGCCGGCGUUGGGCGAGGUUUGAGCCUCGCCAGUUCUGGCGAGGGGCGAGCUCGAGCUCGCCGGAUCUGGCGAGACGAAGGGCGGCAUCGGGCGAGGCUCGAGCCUCGCCGAUCUAGCGAGCCUCGAGCUCGCCUGUGGCCGGUCGCCGGCUGUCGUCGUGGCCGGCGGCCGGCCAAAGAAGAAGAAGAGGGAAAAGAAAAAAGAGAAAAAGAAAAAGAAAAUUAUAUUUUAAAAAUAAAAUAAAAAUAAUUAAAAUUUUAAUUUAAAAAAAAUAAUUAAAUUUCGAUUUUUUAAAUAGUUAUUUUAAAAUUUAUAAAAAUUUUCCAUUAAAUUUAUAUUGUAUAAAACUAUUUUAGCAAUACAAUUUAAAAAAAAAUAAUAUAUAUAUAUAAAAGCUUAGAAGUAUUUUAAUAAUAUAAUCUUUAAAAAAAAACAUAGGAAUAAGUUUUUCUAAAUUUUUUAAAUAUGAAAAUAUUUUAUUAAUAUGAGUUGGGUCGGGUCGGGUAUGGGUUGGGUAUGGGUCAGGUCGGGUUUGGGUCGAAAAAUUUACAUUAAACAUAAAUGGGUCAUAAAUGGGUUAAUGGGUUAAUUUGGAUUGGACCAUUAAUGACCCGACCCAAACCCGACUCGACCCACCCGUUUAAUGGCUCUACUCGUGGAUUGUGCUAGAGUUGUUUCAGUAUCGUCUCUACCUUCUUUUAUUUUAUUAAAUUUGUAUACCACAAUGCCUUAAUAUGUCCCUAAUACAUAGCCACAUUCUCUCGCCUGAUAAUUUAAUUUUUUCGGUAAUUAAGAUUUAAUGUGGCAAUGAAGCCCAAGCAAGUGAAAACUUCAUUCGACCGAUAUCUCAGUAAAAUGGAAAAAUUAUCUAGAAAGUCCUAAAUUUAUCGUGCUUUUACCCAUUCAGUUAUAAAUAAUUUUGUAAAUUUAGUUAUAAACCUUUUCAUUUUUUAUCAAUUGAGUUCAUCCGAUUAAUUUUGACUGGAAGUCACUAAUGUGAAACUGGUAAUACCACAUAUGACGGUUGGCUCUAUCAUGGACAAUAUAUAUCAUAUUUUCAUUUUUUUUGAUUUUUUUUCUUUCUUUUUCUUUUCAUUGGAGGUUAGGUUGGUUGGCCUUGUCAUAUUUGGCUUGGGUGAAGUUGACUCUCGCCUAGGUGAGGACUAGCCCUAUGAGGGUCGACUCUUGCCUAGGUGAGGACAAGCCCUAUGAGGGUCAACCUCACUUGGCUGUGCCUCACCUGUGGUGGGCAAGGCCAACUUGCUUAGCCAUGGUCAAUGCUGGCCAUAGCCACUGCCAAAACAAAGUAAAAUGGAAAAAAAGAAGAAGAAAUAAAUCAAAAAUAAAUUGCAAAGUAUUAUUAAAAAUUGUCUAUAUCAGCACUGGUUAUUUGGCCAGCAUUGCAACAACGUCAACGAAUUCUAAUCAAAAUUGGUUGGAUGGACUUAAUUGACAAAUUGUGAAAAUGUUUAGGAUUGAAUUUGCAAAAGUGGAACAAGGUUAGAAUUUUUUGGACAAUUUUAGUAAAAACUAGGAAUAUCCCGAAUAAGGGCCUAAAAUGCUUCUAUUUUCUCCAAUAAGGGCUUAAAAUAAAUUUUGUUUCAAAUAAAAAUCUGAAGUGGCCGGAUGCCUCUUAAAGAGUAACAAAAGUGUGUGAAGGGAGGCUCAAGCUAAGAUUUUGCUCGUGAGCACAAUGGUAUAAGCCUGCCUAAUUAUGAGACUAAUUGGUCGAAUAGAGACGAAAGUUGACCAUAGUGAUAUGGGAGUCCCAUGUGGAAGGGCUCUCACUUAACAGAUCAAAGGUAUGUUGAUGAUAACAGACUGAUGACUCCCAAGAGCUCUUAUUGAUGGAGUUGUUUGGCACCUUGAUGUUGACUCAUCACAUCUUGGAGGUGGAAAGGUUCCCAAGAGUUUGGUUGUUCACCGAUCAAAGUAGAAGAAAAUAAACUGCCAUUUGCCUAGGUAAGAGUCUUAGUAAGAGAUAGAAAAGGAAUAGUUGCCUUUUGCAAAGGAGAAGCUGCUUGAUCAAGAGGCAGAAGAGCCGCAUAACUUGAUUCACAUUUUCUUCUUGAUUAGAGGGGUGUAGUAGCACUGGAAGAGAGGUACAUCAGUUUCAAAAAAAUGCCUAAUCUCUCAGACUGAAGGACAUUUUCAUCUUUUAUUUUUAAUUUUUUUUCAAAGAAAAAUUUCAAAUAAGAAUUCGAAGUGGAGCCAUAUUCUCAAAAGAGGGUUAAAGUGGAUACUGUCUUAAAUAAGGACUUCAAGUGGCCAAUUUAGUUUCAAAUUGAGCCUGACUUCAUUUACUGGCCAAAUCUUGUUGUUGACACCUAAAUUUUGGCUACCCAUUUAGUUAUUUAUCGCGUUAAACAUUAGGGGUUAAUUUUAUCCUUGAAAAAAAAUAGUUAAUUGCGUGACAUAUAGAUUUAGGUGCAUUUGCAUUUAUUUAUUGGGCUGGUGACAGAUGGGUUCAAGUUGAUGGUGCAGAACUUUAAUUUGAUGAAUUGGCCUAAGCCCGUUGUUCUCUAAUGACCGACAAUUGAUUUAUUUGAUAUUUUUAGAAAAGAUUCGUAAUAUCCUUCCAAUAUUCGAUAAACAUUUCAUAUAUUUAUGCGAUAUAUACAUUAAGUGAAAUAUUUCGCAGGAGAUUGGAAGAUUUCAGAGGAAAUAUCAAAAUAAUCAAACUAGGAUAUAUGGAACGAUAUUUUUUUUUGCCUCAAAAUGAGAGAAAUUGCAUGGUCAUUAAAGAUUUCGUGCGGAAAUUUUCUUUCCCUAAUAAGAUCAUACUAUAAAAUGCCGCUUGAUCGAGUAAAAAGGGGGGCCACGCAAAAUUGAAAACACGGCCACAUUGAGGGGGAUCUCACAAUACACAGACACACGUGAGGUAAGAGAGAAGGGUCGCGCCUUGCCAUCAUCACGCCCACACCGGUGACGCCGCCGCUGCCCCUUGACGACAACCCCAUUGCAAACGUGCCUUGACACGUCUCAGCAUCGGACGCUAGAGUUGCAGCCCUCUUUGCCGCUGUCUAUGUUGACGUGUCGGUUACUCGGCGAGCAUUCCACGACGUUCCAAGUUUCAUCAAGUCAAAGGGAGAGAAUUUGUAAAGAGAAUCCAAGCAGAAAAGACACCAACACAAGCAGCACACUCCGAAUGCCUACACGAUUCCCUUGAAAAUUCUGGGCUAAAUUUAAGACCAUAUUCUGUCCACACAACAGCAGGAGGACGUGCAUAGACUUGUGGAGAAUUUCACUAAAGCAUCUCAAUCCAAUUGGUGGCAAAAUUGGAGAAAAUUUGGGGAGUGAUGUGCUGAAGCGGUGGAUAUCGUCUUCUCUUGCAUGGUCUUUGUGGAAAGUCCCUUGGCGAAGAAGCCAACGCUCGCACAAAAAGAAAGGACGCCACAGUUGAGAUACACGACUAAAACUGAGAAACGCGCUUGAGAAAUCGAGAAAAAAGGUGGAUCGUGAGAGACUCCAUCGACGACAGUGAUCUUUUUUCGGUGUUGGGAUCGUGUUCGUGAAGGCCACCCAACAUCAAUUAAUUUGCUGUUCUUGUUGCUUUGCCACGCCAAUUCCCUGACACCUCCACCGUCCACGAAUCAAGGCAGUCCACGGCAGGGGGAAUUCCUGUUGACUUGUUCGGUCAAUUGCCAAGGAUCCCAGCGGCACCGCAGCUGCUUGACGACUCGGCCACUCACGGUCACCUCCAGAGAUUUCCCAGAGAAAUUGUCCGCAUCGGAAGCCUUGACAAAGUGGUCAUUGAUCAGCCCCCUCGUCGUGCUUAGUUCACCGACCCAUUAGCCACGAAUUGCUAUCCAUGAGUCCCGCCAGCACCACCGAGCUCAGAGCCAUCACCACCGCAAUUUGUGUGAUUUGUUGUCCAUCUAAGUUUGGAAACAGUAUCCGAGCGAUAUUGCAAUUUAGGUAAUAAUUUUCAUCAAAUUGAUCUUCAUAUAUUUUUAUUGUCUAAUUUACAAAAUCGCUAUCUCGUACAAAUCUUUAAAUGAUGAUAUCGUAUCCACAAAUAUCAAGCAUAUUUUCAAAUUAGGGAUUGAUCCCUAAUUUCACAACGUGCAUAUAAUUGAUAGUUCGAUUUUCGUGCCCGAAAUCUAAUUCACAAUCACACGGAAAAAUUGCCAAUUCGAUAUUACGCUUGAGAUACGAUUCGUGAUUUUAUUUAAAAAAUUGGCAAAUUCGAUCUCAUGCGCGAGAUAUGAUUCAUCAAUUUUGUUCUCAAAAUUAAAUGGACAUGGAUGAUAUUUUGCUGGAUUUGUUGCCGUGCUGUUCUUGAUGCCUUUAUUUGUUUGCUCCCAUAAAAGGAAAAAAAAAACAUUUGAGUUAGAUUAGAUGCAUGUUAGGAUGUUACUUAUUUUAGGGUUAUUUUGCAUGUCUAGAAUAGGAAAUUUAUAUAUUUCGAAUUUCUUAAAUAAAAAAUACCAAAAACAUAAAUUUAGGAUGUUAGACUUUCGUUUAUUAAUUAAAAUUGCGUGUUAAUUAUUUGCCAACUUUAAAUUUCGAAUUUUAUAUAAAAAAACACAAAAAUAAUUUUAGAAUAGAAUCGCAUGUCUCAUUUUAAGUUUAGGUCAAUUUUUAGAUGGAUGCGUCUUAGAUUAGAGAUUGCUAGGUUAAGAUAAUGUCAUAUUUUAAAUUAGGAUUUAGUCUAACAUAAUCCUUAAUUUGAGUUGGAUAGAGCCUUAAUCUAGUUAGGUCAUUUUUGCAUUUUUCUUAAUUUCAAAUUUCAUGAAAAAUAGAAAAAUAAAAAUUGUCUUAGAGUAGAUUCAUUUCAUUCUCUAGGAUAGAUUACAUUUUUUUAGGAAUUGAAAUAUCGAUUGCACGUCGUAUAGAAUUAGAAUAAUUUAAAUUAGAAAUUACAUGUCAUUAAAAUUAGAUUAUUUAGAUCGCAUUUAAUCAUUGCAUUUCUUUAUGAAUUACUUUAGUCAUGACGUAUAGUUAGGUCAUGUUGCCAUGUCGCAUGCAUCACAUGAUUUUUAUUAAAUAAAGUGAAAACAAAAAAGAAAUUACAUGUUAAUUAGAAAUCAUAUCUAGGAUUCUUGAUGUGAAUUCUGGUCUAACAACGCAGAUGCUUUCGUUGUUAUGAGGUGAGUCCUGCAAUUUAUUUACUGCUUGGGUGUUAAAUUGGUGGUUUGCGCACCAUGAUCGCCUCACAUGUUAGGGAAAUAGAUUUAAAAUCAAUUUAAGAUGCUUGUCAAACAUUUUUUAAAAAUAAAAGAGAAAGACACCAAAAGAGGCGUUAGAUUUCUCUAACGUAAUCAAGUCCCUGUAACUUACCUCGUAACCAAAAUCUCUGGUUCGUAGGAAUAAAGUAAAACGUCAAAAAUAGAUUAGUGGCGACUCUUAAUUUAAAAAUCAUCUGCAUGUUAAGAAUUUGAACGCGAAUUAGUAUGGGUUUGGGAGAGUCCGAGUUAAGUCUAGGCUUAAUAAUCCAUUAGCCAAACCUUAGGUGGUUUAUUCGAAAAUUUGGUCGCGACACUUGUCCAUGUCCGAGGGCAUUCUCAUCCAAGUACAUUUGUUUCUUUAUUUUUCUUUUCUUUCUCUCUCUGUUUUAUGUUUUCAUUUCAUUUUUUUUCCUUUCUCUACGCCAUCAUCUUCUGUGAUUUCAAGUAUAAACACGCUGGCAAAAAAUUUUCUAGCUGUCUCUCGCCCAGCUCCAAAACCCCGCUUCCUGUUUCCUCGCUACGCAGCCAAAACUUCCUAACACUCUCAAAAGAUUAAUCGGCGAUAUUCAACAACCGUAUACAAAAAAUUUCACAACCCUAUACAACUUAUGACCCGACACAAAACUGUUUGUCGCCCCCUAAAAACUUUUCCACAGGAAUCAUAUGUUGAUUCAACUACUCUCUGUUUUAGGGAACACGGGAACUGUGUUGUGCAGCACAGUCGUCCCUGGAAAGACCAUCACCCGGUGAUUUCUUCUUAAUUGUUUCAACUGCAAAAGAAAUGAAUGCAUGAGACCGAGCGUUUUAAAUCUGCCGCUCAAGAGGGGAUAGAUGAAUGCACGUUCACAAACCUCCUCUGGGGUCAUCUUGCCAAAACCAAAUCGGUUCGUCCAUAUCGAUUCUGCUUCCUCUGCAGCAGGAAGCACGAGAUUCUUGACAUUGAGAGAUGAAGAAGCUUCCUCUGGGUUGAACUAAGAGACGCCUUGCUAAUGGUUUGCGUAGGGGUGUCAAAAAAACCCAACCUGACUCGACCCCGACCUUGACCCGAACACGAAACAAGUUGAGUACAUGUUUCAGGUAACAGACAUAAAGGGGUGCAUGACAACCCAAAAUUUAUGUUCCAAAAAUAGUUUUUCUGUUCCAGACCUGUUUCUGGAAGAAAAAUUCGUUUGAUAAACCUAUUCGGUUUUUCUAUUUCUGGAAUAGAUUUAUAUUCAAGAAAUAAGUUUUGAAGAGAAAUCAGAAGCUAAAAUUUUCUACUUCUGAUUUCUGGAAGAGAAAUUAUAAUUUCUUUCACUAAACCAUAAUUUUGGUGAGUCCUCCCUCAUCUCCUCUACGUCUUUGCCUCCUCCUCUUCCUCCGCCUCUCCUCAUUUUAUUAAAAAUAAAAAUAAAAAUAUUCAUUUUAUUCAUUUAAAAAUAAAAAUAAAUUUAUUAAAAUAAAUAAAUUAUUUUUAUUUAUCAUUUUAUUUUUAUUUAAUUAAAAAAUUAUUAAUUUUAUUGAAAAUAAUUUAUUUAUGAUAAAUAAAAAUAAAUCAUUUUUAUUUGCCUUGAGUGUUUUGCCAAAUAAAAUUAUUUUUAUUUUUUAUUUUCAUUCAUUUUAAAAUAAAUUUAUUCGUAAAAUAAAAUAAAAUAGAAUAAAUAAAAUGAUAUUUUUAUUUUAUUUUUUAUGAUUUAUUUUAUUUUAUUUUAUUCAUUAUUUUUUUUGUUACUAAAUCAUUUUUAUUUUUAUUUUUUAUAUUAAAGGUCGUCGAUCGUCGCCGCUACCGUCCAAAAGGAAGAAAUUUUGAGUUGUUAUCAAACGAAUUUUUAUUUUUAGAAGUAGAAAUUUUGUAUCAUUAUCAAAUGGUUAUUUUUGCUUAGAAACUCUUCUAAAAAUAAAAAUAUAAAAAUCCAUUUCUGUUCUAAGAACUAUUCCUGAAACAUGGUUGUCAUGCGUGUCCAAAACAAGCGGAACACAUGUUUCGGGUCGGGUUCGGGUGUGGAACAGUGUUCGACCCGGAACACGUUAACAAGGAACAAACACAAACGGACGUAGCCGUGUUUUCGAAAACCCCUCCCCUUCGGCUUCUUCUCCGAGGACUGCGCUUAUCGUGGAUUCCGCCGCCCUCCGAUCGAGACGCCUCCGCCUCGCCGUUGCCGUCCAGGUCUCCAUCUCUCGUCUCAACGCCGGAACCCUAGCUGCCGGUACCAAUCCCUUCCCGCGGCAGGAUCGCCCGGUUCCUCAAGGCCGGCAAGUACGCCGAGCGCGUCGGCGCCGGGCCCCGGUCUACCUCUCCGCCGUCCUCGAGUAUCUCGCCGCCGAGGUACCUUUCCCGAUCCGUCUCUCGUUCCGGCUUUUUCGUUUCUUUUUGCCGAUCGGCUGUUAGAAGAAAAAAGAGAAAGGGGAAAUCACACUUUCCCUUCCAUCCGAAGCCUCCCGGUACGGCUGUUUGCACUUUCCUCUCCCACUUCGCUCGCUGCUUCGAACCUACUCAAGAUUCUCUCCGUCUCUGCGAUCCACCAAAAAUCCCCGACCCUCUUCGCAAUCAUCAAUGGUGGGUUGGUUUAUGUGCUUUUCCUUCCUUUUCAUCAUUCCAUUUUCCGCGCGUCCAUUCUUAUAUCAAUAGCUCGCGUUCUGGUUGUUGCUGGGUCUUCUUGAAUCUCGAUUCUUUUUGUGAUUCUUCUCGAGCUUUUGGGUCCGGGUCAGAUGCUGUUUCCUUUGGGGGUUCUGGAGCUGAGCGAUCUGGCUACGUGAUCGCAAAAUUUGGAUUUUUUCGAUCUCAUUUGGUUUGUUGUUUUAAUUGUUGUUGUUUCCCUUGCGUGUCUCUUUCAGGCUUUGCCGAAUCGUUGGCGAUAAGGGCACGGGUGGCCCUGGCCUUCCCAUUGCGAAAUGCUGCAUACCCAGAUGGACAAUUUCGACAAGCAGCCUACCCAGAUGGACAAUUUCGACAAGCUGGCCUUCGCAGUUCAUUCCCAGUAAGCCAAUUUGACUUUUUUCUAUAAAGAGGAAAAAGAGGAGAGAAAUUUCCAGGCUCUGCUAUUUUUUUUUUUUGGGGUUAAUUCUCGUUUCCCUUUUCUGGUCGUUGUUAUGUUUCUUGCGGUUGAAUUCUGUGUUUUCAAUUCAAUUUCGGAACUUGAUUUGAGAGCUGGGAUUUGUGGAUGUGAUUUCAUAGUUUUGGAGCUCUGAACGUGUUUCUGUGACUUCUCUAGGAUGAUGACUGUGUACUUUGGUAGUUUUUUUCUUGGGUGAUAACUUUUGAGGUUGUGACUUUGACUGGUUUUUUGCUGAACCUUUUGGUAUAUUUGUCUUCUCUGAUAUUGAAGUAGUUGGUUAUGUUCUCUCUAGGUUAGGUGUGAACUGAUAUUCUCGUUCUUUCUAUUGGUCACUAAUUUGCUAGCUUGGUGUUGCUUGUCCUAGCUUUUAGGUUUCAUAGCCUAAUUCAUGAAAAUUGAACCAUUUCGUCGUUUGGAGGACCUUUUAUUGUCUCUGCUCAUCCUUCUCUCAAUUCAAGAGGCUGUAUUUGAGUUAGGGCGAAAUUAUAUCCACGUGCUAAGUUUCCUACUUGUGGUCUUUGUUGUUGGCAUCAGUUGCUUCACAGGAAGUACAGUGGAAAUUUCAUUGUGAACCUUUUGGGUAAAUGGAAAGAAUCUGAGUACUCAGGUGGCCAAUCUGUCCCUGUUGGUGGUAUCGCCUACUAUAUCACCACUCCAUCAAGGUGAUUAUCUGUUCCUUUUAGAAAAAUGAUGUUCAGUCUGGCUUUGUUGAUUUGAAAACUCACCAGUUGACAUUUUGCUCUAUCCUCCUGCAGCUUGGCUGAUAUGGCAGCCAAUCCCUUCCAUGCGCUCUUCUAUCUUGUGUUUAUGUUGUCAGCUUGUGCACUGUUCUCCAAAACAUGGAUUGAAGUUUCUGGAUCCUCUGCUAAAGAUGUUGCCAGACAGCUCACGGUAUGAAGUGUGUGAAACUUUAUUUCUCUUGACAGAGUCUGCUAAUAAUUGAAUGAGAAACAACCUUAUGUUUCAAAUAAUGGGGUAUCAAGAGUUGCGUGCUUGCAUUUUGAGGCCACAAUUGUUUGGCUUUUAUGUACGUUUAGCUCGAGUGACCCUGGAUUUAUCAAGUUCAUUGGGAGCUUUACCUUUUCGACAAUCAUCUUUUACUAUCCCUAUUGUUUGUUGAGCUUUUAAAUCUCUGAUAAGCUGAUUUGCAUCUUCCACGUGUUUCUGUGUUUUGCUGGAGCCACCUACUUAUGACUUGUUCUUUGUCGUUUCUUUUGGUAAAUUCUAAUUGCUUUCAAAAUUGUCUGCCGGUCCUAAUCUGCACCUUUUGUCAUGCAGAUUUGCACAGUUCCAUCUUUUCCCUAACAUCUCUCUUUCCUUGUCAAUUUUAGGAACAACAAAUGGUGAUGCCAGGCCAUCGUGAGUCAAACUUACAGAAAGAGCUCAAUUGCUACAUUCCCACUGCUGCAGCAUUUGGAGGCAUGUGCAUCGGCGCACUGACUGUUUUGGCAAAUUUCAUGGGGGCAAUAGGCUCAGGGACCGGGAUUCUUCUCGCCGUCACCAUCAUUUAUCAGUACUUUGAUACCUUUGAGAAAGAAAAAGCAAGUGAACAAUGUGGAUUAGCAUGAAGCAGCUUCAUCACUGCAGUAUUAGGUUGGUAUGUUUCUUUGGAGUAUCUAGAGUGGAGCACGAUGUAGCUGGUCUUUCAUGAACUUAAGUUGAAUUCUGCAAUUCAGCACUUCAUUAAUGUGGCUAGUCGGGUAGGUGUUACUGGAAUAUACUGGUGUUACUGGAAUGAUACUUACUAUUGCAAAAUGUAAUUGUCUCUUCAUAAAUCAUGAGAAUCGAAAAGGAAUUUGCGGUGGUCUUAUGGAUGAGUUUGAUAAAAAAACUCAGUUUUCUUUUGGAUAUGGAACCUGCCCAACAGGUUGAAGUGCCAAAGCUUUAGGUUUCUUGGAAUUUUUUCUUCACUGCUCUUUGUUCUUCUACUUGGUGCUCUGCUAUUGAGUUUUUAUCAGUUAAAAAUACUUAGAUUGAUCACUCGCAAGAAUGGAUGUUAAAAUCAGGUUCUUAUAAUAACCUGUUCCCAUUAAAAAAAAAAAAAGCAAGAAACCCAUCAACCCGACCCAACCCGGAACACAUUAGAUGGUCUAAUGAGUUUCGGGUCGGUUCUAAUGUGUUCCGUGUCGGUUUGGGUUGGGUCACAAUGUGUGAUCCUUUGUGUUUCGGGUCGGGUCGGGUAACAACAAAAUCCCGACCCGACCCGACCCAUUGACACCCCUAGGUUUGCGUGCCAAUGGAUAGUGGGGUCGACUUAGUUGAGGAAGAAGAGUACUUUUACGAGGCAUUGCUUGAUAGUGACUAUUCUAUUAUGUAUGACUCUGAAAUGGUGGCAAAGGACCUCUCCACUUGGAAUAUAAGAACAGAGCUCUUUGGUUUCAUUUCUUUGAAUUGGAUGAGGUAGAGCGAAGAUUGGUGAAGGAUAAAUUGGGCAACUAAGCACUGUUUUUGAGUCAAAAUUAUCCCGCAUCCUUAUUGACUUCUAAAAUCCCAGGUUGUAGGAGAAACGACAUUUGAUAUCUUGAUGGUUUCACAGUGAAAGGGGGCACCAACAUGAAGAAGGGUUACGAAUUGUGCGGAUUCAACUUGAAAAGUAGAGCUACUCAACAUGUUAUUACACUUGUCUUACAUGUAGCUGAUCGCCGUUGCCCCUUUGGACGGGGCACUGGUUUAUUUCUUUAUCUGCAGGAGUUCACCGUUCUACUAAUCAUGUUGUUUAUGAUUGAUUGUUAGCAAAAAUAUAUUCAAAUAUCACUAUUGCAUGGUAAAGAAAACAAAUACAUGAAACAAAGAGAAAAAGAAAAAUAAACAAAAAAAAAAAAAAUAGUACGUGGACGAGAAUGCCCCUAAACGUGAAGAAGAUAUGGUUAAUUGGUGAAGCCAGGGCCUUAUUUGAGACUAAAUUGCCAACUUGAGGCCCUAAAAAACAAUGUCCACUUUAAACCUUCUUUUGAGAAUAUGGCUACAAUUCGAAUCCUUAUUUAAAAUUUUCUCCUUUUUUUUUUUCUCUAUUUAGUUAUUUUUCUUUCCUUUUUUCUAUUUUUUUUCUUUUUCUUUGACCCUUCCCGCCACCAUCCAUGGUGGAGGUCGCUGGAUUUGGGUGAGGGCCACCUCACCAAUGUUGGGUGAUGGCCGCCAUCGCCUAGGCUAACGCCAACAAGGGCUACCCUCACUAGGUUCGGCGAGGGUUGUCGAGGGUUGCAUUUGCCAAUGUUGGGCAAGGGUUAUUGUCGCUGGAUCUAGUAAGGAAUGCCCUCGCUGCCCUCGCCUGAGGUAGGCAACCUCCCUUGGCCAUCAAAAAGAAAAGAAAAAGAAAAGAAAAUAGAAAAAGAAAAAAAUAUAUAGUUACAAAAUUUUUGACCAAAGUACCACUUCUUCAUUGGCCGGAAUAGUCACCGGCUAGCCAAAGGAUCUCAUUUAAGACGAUUUGGGCCUUUAUUUGAGAUGAUUUGAUCAUUUCGGGCCUUAUUUAAGAAAACGAUAGUACUUCAAAUCCUUAUUUAGAAUUUAGAAUUUUCCUUGCAUCUUAAUUUCAUUACAACUCAUUUUUACUCCACCCUCGAGGGAUCCUCUACCCACGCCCAAGAAUUUAUGGUGUAAUGUCACCGGUGGUAUCUGUUAUUGACAGCUAACUGUUUUGCCCCAACAUCUCCUUCUCAUUUUAAAUUCGCCGGUAAAUCGGAAUCUAACCCCUAAGCAAACACUUCUAUAAUGUAUGCCUAGACUUCUCAUUUCUUUAGUUUUCAGAGACUAGGGUCACUUUUUACUUAAAAUAGGACGUCCGCAUGGAAUAUUAAAUUAGGCAAGAUCGCGAAUUUUUGUGAACCAGCCCAUUGUGUUGCUCCAGGUCACACCCACAAGCCCGUCUCACCCACCUUACGGGAAAUGGCAGUAUGUAUGCCAUACAAGGACCGCUCCAAGCAACGAGCGAAUGAAGACAUUCAUGGAAGGUCAGCACGACCAAGAUCAGUCGAGGUUAGGAAAUGUUUCAAUGAAUUGCAUAAUCCUCUCCGCAAUGAUGAAAAUAUGAUUCUUUAGGAUUAGAUCAGUAUCAAGCACACAUACAUACAUUAUGCAUAUAUCCGGCCUAGAUACAUCAUACAAUCAAGGGGAGGAGUGAACCUAGCAUGCUUCUAUGCAACUUUGGGUCUACAGGUUUACUCUUUUGAUAUUUGUUCAACUUCGUAGAAUGAGGCAAGGAUGUGUCCAUCCUCUUCUAAUUCUCUAUACCGAAUUUAUUUACAAGUUCCUAUGCAUAUUCUUGGCGAAUGAAGGUGCCAGCCUUGGUUUAAAUUCAUUUUGCGUAACCUCUGCAAAAUCCUUACCCAGAAUCUCAAUAACCUAGGUAUUCCUUAGUUCGAAAUAUUUUCAAAAUUCUUUAAAUCUUGAUUUGAUAAUUGUGAAAGUCAUGAUUUGGAUUAUAUUCAAAAUGUCUGCGAUACUUGUGAGUGCAUUUAUGCGAACCCCGAGCUAGCCUUGACAAUUGAAUGUUUUCCAUAGGCGAGACAUCACUCUGUCUCAAAAAUUUUGUGGAUGAUUUCAAGAAAAUGUCUUUGAAAUAUCACAUGUACCCUCAUGUAUAUAAUCACGUCAUUCAUUAGAAACGCCCGUGUUCGUGAUUGGCAAAUGCCCUUAGUAAUAAGUGACCUAUCCACGGUUCACUUUCUUGUUUGAUUAGUUGAGAAAUAAGGUUCAAAAGACCUGUAUGCAUAUUUUAUUCAAAUUCAUGCAUGUGACUUCUAGAUGUAUGUUAGGGCCGAUACAUGAUACCAAGGGUAGAUCUUGGGAAUGAUAUAGAACGUUUUGUUAGGGACUUAUAAGUAUUAUUGGCCAUACGAGAACACAAGUGAUCAAUAAUGGUUGUAAGUCAUAAAAUGAAUCGAGUAAGUGUUUUAGAGGGACUUACGCAUGAACUAUAAAGGCCUACCCGAGGAUCAAAUCGAAUUUGUGAAUUAAACUUCCUUUGAUUGAUUGACUUUGGCAUGAUGCUAUGCUUAUGGUUGUUUUGACAUGUAUACUUAUUUUUUUCUAUUGUAUGUGCCUAGUUACAAUCCUUAGACUAGAUAUUAGAUUAGGAUCUUGAAGAUGGAGGUGACAUGAAGAUGGUGAAAAAGUUGAUGUCUAAUCUGACUAUGCUUUUGUACUAUUUAUUCCCGACAUUUGUCUCAGAUUCUUGUUUUUGUAUAAAAGCCCGACGAGUUUUGAGAUUUUUCUUUAUUGUCCUUUAGUUUCGUUUCUCUUUCUUAGGACUGCAUUAUAGAUUUACUGCUUUCUUGGGUUAUUUACUUACUGUCUCGCAAUUUCAAUUCAAUUGAUUCAUUUAUUUUCCCAUUUUCUACAAUAAAGUAGCAUGUAAAUGCCCAACCACACAUGAUCGCCUAGUUUAGGAUAAACAAUCCUGAAAAAAUAAAGAAGAAAUGCAUGGACACCUUAGGUAAACAUAACAUGCUAUACGCGCCAACAUCCCUUCAUGGUCAUGCAAUUGCAACAUUUCCAAGUAGUGUCGCCAAGCCCAUUCAUUUUAAAAUGUGCAUGCGGAACGUAUUAUAAACCCUGGACACUGGACAAAAGCUCACGGGAUAGGAAAGCAGAAAACAAACCCAUUCAUAAUCAAACAUGCUAUAUUAACACUAGAGUUUACGUACACAAAAAAUGGUCAGAGUUUAUGUACACCAAAAAGGGUCAGCCUACAAAAAGAUCGGUUCACCAAAAAGAAGGAACAAUCCUAUAACCCUUAGCCGGACUUAUUCACUGAUCUCACUUCCGACUCGUUAACCUCUGGAGACGACGGGUCCUCCACUCUACCAUCAAGAGGGUCAGCUACGUCCUCCCCUAGGAUGGCCUCAAUCAUAACAUGUGGAAUAUCAAAACCACUAAGAGGACCGAUCCUGAAACCAUUGGCUCCAAAGCGGAACCAUGCCCUGUAUCGAUGAGGCACCCUGACAAACAAUGCCUCUUUGAUCCAGACAGUGGUCCUAAUAAGCCCGUAGAUCCAAUGACUCCCAAAAUCAGGAAAACUUUGCACCUGCUUGGUAAUCUGCACGGGAAGACCAUAACGCUCCGGGGCUAUCGCCAUCUACGGUCUUGAAAUAUUUGGCUCACAAUGGGGUGAGACAUUGUCUCAGCAAGUGCAUCCCCUAAACUCCUAUUAGAAAGGAAAUACGUCUAAGGGUGGCUUAGCCAUAUCACUUAUGAGACUUACCUUGCUUCAAGACUUUCCUGCAAAUUAGUACAAUUCAUAACACUUAAUCACAUGUAGUAAUAAGAACUUAACAACUGGAGCACAAUCACUUUCACAUAAUCAACAACACUCAACAUGCAUUCCAAUUGCUAUUCACUACCACACAUGAGCAUAGCCUACUCGCAAUUCAGCUAUCUACUGGCGUUUAGCCAUGCAUAAUCUUCCCACCUUAGAGCAUGACUUCGUCAUUACAUUGACAGCGUUCCUGAAGGAGCAUGCGCCUAGAAUCGACUGCGACCCGCAUCCGUUGAAUGGGGCAUCUCAUAUAGGGGCAAGUCUGACUCAACUACUCAGGACAAAUUCCUCUUAAUCAUCACACAAUAAAUUCAUAUUCGGCUUAGGAUACUUUGCAUUUUACUCAAGGCUUCUAAUUAAAUAGUGAUCCUGACCUAUUUUAUUCAUAUUAAAAACGCCCAAGAAAUUAUUCACGUGUGUGGGGGCAUGUUUCGAACUGGAAAACUAAUAUUUUAAGUUUUCAAACCCCACUAUUUAAUAUAAUAUUUAAAAUCCAAUUUCGGUGUCAAAACCCGACACGUGGGAUUUUAUGAAUAAAAUCCGCAUUUUUUCAAAUCAACACUCAAUUUGCAAUAUCCAACUAUCAAUUGCAUAAUCUGAAUACAUCACAGCGAUCAGCACGAAAUUUUGAUAAUUUUGAGGUGUCAGAAUAAUUUCUGGAAAAUAUUAAAUAAUUAAAUUUAUUCCGAAAAUUAAUUAAAUAAUAAUAUUUUGUUAAUUUAUAUAAUAUAUUUUAUUAUUAAUUAAAUAAAUUCGAAAUAUUUAAUUUAUAUAAAAUAAUCAAUUAAGGUCUAAAUAGAAUUAUACUAAUCUAAACAUCUACUUAGCCUUAAUUAAUUAUAUCAUAAACUAAUCACACCCCUUAAUCUAAUCCACACUUAACUAAACUAAUUAAUCCACCUACUCUUACUUAGCUUAGCCUAAACACCCAACUAAGCAGCAUUAAGCUUCUAAUCAAGGUUUAGAGGCUAAACUCACCGGAAUCGCUUUCCGAUGAGCUCACGGCGAAGACAAUGGCAAGGCGGUUGACAAACCUCCACGUGGCGGUACCAAGCGAGGACCGUAAGACACCUAAAACAGGCCUUGAAGAUCCGGCACUUGCUGGAACUCCAGCUGCUGCUCAAGAUUGAACUGAAGAGGAAGAUGGGUAGAACGGCGAGGAGGAAGACAGCUAGGGGCGACGGUGGCUCAGGCGGGUUGAGGAGGUGGCUCCGGCGGCCUUGGUGAUGGCGAGCAGCAACUGGCAACGUUGGACGAUGGCUUGGACGCACGGCUGUAGAGGAUGACGGCCAGGAAGCUCGGACGGAGGUGGAGCAGUGAGCUGGCAGGCGGAGCAACAUGCGCAGAAGGGCGGCGAUGGCGAGACCUCCAGUGGACGUGCGGGCGAGCGUCGAGCGAAGGGGGGAAGUUGCCGGUCAGUUGCUGCUCACCUUUUUCCUUGCCCCAACUGGUUCUCAAGGUUGAAGAUGAAGAUUGAUGGGAGAGCCCCACUUUUUGAGAGCCAAUGAGCUACUUCCACUUGUCAACACCCCCUCCAAAUUGGUCCCAUCAUGACCUCACAUGAUAUCACCGUCCACUCACCCCUAAUCUUCCUUAACAAGCUUUCAAUGGGUCCAAUUUGUCUCAUCCAUGAUGGCAUACGAAUUUAAAAAAAUUUGUACAUCAAAUUCCUUCCAUUCCAUUCAAUUCCCUUCCAAUUGAGCCAAAUUGAUGUCCAUAAAUUUAUCUAAUGUAACCACUCUUAAAUUCACAAUUUCCCUUGACCAUAGAACCAUCUUAGAUCCCAAAAGUGCGACAAAAAAUGGGCUUACCAAUUUUUCGAGCCAAAAUAACCAUACUUUGAUUUUUCGCCGAAAAACUAAAUUUACAGAAAAAUCCUCUGAAGAUGAGUCGACGUUCCCAACAUGAUUUGCGACAUGAUAGGACUUUGGUUUCAAAUUCAUGAUUAAUUUCAUUCUGGUGUGAUCCUAGCGUGUCCUAAUCUAUCGGGUAGCUUUUAGGAAUUUUUCAAGCAUUUGACCCGUGGUUGAUCAUUUUCAAGCCACAAAGUACAUCUUCGACACAUUGGCGACUCUCGGUUGUCGUGAAAAUCUCGAAGAUUCAAAUACAGACAUAUGGUACCAAAAUGACAGAAAAAUCGGUCUAGUGCCGAUCAACAAGUGUUGUGCGAUCUAGUGGCAUCACCCACACUUGAUCACAUGCCUUUGUUAAGUUGACUUAUCUCCGGUCUCUAAUUGAUUUUUAACUGUGCCGUAAUGGCUUUUACAGAUUAACUCGGUUGAGAAGUCGUUGCUUGGUCGAAUUCUCAAGUCUGAUGUGUUAAAAUCCCUUAACGGAUUUACUUGAUAGACUAGUUUCCUCGUGAGUGGCCAACUCAAAGAAAAGAACUAUAUGCGCAUAUAUGAAAUGCCCGACUCAUUCUAUUAAAAACGGAAUUGGAAAAUAAGGAUGUCACAACUCGGUACCGAAAGGGUGCUAAUAAAAAUAUUAGCGUAACCUAAGUCUCCGAACCUAGAAAUCUGGUUGCAAAAGAGUCAAAGGAACACUCCCGACCCUCGAUUGGGAAGUCCGACUCCCAAAAAUGAGGCUAGUGAUGACUCCCAACUUAUUUCUGGGUUGUCUUAUACAAUUAGACCAUAUAAAUCAAUUCGUCGUGAGAGGUAUAAACUAUAAGAAAAGGUUCACAAUUAUGAUUUAGCAUACUUGAGAUGGUGAAGCCGAUAAAGAUAAAGUGAUGCCAUCUUUGGUGGAGGAACAUCUUGAGAGGGCUAUCACAGUUGUUAAAAAUAGCCUUAAACUCACCUUUACAUCUAGAUUCCUUUCGACCUUAAAAUCGUCGGUUAGGACAUACCAGAUGUCAAGGUAGGAUUGUGACACUCCAUUAUCAUGCAAGAUACGAGCUUGGGAGAACUCACGAUGAAGAUUAAGUGAACUCAUACAAGGUUCGUUCAGGGGGUGAGGUAAUGACAUUCAUGUGAUUGAGAAUCGUGAAGGAACUUUCGUGGUCAAGUAUCCCUAAACUCGACAUUUCCCCUUUCUCUCCUUGUGGGAGGAUUGACGGUGAGAUCGGGUCGCGAUAGGCUUCGCAACUCCACUGGAGACCGGUUACUAGAUUAAGAGGACUUGAAACCGUUUAAAAAUGAUUGUUGUGUCUAACUAAUGUGUCUUAUGUAGGAUCGCUUGCGUGUUAAAGUCGCAUGGAAAAUGAGGUAAGUCGCUAACCACGUGUUAAAUGAUCUUGUAUGUGGGAGUUACAAAGGGUGGAGUAAGUGUAAACCAUUUGUCUUGCAGGUGGUGAAAGGAUGUAUGCGUGUAUGUUGGGUUAUAUUGAAGUGCUGGAUGAUUAAAAUUUAAACGUAUGUUUACGAGUUUUAGCACAACACCACACACAACCGCGGUCUAAAUCCCUAUCAUCCCAUUUAGGACUUUAGGAGGGUUUAUGGGUGGAACCCAUGAGUGAAUACUCAUGGUAAUCCAUUACUUACAUACACCUGUGUUGACACCUAAAUUUUGGCGACUUGUUUAGUCAUUUAUUGCAUUAAAAAAUUAGGGGUUAAUUUUAUCCCUGAAAAAAAAAAUUAAUUGCAUAAAAAUUUAGGUGCAUUUAUUUUGCAUUCUUUGCAUUUAUUUAUUGGACUGGCGACAAAUGGGUUUGAAUUAGUGGUUCUGAACUUUAAAUUGAUGAGUCGGGCUAAGGCCACGAAGAGAGCAAAUCGGCUUAAGCUCGUAUCAUCGGUGAGAUUUUACGAAUUUAACUUUGUGAGAUUUCAAUUAAAAAAUAAAUAUUAUGUUUGGAAAAACAAAUAUUGCAUUUUGAAAAAAAAUCUUUGUGGAUAUAGUUUUGAAAAAUUAAAAAAAUCCUAAUUCGUGGCCUAUAAAUAGGUUAAUUCGCUAGGGUUUAAGGGGGCACACAUUGAACAUACGGCCAAGAAAACACGCGUGAGAAAUCAAGAGGAAAGGGGGCGGAUCGUGAGAGCCAUGGGACUCCUUCGACGUCAGGGAUCUCCAUGCACGCCCACAGCUCUUUCUCGGUGAUGCUAUCGAGUUCGUUGAAGGACGCCUAACAUCAAUUGCCCGCUAUUUUCGUUGAUCUACCACGCCAGGUGUUCUGCUGUCGUCCUAUUGCAGUCCUCAGCUUCUCCAGCAAGCAUUCAGACCUUCAAACGUCAACCCAAUCUGCUGUCCCCGCUGCUCUGCCACACCGGGUGUUUCGUCGCCAUCCCACCGCUGUCCCGCUUGCCACUACGCUUUCCUCGUUCGAGCUGCAACGCCGCACCCCGCACUGGACUGAGAUGACGAGCCACUGUCCUAAUCUUCACCACCAUGACGUGGGUAGUUCCGACGAUGUGAACCUGUUGCUCCCUGCCGCGACGCCCUCGUUGCUUGACGUUAUGUGUAACUCGUGAUCUCCUGCCGUGAAAGCCUAGCAGUCCCUUAGGCAUUCCUACAGCGUUCUUCAAUCUAGAGUCCACAAAUUACAGCCGCUACAUUUGUUCUUUUCUUCUGCAGGUCUUCUCGGGGUACCCAAUAGAGACGUCCACGGGAUAAACCCGUAGAGAGAGAGAGAGCCGCGUGCUUUCACUUCUCUACUGCACCCAUUCACAAAGACCACACAUGAAGACAGAAGAGAGAAAUCAUGGGCAAAGAUUUUCCUAGUAAAAGAGGGUAGUCAACUUUUCAAUAGAAUUCGCGGGUCUAAUUUGAAUCACCUGCAGGUUUCUUUGGUCUUGCUGUGAAGUAAAAUAAUUCCUCACGCAUGAGUCCAUUGUCGGUGAACAUCCAUUGCCGCUUGCUUGUACAAACACCCCAUCGCGGCAAUCCUUCACCCAGAAGCACCAUUGCGCCGAAUCUCGCUCACCAUCCUUGAGUCGAUCCCAUUGAGUUCAAGUUUGGCAAUAUUACUUGCGAAAUUAAGUAAUUAUCUUAUCUAAAUUUGAUUUGGAUAUUUUGUUGCCUAAUAUAUGUCUAUUAGUAUCUAAAAUGCAUAUUUAUAAGUGAUAGACAUAUCUCCUAAUUAAAAUUGAUUGCCUAAUUCGCAACCGCACAUGGAUUUUUUAUUCCAUCUAUGAGGCUUUAGAUGGAAAAUUAAUCACGCGGGAAUAAAAUUGAUAUCUUGAUCUUUAAGGUUUAAGAUCAAUUUAUCGAUUUUAUUAGCGAAAUAAUCAAGUUGAUUUGAUAUCAUUUUUAGAUUUGAACGAUGGAUAAUAUAUUUGAUGACUAUGAAUGAUUUGGUGCUUAUUUUUUAAUUACUUUAUUUAUCCCAAAAAUACAAAAAAUUGCAUUUGCAUAUCAUGUAAGUUAGAAUGGAUUGCAUAGUUAGGUUUUUUAAUGCAUGUUUAGAUAGCAUCUAGAUUAGAUAAUAUUCCUUUGAAUAAAAUUGCAUGUUUCAUUUUAAGUUUAUGUUGAUUUUUUGUAGAUAGAUUGCAUUCUUUUUUAAUAAAAAAUAAAACAUGUCAUAUGCAUGUCAUAUAGAAUUAGGUUCAUGAAAUGCACAUCAUUUAGUGAUUAUUGCUAGGUUCAUUUAAUUAGAAAUUGCCCGUCAUUUUAGGUCAUUAAGUUAAUUUAGAUCGCACAUUUAAUUAUUGCAUUUCUUUAAUUUCGAAAAGGAGAAAAAAAACCAAAAAUGUCUUAGAAUAAAUUAAUUUUAUUCUCUAGGACAGAUUGUAUGCUUAUUAAGAAAACACAAAAAUAUCGCAUUUGCAUCAUAUAGUUUGGGUCAUAUUGCCAUGUCAUAUCAUUUUAUGUUAGAUUAGUAGCAUACAUACAUAAAGCAUGAUUCUCAUUAAUUAAUUGAAAACAAAAAGAAAUUGCGUAUUAAUUAGAAAUCAUAUCUAAAACCGUUAAUGUGAAUUCUGAUCUAAUAUUAUAGAUGUUUUCGUUGUUACAAGGCAAGUCCCGCAAUUUAUUCAUUGCUUUAUUGGUGUUAAAUUGGUGGUUUGCGUACCUGCAUGAUCAUUUCACAUGUUAGGAAAAAAAAUUUAAAAUCAAUCCAAGUUGUAUUAAAAACAUUUUUGAAAAUAAAAAAAAUGGUACCGAAAUGGCAUUAGAGAAAUCUAGUGUAUUCAAAUCCUCGUACCCAAAGUCUCUAGUUCAUAGGAGUAAAAUAAUCCUCAAAUUAUCUUACUUAGGUGUCUAAUCGACUUACCAUAAACUGAUUAGUGGUGACUUAUAUAUAAAAUCUAUUCGCAUGUUAAGAAAUUUGAACCUAAGUCGCGAAUUGGUAUGCGCUUGGGAGAGCCUGAGUUAAGUUCAGGCUUAAUAAUCCAUUAGCCUAAUUUUAGGUGGUACACCCAAAAAAUUUGGUCGCGACAACUCGCUCAUCCCAACCAAUAAAAAUAGCACUGAUUGAUGAUAGUAGUAGUGGAUAAAUUAUUUUAUUCAUCCCUUGAACCUUUAGUACCCUCACUUUAGGCAAACCUCACAGUUCAUGCGACAUGUGAUUUGUGAUUGCCAUGUGUCUAGUGAAUAAGACAUUGUUCCUUUCUUAUCAUUGUUAUAUUAUCUAUUUUUCCGUACUUUAAUCACACGCUUUAUAUUUCAAAGAUGAUAUGUUUUAAUCAUGAAUGCCCUUUUAGGUUUAGGUUUAGAUGGGUAAGCCUGAAUUGGACAUCAUCCCUGUGUUGAGCAAUCUCAAGACUAUAUGGGAGAAUCUCGAACCAAGAUAGGAAAAGCGUAUAGGUUUCCUCCCAACCUUGCUAAAGGUCGAACCUCAUAUUGCGAUGGUGAAGGCAUUGGCUCAUUUUCGUAAUCCCAUGGCCUCCACCUUCAUGUUUAAUCGAUAUGAAGUAACCCCCACAACUGAGGAGUUUUGGAAAGCCAUUGGGUUAGGCAAAGCUUUCUUAGGUUUCAUUACUUCUCCUAUUAGUCAAGAUCCAAUCUCUCUCCUAAGUCAAUUUAUCAAUAUCUUUACCAACAAAAUAAAGGCCAUUCUUAAAGGAAAUUCGAAUUCCAUGCCCUAUACAUUCCUUGAACAACACCUUAUUAGCCUAAAGCCUAAAUCUGGACACCAAAUUCCUCGCAUUUUCCUUCUCAUAUUCUUCGACUUUGUGGUGUUCCCAUGACCCGAAAAAUAAUGGAUCCUUUAAUCACUCAAAUUAUCAAUCGGGUUUGCGCUUUUAGGUGCUUUACAUACAUGAUGCUUGACUAAACUUUCGUGUCUCUUAAUUGUUUCAAAGCAAAUGACUGAGGAACUCUUAGAGCCCCAUUAGGACUUUUCCAAAUUUGGCUCUUUUCCAAAAAUUAAUUUGGAUCUUCUUAAAGGAAAUUCGAAUUUCAUGCCCUAUACAUGCCCUAUAAAUUCCUUGAACAACACCUUAUUUACCAAUUUAAUUUUUUUGAUCAAAUUUGAUUGGAAAUUGCUAGCAUAUAUAAUUUUUAUAAUUUUCGGUAGAAGAAUAAGUGAAGGCGGUUCGUUUCCUUGGCAAUUUUUCUUGUAUGAUGAUAUGUCUCGUUCGGAGUUUUUUGCCUACAAACUUUGGGUGCAUCAUUGAUAGAGAGUACAAAUGAGACACGGUCCUUAUUCUCCCAAGAUUUGAAAAGUCAAGUAAGUACUAAGUGUAUGCAAUGAGAGAUCACAUAGAAGUGAUUAGUUCUCGGGUGAUUCGGUUCCCAUCUUGAAAUCAAGAAUCAGAUCAAAAGGAUCGAUUCCUUGUUUCUAAAAUCAAGAACCAAACCAAUGCCCCUGGAAUUGGAUCGACUAAUCUAGUUCAGCUCCCGGGUGGGUCAUGGAACUAGUGGCAUGUUCAGAUUUUUUUUUUUUUUUGUCAUUAAUGUUCAAGAUGAAAUUGAAGAUGUUCUUGAUAACCAAGAUGUUUCUGCGAUUAGUGAAUGAGGUGUAACAUUGUAGGUUUCACAUAAUUUUUUUUCCAAUUAGUGGCAAAAUUUGGUUAGAAUGAGCAAUUGAUGUUGUGUUUUGAUUUAUUCUUGUCAACUUACUCACAUGCGUGAGUGAAAUGGGAGUCAUGCAACUCAUGUGUGUUUGCGUGCGUGAAGUCUGAAAUUUGAGAUAGAUUAGGGGGUUUUUUUUUUUUUUAUACAGAUUAUAAGGAAAUACAAAAUUUAAAAAAAUCAGUCCGGCCCGAGUGGGUGGUUCCACACUUGAAACUAGAAUUGGACCAAAUUCAUUGGUUCCAAUUUUAUAGAAUUGAGAACCAGACUAGUGUCCCCAGGAACUGCCAAAAACCGGCCGAUCCGGUCCUGUCCAAGCGGUUCCUUUUGCUCACCCAUGAUCACAACUCUAAAGUAGAAGAAUGCCAAAGAAGAAAAAUCAUUAAGAGCAGACUGCUUUGAGCUGGUGAUUGGUGAUGGGGUUUAUACUCCUAGGUAAGAAAUUUCUGUUGCAUUCUGGAAAAGAAUAAUGCGUAUCUUCAGAGUGAUUAAUCAACUAGUUUCAAAGAGGUAAAAAAUAAACAUUUUCCAUUGUCAUGCUACGAAAAAUAAGAUUUUUAGAUAAGAUUUCAUUAUAUACUUUUACAUUAAGACAAGAUACGUCAAACAUAGGUUUGUUUUUUUUAUUUUGUAUCUUGGUUGUUGGCCUAGGAUUUCUAAUUAAAAAUAUGGAUUGUGGUCGAUACGUAUUUAUGGAGAAAUGUCAUUCCAAGGAAUUUAUUUUUCCUUCCACAAUUUUGAGGAAAACACCAUCUUGCUACCUCGUGUUAACAAAGAAAAACGCAAUCAUUAUUACCAAAAGUCAUUUUGGAGAAACCGGGCAAAUCGAAUUAGGAGCAAAAUAGUGUCUCAUAUUGGACCUUAGCGUAAAUGUGACUUACAACACGUGUGUCAUACACCUUAAUUUACUUUAUUUAAUGCUUCAUUCGUUUCACAGAAAACAUUUCUCAAGAAAAUAUUUUCUUCAUUUCCUGACAUUCGAUUCACUUAGAUAAAUGAAGCAACAGGAGUUGUCCACAUAAGACUUGUCUUAGUGAGCUUCAUAUUGUGGAAUUUUUUGCUUCGGAAGACUUCGUUGAUUGGCUCGACAUAAGAAUAUUGCGGAGAAUCGAAAGGUGAAGCUUGUGUCCAAGAUGUAUGAAAUGCAUGCUUCGAUUUGGUGGGAAAAUCUAACUUGUCGAAGAACUCCUGAAGGAAGGUGAAUCGUAACAUUGGAUAAAAUGAAGGUGCUCAAAAAGAAGCAUUUCCCAGAAACUUAUCAGCAAGAUGCCUUCGAUAAAUUCCACAAUACGAAGCAAGAGGAGUUGUCCGGAGAAGAAACCACCAAAUUUGAGCAUUUCAUGUUACGAUGCGAUGUGGUGGAGGCAGAGGAGCAAACUAUAGCUGGUAUUUUAGGGGUCUUCGUUUGAAAAUUGCCGAUGUUGUCCGAUUACAACCUUAUUGGACUUUUAAUUAGGGCUUCAAAUUAUCAAUGAAGGUGCAAAAGCAACUUAAGGAGAAAAGAGAGUUUGAAUCAGGAGCCUUUGUCGGGAUCGAAGGAAGCUGUUGAACAAAGGAGGAGCAUCUAAAACCAAUUAGCCAAAUGAAGAUAACAAUAAAUCAAGACUGCUUGAAAUAUCAUGGAUUUGGUCGCAUCGCCUCGAGUGUCCUAAUAGAAAGAUCAUUUCUCUUGUGCAAGGUGAGCAACAGGGAGAGUCGCAACACAACCCUUUGCUCCAAGAAGAUUCAACACAACCCUUCGCAGCACAACCCUUUGCUCCGAGAAAAUUCAAGGAGCCGCGAAGAAAUCGUUUACAGAGAUCAAGGAGAAGCUCUUGUCAUUCAAAGGAGCUUGCAUGCUGCUCAUCUCGAGGAUGAUGAUUGGCUUUGCAAAAAGAUACUCCAUACAAGACUGCACUUCUCAUUUUAAAGUACGUGAUGUCAUACUUGAUAGUGGAUGUUGUGAGAACGUUGCGUCGACCACUAUGGGAGACAAGUUGCAUCUCAAGGCGGAGGAUCAUCCACAUCUUUACAAGCAUUUGUGGCUCAAGAAAGGGAGUGAGAUAAAAGUAAAUAACCGGCGUUUUAUUUCAUUCUCUAUUGGCAAAAGAUAUAAAGAUGAGAUUAUGUGUGAUGUAUAACACCUAUCCCUUUGUCAAAGACCGCGUCAAGAUUACAUUGGGCCCUUGCAAGACGGAGAGAGUUCCCAAGCCUCAUGGGAAAGGAACAAAUCUUCUUUCCAAGUCUUAAGUUUUCGUAAGCAUCGGAGGAUGCUUGUGAGGCUUACGCUUUUGUUAUAGUGGAAGAAAAUAAGCAAAAGAGGAGAUCCCAACCAUUUUACAGCCGUGGCUUGAGGAUUUCUGUGAAGUCAUGCCAAUGAAAUUCCAUCCAACCUUCCUCCUUUGAGAGAGAUUCAACAUCAUAUCGAUUUUGUGCUUGGUGCUUCUGUUCGAUCGAUUGAGCUCUGAGAAGCAUAAAGAACUUCAAAGGCAAGUUGAUAAACUCUUGGCCAAGGGAGCAAUACAAGAAAGCUCGAGUCCUUUUGCUGUCCCGGCACUUCCAGUUCCAAAGAAAAAUGGUUCUUGGCAAGUGUGCAUUGAUAAUAGAUCGGUGAACAACAUAACCAUCAAGUUUUUUAUUUUUUAUUUUUCCUUGCCUUGGUAUUUGCUUGAUCAACUUCAAAGAGCUUGUGUGUUUUUCCAAGAUCAAUCUUCAAUGAAGUAGGAGAUUAAAGGAUGACAGCUUUCAAAACUAAGAAUGGUCUUCUUAAAUGCAUGGUGAUGCCCUUUUGACGUUUCUAAUACUUUUAGUACUUUUAUGCAUCUUAUGAAUCAUGGUUUUAAACCUUUCAUUGGCUAGUUUGUCGUGUAUACUUUGAUGACAUCGUGAUUUAUAGCAUAGCAAGGCGCAAGUGGAGCUUUUGGAGUAUCAAAUUCUUCAAGUGCUACGGGAACAACGUUUGUAUGCCAACCUGAAGAAGUGUCACUUUUGCACAAGGAGCCCGGUGCUAUGUUGUCUCCAACGAUGGUGUUAGAGUAGAUCUUAGAAAGAUGGAGGCAAUAAAAAGUUGGCCAAUUCCUAGCUCGCUGAAUGAGAGAAAAGCUCAAGAAUGUUUUUGGCCUUUUUUAUUUUUCAAAUAUCGUCCGAAUGUUAUGUUACACAAAUAAGGCCAGUCACUCCAUUUGGACGUUGCAUCUGAACGUUAAUCACAUAGACCAAGCAACUAAACAGACAAAAAAAAGACGAGGAAAUACACACCCAAAAAAAAAAGGAAUAAUAGUACAAGGACCACCAUUGCCAUGACGUCUCAUCUUCCACUUUCAGUUUCGAAGGAUAUUUGGUUACUUACAUCUCUUGAUGCAUUGCUUCUGAGGAUGCCAUAACAUUCGUUUGAUCUCUCACCAAGCAAAUGCUCAGCUUCUUCAAGGUCACCGCUCCGAUUCGACCAUGGAUGCCUAUCCAUCAUCCUCAUCAGUCCGUCCAAUUCCAUUGCCACUUCCUUCAUGGUUGGCCGAUCUUCGCCUUUCACUCUCAGGCAUUGGUUUGCCAGCAUCGCAACUUCCUUAAUCUCUUCUGGGUUCCCAUUGUUCAGCACCAUCGGGUCGAUGAUUUCAAACAGCCUCUCGCUCUUUAUCGCAGAAGCAAAAUACAAGGACAAGUUCAUCUCUUUCUCAGCCCGCUCAAAGGAGAAGGCCCUCAGUCCAGUCAGCAACUCAGCCAACACGACCCCGAAGCUAUAGACAUCGCUCUUCUCAGUCAACUGGCUCGAGUGGAGGUACUCGGGGUCCAAGUACCCACGCGUGCCUUGAACCAGCGUGUUCAGCUGUGUGCCGUUGAGGGGGACUAGCCUGGAUGCUCCAAAAUCAGCGACCUUUGCGGUGUAGUUUUCAUCCAACAAUAUGUUUGUGCUCUUUAUGUCUCCGUGCAAAAUCUGAGUGGAUGCAUCGGAGUGCAAGUACGAGAGCGCACCUGCGGUCUCCCCUGCAAUGCGCAGACGAGCCCUCCGGGAUAAUGUGGACUCGUGGCCGCACUUGUGUAUGUGGUCAGAAAGGGUGCCAUUGGUCACAAACUCGUAGACUAAUAACGGGACCUCCGUCUCGAAGCAACAACCGAUUAGCUUAACCACAUUGCGGUGAUUAAUUUGGGAGAGGAUGAUCAGCUCGUUGAUGAAUUCUUUAACCUGACUUCGGGCCAAAAUCUUGGCCUUCUUGAUGGCGACAACCCUGUUGUCUACUAAGAUCCCUCGGUAUACAGUUCCCUGGCCUCCCUGGCCUAGGAUUCGGCUUUCAUGGUAGUGGUCCGUGGCCUUCUUGAGAUCUCGGUCGGUGAAUAUUCUCACAGAUUCAAUGGAGCCUUUGUGCUCAGAACGAAGUCUCUGCAACAGUUCGUGGCCCCCAUUUUCUUGGAAGAACUUCUCUCUCUGUCUCCUGAUUUUUCUUUCUCUAAGCCCCCAAUAUAACCAGGAAACGGCCAAAAGAACCAGCAGGAAGCUUGUGCUCACGCCUAGUAAAAGACAUUAUAUUCGGUGAACAAACACAUUAGUUGUCCAUCACACUACAUAUGUUCUCAUAACCAAGAAAAGAAAAGAAAAAAACAGAAUCGAAAUUUGCUUGACUCUUUCAUUUUCAUUACUCAAACAAUCUUGUGUUAAUUUACUUCUUUGUCCUAUUUUCUUAUUCUUCUCCAUCAACUUGAAGCUUUCAUUAAGAAAAACCUUGAUAAUAGCAAAAUAAACCUAAAUAUUUAAUUAUGCUGAGAGUAACUUAUGAUAACAGGAACGAUUCAAUGCAUCAAGUGGAUAAAACGUGCUUGAUUCUUUUUCAACAACAGAAGAGCAAGUGGUUGAUUUUGUUAAUAUCGAAUUGAAUAACUUGAGAUGACGACACAGGUAUAUAAUAUCAAUUUAAUCCAUGGACACAAUUAAUUCAAAGAGAAAGAUUUACAUCCGAAAAAUCUCAAUAACUAAUAGCAAAAGAUGGAACAAUGGCAUAAUAACAACAUUUAAAGAAGGUGAAUAAAUUACAAGAUAAAAGAAGCUUUUAUAUGAUGAAAAAGUUUGAGCAAUGUGUACGACUUACUGACCUAGCACGAUGUCCAUUGAGCGAAACCUCUUUGUAGGAGUACAACCGUUGCCAUCUUUUUUUCCAUCUCCUCGGGAUCCCUUCGGACAUGAACAAUUAUACGUUCCCGGCAAGUUUGUACAUAUUCCAACGCAGGGUUGUGAAAUCACGCAUUCAUUGAUAUCUGGAGGAAUAUAUUCCAAAUGGAAGAAGCAAUCCAACACCAUUUCAAUUGGAAGAAACUUGAAAAAGUAAAUAGAAUUCCAUGAUUUGGCAACACUUUCAAUUUUGAGAGGACACGUCAAGUUAAUUUGCUUUUUCUGAGAUUGUGAUACCUCACCACACUUUUUAAGUGAUAGGUCAUUAUCUCAAGAGCCUAAGCGUAACCGAGCAUUUGAUCUUUGUUUAGAAUAGAAGAUUUAAGAAUUAUCCAACAAAAUUGUGCCAUUACUAAUUAGAAUAAUACAUUACAUAGAAAAAAAUUCAAAAAUAAUUGUCUAUAAAUACAGAAUAAUGCUGGAUGUAUUAACAUCGGUAGGUGAAACUGAUUUACAAGCUAACUUUACCGAUUCAUAUUGAGGGUUCAGUAUGGACCGUUUAUAAACUCAAUUUCACUCGACUGAUUCAGUUUAUAAAACAAUUGUACGGACUAAACUUAAGAGAGAAGAAUGUCUAGCUAUAUCUGGAAUGAUAGCUGUGAAAGUUAACAGAUUAUUACUAAGCGCUUCAUAGGUCAUAUUAAAUUUCAAGCAAUGAAAAUUCGUGCAUCUGAAAGGAAAAAAAAAGGUAUGAUUGUGUUUAACGGCCUAGAUUGUUAUGAUUUUUAAGAUUAUAAAUGUUACGUGACUAAUAGGAGAAUCGUUUGAAACAUGUACCAUUCAUCAAGUCAAAAUUUGGUCCUCUGACUUGAAGUUUCUAAGAAUUUCUUUCUCUGGGUUUUUUAUGCAAUUGGAUCCAUUUAACAUGGUCGCCCUUAUGGAAAUAAUGAUCCACGAUUCUAUACAGGAGCACUCGUUCGGAUGUGAGGUGGGUCUAAUGAAAAGAAGGGAAAAGGUACCUUGACAACCGUUUUGGAGAUAGGGGUUCCCUUGAAAACCCUUCAAGCAGUGGCACUGGUAGCCAUUUCCAUUCUCAGCAUCUGUACAAUUGGAGUUCUCUCGGCACAUGUAGGUCGUUGUAUUCUUCUGUGCAUCAUCGCAUGUUUGAUUUGGAAUUAACCAAUCGACAACUAGAGGGACCAUAUCAAAUGGCGGCUCGCGCAGAUUGUCCGUAGAGAAGCUAAAGAAGCCGUCUUGGGCAACGAAAGCGUAUCCGCACGGAUUGAAAUCAGAGAUGCCGAGAUGAUUGUUGUAGCUAGCGACAGAGAUGUUGUAUCGGUAGGCGUCUCGAGGAAUGCUAGUCUCGCAGCAACCGAUGCCCGAGCACGACCCAUUAAUCACGUCCAAGUCGCUGUGGCAUGAGGACAAGCACCCCGUCACAUACGUGCUUCCGCUGAAGGUCGCGUACGUGUCGCAUCCCACGGCGAUAAAUUUGUUCUUGGCAGAAGAUAUGGGGAAUAUGGGAAGAGAGAAGUAAGGAUCAUUAUUGUUCAAGGAUGUUCCGGACGAAUCAUAACAAUCUUUGGCUACAAACAUCGUUACACUAAUCUCGUGACUCUCCAUAGAUAUAUCGAGUACUCGGAAAUAAGAAUCUUUACUGUACAUAUGAGGAGUGGGAGGAUCAGUCGAGUCGUUGCAAAACAUGAUGAAAGACUCUGAUUCUUCUUUGAAGUAGCAGUCGUUGCCGGCAUCAUUCAUCCCGAAUGGGUACGCGAAGGUGAGGUUGCCACAUCUGUUCGCGCAUCCGGGCUUUGUUGUUUGGACUACAUCCGCAGUAACUACUGAGAAUAGAGCCACCAAUGAGCACAACAGCAGCACAACUCUCAAGGGAAGUCUAUGGAGCAGCAUGGAUCCACCCAUAUUCUUCCCGAAAUGAGAUGAUAUUUUGCAACGAGAUGAUGAGCUUCAUAGCCCGAUGACAACCUUUAUAAGCGAUGAUGGAGCUUCUGGAAAGCUAAGUAGUAUAUGCAUUAUUCAUAGUCCCCACUAUAUUGACUGUCUUCACGGUGAUUACAUCAUUACUAAUCAAUCAUACGGUUUUGUCCACUCUCUAUGGCUCUUCACUAAAGAAGCCUUGACAAGCCUGUCGCGAUUCACGUUGUGGCGUCGCAAUCAUUCGUAGGAAUUUCCAAACUGACUUGCAAAUAAUAAAAGUCGUGAUUAGAUAGAUAUUUUUUUUCUUUUCAAUCUCAGAAUUAGUUUCGACGGGUGGUGCUCAUAAACUAUUGCAUGCACAUCUCUAAUGUAUGAACUCCUUAAAUAUUUGUACAAAUAUCAACACCGUAUUUAAAUCUUUAUGUACAGAGUAAAAUAUUUCAAUUUAUGCUAUGUACAAUAAAAAAAAAUAGGUACAUCGAUGGUAAGUACUAAAGAUUAGUUAGAUAAAGCAAGAAACUGUUGAUUCGGGUCAGUUCGAAUUUGAAUUUGAAAAUCAAAACAGCACUAGACAACCCAAAUAUAGAAGAUGAAUGAGAACGAAGUUUGCGGUGUUUAGAUAUGAUUUGCUAAGUAAAAGGACUUCAAGAGACCAAAAUUGAUUUUGAGAAUUUUCUCAGAUUCGCCUAUAAAGUUUCAAGUAAAUCCUAAAUCAAUGCGAUCAGUUUUCUUGGCAAUUUCUCACGCACGAGAGUAUGUCUCAUCAGGGUGCUUUCAUUAUCCUGCCAAGACUUGAAAAGUCAAGCAAGUAUGAAGCGUAUGCAAUGGGAGAUCACAACGCUAAAAUUCGUUAAAGGACUCAUUGCCCUCAAGGAAAACUUAAGAGGUUUUAUAAUACAAAAUUAUCAAGAAAAAAAUUCUAAACCUAUUAUACUNNNNNNNNNNNNNNNNNNNNNNNNNNNNNNNNNNNNNNNNNNNNNNNNNNNNNNNNNNNNNNNNNNNNNNNNNNNNNNNNNNNNNNNNNNNNNNNNNNNNNNNNNNNNNNNNNNNNNNNNNNNNNNNNNNNNNNNNNNNNNNNNNNNNNNNNNNNNNNNNNNNNNNNNNNNNNNNNNNNNNNNNNNNNNNNNNNNNNNNNNNNNNNNNNNNNNNNNNNNNNNNNNNNNNNNNNNNNNNNNNNNNNNNNNNNNNNCGAUAGGUCACAUCAGAAUUUGUUACUGCCUGCCAACUUUGAUUGCGUCAUUGAUAGAUGCAGGGUGCUUUCAUUACAUUUCCAAGACUUGAGAAGUCUAGCAAAUCAACAGUAAGCGUAUGCAGUGGGGGAGAGAUCACAACCCCAAAAAAGAGAAUGAGAAAGAAGAAAAAUCAACAAGAGCAGAGUGGUUUGAGCUGGGGAUUGUCUACAUGAAAUGUGUUUCAAGUUGGAUGGAUUUUAUAAUCUGAAAAUUUGUAUUUUCCUGUUUCUAGUCUGUAUAUAUGCAUUCUAAAACAGAGUAACCGGUAGCUUCAAAAUAAUUAAUCAACUAGCUUCAAAGAGAUAAAAUAUCAAAUUUUUUAAUUGUUGUGUUACAAAAUUAAGAUGUUGAAAUAAGAUUCCGUUAUGUACUUUUAAACUACGAAAAGAUACGUCGCAUGUGGAUAUCUUUUUCCUUUUUCUAGGCUAACAUUUCCAACUAAUAUGGAUUGUGAAGGGAACAUUGUCCAAAUAGUCCUAAACCAAUUUAGUCCUAAACUUUUCAAUUUUGCCAAUUGAGUCAUAAAAAUUUUCACAUUUUGCCAAUUCAAUUCUAAACAUUUUUCACUUUUUGGCUAAAAAUUACUAACGUGGACAACUGGUGCUAACGUGGCACUUUUUAAAUAAUUUUUUUUGAUGUUUUUUUUAAUGAUUUUUCUACUUUUUUUUUUUUUGGUUUUGGAUCUACUCGGCAAAGGUUGUCGGCCAACCCUCGCCAGCCACAAGUGAGGCCAACGAGCGAGAGCUGAUCAACCCCUACCAACUUCUGGGCGAGGCGCACAAGCCCUUGCCUAGAAUACGAGCUUGUGACACCCUNNNNNNNNNNNNNNNNNNNNNNNNNNNNNNNNNNNNNNNNNNNNNNNNNNNNNNNNNNNNNNNNNNNNNNNNNNNNNNNNNNNNNNNNNNNNNNNNNNNNNNNNNNNNNNNNNNNNNNNNNNNNNNNNNNNNNNNNNNNNNNNNNNNNNNNNNNNNNNNNNNNNNNNNNNNNNNNNNNNNNNNNNNNNNNNNNNNNNNNNNNNNNNNNNNNNNNNNNNNNNNNNNNNNNNNNNNNNNNNNNNNNNNNNNNNNNNNNNNNNNNNNNNNNNNNNNNNNNNNNNNNNNNNNNNNNNNNNNNNNNNNNNNNNNNNNNNNNNNNNNNNNNNNNNNNNNNNNNNNNNNNNNNNNNNNNNNNNNNNNNNNNNNNNNNNNNNNNNNNNNNNNNNNNNNNNNNNNNNNNNNNNNNNUUUGGAUAUUUUCCCAAUUGUGGUCGAUAUGCAUUUGUGGAGAAUUAUCAGCAUCAAGAAUUUAAUUUUUCUUUUCCUUUUUCUGGUCCAAUGACUGUAGUUAUUAGCUUAUUUUAAGCUGUGGAGUUAACAACGGCAGGUCCUGGAGACUUUCAUGAGACGAUUCCACUACAAAUCCUUGUGUGACGAAGUCUUUGUGCGGUGUGGUGCGAGUUUAAAUUUUCCAAAUGCACGAUUUAUUUGACAUAUAUUUCUUCAUUCUUUCGUCGUUGCUCAUCCGAAAAAACAGGCCAUUGUGGGCCAGAGACUGGUGCACAAUUGUCACAGAAGAGCUGCUCUUACUUUCCUAAUAAUCCGUGGGAAACAAUAAGUCUUGGUCUUCUCCUUUCCCAAUUGAUUUUUAUAGUAUGGUACAUUGGGGAUGUUACUUCUGCGCAGGGCAAAUUUUUUCUUUCGAGGCGUUGAUUCAUGCAAAAAGUGAAAGUUGAUAGCGAAAGGAGAAGACCUAACCUCUCUCUUUCAUCAAGAAAGAGACUUCUUGUUUAACUCUAUAUUUGAACAAUUCCAAAACUUAAUAAUGCACCUUAACUCUCAGUUGUCGGGCAGCAAUUAUCAAUGAAAAAGGCACACUAGUUCGUAAAUUUCAUCAGUUAAUUUACAGUAAUAUAUAAUUAUCUUCGGCAAUGUCUCUCUACAAAUCCUUAGAAUUCUUUGGAGAGACUAAUUGAAAAUCCCAACCGCCAACGUAAUUGGACAAUGCAUUGAGAGAUGAUGUGCAUCCAAACUCAAUAACAUAUUAAUGAGGGCUUUGACACUCUCCAUCAUAAGCAUCUACAAACUUUUCAAACGGGUUCUUUGCCAACUAAUAAGCUAAGUACCAUUGUCAAAUUUCCAAUAGAAAUCUAGCCGCAGGAAAUUUUUUCAACACUCACAAAUUGACACAUGAUGCCUACAUGGGCAGGUCGAAUUACUUCGAUAAUCUAAGUCUAUCAGUAAGAAAAUCGACAUUAUUUGGAGUCUUUCCUUGGGUAAUAGUAAAAAUGCAUCAGUUGAUAACAGAGCCUAAAUCUGGCUGGUCCAGCCGAUUUGAGAAGACAAGUGCAACAUCUCCAACAAGAAUUGGAGCAAUCUUGAUUGUUAAUGUCAUGCCCCGAACUCCGAGCGCACGCACAUCUCUCGGCGGUCGAUUAAAAAUUUGCGACGUCCCAAGACGCGUCACUAACCCAUUCUUUUUAUCUUUCAAUUAAGCAAAUACACCACCCAGUCAAAUUUGACCAAAAAUCACUAUAGUAUAUAAUUUUUAUAAUUUUUGGGAAAAGGCUAAGUGAAGGCGGUCGGUUUCCUUGGCAAUUUCUCAUGUGCAACAAUGUAUCUCGUCUGGAGUUAUUGCCCACCAACUUUGGGUGCAUCAUUGAUAGAGAGUAUAAAUGAGACAGGAUGCUUACUGCACCAAGACUUGAAAAGUUAAGCAAGUACUAAGCGUAUGCAAUGGGAGAUCACAGCUUGCACCAAGACUUGAAAAGUUAAGCAAGUACUAAGCGUAUGCAAUGGGAGAUCACAGCUUGCACCAAGACUUGAAAAGUUAAGCAAGUACUAAGCGUAUGCAAUGGGAGAUCACAGCUUGCACCAAGACUUGAAAAGUUAAGCAAGUACUAAGCGUAUGCAAUGGGACAUCACAGCUUGCACCAAGACUUGAAAAGUUAAGCAAGUACUAAGCGUAUGCAAUGGGAGAUCACAGCUUGCACCAAGACUUGAAAAGUUAAGCAAGUACUAAGCGUAUGCAAUGGGAGAUCACAACUAGAAGUGAUUGGUUCUCGGAUGAUUUGGUUCCCACCCCAAAAAUCGAGAAUUGGACCAAAAGGAUUCUAAAACCAUGAAUCGAACCAGUGCCCCUAAAACUGAACCGACCAAUCUAGUUCAGUUCCUACGUGGAUCAUGGAACUGGUGGCAUGUUCAUUUUUUUAUUUUUUUACUGUUAUUUGUCAUUAAAGUUCAAGACAAAUUGAAGAUGUUCUUGAUAACCAAGACAUUUCUACAAUCAGCCAAUUACGUGUAGCAUUGUAGGUUUCACAUAAUUUUUACAAUCAGCGAAUUGAAGAUGUUCUUGUCAUCUUACUCACAUGCAUGAGUGAAAUAGGAGUUGUGAGACUUGUGCUUGUCUGCAUGCGUGAGUGAAGUCCGAAAUAUGAGAUAGAUUAGGGUUUUUUUUACAAAUUAAAGGAAAUUAAAAAAAAAAAUUGGUCUAACCCAUGUGGGCAAUCCCAUGCCUGAAAUUGGGAAUCAGAUUGAAAUUCACUAGUUUCAAUUUUAUAGAAUUGAGAACUAGAUCAGUGCCCCCAAGAACUGCCCAAAAUUGGCUGAUCUAGUCCCAUUUAAGUGGCUCCUUUUGCUUACCCCUAGUCAUAACUCUAAAAUAGAAGAAUGCCGAAGAAAAAUCAUGAAGAGCAAACUGCUUUGAGCUGGCGAUUGGUGAUGGGGUUUACACUCCUAGGAGUGAAAUUUCUAUUGCAUUCUGGAAAAGAAUAACGCAUAUUUCAGAGUGAUUAAUCAACUAGUUUUAAAGAGGUAAAAACUAAACAUUUGCCAUUGCCGUGCUACGAAAAAUAAGAUUCUUAGAUAACAUUUCAUUCUAUACUUUUACAUUAAGAUAAGAUACGUUGAACGUAGGUUUGUUUUUUUUUUUUUUGUUUUUUGUUUGCCUAGGAUUUCUAAUUAAAAAUAUGGACUGUGGUGAUACGUAUUUGUGGAGAAUAAUCAUUCCAAGGAAUUUAUUUUUCCUUCCAUCUGGUAUCCGUGUUGUUAAUCUUUUGUUGCAUUUCCAUAAUUUUGAGGACACCAUCUUGCUGACAUCGUGGUAACGAAGAAAAACGCAAUCAUUAUUGCCAAAAGUCAUUUUGAAGAAACUAGGCUAAUCGAAUUAGGAGCAAAAUAGUGUCUCAUAUUGGACCUUAGUGUAAAUGUGACUUAAACUGGAAAAAGUAAAAAAAAAAAAAGUAUAUAAUCUAUUGUCAUGAUACCAAUUCAGCUCUUAACCUUUUAAAUAAUCAAUUCAAUUCUAAACAUUUUCAUAUUGAUACCAAUUUAGUCCAUCCGACCAAUUUAAGCUGAAAAUUGCCAAUGUGAACGCCAGCUGUGCUAUGUAGCAUGAUCGAUACUGGCGUGGAUAUUUUUAAUAAUAUUUUAAUAUUUUUUGAAUUUUUAAAAUCUUUUUUGCUUUUUCUUUUUUUGACCUCCCUUUUCUUUGCUUUUUCUUUUUGCUAGUGGCCAUUGCUAGCCACCGACCAUAGCCAUGGUCGGCGAGGGUUGGCCUUGGUUGGCCUCACCACCAUAGCCAUGGUUGGUGUGGCUGGCCUUGGUCGACCUCACCGACCACAAGCAAUGGUUGGCCUCGCUGGGUCGCCCUUGAGCGAGGGCAAGCACCGAUCGUCCUAGUGAGGCCCCCUCGCCAGAUCUAACGACCAACCAUCGCAUAGAGGGCGCGGCUAGUUGGGCCUCGCCAUCACCCACGUGGGGCUCACCAAGCCUCAUCCUCGCCCAAGCGAGCCUCGACGAGGCCGACCCUUACUUAGGCGAGGUGCAAUGAGGCCACCCUGGCCUAGGAGAUGGUCGGCCUCCUCAAAUCUAGCGAGGGGGCCUCACCUAGCCACACCUAGACGACCGACGCUCCCUCUUGACCACACCCUCGCCCAAAGAAAUUACCAUCGGAUAGUUGCAUACAUGUCGCAUUGCUAUGUAUACAAAGAAAUUACCACUAUGCAAGGCGCCUAUUUAAGCAAAAACAUACGUUCUUCAUUCAAAUUAUUUGAUGGCAAAUUGAAUAUUAGUAUUGUGUUGCUAAUUGGAGAGCUUACCUUGUACUCUAACGAUUAUACCACAUAUAAAUAGAUAAUGUUUCCUUUCGACAGAUUAGUUCUAGAAUAUAUAGAAUUAAUGAGUGUAAUAUCUUUUAACACACUGUCAUAAGGCUUUGUGGCACAACGUCAAUUAGAUAUAACAAAUGUGACUGUCCAUCAACAAAUUAACCUAGCCCGAACCAGUCAACCUACCUUAGCUAAAAACUAUUGAUUCAGGUUGGUUCCGUUUCGAUUUGAAAUCUGAAAAGAACAAAAUCUAACCAACCUAUAUAUAGCAGAAGAACAAAAUUUGCAGUGUCCAAAUCUACACAAUAGAAAACACAAUCCUCAAAUCAAAUUACAUUUUCCCGUUCAAAGUAAAACCACAGAUAUGGUCCGAGAUCUGAUCAUUGCUAACUAAAAGGACUUUGGGAGUCUGAAAUUGAUUUUCAGAAAUUUCUGAUGGUCGACUGAAAGUUCCAGGUAAAUGCCAAGUCAAUGGGGUCGGUUUCCUCGACAAUUUCUUAUGUAGCACAGUAGGUCGCAUCAGAAUUUGUUAUUGCCCACCAACUUUGACUGCGUCAUUGAUAGAUGCAGGGUGCUUUCAUUACAUUGCCAAGACUUGAGAAGUCUAGCAAAUCAACGGUAAGCGUAUGCAGUGGGGGAGAGAUCACAACCCCAAAACAAGAGAAAGAGAAAGAAGAAAAAUCAACAAGAGCAAAGUGGUUUGAGCUGGGGAUUGUCUGCAUGAAAUGUGUUUCAAGGUGGAUGGAUUUUAUAAUCUGAAAAUUUGUAUUUUCCUGUUUCUAGACUGUAUAUAUGCAUUCUAAAAAGGAGUAAUCAGUAGCUUCAAAAUAAUUAACCAACUAGCUUCAAAGAGGUAAAAUAUCAACUUUUUUAAUUGUCGUGUUACAAAAUUAAGAUGUUGAAAUAAGAUUCUGUUAUACACUUUUAAACUAAGAAACGAUACGUCGCAUGUGGAUUUUUUUUUCCUUUUUCUAGGCUAACAUUUCCAGCUAAUGUGGAUUGUGAAGGGAAAAUUGUCCAAAUAGUUCUAAACCUAUUGCACUUUUGUCAAUUUAGUUAUAAACUUUUCAAUUUUUCCAAUUGAAUUCUAAACAUUUUCACAUUUUGCCAAUUCAGUCAAAAACCUUUUCACUUCUUGCCAAUGGAGUCCAUUCAACCAAUUUUGGCCAAAAAUUACUGAUGUGGAUAACCGGCGUUGACAUGGCACUUUUUAAUAAUAUUUUAAAAUAUUUUUAUGGUUUUUUUACUCUCUUUUUUUUUGGAUCUAGUCGGCAAAGGUUGUCAGCCAACCCUCGCCAGCCACAAGUGUUCGUAAAAUUCUAAACGCAAAUGAAUGUGUCGAACAAGUAAUAUAAUGACAAGAAAAAGUAUCAUCCCUUGAAGAUUGAUGAUUAAUAAACUAAUUAAAUACUAAAAUAAAUUAAUUCUAAAAUUUAUCUAACAUAUCAAAAUAUAAUUUAGAAUAAAUUAAAAACAAAAUUUGAAUACUAAAUGCAGUAAAUCAAUAAGAUAAAUAUGUUAGAGUAUCUAAUUUUACCAUAACCACUAGAUAUGAAUUUCAGAUUGUUGUGGGUUCAAGAACGAUAUCAAACAUGUGAUAGCGGAAUUUCCUAAUCUAUUUAGCAAACCCACUCAGCUUAUUAAUCCACUAUAUCUCCAUGUGAAUUAAAAUAAACCUGAGUGCAUUAAAAACUAUGAAUAUUCCUUGGCUUACAGUGAGUCUUUUAGAUCACCUUAUCACCGAAAGUUACACAAAUAACGCAGUAUAUCUCUAUCCACAUUUAAUUCAUGGUUAUAUAUUAUAAUGAGCAAUUGCAUAUUAUCACUUCUCAGUCUCAAAUAUAUACAUCAGAUCAUUCAAGUGGUGGCCAGUCACUCAAAAGCAUUAAGCACAAUAAUAUAUAACUCACAUGAAUGAAAUCAAUUGCAAAACAUAAAAAUCAUGAAAUUCACAUCAUUCUAGCUAGGCUACAAUGUAGCCCUAGCAAAAGAAAACUAGAACAUAGUAGAACAAGAAAUAAAAAUAUAAAUUAAACUUAGCAUCUUGAAUCAAAGAACGAGAAUUCUGUCACCACUUUUGUCUUUUCUUCAAAAUACUUGAAAAAAUCUCAGAAUAAUAAAAAACGAUCGAACAAAAAGCCUAACUUCUCUCUCAAUGGCUCUCAAUGUUCUCCCAUUUUGAGGAUAUAUCCAAGCUCCAAGCAAUUGCGCAUAAAAUCAGGGAGUAGAUCAGAGGAUUCUGAUUUGAUAUCUAUCUUCCACUGCUUCUUGAUUUGAAUUUGUGAUUUUUUUGCCAUUCUUUUCCUUAUAUUCUCCCUAUCUCAUUAUUCUACAUAAACAAAGAAAAUUCAAAUAAUCAGAAGAAAAUCCAAAUAUUUUCUUAUAGAUAUCGCAUUAAUUGUUGCCUAAAAUAGGUAAAAUAACUCUAUUUUUAUAGAGUUAUCAAACUCUCAAACUUAACAUUUUGCUAGUCCUCGAGCAAAAUCAAGACAUAACACAUACUCAAGCUAACAACCUCCUCCAUGACAUCUUUUCAUAAUUGCUCAAAUUCGCAAUUCAAAGGAAAACACAAAUUUCAUCCAAACAUUGAAAUUGAUUUAUAAGUUAAGACCAGUUCUAACUAUGUGAUCCAAAUGUGUGUGUGAGAGUCUCAUCUUUUUUUCUUUUUUUUUGAAUUAUAUGCAAUCUAGAUAAAUUCACAUUGACAUGCAACCUCUAAAAAAUUCUCAAUAAUUAUGACCAAAUCUCAUAGGUUUGCUUAUCAUUCCUCUCUCCACUAAUGUAAAUUAAUUAUCCAACCAAGAAUCAAUAUGACUUUUCUCUAUUUGUAAUGUAAAUAUGAGCUAAAGAUGAGAUAACGGUAAUUUUAAGCUCAAAUCACCCAUCAACACGUUGAUUUCUAGGAUCUAAUUAGAGCCAAUGUCACUUCCAAUUUCAUUCCUUCAAGAUAAUUUUUCUACCAUCAUAUAUCAUUAUUCUUUUUUUUCCUUCUCUUUCUUUUUUUUUUAAAAUUUUUUUUAUGGUGGAGUUUCUCCCAAAGACCCUCCUAAUAUAACAUGAACAUUUCCAACACAAUAAGUAUUCAAAAGGCUCACUCAAUUAAAAGUUGGAUAAGGAACAUAAAAUCAAAUUUUCUUUUGACAAUACACCCCAAACAACCAUAGCAAUCACUUCUCCUUUUAUUUUUUACUUCUUUUUUUAUACUCCAUCCUUCCUCCCAAAUUUCUAUUAAGCUCAAAUAAUUUUUUAUCCAAAAAAAAAAAAAUCAACGUGUUCAUAGGGCAUGGGACAAUGAUAUAAUUUGAUAACUACUAGGUUAAAUUUAUAUGGGUGCCAAUGAAAAAUUGGGUAAUAAUUAAAGCUCAACGGGGUGACUGGGGAUAAAUAAACAGGUUAGCUUGAAAGGCUCAAUUGAUCCAAAAAUUGCCUAAAUCAUUUUUUCAGUUAGAUUUAGCUUAGGAUUUCGCCUCAAGAGAAAAUCAAACAAAUUCUAAAAUUUGGGUGAAAUUUAAGAAAAUCACAUACUUCACAUGAAAGUUCUCUAGAUUUACACAUAGGGAAAAAAAAAAAGGACUUUUGGGGCCCAAUAAGUGACCCCCAAAAUCACAAAUUAAAGUCAUUUCACCCUUUUUUCCCAACUUUGUAUGAUUGGUAAAAAUUCAUAACUAGAAAGCCAAUCCCAAUAAAAAAAUUACCCAAAAAAAUUUGUUUCCCCCCCCCCCCCCCCCCAAAAAAAAAACUUGAAUGAAGUAGUGUCUUCAAUGCGAAUAAUAGAAAUAGGAAGAAGAAAACUCCCAUGGUUGUAGGAUAACUUCAUAGAUGACCUUGAUGGUUAAACUCUUGAAAGGUGAUCCCUAAAAAUAUUAAUUUGGAUAAAAUAGACAAAAGUUAAUCUUGUUUUUUUGCAAAACAUAAACUUAACAAUAAAUAAAAAUAAAACAUAAUUAAAAUGCUUGGGUUGCCUCUCAAGAAUCGCUUGCUUUAUAGUUUUUAGCCAAACUAUCUCGGAUGUCGCUAUUCUAGAUAAUGAAGUUCAAUGGUGGUCUUAUGCUUGUUGUAACCACCUUCAAAGUAGGGUUUCAAAUGUUGACCGUUCACCCUGACUGUUCCCUUAGUGUCAUGCUCAACUUUAAUUGUUCCAUAUGGGAAUACCUGUGUAACUGUGAAAGGACCAGACCAUCGAGACUGCAACUUUCCUAGAAAAAAUUUAAGAUGAGAGUUAUAAAGUAAGACUUUUUGAUCAAUUUUAAAUGGCAAAAGAACGCUUUAAGUGCCAAAAAUUGGCACAAAGGGACACUUAACAACUUAGAAUUUUCACAGGCCUCAUUGCGAAAUUCCUCCAAUUCAUUCAGUUGCAAUAAUCUUUCUUCACCUGCAGAUUGCAUGUCAAAAUUUAGGAAUUUCAAUGCCCAAUAUGCUUUAUGCUCUAAUUCCAUUAGUAAAUGACAAACCUUCCCAAACACUAACCUAAAAGGAGACCUCCCAAUUGGAGUUUUAAACACUGUUCUAUAGGCCCAAAGUACAUCAUCAAGUUUUAUUGAUCAAUCUGUCACGCCCUGAUCCUCGGGCACGUGCACAUCCUUCUUGGUUGGUCGGUUCUAUAAUGCGAUAUCCUAGGACUAUGUAUCGCCGACCCUUUCAUUUUUAAGCACAUGCGAAAGCAGUUAUAAUCCCUAGACAAUAAAACGAUGGGAUAGAAAAGCAAGGCUAUAUUUUUCAUAUUGAAACUUAUAACCAAACUUUUAUUCGAAAUACAAACCAGAGUACUUUACAACUUUUCACAACUUUUUACUCUAACUUUAUUAACAUCAAGACAAGAUUCGCAAAAGAGGAUAGGAUCUCAGUCCUCAUUCGGAUCGUACUUGAGAUGCCUCUCGAUAGUAUCUUCUUCUUCCAAAAAUCCUUCUCCUUAGGUUUUCCUUCAGAGUUUUCCUUCUCAGAUUCCUCCUCCUCAGCUCCUUAUCAGGGUCCUGAAAUGUUUUCCCCAAACCGGGAUGAGACUACGUCUCAGCGAGUUCUACCCCACUAAGACUCAAUGAGGGAACCAAUACACUACUCGGUUGCCUAAGCACAGCACGAGUCAGAGGACUUACCUUGGCCUCAGUCUCAACCUGCAAUUCAAGGUUAUAUACAAACGCUUCACAAAUCAUAACGAACAAUCAAUCAAAUCACGAUAAUCUGAUCAAAUCAUUGAUCAAUCGAACUAGUCGAUUACAUGUCAGAUGGACCAUUCCUGAUCAUUGAUUCCACACCAUAUAACCUUCCAUCGAGCACUUGGUCACAGAGCCACAUCAAUGCUCUCGGGCGUCAAGUUCGCCAAUGUGACGUAAAUAAGAAAUGGUCUACGUGCGUUCUUUAAGGCGCCGUUUUUGUGCAGUGAUAUUCCUCAUCACGAAACCACGCCCGUCAUAGAUCACAGACAGUCUAUGCUCGUUCUUUAAGGCACCGUUUUCGCACAGUAAUAUCCUUAAUCACCGAACCACACCUGUUUGUACUUCGUACUUGAUCGGUCUCAGCCAAUAGAAUUUUCAAUUAGUUCUCGCCACUCUCUCCACUUACAGCUCAACAAGGUAUUCAAAAUGCUAAAUAGUCAUACUCGGUCAACUACCAAUCAAUAAUUCAAUUUCAAUCAAUUUAGGGUAAAUCUCUGAAUAUCACAAUUUAUUUAAUUCCCUACACAUAGAGCUCAUUAAAUAAACAGACUGCGCCACGACAUUAGCACGAGAUUUCGAUUGUCAGCUACCCAGCUUAAUUUCGAAAAAUAAAUAAUUCAUUCAUUAAUUUCGAAAUUAAUAAUUAAUUACAAUAAAUCCAAUUUAGCUCAAAUCGGAGCUCAAUUAAAUAAAUGGACUUCACCACAAUUAUUAGCAUAAAAUUCUGAUCAUCAGCCAUCCUAGUUGAAUUUUCAGAAAAUAAAUAAUUAAAUAAUUAGUUCUAAAAAAUAAUAUUUAAAUGCCAAAAAUUCCACUUAGGCCUGAAUUGUCAAAGCCCGAUUAGGGUCGAGAAGAAUCCGGGGCUACCCUCAAUAAAUAGUAGAUCACGUCUACUUGCUAAAUACACAUUCAAUUUAUCUAAUUUGCAUCACAAUUGACUAAUAAACACUAAUCCAUACUAAUCUAACCGCCUAAACCUAAUUAAUUAAAACUAAACAACCCUUAAGUGUAAUUAGUCCGCUAAGCAAGGAUUAGUGAGAUUACUCACCGGAAUCGCGUGCAAGUCGGACCAAUCCGACGGGGACGACGCGAGGAACAAUAAACCUCAAAGCAGGUCUCGGGUUCGGGGCCCGGAAAUGGCCCAAAAGCGGGCCCGAAGUCGCUGGAGACCCACUUCGCAACUUGCUGGGUUGCUGCAAAACAGAGGGGAAAAAGAGAUGGUUGGGGGCAGCAAGGGGUCGGGAGAGUGGGUAGAGCUUCGGUGAGGCUGGACGGUGGGCAGAGGGGGUCGGGCCACGGCCUAAGCUAGCCGAACAAGGUUGGACAGAGGCGGAAGUCACGCGGGGGAGGGAUGGUAGCGAGCGGCGGGCGCGCUGGCGUGCGCACGGUGGCAAGCGGUGGACGCACGGGUGCAGGUGGCAAGACGGGCAGUGACGACUUCGGCAAGCUGCUGCUGCUCGGCUUCUUCCGCUUCUAGUUCGCUGGUUGCACAAAGAAGAAAGAAAAGGAGGGGUUCGGUCACGAGGGGGAGAAGAGAGAGGAGAGAGAAGAAGAGAUAAGAGAGAGAAUAGAAAGGGUUUGACUAGUCAAAUGGGGAGAGAGAAGAAGCCAAAUUGAAUUUGGCAAGGCAAGUGUUCGGUGGGGGAGUGUCUGCACGAAGUGGGAGGGGAGAGGAGAGAGAAGAGAGAAAGAAAAAGAGAGAAAAUGGAGAGAGAGAAAAAGAAAUAAAAUAAUAGCCUUAUUCUUUUUUUUUUUUACUUUUCUCUUUCCCUUUCCCUUUCUAUUUUCUUUUGAUCUUCGAUUUUUCCUCCGAUAAUUUCUUUCUUGAAAUUUCGGACUCGUCAAUAAAUUGACAGACGAUGAGACGGUCCUAAAAAUGAAUUGUGACACGCUCGAAUAUUCGAUUCCCGAAACCAAUUUAAAUUUUAUGGUUAGAAUCGAUCAGACGUGAUUUUAGUCCAAUCCAACUAAUUGAGUAGCUUUUAGGGAUUUUACUGUAGAUACAUCCCUUAACGGCUUCACCCAAUAGGUUAGUUAACUCGUGAGUAAUCAGCUCAGAGAAAAAGGACCAUAGGCACAUUGACGACAUGCCCAUUUCACUUUAUCGAAACGGGGUCGAAUUUCAGGAUGUCACAACUCUUCCCCUCUUAUAAAAAUUUCGUCCUCGAAAUUUAAACCAUUACACACUUUUCUCAAAAAGGCGGGGAUACAAUUCUCUCAUCGACUCUUCAGUCUCCCAAGUCACUCCUUCAGUGCCGUAGUGUUGCCAGAGCACUUUGACCAACGGAAUGGUCUUUGUACGCAAAACUUGCUCUUUACGAUUGACAAUCUGAACCGGGCUUUCAACAUAUGACACCCGGUCAUCCACGUCCAAUUCCUCAAAAUUGAGUACGUGGGUCGGAUCAGGCUCGUACUUCCUUAACAUCGACACGUGAAAGACGUCAUGCACUUGCGCCAAUCUUGGCGGCAACGCAAGAUGAUACGCUAGGUUUCCGAUUCUUUCAAGAAUCUCAAACGGACCUACGUACCUCGAACUCAACUUGCCUUUCUUACCAAAGCGUGAAGUUCCCCUCAUUGGUGACACUUUCAGAAAAAUGUGAUCACCGACUUGGAAUUCCAAAGACCUUUGACCCUUAUCUGCAUAACUUUUCUGCCUGCUCUGUACUGUCUUUAAUCUGUCUCUGAUCUUUGUCAUGGCAUCUACUGAUUGCUGAACCAAGUCAGGCCCGUUAUCUUCCUUUCUCCGACUUCAUCCCAACAUACUGGAGUUCUGCAUGCUCUGCCAUACAACGCUUCAAAAGGAGCCAUCUUGAUGCUCUGCUGAUAACUGUUGUUGUAGGCGAAUUCCACCAGAUGAAGCUGAUCUUCCCAACUUCCUUUGAAGUCUAUUGCACACGCUUUCAGCAUGUCUUCAAGAGUCUGAAUUGUCCUUUCAGACUGACCAUCCGUCUAAGAAUGAUAUGCCGUACUGUACUGAAACUUUUUACCUAAAGCAUUCUGCAAGCUCUUCCAAAAAGCAAUAGUAAACCUCGGGUCUCUAUCGGAUGUUAUCAUAACCGGCACUCCAUGCAUACGAACCACCUGACGCACAUACAUGUCUGCGUGUCUAUCCAGACUCAGGUCCUUUCGAACUGCAAUGAAGUGAGCCGACUUUGUCAGCCUAUCGACCACUACCCAAAUUGAAUCAUUUCCUUUUUGACUCCUUGGUAGUCCAGUCACAAAAUCCAUUGUGAUAUGCUCCCAUUUCCACUCUGGGGUCGCAAGAGGUUGCAGAAGUCCUCUCGGCUUGCAAUGCUGGGCUUUUACUUGCUGACAAGUCAAACACUUGGCGACAUGCUUGGCAAUGUCUGCCUUCAUACCUGACCACCGAUAGUGUUGGCGUAGAUUCUGAUACAUCUUAGUGCUUCCAAGAUGAAUGCUAUAACUGCUACGAUGUGCUUCAGAUAAAAUUUCUUCUCUAAGCUCUAUAUCGUCAAGUACAACCAAAUGUCCACGGAGCCUUAGUACACCAUCAUUAGAAACCUGAAAAUCAGCCUUUCUUUUAUCGGUAUCCUCUUGAAGAAUUCUCUGUACAUCUGGAUUUGUCAAUUGGAGUUGCUUGAUUCUGACUUGGACAUCCGGUUCAAUUCUGAGGGUGGCCAUAAGACUCAAGAGGUGGCCUACCUCAAAUUUGAAUUCCGAAUCCCGAGCUCUCUUGAUUAAGUUUCACUCCUUAACCAAGAUCCGCACCACUGAAGACUUCCGACUCAAUGCAUCGGCGACCUUGUUCGCCUUUCCCAGGUGAUAUAGAAUAUCACAGUCGUAAUCCUUCAGCAAUUCCAUCCAUCGGCGUUGUCUCAUGUUCAACUCCUUCUGAAAGAACAAAUACUUGAGACUCUGAUGGUCCGUGAAGAUUUGAAACUUUUCUCCGCACAAGUAGUGCCUCCAAAUCUUCAACGCAAAUAUUAUGGCUACAAGUUCUAAGUCAUGUGUUGGAUAAUUCAAUUCAUGAGGUCUCAACUGCCGGGAAGCGUAUGCAACGACUCUGCCAUGUUGCAUUAACAUGCAACCCAAUCCCCUAAAUGACGCAUCACUAUAAAUCUCCAAUCCUCUAGGACCAGAUGGAAUCGUCAGCACAGGUGCGGUAGUCAGCUUUUCCUUCACCUCUUGGAAACUAGCUCGCACUUGUCUAUCCAUAUGAACUUCUCGUUUUCCUUCAUGAGCUUUGUUAGAGGCGACGCUAUCGAUGAGAACCCUUCCACAAACCGUCUGUAAUAACUUGCUAACCCCAGAAAACUUCUGAUCUCUAUCACUGUUAAUGGUCUCGGCCACUUAAUCACGGCUUCUAUCUUGCUCGGGUCGACGAGGAUUCCUUCUCCGGAAAUCACAUGACCUAAGAACGCAACACGAGUCAGCCAAAACUCGCAUUUGUUAAACUUAGCAUACAGCUGAUGAGUUCUUAAGGUCUAGAGUACUACUCUUAGAUGAUUCUCUUGCUCUUCAUCACUUCUUGAAUAGACCAAGAUGUCAUCAAUGAACACGAUCACAAAUUGAUCCAAAUAUUCCUUGAACACUUUGUUCAUCAAAUCCAUAAAGGCAGUUGGAGCAUUCGUCAACCCGAACAGCAUCAAUGUAAACUCGUAAUGGCCAUACCGGGUACGAAAUGCCAACUUAGGGAUGUCCUCCUUCCUAAUUCUCAGCUGAUGAUAUCGUGUCCUCAAGUCGAUCUUCGAGAAUAUCGACACUCCUUGUAGUUGAUCAAACAAGUCAUCUAUCCUCGGCAAUGGAUACUUAUUUUUUAUCGUUACUUGAUUGAGCUGCCGAUAGUCGAUGCACAAACGCAAUGAACCAUCUUUCUUCUUAACAAAUAGAAUUGGUGCUCCCCAAGGUGAUGCACUAGGACGAAUAAAUCCUUUAUCCUGUAACUCUUGCAUCUGCACCUUCAGUUCUUUCAACUCAGAUAACGCCAUCCGGUAAGGUGCCUUCGAAAUCAGUUCUGUCCCUGGUGCUAGCUCAAUUACAAAUUCAAUCUCUCUUUCUGGCGGUAACCCUAGCAAUUCUUUUGGAAAGACAUUUGGAAACUCUUGAACCACUGAAAUAUCUUCCAUUUUCAACUCCUCAACUGUCGUAUCCAUGACAGUUGCAAAGUACCCUCGGCAACCCUCGUCUAACAAACGAGUUGCUUCCAGUGACGAGAUUAAGGAAAUUGAAGGUCCUCCUCGAUUCCCGACAAACUCAAAGCUCUUACCCCCUGAUGGGUCAAAUUGAAUCGUCUUGCGAUAGCAGUCCAUUUUCGCUCGUUGAUUGGUGAGCCAGUCCAUGCCAAUUAUCAAAUCAAAAUCAUACAUGGCUAGGACUAACAAGUCAAUUUUCCCCACUCGCUCACCAAUCUCUAACUUGCACCCCGAACAUCCUAAAAUAGCAAUAACUUUAUCUUUCAAGGGUGUAGAUAUGCAAAUUAUCGACUUCAACAAUACAGGACUCAACCCUAGCAUCCUAACAUAUUGCUCGGCAAUGAAGGAAUGGGUUGCUCCCGAAUCAAACAAAGCAUAAGCAGGUUGGUCGUUGAGCGAGACCAUACCUGUGAUCACGCCAGGCGCAGCUUUUGCUUGACCUUGGGUAAUCGCGUACACGGGGCCUUGAACUGGAGGUCUCUGCUAUCCUCCUUGUGGUGCAUUUUGAGGGGCAUACCCUCCUAUCUGUCUCAUCGGUGGCGGUGGCGGCAACUGAGGUUGUCCUCUCUGCUUCUUUGGACAAUACCUUGCAGUGUGGCCCUGCUGGCCACAUUCGUAACAUGCUCCUGUUCUGGCUGGAUACGGAGUUGUCCCGUGUUGUCUUCCACACGAGCAACAAGAAUUGACCCUAUUAGGCAUCGGUCUAUUGAAUCCGCUUCUCUCGAAGGGUGGAGCAUUAGGCCUACCUCCAAGCAUGGGUCUCUUCCCUUGACGGAUAUUCUCUCGAUGGGAGCCAAACCUCGAUCCAAAUGAGGUAGCUUGUUCAUUCAAUCCUCGCUCUAUCAUCUGGGCUCGACGAUAAACCUUCCUAUAAUCUUUCAAGUCCCAUGGUAGCAGAGGUUGUUUCAAUUUAACACGAAGACCGCUUUUGAACUUCCAAGCUUUCUCUUUAGGGUCUUCUAUCAGCUUAGGAGCAUACUGUGAUAGUUCUGCGAACUUGACCCCAUACUGGUCAACUAUCAUGCUCCCUUGGCAGAGACAGUGGAACUCUUAUAUCUUUUGUUCCCAAGCAGUAUUCGAAAAGUACUGAUCAUUAAAGGCUCCAAGGAAGGUGUCCCACACUUGGACCCCAUACUGGUCAACUGUCAUGCUCCAUAUAUUAGCGUUACCUUGAAGUUGGUACAUAGCUAGUAACACCUUUUCGUCCUCAUUGCACAUCAGAAGUGCAAAUGCCUUCUCCAAAUCUUGUACCCACAGAGACACGGCCUCAAGGUCUCUGGUACCAAUGAAUUUCGGCAGAUUCAUUUUUAAAAACUGAUCCACUAACUGGUGAAUCGGCCUCCCAUCGGCUACAACUCCUGGUAGUAUUUCAGCGGGAGCGACGGUAGGUGGAACUGCAGGUGCUGCGACAGCGGCGGCUUGAGCAGUAGCGAUAGCUAUGACAGCAAUGGCAGCGUUGGCAGCAGCAGUGGCGGUAGCUUCAACAGCGGCAAUAAAGGUGGCAGUUUGAUCUCAGGCCUGUUGCCUCAUCAUCUCCCACAUAGCAUCUAGAGCCUGGUUGAUUCCGACAGUUCCUUGCUCACCCAAGACUGCUACCCUAGCACCAACAGGAGGUGGUGCUACUGUAGCAUCUACAACAGGUGGAAUCAUUCCACUCGUGCUAGCCUCUGCUGGCGCUCUACCUUGGCCACCUCAGGCACCAACUCUUGUCGGCGUCCUAGUCCGAGUUACCGAGGACAAGGUCCUCUGCCUAGGAGUUCUCGGCUCCUGAUCGCUCAUGGUGUCAUUUUAAUCUACUAACACCUACUUCCAAUUCAACACCGAAUUAGAAACAGAGCGAUUCAAACAACAAGCAAUUUUAGCACUCAACUAACACAAACAUGCACCAGCAUGAAUUUAAAGGCCUUUCCUACUUACUAUCCCAUGGUCAACACUCCUUAUCACUCCAAUCUUGAACUAAGCUCUGAUACCACAAAAAGGGGAUGUCACGCCUCGAUCCUCAGGCACGCGCACAUCCUUCUAGGUUGGUCGGUUUUAUAAUGCGAUAUCCCAGGACUAUGUAUCGCCGACCCUUUCAUUUUUAAGCACAUGCAGAAGCAGUUAUAAUCCCCAAACAAUAAAACGAUGGGAUAGAAAAGUAGAGCUAUAUUUUUCAUAUUGAAACUUAUGACCAAACUUUUAUACAAAAUACAAACCAGAGUACUUUACAACUAUUCACAACUUUUUACUCUAACCCUAUUAACAUCAAGACAGGAUUCACAAAAGAGGAUAGGAUCUCAGUCCUCAUCCGGAUCAUACUCGAGAUCCUUCUCGAUAGUAUAUUCUUCUUCCAAAAGUCCUUCUCCUUAGGUUUCCCUUCAGAGUUCUCUUUCUCAGAUUCCCCUCCUCAGCUCCUCAUUGGAGUCCUGAAAUGUUUUCCCCAAACCGGGAUGAGACUACGUCUCAGCGAGUUCUACCCCACUAAGACUCAAUUAGGGAACAAAUACACUACUCGGUUGUCUAAGCACAGCACGAGUCAGAGAACUUACCUUGGCCUCAGUCUCAACCUGCAAUUCAAGGUUAUAUACGAACGCUUCACAAAUCAUAACGAACAAUCAAUCAAAUAACGACAAUUGGAUCAAAUCAUUGAUCAAUCGAACUAGUCGAUUACAUGUCAGAUGGACCAUUCCAGAUCAUUGAUUCCACACCAUAUAACCUUCCAUCGAGCACUCGGUCACAGAGCCACAUCAAUGCUCUCGGGCGUCAAGUUCGCCAAGGUGACAUAAAUAACAGACGAUUUACGUGCAUUCUUUAAGGUGCCGUUUUUGCACAGUGAUAUUCCUCAUCACAGAACCACGCCCGUCAUAGAUCACAGACAGUCUACGUGUGUUCUUUAAGGCGCCGUUUUCGCACAGCGAUAUUCUUAAUCACCGAACCACGCCUAUCUAUACUUCGUACUUAAUCAGUCUCAGCCAAUAGAAUUUUCAGUUAGUUCUCACCACUCUCUCCACUUACAUCUCAACAAGGUAUUCAAAAUGCUAAAUAGUCAUACUCGGUCAACUACCAAUUAAUUCAAUUUCAAUCAAUUUAGGGUAAAUCCCUAAAAUAUCACAAUUUAUUUAAUUCCAUGCAACGUAGAGCUCAAUAAAUAACGGACUGCGCCACGACAAUCAGCACGAGAUUUUGGUUGUCGACUAACCCAGCCUUAAUUUCUGAAAAAUAAAUAAUUAAUUCAUUAAUUUCGAAAAUUAAUAAUUAAUUACGAUAAAUCCAAUUUAGCUCAAAUCGGAGCUCAAUUAAAAUAAAUAGACUUCACCACGAUUAUCAGCAUAAAAUUCUGAUCAUCAACCAUCCAUGUUGAAUUUUCUGAAAAUAAAUAAUUAAAUAAAUAAUUUCAAAUUUUAAAUAAUUAAUAUUAAAAAUUCAAUUUAGCUCAAAAUAAAGCCCGAUUAAAUAAACAGACUUCACCAUGGUCAUCAGCAUAAUAAUCCGAUCACUGGUCAUCCUAGUUGAAUUUUUGAAAUAUAAAUAAAUAAUUAAUUAAUUCCGAAAAUUAAUACUUAAAUGCGAAAAAUUCCACUUAGGCCCGAAUUUUCAAAUUGAAGCCUGAUUAGGGUCGGGAAAAAUCCUGGACUACCCUCAAUAAAUAGUAGACAACGUCUACUUGCUAAAUACACAUUUAAUUUAUCUAAUUUACAUCACAAUUGACUAAUAAACACUAAUCCAUACUAAUCUAACCGCCUAAACCUAAUUAAUUAAAACUAAACAACCCUUAAGUGUAAUUAGUCCGCUAAGCAAGGAUUAGUAAGAUUACUCACCGGAAUCACGUGUAAGUCAGACCAAUCCAACGGGGACGACGCGAGGAACGAUAAACCUCAACACGGGCCUCGGGUUCGGGGCCCAGAAACAGCCCAAAAGCGGGCCCGAAGUUGUUGGAGACCCACUCCGCAACUUGCUGGGUUACUGCAAAACAGAGGGGAAAAGGAGAUGGUUGGGAGCAGUAAGGGGUCGGGAGAGUGGGCGAAGCUCCGGUGAGGCCGGACGGUGACCGGAGGGGGUCGGGCCACGGCCUGAGCUGGCCGAACAAGGCUGGACAAAGGCAGAAGUUACGCGGGGGAGGGAUGGCAGCGAGCGGCGGGCACGCUAGCGUGCGCACGGCAGCGAGCGGUGGUCGCACGAGCGCGGGCGCGAGUGGCGAGACGGGCGGCGACAGCUUCGAUGAGCUACUGUUGCUCGGUUUCUUUCGCUUCUAGUUCGCUGGUUACACGAAGAAGAAAGAAAAAGAGGGGUUCGGUCACGAGGGGGAGAAGAGAGGAGAGAGGAGAAGAUAUAAGAGAGAGAAGAGAAAGGGUUUGACUAGUCAAAUGGGGAGAGAGAAGAAGCCAAAUUGAAUUUGGCAAGGCAAGUGUUCGGUGGGGGAGUGUUCGCACGAAGGGGGAGGGGAGAGGAGAGAGAAGAGAGAGAGAAAAAGAGAGAAAAAUAAAUAAAAUAAUAGCCUUAUUUCUUUCUUUUUUUUUACUUUUCUCUUUCCCUUUCUCUUUCUAUUUUCUUUUGAUCUUCGAUUUUUUCUCCGAUAAUUUCUUUCUUGAAAUUUCGGACUCGUCAAUAAAUUGACAGACGAUGAGACGGUCCUAAAAAUGAAUUGUUACACGCUCGAAUAUUCGAUUCCCAAAACGAAUUUAAAUUUCAUGGUUAGAAUCGAUCAGACGUGAUUUUAGUCCAAUCCAACUAAUUGAGUAGCUUUUAGGGAUUUUACUGUAGAUACAUCCCUUAACAGCUUCACCCAAUAGGUUAGUUAACUUGUGAGUGAUCAGCUCAGAGAAAAAGAACCAUAGGCACGUUGAUGACAUGCCCAUUUCACUUUAUCGAAACAGGAUCGAAUUUCAGGAUGUCACAGCUUUCCUAGAGGCAUUCACUGUUUUUUUCUAAAAUUCUCUUGAUUUCCCUAUUUAAAAGCUCUACUUAACCACUAGUCUAAGGAUGAUAAGGGGUUGCAACCUUAUGCGUGACUACAUACUUACUCAAAAGUGCUUCAAAUUGUUUGUUGUAAAAAUAUAUCCCCUUAUCACUUAUAAUUGCCUUAGGAGUGCCGAAUCGGGUAAAAAAAAUUUCUUCAAAAAUUUGACCACAACCUUAGCAUUAUUUGUUGGUAAUGCUACAGCUUCUACUCACGUAGACACAUACUCCAUAGCCACUAAAAUGUAUAAAUUUCCAUAAGAAGGUAUAAAGGGUCCCAUAAAAUCAAUACCCCAAAUAAUUCACACACAAUAAUGUUGUUUAAAGGCAUCUAAUUUUUUCUUGAAAUAUUUCCAGUUCUCUGACACCUAUCACAUGAAGCUACAUAAGAGUAUGCAUCUUUAAAAAAUGUAAGCCAAUAAAAUCUAUAUUGUAAAAUCUUAUCUGUAGUUUUGUUGGCACCAAAAUGACCACCUGCCUCUCCAUCAUGACAAUGAUGUAGAAUGUUUGUCUUCUCUUUGCCUAGAACACAUCUCCUUAUGACUUGGUCUGCACAUACUUUAAACAAGAAGGGUUCUUCCCAAAAAUAAUUUUUAACAUCAGAAAAGAAUUUUUUCUUCUAUUGAUAUGAUAAUUUAGAAGGAAGAACAUUACUUACUAAAUAAUUUACAAAGUCAGCGCACUAGGGAAUUUUUGUGGACUUAAUGAAAAAAAAUUUCUCAUUAGGGAACUCUUCCAAAAUUGGUCUUACCUCUUCUUUUGAAUUUAGAAUUCUUGAUAAGUAAUCUGCAAUUAGAUUUUCAAUCCCCUUCUUAUCUUUGAUUUUCAAAUCAAAUUCUUGCAGCAAUAGAAUCCACCUGAUCAACUUGGGUUUUGAUUCUUUCUUUUCAAGCAGAUACUUAAGAGCAAAGUGGUCAGAAUAAAUUAUAACUUUUGAGCUAAUUAAAUAAGAAUGGAAUUUGUCAAAAGCAAAAACUACCGCCAAAAGUUCAUUUUCUAGUUAUUGAAUAAUUCAAUUGUGCACCAGACAAGGUUUGACUAGAAUAGUAUAUGGUUCAAAAAAUUUUAUUCUUCCUUUAUCCCAAAACAGCUCCUAUUGUAGAAUUGCUAGCAUCACACAUCAGUUCAAAAGGUAAAUCCCAAUUUGGUGCUGCCAUAAUUGGUGCUGACAUUAACUUCUCCUUUAAAGUGUUAAAAGCCUGCAUGCAUUCAACAGGAAAAUUAAAAGUAGCAUUUUUUUUUCCGAAAGAUUAGAAAGAGGUUUAGCAAUUUUUGAAAAAUCUUUUAUAAACCGCCUAUAAAAUCCUGCAUGCCCCAAAAAUCCUCUGACAAGUUUCACAGAUGUUGGCGGAGGCAAUUUUACAAUGACCUCCACUUUGGCUCGAUCAACUUCUAUUCCGUUUUGAGAAAUUUUAUACGUGAGCACUAUUCCUUCCUGCACCAUAAAGUGACACUUCUCCCAAUUCAAAACAAGGUUAGUCUCCUCACAUCUUUGUAAGACCAAAGCCAAAUUAUUUAAACACGAAUCAAAUAAUAAGCCAAAAGCGGAAAAAUCAUCCAUGAAAAUCUCAAUAUAUAUUUCAACCAUAUCAGAAAAAAUAGCCAUCAUGCAUCUCUGAAAAGUAGCUGGUGCAUUACAAAUACCACAGGGUAUUAUUCUAAAAGCAAAAGUACCAUAGGAACAAGUGAAAGUAGUUUUCUCUUGAUCUUCUAGUGUAAUAGGAAUCUGAUUAUACCCCGAAUAUUCAUUAAGAAAGUAAUAAAACUUAUGUCCCGCGUGUCUUUCUAACAUCUUAUCAAUAAAUGAUAAGGGAAAUUAAUCUUUUCUAGUGACAUCAUUCAAUUUUCUGUAAUACACACACACACACACCACCCAGUAGCUGUUCUAGUUGGAAUCAAUUCAUCAUUGUCAUUUUUCUGAACAAUCAUACUACAUUUCUUUGGCACAACUUGUACAGGACUUACCUAAGAACUAUCAGAGAUAUGAUAGAUGAUACCUGCAUCAAGUAGCUUAAUUACCUCAGCUUUCACUACUUCUUGCAUCUUCGGGUUCAAACGCCUCUGAGGUUGGAUAAUAGGUUUAUAUUGUUCCUCCAUCAAAAUUUUGUGCAUGCAAAUUGAAUGACUAAUUCCCUUGAUAUCAGCUAUUUUCCAUCUAAUUGCACCCUUAUGUUCUCUUAAUAAUCUAAGCAGUUUCUCCUCCAUCGAAUCUAUCAAAGAAGAAGAUAAAAUUACCGAUAAUGAAGAAACUCUAUCUAAAUAAACAUAUUUUAAAUGAGAGUGUAAGGGUUUGAAUUAAAAAAUUAUAGGCUCUUCAAUUGAUGGUUUAAGCUUUGUAAUGUGCUAUCCCAUCUCCUCAAAAUUAAUUGCCUUUUACCUUGAAUAUGGUGGAAUUGCCUCCAUAAAAUUUGCAUGCUCCUUUAUCUCCCCAUUUUGAAUAUCUCCGUCCCUUGGUUGUAUCAGACAUACUUCAAGUGGAUCUUUAAAAAUAUUUUCCUGAAAAACCUCAUUCACCAACUUGUCAAUUGUCUCAAUUCUAAAACAAGAAUUAUCAUCAUAUGGAUAUUUCAUUGCUUUAAAAACAUUCAAUGAAACGAUAUCAUCUUGAAUUCUGAGAAUCAACUUCCCUUGUACAUCAAUAAGAGCUCUUCAUGUUGCUAGAAAAGGUUGACCUAAGAUAAGUGGUACCUCAAAAUCUUCCUCCAUGUCAAGAACUAUGAAAUGUGCAGGAAAAAUAAAUUUGUCAAUUUUUAGCAAAACAUCUUCCACAAUACCUCUCAGAUAUUUAAUUGAUCGAUCAACCAGUUGAAGUGACACUGUGGUUGUUUUUACCUCACCCAAUCCUAAUUUCUUGAAAACUGAAUAAGGCAUCAAAUUAAUACUUGCACUUAAAUCACAUAAUGUUUUUUUAAAGUAAGAAUCCAGAAAUAGUAAAACUCCUAAGAUCUUUUAAUUUUGGAGGCAAUUUGUUUUGUAGGAUGGCUGAACACUCCUCGUUUAACUUCACAGUUUCAUAAUCCUCUAGUUUCCUUUUGUUUGCCAAAAUCUCCUUCAAAAAUUUUGCAUAACUAGGUAUUUGCGCUAAGGCAUCUACAAAUGAAUGUUAACGUGCAAUUUUUUAAAUACAUUAAGAAAUUUAGAAAAUUUCUUAUCUAUUUUGUGCUGCUAGAGUCAUUGAGGGAAUGGAAUUAGCAGCACAUAUGGCUUGGGAUUAUCUGGAAAAAGUUUACUCUUGCUUGUCUCCUUUGAUUGUUUAUUGAUCACAUCUUCCUUGUCUCUAAUAAUCUCUUGUUUGACAAAUUCUUCUCCCACUUGUUUAGCACUUCUCAAGGUAAUAGCCUUUAUGUUUUCAAUUGGAUUUUUCUCUGUAUUGCUCGGCAAAGAACCUUGCUGUCUCCCUGACAUCAUGCUUGCUAACUGACCCACUUGCAUCUCCAAAUUUCUAAUUGAAGCCUCUUGGUUUUGAAAUCUCACAUCCAUGCUUUUGAUGAAGUCAUGAGUUGUGUUAGCAAGUUUGGUGACUAUAUCUUCCAAAUUUGACUCUGUAUCUUCUAAUUGUUUGAAUCCCGGUGGUCUCGUCACAUUCUGAUUAUUCCAUGAAAAAUUUGGAUGAUUGCACCAUCCCAGAUUGUACGUAUUGGAGUAGGGAUUAUUCUAUGAUCUGUUAAAAUUCCCAACAAAAUUAGAAUUUUCACUAGAUUGUUUAAAAGUAUUACCUACCUAACACGCUGUGCUAACAUUUCCUCCACCACAAAAAUCACAUGUCAAAUUUUGAAUUUUCAUGAUUGAAAUACUCAUAUUAUCUAGCUUUUUGUUGAGUGCUUCAAAUUGUGCAGCAAUUGCAACAAAAGCAUCCACUUCGUGAACUCCGCUAACUUUUUGCAUUAGUAGUCUCUCAGUAGGCAAAUAAUAACUAUUGGACGCCAUCCCCUCUAAUAGAUUGUAGGCUUCUUCUGGUGUUUUAUUAUUUAGAGUUCCUCUUAUAGCUGCAUCAAUCAUAAAACAGAAAUUUGUACUAGAGCCAUUAUAAAAAUUUUGUACCUGCAUCCAUAUGGGUAGUCCGUGAUGUGGGCAUCUCCUAAAAAAUUCUUUGAACUUUCACAUCCUUCAUAUAAUGAUUCAUUAUCCAUUUGCAUAAAAUUAGUAAUAUCGUUACGCAUCUUCGCAGACUUUGCAGGUGGAAAGAACUUACCAAGAAAUUUCUUAGCCAUAUCAUUCUAUGUAGUAAUUGAUCCUGUAGGAAGAGAAGAAAGCCAACUCUUAGCUUUGUCUCUAAGAGAUUAUGGAAAUAAUCUCAAUCUAAUAGCAUCAUAUGUAACUCCAUUAUAUUGAAUGGUAUCACAGAUUUCAAGAAAAACAUCAAUGUGAGCAUUUAGAGCAUCGCUUGGUAGCCCAUUGAAUUGCACCGAUUGUUGAAGCGUCUGAAUGAGUGACGGCUUGAUCUCAAAGUUGUUUGCUUGAAUUGCCGGUCUUCUAAUACUUGAUAUGGCGCCUUGAACUGUUGAUGCAACAUAAUCUCUUAAGAGUUUACGUGGAUUUUCAUUAUAACCGUCUGCCAUCUUCUUAGCGUGAUUUCUCUGUUCUCUUAGUCGCCUUUUGAAUGUACGCUCGAUUUCUAGAUCAAGCUCAGCAAGUUUCCCUUGUUGGCUGUCAUAAACUAAUGUACACCCUGAAAAAUAAAACAAAACAAAAGUUAGAUUAAACUUAUAAUUAUCUGGUAUCAAUAUUAAUUAGUAUUAAACAAACGAUCCCUGACAACGGCGCCAAAAACUUGUUCGUAAAAUUAUAAACGCAAGUGAACGUGUCGAACAAGUAAUAUAAUGAUAAGAAAAAGUAUCGUCCCACAAAGAUCGAUGAUUAAUAAACUAAUUAAAUACUAAAAUAGAUUAAUUCUAAAAUUUAUCUAACAGAUCAAAUUAUAAUUUAGAAUAAAUUAAAAAAAAUUGAAGACUAAAUGCAGUAAAUCAAUCAGAUAAAUAUGUUAGAGCAUCCGAUUUCACCAUAACCACCAGAUAUGAAUUUCAGAUUAUUGUGAGUACAAGAACGAUAUCAAAUAUGUGAUAGCGGAAUUUCUUAAUCUAUUUACUAUCCUAUCUCUAAGUAUAGCAAACCUACUUAGCUUAUUAAUCCACUAUAUUUCCAUGUGAAUUAAAAUAAACAUGAGUGCAUUAAAAACUAUUAAUAUUCCCGGCGUACAAUGAGUCUUUUGGAUCACCUUAUCCCGAAAGUUACACAAAUAACGUAGUAUAUUUCUAUCCACGUUUAAUUCACGGUUAUAUAUUAUAAUGAGCAAUUGCAUAUUAUCACUUCUCAGUCUCAAAUAUGCACAUCUGAUCAUUCAAGUGGUGGUCAGUCACUCAAAAACAUUAAGCACAAUAAUAUAUAACUCAAAUGGAUGAAAUCAAUUGCAAAACAUAAAAAUUAUGAAAUUCAUAUUAUCAUGGUUAGGCUAUAUCGUAGUCCUAACAAAAUAAAAUUAGAAUAUAGUAGAACAAAAAAUAAAAAUACAAAUUAAACUUAGCAUCUUGAAUCAAAGAACGGGAAUUCUAUCACCACUUUUGUCUUCUCUUCAAAAUACUUGAAAAUCUCUAAAAAAAAAAAUGAUCUAACAAAAAACCUAACAUCUCUCUCAAUGGCUCUCAAUGUUCUCCCAUUUCGAGGAUUUAUCCAAGCUCCAAGCAAUUGCACAUAAAAUCAGGGAGUAAAUCAGAGGAUUUUAAUUUGAUAUUUAUCUUCCACUGCUUCUUGAUUUGAAUUCCUGAUUUUUUUGCCAUUAUUUUCCUUAUAUUCUCCAUAUCUCAUUAUUCUGCAUAAACAAGAAAAAUUCAAAUAAUCAUAAGGAAAUCCAAAUAUUCUCUUAUAGAUAUCGCAUUAAUUGUUGCCUAAAAUAGGUAAAAUAACUUUAUAAAAAUAGAGUUAUUAAACAAGCGAGGGCCAGCAAGUGAGAGCUGGCCAACCCUCACCAAUUCUGGUUAGGGCACACAAGCCCUCACCUAGAAAUAACAAAGCCUGUGAUGCCCUCGCCAAAUCUAGCUAGGCGAGGGCUUGGCAACCCUCACUAGCUCCAAGCAAAGGGGGUGACCUCGGUUGGGGCCUUUGCCUGGCUAGAUCUAGCAAGGGCGACAACCUCACUCAAGGCCUUUGCCUGGCAUGCCCUCACCUUUGCUAGCAAGGGCAUCGCGACCCUCACCCAAAGCUCAUGAAGGGCACAAUGCCCUCGCCUAGAGUUGGCGAGGGUCGAUUGGCCCUCUCUUAUGGCUGGUGAGGGUUGUUAACCCUCCCUUGUGGCCAACGUUGGCCCUCACCUAUGGCUGAGGCCACCAAAUUUGAACCCCAUAAAAAAAGUAAAAAAAUAAAGAAUCAUAAAAAAAUUCAAAAUAUUAUUAAAAUAUUAUUUUUAAAGUGCCACGUCAGUGCCGGCCAUCCAUGUUAACAAUUUUCAGCCAAAAUUGGCUAAAUAGAUUGAAUUGAUAAGAAGUGAAAAAGUUUAUGAUUAAAUUACCAAAAUUGAAAGAUUUAUGAUUGAAUUAGUAAAAGUGUAAUAGGUUGAAGACUUUUUGGAUAAUUUUCCCGAUUGUGGUUGAUACGCAUUUGUGGAGAAUUAUCAUCAUCAAGAAUUUAAUUUUUCUUUUCCUUUUUCUGGUCUAGUGACUGUAGUUAUUUGCUUAUUUUAAGCUGUGGAGUUAACAAUGGCAGGUCCUGGAGACUUUCAUGAGACUAUUCCACUACAAAUCCUUGUGUGAUGAAGGCUUUGUACAGUGCGGUGCGCAUUUAAAUUUUCCAAAUGCAUGAUUUAUUUGACAUAUAUUCCUUCAAUCUUUUUUUUUAUUUGGUAAAUGGUAAUGAUGUAUUGAGCUUUAACCCACAAAUAUACAAGAUCCGGCACCACAAAACUUGCACUCAACAAGACACAAACGUCUCAUCGAGUGAAAGGGCGCCGGACACAAAACACCGCAAACUGGUCAACUCAAGCAAGUGCCGAAACAGGAAGCCCAAGAAAAUAGCCAUGCAGGGCCGAGACAACAAACUAAAAAGACAGACUAACCAAAAGGCCAUGCAGGGCCAAGAAGAACAACCCGCAAAGCUAGACUAAGGCGACCUAGGCGGUCGGCAUAGGAGAGCUGAAGAUAGACGGGUCAAGGCCCCAGUUUCUUUGUAACCUCCUAUUUCUCAGGCAAUCUUCUACGCUUUUGAAAGUUAAGGCUUUAUCCUUUACAACUUUAAUAAGAUGCUUCUUGAUAGCCGCAACUAAUAUUCCUUGAAUCUUUCGUCGCUGCUCAUCCGGAAAAACAGGCCAUUGUGGGCUAGAGACUGGUGCACGAUUAUCACAGAAGAGCUACUUUUAGGGCGCGUUUGGUAAUGAUUCUGUUCCUGAGAACAUAUUCUGAUCAGAAAUGAUUCUUUUUAUUCUGUUCUCGGGAACAAUUUCUAAACAUUUUAAGCCAUUUGGAAAGUGUCCAAAAUUUCUAAUUCUGGAAUAAAAUUGUGUUUGGUACCGUGCUCAUUGAAUCUAUUCCAAAUCAAUUUCUUUUAAUUUUUAAAUAAUUUUUUUCAUUUUUUUCUUUUUUUUUCAAUUUUUUUUUCAUUUUUUCCUUUCUCUCUCAUGUUCUUCUUCUUUCAGUGGCUAGUCACUGGACCGACGACCAGCCAAACGAGGGUCGGUGACCUCGCUAGAGCGUCAUCAACCCUCGGUGAGGUCGGCCCGGCAGCUGGGCGAGCUCGCUUGGCCACUAGUAAGCUCGCCGAUGGUGGGCUUGCCUUUGGCGAGCUCGCCGGUGUGGUUGCUAGCAACUGGCGACAAUGGUGACGGACAGCAACCACAGGAUGGCGGUCAAUGAAGAAGAAGAAAAGAGAAAAGGGAAGAAGAAAAGUUGGUUUUGAUUCUUAGAUUUGUUCCCGGAACAAGAAUCAAUUUUUUUUUCAAUCUUAAUUAUGCACCAAAUCUACUUCUGGGAACAAAAAUUUUGCCAAACGCGAUUCUGUUCCCAAACUGAUCCCGAGAACAAAAAAUCAGAAUCAAGCACUGUUUGGAUGGUUACCAAACAAUGGCUUACUUUCCAAAUAAUUCGUGGGAAACAAUAGUAAAAUUGUAUCAGUUGGUAACAGAGCCUAAAUAUGGCUAGUCUAGCCGAUUUGAGAAGGCAAGGGCAACAUCUCCAACAAGAAUUGGAGCAAUCUUGAUUGUUAAGGCCUAACGAUCCCCACCCUAACCAAGAAGAGGAGAUUAACACUUUCUAUGAUGUUUAUUUUUUACGCAGCUUGUGAAGUGGCUCCUUUGCAUCGCUGGUGUUGGAAUCGCGAUUCUAAUGAUUUCGAUGUUAAAGUAGACAUUUCAAACUUCCAAGGCACUUUUCCAAAGGAGGUAAGGAAGUCUUGAUCAAAGCAGUUGUGUAAGCUAUUCCUCAGUACACCAUGUCUAUCUUUAAAAUUCCGAUCUCACUGUGCAAAUCUAUUGAAUAGAAGGUGGCUAGAUUUUGGUGGCAAUCUCAAGGAAACAAGUCGGGCAUAAAUUAGCGAAAUUGGGACAUUCCCUUGCUUCGUGGUAGCUUGGAUGAUCAAACAAUCGACGAAAUCCUCAAAAUUCAUAUCAGGCCGCAAUACACACAAGAUCAACUAAUUUGGAAGGGGCAAUCAAAUGGUAUUUAUACUGUUAAAAGUGACUAUAAUCAAAUUAGAUCAGGAGAGAGCAGAGUUAGUCAACAUCUGGCUUCAUCCUCCUUUCAACCUCUAAAACGACUAUGGACAAGCAUUUGGAUGGUGCUGACUACUCCCAAAUUACGUAUCUUUCUAUGGUCUUUAUGCCAAAACACUCUAGCAACUGGCGAAAAUCUAUACUAUCAACAUGUUAUAACAGAUCUUAUAUGUAGGUUAUGUCGAGACUGUUGUAUUUCUACAGUCCCUAAAUCUAUAGAACAUCUACUCUUACAUUGCCCUUGGACAACUAACGUAUGGUCUCAUCUGCAGCUACAAUUCAAUGUUCAGCAAGUUCAUGCGCAUCGGUUCGAUGUCUGGCUACUGCAAAUAUUAGAUAAGGAGAACAGCUCACAGGUUCUUGUGGUAAUUGUUUAUGUUUUGUGGCACAUCUGGAAAGCCAUAAAUGAUUUUUUUUUCCACCGGAAAAUCCUCAACCCAAAUCAAGUUGUAUUUGCUGCUCUCACCCAUGCCUGAUCUUACCAGAGCUACCAUGUGACCUUGCUACAACAUAGUUCAAAGAAAUAGUAUCCAGUUGGCAACCAGAGAGGAGAUCGAAGUCAAGCUGCUAAUAAAACCCUUACCGUCACAGGCUAUGCUCGACCCUGUUCUAGGGCGCCACUGAAUCGACACCUUCAACGUCCACCUUCAGAACAAAUCUAGCGUCCCCCUAAUCCUGGUGUGUUGAAGAUAAAUAUCGACGCUUCCUUCCCUACGGCCUUAAACGAAGGUAUUGUCGCUUGUGUUUGCCGUGAUUCCUCAAGUAAGUUGAUCGAUGGCUUUGCCCGGUGCACCAUCUCUGUUUCACCCCUGCAAACAGAAAUACAAGCCCUCAACUUUACACUCCAAUAUUUGCUCAACAAAGGAAGGAAUCAACAUCAUCUCCUUUUAGCAUCCGACUAUCUAGCAAUGGUAGAGGCACUUCAAGAACCUAGCCGCACACCGUGGGAGAACAGAGCUCUCUUUGCUGAGGCUGCGGCGCUGCUUCAUCUUUUCCAUAACCUGCAAAUGCGACACUGCAGAAGAGAAACAAACUUUGCGGCCAACUGGGCCGCAAAGGGCCAUGGACAAAAUCUUCUCCCCUAUAACUGGGCCAAGUUCCCCCCUCCUGCUAUUUUCGAUCUUCUAAGUACUGAGGCGUUAAACUCCUGUAUUUUUGCUGAUCGUGUAUGAAGUUUUUCACCUUUCCGAUAAAAAAAAAAAAAAACUUCCAAGGCACUAUGCAUUGGAAGACUUCAUAGAUUGGCUCGACAAAAUUGAGCAAGUUUUUGAUUAUGAGAAUACGGUGGAGAAUCGAAAGGUGAAGCUUGUGGCCAUCAAGCUUAGAAAAGCAUGCUUUGAUUUGGUGGGAAAAUCUAAAGUGUCAAAGAACUCGUGAAGGAAAGCAGUGUAUCGAGACAUUGGAUAAAACCAAGGAGCUCAUGAGGAAGCAUGUCUCAAAAAAAAAAAUUGUCCAAAAAGUCCGAGAUCUAUUGUACAACGGCUUAUUUAGCUCUAAACAUUUCAAUUGUGCUAAUUUAAUCUUAAAUCUUUUAAGAACUUAUUGAUAUAGUUUUAAACAUUUUAGUUGUGCUGAUUUAGUCAUAAAAUUUUUGAUGAUUUGUUAAUUUAAUUCUAAAUAUUUUGACAGCUUGCCCAUCUAGUCAUUUUGACCAAUUUUGGUUGAAAAUCGCUAAUGUGGAUGUCGGCCAACCACUGGCCAUCCUAUAUGGCAUAGCCAAUACUAAUGUGGACAAAUUUUGCAAUUUUCUUCUUGUCUUUUUAUUUUUUUUCCUUUUUCUUUCCCUUUGGCUUGUGGACGAUAAUCAGCGAUGGCUGACAAUCGACCACAAGCAAGGGCCGAUGAGGGUGCUACAGCCCACAAUGGAUCUAGAGAAGGCUUACUCGUGGCCUGGGAGAAGGUUGCCCUCAUCAGAUUGAACAAGAGCUCGACCUUUGCUUGACCACAGGCCAAAGAGAAAGAAAAGGAUAAAGAAACAAAAGGUAAACAAAUGGAAAUUUUUUAUUAAAAAAAUGUAAAAAUUAUCCACGGUACACCUAGGAUGGUUGCCCGUUGCCGAGUGUCCAUGUCACUAUCGUGACCUCUCUUUUGACGUUUGGGGAAAAAAGAAGAGGUUUAGGAGUAUUCACGAGGUAGGCCAAUGGCCCUGGAUUAAGUGCAAACUCUCCCAAGCCCAUACCUCAUGCGACAUUGGAUUUUAUAUUUUAGUUCUUAACAACAUAUGUAUUUCUAGGAGUCGUCACUAGCUUAUUUGGAUCGAUUAGAAACCAAUCAAGAUGCGAGAGUGUUGUCUCGAUUCCUAUGCAACCAGAGAUUUCUAGGAACGGGGACUUAUUUACACCAAUGUUUCUAUUAGCGUUUUUGCGGUACUGCUAACUUGACUAAAAAUGAUCUUUUUAUGUGAAAACUCAAUUUUUGACCCAAAGUUGACUUUUGAUGAAAGGAUUGACCAAAAAGUUAACUCAAAAAUCAACCAUUUGACUUUUCUAGUUUUUAAUUAAAAGAAUGAAUAGGAAGGUGCUUAAUAAUGACAAGACAGAAGAAAAAAAAUGAAAACAACACUUUUUUGUUCAAAAACCAAGCUCUAUUGCAAUUGGCAACCCGAACCUUGAGUUUUUAUCUUUAUCGAUGCGUCAAGUAAAAAUCAAGUGUCAACAACCUUAAAAAAAGUUUGGUUACCAAGUUGGUGAAUAGAGGGGUAAGAAUCUCGGACAAAUUAUUAGCCAUAUGAUUAGUCAAAUCAUUUUGUGUUCUUCAUACAUCCUCCUCACGGUGGCCAAUACUGUUGAAUUUGGGUCAAAUCCCUCCCCUAAUCCUUGGUAAAGUUCCAGGGGAUAUCACCAAAAUUCAAGCUCAAAUUGACAUCAUCAAUUGGGUCUACCUCUUGGUUGGAAUUUUCAAAACAAGCGGGCCUUUCUCCCACACCUUGCAAGGACUGAUUGUCCUUGCCAAUGGUAGUGCCACUCUCCUUGUUCCUUAUUCUUGCCAUAGACACCUCCUAGGAAUGGACCAUGAUGGUUCCACCGGAUGUGCCAAAAAAAUGUUAACAACUUCCUUGACAAAUAUCUUUUACCGAAGAGGCAAAUCUUGGGCCUUUUUAUGUAAACUAGGUUUUGUGUCAUUUCAAAAAGGAAGCGACUAGUCUUACUCUAUAGACAAUAAAGAAAAGGAUAAAUAGGAGAUAAAAUGUGCGAUAAAAUGUAAACGUGCAAUAACAAGAUAGUCAAAAGAUAAAUGUUCUUGUGUUUUAGGAAAAGGGUCCUUUACAAUUGUGUUUCUUUGGCUAUUUAUAGUUAAUCUCACAAGUAACUGUUCUUUAGCACUUAUUAUCUUCAAUUUCGAAUCACUUCUGGAGACUUUGGUACCACGCCAAUAAUUGCAUCACCUUAUCCAUAGUGUCAUGGGCACCAAACUCUCAAAGUUGUCUUCAUUUUUAUCGCUUUGAGCCGGAGCAAUUACUAAUUCCAACUCCUCGGUAUCUCUUGUAACCGGCUAUUCUUCUCAUGACUUGGGCUUAAUGGGCUUUCCUCUUUUCUAGGCCCAAUGAGCUAAUUUUCGCGCCAACAUCAGUUAUCCAUUAAGUAUGAAGUUUUGACAAAUUAUACCACAAGCAAUGCAUCAGGACAGGUGAGUCCCUAAAAAAACUAAUAAAAGCAGCAAACCGAAACCGAGCGGUUUCGGAUGUGAACAAUGAAAAGAACUAUGUUCAGCAAAAAAAUCAUCGUAACGAACAAAGAAGUUCUUAAGAAGCAAUUAUAUUUUGACAAGAAAAUGCAGUAAUACUGUGUCAGAAACCGAAUGUUGUAUCAAUAUACAAGAUUGUACCGAAGGCUAGCAACUUUUGGUACUAGUUCAGAACCUAAGGAUAUAAUCCUUCAAUCCUAAGACUUAAUAGGAUCCACACAUCUCCGGUCAAUCGAAGUUCAUCAUGAAUGGUUACCGAAUUUGUUGACACCUAAAUUUUGACGAUCCUAUCAUUCAUUUAUUGCAUAAAAAUUAGGGACUAAACUUUAGCCCCUAAAAAAAAUAAUAAAUCGCAUUACAUAUAGUUAUUAGGAGCAUAUCUCAAUAUACUUGCAUAGUUAUGGACUGGUAGCGGAUGGGCUUAAGUUUUGAACAUAAUUGCAUUGAAUCGGGUUGGCGGCGAAUGAACUCGGGUAAAUGGUUUUGAGCUUUAUUGAAGUUAAGUCUGCGGAAAGUGAAAGAUUGGAGUAAGCUUCAUAAUAUAACCAAGUUUGAUACGAAUUUGGGAAAGAUUGAGCACAUUUUUCACAUGGGAUCUUAACAAGGCAUGAAAAAUCUUUGAGGAAGAAUAAAUAUCUUUAUUAAUAGAAGAUAAUCUCGGUCAACUUGGUGCAGAGAAGUGUGAUAUUUCUACGCAAAAAUCUACCAAAUUAAAGAUUGGGACACAUAUUUCUUGUUUUAAAACAAGAAAGAGUGCACCGAUAAAGAAAAUUUCAUGCGUCCUACGCAUCCAGGGGCGUGAGCAGAAAAGAAAAGAAUUCGUGGCCGAAAAUCAUGAAUAUAUGGUCAAGUGGGAGUAUUCACGCAUUUGAGGAAAGGAAGGAAUAAAAUAUAUUAUAUUGGGUCCUUUCCUUUGAAGGCCUUGGUUGUCCUAUAAAUAAGGAGAACGCUAACACUGUUGUGGGGGGUCGGCACUUCUAUUCUAAAAGGCACGUUGAGAGAUUUACACGUGAGAGAGAGAGAAAAGAGAAGGAACUCUCUCUACCGAAUCGAGGAGCCCCAUGUUGUGCGAGGUCCUUUGCCGCAACGUCACACCCGAGCCGCCUAAGUUACCGUCGCUACACCGUCUUUGCUGCGUUCCCCCCUGCAGCAACGAUGGACUCGCUGCUGUGACCUCUUUGCCUUUUCGACGAGCUGCUGAUCAGGUGCCAACCUCCUACUGUCAUGACCAAGCCUCGACAAGCCCAGCUCAACCGAGAUGUUGAUGGAGCUACUGCCUUCCUCGCGCUCAACUGUUGCUUGAUUCGCUGUUGCCCCAAUGGGAUCGUAAUUUCUCCUUGUCGCAAUCACUCGAGUAGCCCUCGCAUCCCCGACGAUCCAUGAUCUGCUGCUUUUGCUAUACCACGAACUAGCACACCCCAGGGACGCUUGAACCACUACAGCCUAGUUUGGAGUCGGCGAGGACUCUCGCAAGUUCCAUCUAGCCUGGCGAUGUCCUGAAGUGUUUUCUUUUGACUCACCAACAAUCACCAAACAGGCUUUUGCGCUUUGUUCGUAUUCAUUCUUUGCAGGUUUCGUCGGAGUCCAAAGAGGCCAACAUCUCCCGACUAGCAUGAAUACCACGUCAUAUACUGUGGCCACCACUUGCAAGCCUGGAGUCCAUAGUCAAAAGAGUCGCUAGAUUUUUGAUGAAAUAAGUCUAAGUGGUGAAUUGGUCUUCUACGGGUAUUGUCCAUAAGUGAAAAUACAAAAGCAAAAAUUGUCAAAGCUUCCUCUCUACGGCGUCACCUCGACGUCUUCAACUUUAGAUGAGUGGUCCACUAUGAUCCAUCUUGGGCGUCCUCGUUGCCGCCGGUCACCCGCCACACUGUGUUGCUCGCCGCAUGCCGUUGCUCACACUGUCGAGCAUUGCAAACCACCAUCGGUCACCAUUCGUGAUCCAUUGCCCGGCGCUCAAAUUUGGAAAGUUAUUGUCACAAUUAGGUAAUACUCCUUACUCGGUGCCAUUGAAUAUUUUAUCGCCUAAUUUGUCUAUCUUAUAUCCAUUAAGCAUAUUUGAAUGAUAGGCAUAUCUCUCAAUUAAGGUGUAUUGCCCAAUUCGCAACCACACCUGGGUUUUUUAUUUCAUCUAUAAGGCUUUAGAUGAAAUAAUUAAUCAAGCGGAAAUAAAAUUGAUAUUUUGAUCUUUAAGGCUUAAGAUCAUUUAUCGAUUAUUAUCACUUAAUCUGAAUGGUGUGUGAUAUCUUUGAUGAUUUUGAAUGGUCUAUCUUGUCUCGAUUGCUUUAUUCAUCUUGAGAUAUGUUUAAGUUAGAAUAUUGCAUGUUUUAGGGUUAUUUGCAUAUUUAGAUUAAGCAUUUUAUUUAUCAUGAAUUUUCGAAAUAAAAAAAUAAAUUUAGGAUGUUAGAUUGUCGUUUCAUUAACCUAAAUUGCAUGUUUAAUUAUUUAACAAUUUUAAUUUCGAAUUUAAAAGAAAAAAGAAAAAAGGAAAACAUAGAAUUAGGGCAUUCUUUGCAUGUCAUCACAUAUUAGGAUAGAUUGCAUGCUUAUUAAGUAAAUAAAAAUCAUGUGCAUGUCAUAUAGCAUUAGGUUCAUGAAAUGUAUGUCAUUUAAUAAUUAUUGCUAGGUCUAUUUAAUUAGAAAUUACAUGUCAUUAGAAUUAGGUCAUUUAGUUAAUAUUGCAUUGCAUAUUGCAUGAUUUUCAUUAAUUAAGUGAAAACAAAAUAAAACGAAAUUGCGUGUUAAUUAGAAACAAUAUCUAGGGUUGUUGAUGUGGAUUUUAAUUUAACAUUGUAGAUGCUUUCGUUGCUUUGAGGUAAGUUUUUGCAAUUUAUUUAUCGUUUAUCUAGGUGUUAAAUUGGUGGAUUGCGCACUCGCAUAAUCACCUCACAUGUUAGGGAAAUAGAUAUAAAAUCAAAUGGUACCGAAAGGGCAUUAGAGGAAUCUAGUGUAACCUCCCCGUACUCAUAGUCUCUGGUUCGUAGGAGUAAAGUAAAACUCCCGUUACUUUACUUGGGUUUCUAAUCGACCCAUCAAAAAUAGAUUAGUGGCGACUCCUAGAUAAAAUCUAUCUGUAUGUUAAAAAACUUGAACCUAAGUCGCGAAUUGGUAUAGGCUUAGGAGAGCCCGAGUUAAGUCUAGGCUUAACAAUCCAUUAGCCAAACCCUAGGUGGUUUACACUUGGUCGCGAUAAAAUUAGAUUGCUGCUUCUUGGCUUUCGGUAGGAAUUCCUUUUUUUUUCAGUUGAAUACCAGAAGUGGUGCACAUGGUACUCUUGCGCCAAAUUAAGAAACAGAAUUCAAUGGACUCGAAUUCGCUGAAAUANNNNNNNNNNNNNNNNNNNNNNNNNNNNNNNNNNNNNNNNNNNNNNNNNNNNNNNNNNNNNNNNNNNNNNNNNNNNNNNNNNNNNNNNNNNNNNNNNNNNNNNNNNNNNNNNNNNNNNNNNNNNNNNNNNNNNNNNNNNNNNNNNNNNNNNNNNNNNNNNNNNNNNNNNNNNNNNNNNNNNNNNNNNNNNNNNNNNNNNNNNNNNNNNNNNNNNNNNNNNNNNNNNNNNNNNNNNNNNNNNNNNNNNNNNNNNNNNNNNNNNNNNNNNNNNNNNNNNNNNNNNNNNNNNNNNNNNNNNNNNNNNNNNNNNNNNNNNNNNNNNNNNNNNNNNNNNNNNNNNNNNNNNNNNNNNNNNNNNNNNNNNNNNNNNNNNNNNNNNNNNNNNNNNNNNNNNNNNNNNNNNNNNNNNNNAUUAUGAUGUAGUGGAAUGGGCUUUGACAUUUUUUUCUCGAACUACGUAGAUGGAAGUAGACUGUUAUGUAGUAAGUAGAGAGGAUCUUGCCUCGUUUGAUCUGUGUUGGUCUUGUUACUGGCUGAGCUCCACUCUUGUAAAGCAUUACUUAUUCUCUGUUGAGAUAAAAGGCUGAAUCUGAGGAAGUGGAUCAUUCCCUUGGUUGUUUUUGUCUUCCCGUUACUCGAUACACCCUUCCAUCACAGAGCUCCCUUCACUUUGCAUUUCCUAUAGACCUCCCCUCCAAGAUCUCAAAAACCCACUCAGAAAGAUUAUAGCCAGCAGUAAACUUCAUACCUACAAAUCAGAGGAAUGGAAGGUAAAGAAGAGAAUGAGUUGUGUCAGGCUGCCUUAUGUAAAAGCCUGGGCCAUCUGUGGUCAGAGAAUGAUGUAGUCGAAGUGAUCAAAGAAAUCCCCCUAAAAAAAGGGAACAAUGCAAUCAGACCAUUUUCGGGAAGCUAUUUUCCAAACCAAAUGUCAACUUCCAAGUUUUUCUUCAAAUUAUGAAGAAAGCAUGGAGAAUAGAAUAGGUGAUAUGCACACAAAAGGAACCAGUUUUUUUCUCAUUCGUUUUUUCAAUCGGAGGAAGAAAAUGAGAGAGUUAUGAAAUCCGGGCCCUGGUCUUUUGCCAAUAAUCUAUUAGUACUUAAACAAUGUGAACUUGACAUUCCAGAGCACUGUUAUGAUUAUUCUCAAAGCGCUUUUUGGGUGCAUAUGAGAGGGAUACCCCCUGGGUGGAUACUAGAAGACGUGUUUACUGAUCUAGCAAAAAAGGUAGGCAAAGUUCUGGAAAUUCAGGUGGACUUUAAGGGAAACGGACUACAGAAAAGUGGAAAAGUAAAAGUGGAAGUGGACUUAUCAGCUCCACUAAAAUCAAGGGCUAUUCUAGAUAUUGGAAACAAGAAGCUAUGGGUGGAGUUUAAAUAUGAACGGCUGCCACACUAUUGCUAUUCGUGUGAAAAAAUUGGUCAUUAUGCUACUAAUUGCGAAGAAAUCCCGUAUGAGCAAACAGCAUGGGUUGAAAACAAAGCAAGAAAAUAUGGACCAUGGCUUAAGGCAAAAGUGUAAGACCAUAGCCCCCACCGGGAAGCAAUCUAUGGCAAACUAGAAGAAGAAAUUAUUGUGGAAGAAAUGACACUAGAAAUUCCUCUUAUAACCUACGAAAUGGACCUAGUGGCCAGAGAUGAAAUCGACAACUUGGCAUCCCCAAAUCGCAACAAGAAAAGGGCUGAAAACUUAAAUGUGCAGGAGGCACCAAAAGAACCAGCAUACACAACUAUGAAGAUUACAUAUCAUAGCAAAUAGAUUAUGUGCUUCAAAACUAAUAGGCGGAUCCUCUCAAAAGUUGGGAAAUGCAGCAAAAAAAGUAUGAAGGUGUAGAGGGCGAAAAAACAGAAAGGCAUAGCAGAACAAACUCCCCUGUUGAUUGAUGAGAUGGAGCUCUUGGAGACCCUUAUCCAGUUGAUCAAAUAUGGUAAUGAAUGGGCUGUGGUGACUAGUCCUAAUAAGCCACUGGCGACGAUAUGAAAAUCAUAAGCUGGAAUUGUCAAGGGCUGGGCAAUCCCCUAACAUUCUAGGAGCUAAGAGCUCUAGUAGCUCUUGAAAGGCCCAACCUGGUCUUCUUGAUGGAAACAAAGAACAAAGCAACGAUGGUGGAGGUGUUAAAAGGCAACUCAACUUCCAAAAUCUAUUCCUAGAAAAUCCUGCAGGAAUUGCGAGAGGUUUAGCAAUUUUGUGGAGUGAGGAAGUGGUGUUAAAGGUAAAUGACAGCUCUAAAGAAUUUAUGAUUGGAGGCAGAGAUCCAGAUAGUGGCUAACAAAUGAGGAUGACUUUUCUCCAUGCAUCGACGAACUUCAUGGAGAGACUAAAGCUAUGGCAAAAGCUGAAGGAUUUUCAAUUAUCAAAUCAUUUACCGUGGAUAUGCAUGGGAGAUUUUAAUGAAAUUUCAUAUAUUUGGGAGAAGGUGGGGAAAAGAGAAGCUGAUAAUCAUAGAAUAGCAGCGUUUCAAGAUUUAUUAAAUGAGUGUUCCCUAAUGGAUAUGAACAGCAAAGGCUGUGCUUACACGUGGGCAAACAACCGGGAAGGGGAGGCCCUUGUUAAAAAAAGAUUAGAUAGUCUUAUGCACACUGGAAUGGAGAAUUACCUUUCCCGCAGUCAAAGUACAGGCUCUACCAGCAAUUGGCUUGGACAACACCCCUCUUCUCCUGGUAUUGCACCCUAAAAGUAAGAAAAGGAAGAGGGAAUUCAAACUUGAAGCAUACUGGUUAGAAGAUCAAGAGUGUGGAGAGAUUAUCAAGAGAACUUGGAACAAAACGCCAUUAAGCCAGAUAAGUUUCUAUGAAAGUCAAUGAUAUUUCUACGGAGCUUGUUAAAUGGAGCAAGGAAAAAUUCGCCAACGCACGACGUCAUAUCAAGGAGCUAAACAAAGAAUUAACAGAGAUGACCAACAAGAAUUCUGAAAAUUUCAGCAGGAAGGAAGCACAUAAUAUUAUCGACAAGAUAGACAAACUAUGGAAACAAGAGGAAAAUUUUUGGGGGAUGAGAGCACGCAUCAAUUGGCUGCAAUGGGGAGAUAGGAAUACCAAGUUCUUCCAUGCCACAACUGUAUAGAGAAGACAAAGGAAUAGAAUUACAAUGCUGCAAAUGGAAUAUCAAAGCUGGUGUAGGGAUUCGGCAGCACUCAAAAAACAUAUAGGGUCUUUCUAUCGGAACUUAUAUAAAUCGGUGGGUCCUAGGAACUAUCAACCAAUCCUAAACUAGUGUCCCAGUCCAGUAAGUGAGGAAAUAAAUGAAAAUCUGAUGGCAAAUAUUACCCUUGAAGAGGUGAAAGAUGUGGUUUUCCAACUGGGCUCUUUAAAGACCCUCGGGCCUGACGGUCUAAAUGGGCUUUUUUAUCAACAAUCUUGGGAGGAUAUUAAGCUGGAUUUGUUCCAACUAGUGCAGAAUUUCUUUGAAACAUGUAUCAUCGACCCCCUCCUCAACAAAACACACAUUUCCUUGCUACCAAAAGUAAAAAACCCAGAAAAUAUAGGCCAAUUCAGACCUAUUAGUUUGUGCAAUGACAACUACAAAAUCAUCUCAAAAGUUAUGGCAAACAGACUAAAGAUUUGGCUUCCAGAGAUCAUAGAGCUUGAAGAGAACGCCUUUGUACAAGGGAGGCAAAUACAAGAUAAUAUUUGUGGCAUCCCAAAAUUCAUGGCAACCUCUAAUUACAUUAAAGUCUAUGAAUAGAAAGUUUCAGGCGAUAUUGAAACCUGGGAUAAUGCAAGAAAAGCCUAUGACAAAAUCAAAUCAGACUUUUUGAGGGAUUGUAUGCUGAAAAUGGGUUUUUAUGAGCGGUGGGUAUCUCUAAUCAUGCAACGUGUUUCGAUGGUGUCCCUAAGUGUGAAAAUAAAUGGGGAGCCUAUUUCAUAUUUCACCCCUUCAAGAGGAAUCAGACAAGGUGACCCUCUUUCCCUAUAUUUAUUCAUCCUAGUAGCAAAUGUUUUGACUGGGAUGAUGAACCAAGCCUUAAAGAAUAGAAGCAUUAAAGGGAUAAAGCUAAACAGGUUCUGCCCUACACUGUCUCAUUAACUCUUUGCUGAUGAUGCCAUAUUUUUCUUAAACGAGACUAUAGUAGAAUGCCAAAACUUAGCAAAUAUUCUCAACCAGUACUGUUUUGCAUCGGGCCAAGCCAUUAAUCUAAACAAAUCAGGGGUAUGUUUCAGCAGGACUUGUCCGUUAUUUCUGAAAAGAAACUUAGCACAAGAACUUAAAGUCCCAAUAAUAGAAAAAAUAGGGAAAUAUCUUGGAAUACCAACAGAAUGGGAUCACUCAAAGAAGGAGAUGUUUGCAUGGAUUCUAACAAGAAUAAACUCGAAGCUAGAGGGAUGGAAAGAAAAAUUACUAUCCAAAGCAGGUAAAGAAAUUCUGAUAAAGAGCGUUGUACAAACCCUGCCUCAUUAUGUGAUGUCAGUCUUUAAAUUGCCUAUCUCUAUUUGCAAAACCAUAGAAAAAAGAAUUGCUUCAUUUUGGUGGCAGAAAAGCGAUUCAAAAAGGGGCUUGCAUUGGAAAAAAUGGGAAACAUUAAAAACCGGGAAAGAUGAGGGAGGUUUGGGGUUCAAAGAGUUGAGAAAUUUUAACACAGCAAUGCUCGGCAAGCAAGCUUGGCGAUUAUCCAAAACCCCUUCAGCUUUGUGGAGUAGAAUUUUGAAAGGCAUUUAUUUUCCAAACGGAGACUUGUGGAAGGCAAGAAAAGGGCAAGGACCGUCUUAGGGAUAGCAAAGCAUUUUAACAGGGAGAGAAGCCAUAGAAUUAGAGGUUAAAUGGUCAGUUGGGGAUGGCCAAUCUAUUAAAUACAAGAAGACAAAUGGCUAAAGUCUGGAGUGCUUGGAGGCCCAGCUAACCAAAAUGAACCAAUUAUGGUGGCAGAACUUAUCAAUGAAGACUCGCGGGUAUGAAAGGAAAGUUUAAUCCUAAAUAUUUUUGAAGAACAAACAGCAAAUGAGAUACUUGCGAUACCCAUUAGCCCGUCCUCGAAGGAUGAUUAUCUAGUAUGGAUAGGUAAUAAAUUAGGGANNNNNNNNNNNNNNNNNNNNNNNNNNNNNNNNNNNNNNNNNNNNNNNNNNNNNNNNNNNNNNNNNNNNNNNNNNNNNNNNNNNNNNNNNNNNNNNNNNNNNNNNNNNNNNNNNNNNNNNNNNNNNNNNNNNNNNNNNNNNNNNNNNNNNNNNNNNNNNNNNNNNNNNNNNNNNNNNNNNNNNNNNNNNNNNNNNNNNNNNNNNNNNNNNNNNNNNNNNNNNNNNNNNNNNNNNNNNNNNNNNNNNNNNNNNNNNNNNNNNNNNNNNNNNNNNNNNNNNNNNNNNNNNNNNNNNNNNNNNNNNNNNNNNNNNNNNNNNNNNNNNNNNNNNNNNNNNNNNNNNNNNNNNNNNNNNNNNNNNNNNNNNNNNNNNNNNNNNNNNNNNNNNNNNNNNNNNNNNNNNNNNNNNNNNNNNNNNNNNNNNNNNNNNNNNNNNNNNNNNNNNNNNNNNNNNNNNNNNNGAUUUAUAGUGGUUCGGCUUAUUCCAAGCCUACGUCCACUCUUCCGCACUGACAGCCCACCGGCUGGAUUUCACUAUGAACAAAAGAGAAGUUACAGCACAGUUUUUCCUUGAUUUCACAAUGUAGAAGUUCUACCACAUUUUCUCAAGGUUUCUCACGAAUAUAGACUCUAUUUUGUUUACACGAUUUUGCUCAAUAAAUGAAUUGACUAAGAACAAGGAGCUUCAGACUUUGGAAUUCUUCUAUUGUGCACUCCCUCGAACAACUGAAACGCCUUCCUUAUAUACUCCUUCAUGCCAUCAUACUCGUUGGCACUUACCAAAGGAAUUCCUCCAAUCUACCCAUUGGAUGGAAUCAAUUAGGAAGAUCAUUCGAGCUAUUAAAGGAACAUGUCGAUAGUCCAUCAAUCAUGUUUGCCCAUACAAUCAGGAUCUCAGUUUCCAUAAGUAGAUACUUCCAAGUAUACUUUGCCACUCAUCAGAUCCUUAAUCUUCGAAUCAAUUAUGAUCAAAUAAAGAAUUCCGUUGUGUCAUAUCCAGCCAAGAGAUCUUCUCCAGUCGAUAAGGCCACAUCCUUAAUGAAACAUCCAGUUCUGGAUAACCUUUCUUCAACGGAUUAGAAACUGUCAAUGAGGAUAGACUUUGAGUCUUGAGUCUAGCUGUCCGGAGGUCUUCAGACUUUAAACAGCAGAGUCUGCAAGCCUUCAGACUAGAUUGAUGGAAACGUUUUGUCAACUUCAAACACUUCAGAGGAUUUCUCCAACAAUCUCCCCCUUUUUGAUGGUGACAAAAACUUUCCUGCAGAUUUAGAAACUUUGACCUGCAAACAUUUCUCAAACACAUAUGCAUAUCUAUAGAGAUAAAUGACUAAAUGAAUNNNNNNNNNNNNNNNNNNNNNNNNNNNNNNNNNNNNNNNNNNNNNNNNNNNNNNNNNNNNNNNNNNNNNNNNNNNNNNNNNNNNNNNNNNNNNNNNNNNNNNNNNNNNNNNNNNNNNNNNNNNNNNNNNNNNNNNNNNNNNNNNNNNNNNNNNNNNNNNNNNNNNNGCCAAAAGUUCGACAAAGUUGGAGCAAAUUUGGUUCAAAGUUUUUCAAGUCUCACAACUCUCCCCCUUUUUGUCAGAAUUAAAAAAAUGAGAUGAAAAUGAAGUCAAGGAUUCUUUGGAACACGAACAAGCUGGAAAUCUCCCAUCGACUGAACGAUGCUUUCCAGCCUUUUUAAGUCUUCCUUCAGCUGAGCAACAUCCUCACCCUUAGCAUUAGCCUGAAUCUGAAGAGAAAUGGCUUGGAUUUGAUCAUUUAAUGAACCCAAAAAGACUUGUCUUGCAUUACACACCUUCAAUAACUUCACCUCCCCUUUUUUCUCUCCUGACCUUCAUCUCCAAGAGAAUAUCCAUCACUCUGCGAAAGUCUGCUGAAUUGUCAGUCUACGUACUGGCGUUAGCACGAUCUGAUGGAGUAAAUGCAGACGAUGGUAUAUCAGCAUAAUCACGCAGAUUUGGCGAAGAAACCUCAUGACCUUCCUCAGGAAACUGAGAGGCAUAAAUAUCCUCUGGAUCUGCUGGGGAUCGACUGACUCCCUCACUGGUUGCAGGAUUUGAAGUCAUUCCUCUUUUCUCUUGGUCUCCCCCUGUGUUCAUGCCUUCAGGUGGAGAGUGCUCCUCAUGUUCUUCUUCUUCUUGAUCUCUUUUCUCUUCUUCUUCUUUUUCAACUCUCUCUUGCUUAGCAUCUCUUUCUUCUUCUUCUUCUUCUUCUCUUUCCUCUGUUUCUUUUUCCUCUGCUUCUUUCUCUGCUCUUUCUUCUGUCUAUUGUUCUGACUCUUUCUCUGGAACAGAUUGACUGAGAUUCUUCAAAGCAGAAAUAGUGAUGUUUUCCUCAUCAUCGUCAUCAUCAACGAGAACAGCUCUUCUUCUCUUGGAUGGAGCAUCCAUGGGUUCCUUCCCUUUUCUUUUUCCUGCAGAAGAGAAUUGAUGAGAUUUGACUGGAGUCUUUUCCUUAAAUUUCUCCAAUGCCUUGCUUAGUUCCUUCAGACGCAUCUUGGUCACCAUUUUCAGUCCUACCACCAUAUGAUCGCACGAUCGAGCACAAAGAAUUUGCGGAGGCUGAAUGUUCAGAUGGAGAAUGACGCUGCUGAGAAUGUUGUGGGCUCUGCUGCUGAUUUGGAGACACUUCUUCUUAAGUGAGAUCGAAGUGCGUAAGCCCCUCACUCAUUCGCCGUGGUCCCCUGCUUGCGAUCCUCGAAGACUUUCUUGAAGACGACAUCUUUCUUAGUCUUUGAAAGAUUCCUUGCUUGACUUUCCCAAGAAAGAUGACAACUUUUUCGAAAAUUAAACAAGAGAAGAAAACAAGAAUGGAAGAUCGGUGCUUUUUAGGGUUUUGGAGUCAAGCGAAGAGUAACCAACUGUAUAUAAGACAGUCGAAAGAAGGGGAUAUCAAUCGUCGUAAUGGAAAGUGAAAAUAUACCUUUAAAAAAAUAACUGCAUUUUUUGAAAAAUGGUCAUUUCAAAAUAACUUCUUUAUCUAAAGGAAACGAUGCAAUAAUCUCGUCAAUUAAAGAUAGCGGUUGAGAUAACAAUAAUCAACACAGUUGAUGAACGUACCUUUUCAAGAUGAGAUUAGAGAGAGAAUAACUUAUAGUCAAAGUCUUGCAGUCAAAGUCUUAUAUGCCUGAGUCUGAGAGUCUUUAGACUUUAACUUCUUCGAACCUCAAAAUGUUGAGUCUGGAACGGAUAAUUUCAAAUUGAUUUUUCUCCAAAGGCUUUGUAAAUAUAUCCGCCAGUUGGUUCUUUGAAUCAACAAACUGAAUCGUAAUUCCUCCAUUUUGAACAUGAUCUCUAAUGAAGUGAUGUCGAAUCUCUAUAUGCUUUGCUCUUGAGUGAAGAAUUGGGUUUUUGGUAAGAUUGAUAGCGCUGGUGUUGUCACAUUUAAUCUCCGUGCAUGAAUCUUCAAUUCCAAAAUCUCUUAGCUAUUGUUUUAUCCACAGAAUUUGUGAACAGCAACUUCCAAGAGCUACAUAUUCUGCUUCUGCUGUAGAAAGAGCUACUGUACUUUGCUUUCUUGAAAACCAAGACACUGUCCUGCCUCCAAGUAGUUGACAUGUACCUGAGGUGCUCUUUCUAUCAACUUUGCAUCCGGCUAAGUCUACGUUUGAGUACCCAAGAAGAGUAAAGUCUCCCCUUUUUGGAUACCAGAGACCGAAGAUUGAAGUUGAUGCAAUAUAUUUGAUAAUACACUUUGCAGCAUUAAAAUGUGAUUCUUUAGGGUCUGCUUGAAAUCUAGCACAAAUGCAAACACUAAACAAAAUGUCAGGUCUAGAAGCAGGAAGAUAAAGAAGUGAACCGAUGAUACUCCUGUAUAACUUUUGGUCGACUUUCUUUCCUCCUUCAUCUUUAUCUAUCUUCACGGAACUUGACAUUGGUAUAUCAGCCUUUUUGCAAUUGUCCAGUCUAAACUUCUUCACAAUAUCAUUAGCAUAUUUUUCUUGAUGAAUAAAAGUUCCUUCCUUCAAUUGUUUCACUUGAAGUCCAAGGAAGAAGGUUAACUCACCCAUCAUGCUCAUUUCAAAUUCACCCUGCAUAGUCUUAGAGAAUUUCUUACAUAGACUUUCAUUAGAGGAUCCAAAAAUAAUAUCAUCGACAUAUAUUUGAACAAGUAGAAAACUCUUGCUUUCUCUUUUAAUGAAAAGAGUAGUGUCUACUUUACCUUUAACAAAUCCAUUUUCAAUUAAAAACUUACUAAUCUGUCGUACCAAGCUCGAGGAGCUUGUUUCAAGCCGUAUAAAGCCUUUUUGAGUCUAAAAAUUGAGUUUGGUUUCCUUGGAUCUUCAAACCCAGGUGGUUAUUCCACAUAGACUUCCUCUUGGAUGAAUCCAUUUAGGAAGGCACUUUUGACAUCCAUUUGGAAUAACCUGAAAUUCUUAUAACAAGCAAAAGCAAGUAAUAAUCGAAUUGCUUCUAACCUUGCUACUGGUGCGUAAGUCUCGUCAUAGUCUAUCCCUUCUUCUUGUGUGUAUCCCUUGGCCACGAGUUUUGCCUUGUUUCUUAUGACUUUUCCUUUCUCGUUCAUCUUGUUCCUGAAAACCCAUUUAGCUCCAAUAACAGACUUACCUUUUGGUUUAGGAGUCAAUUCCCAUACAUCAUUAAUACUGAAUUGCCUGAGCUCUUCUUGCAUAGCUUCAAUCCAGCUUUCAUCAGAUAAAGCUUCUUCUAUGCUUUUGGGUUCUAUUUCAGAAACAAGAGCCACAGCACUAGACUCUUCGCGCCUUUUGGAUCUUGUGCGAAUUCCUUCAUUGAUGUCGCCAAUAAUAAGAUCUUUGGGAUGACUGGACUUAUGUUUCCAGUUGCUGGUUAAUUUGUCAGAUUGAUGGUCACUUCCUUCACUUCAAUCUUCAAUAGUCACUUGUUGCUGGUCCUUCAAAGUCUGAGUUGUUUUAGACUUUAUAGAUUUUGGAGCAGGUUCAAAUUCUUCAAGAUGAGUCUAAAUGGAUUCAUUUUGCAUAGAGUCUUGGAAUUUAACAUUCAUUGAUUCUUCCACUGUUUGAGUCUUCUUGUUGUAGACUCUAUACGCUUUGCUUGAGAUUGAAUAUCCAAGGAAGAUGCCUUCAUCUGACUUUUCUUCAAACUUACCAACUCGAUCAUUUGCAUUUUUCAGUAUUAAACAUUUGCAUCCAAAUACAUAAAAAUAUUAAACAAUAGGCUUCUUUUCUUUGAAUAAUUCAUAGGGGGGUUUUUUCCAGAAUAGGCCUUAGAAAAACUCUAUUUAUAAUGUAACAUGCUGUAGAAACUACUUCAGCCCAAAAACGUGAAGAGAUGUUACUUUCAAUUAAAAGAGUUCUAGCCAUUUCUUGAAGAGAUCUAUUCUUUCUUUUCACAACUCCAAUCUGCUCUGGAUUAUAUGGAGAGGAGAAUACAUGCUGAAAACCAGAUUCAUCAUAGAAUUUUGUAAAAUCAUGAUUUUCAAAUUCACCUCUAUGAUCUGUUCUUAUACUCGAGAUAACAUAUCCUUUUUCAUUUUGAACCUUUUUAGCAAACUUUUCAAAGUAAGAGAAAGUUUCAGACUUACUUGCCAAGAAAUAUACCCAAGUAAAUCGUGAGUAAUCAUCCACAAUUACUAGGCAGUAUUUCUUACCUCCAAUGUUUUGUGUUUUGGUUGGUCCAAAAAGAUCCAUAUGCAGAAGCUGCAGUACACGGUUAGUGGAAACUUGAUUUAUUGGUUUAAAGGAAUUUCUUACCUGUUUUCCCAAUAUACAUGGUGUACAUAGAUCAUACUUUUGGUAUGAUAAAUUGGGUAGACCACGAACAAGCUUCUUUGCUGAGAUUUUGGCUAUUUGCUUCAUGUUGACAUGCCCAAGCUUUCUGUGCCAUAAGUUUGCUUCGUCUUGGAUUGAGAUUAAACAUUGUGAUUCAUCUGGUUUCACAUCCAAGAGGUAGAUAUUUCCAUGUCUUUGAUCCAUGAAUGACUGAGUAGAAUCUUUACUAAUUCCAGAACAUAUUCCCUCUUGAAAGUUGAUUUUGAAACCAAUAUCACAUAGCUAACUAAUACUGAGCAAAUUGUAAUUGAGCCAUUCUACUAAGGAAACAUUGCUGAUUGUGAGAUUUCCAAUCUUUACAGUUCCAAAUCCCACAAUUUUUCCUUUGCCGUUUCCUCCAAAAGAGACUUUUCCACCAUUUACUUGAACAAUCUUUAUGAAGUAAUUUGAGUCUCUUGUCAUGUGUCUUGAGCAUCCACUAUCCAUAUACCAUUUUACCUUUUUCUUGAUAGUGACCUGCAUUUAAAAAAGAAACUCAAACCUUCUUUAGUACCCAUAUUUUCUUGGGUCCAUUGGUGUUAGUUUGAUAUACGGUUUUUGCCCAUUCCUUUUUAACAGGUUUCCAAAUCAUGGGACAUUCUUUUUCAAAAUGAUCUGCACUAUUGCACUUUGAGCAUCUGAGAGCAUUGUGACCAACUGGUUUUACAAAGAUCCUUUUAAAAUGAUUUUUGUAAGCAUCUCUUGUUGGUCUUUGUUUGAUUCUUUCUUUCACUUUAGGAAAAUCAAUUAAAGGAAUGGUUUCAGCAGUCAUUCCCAAACCAGAUUUAUUGAAAUAAGAUCUUUGAACAGAGAGAAUUUUUUCCAGUUUCUCAGAUUCUAUAGAAAAUCUUUUGGAAAUAUUUGAGAUAUCACAUUUCAAGAAUGCAUUUUCUUUUAAAAGAUUGCCUUCACUUUCUUUAAGAGAAGAAGCAUUCUUGUCUAAACAUUUCACUUUUUUCUUUCAAAAUAUUUUCCUGUUGUUUUAGAGCAGAAUUUUCCUUCUUGAGUUCGGAAAUUCUUUUAAGAGAAGUCUUAAGACUAAAACACAAUUCAUCAAUAUACUUUGAAACCUUAAUAGGGAUUUUGAAGUUACUUACCUCAAAUUCGCUUUCUGAGUCUGAAUCUGUCUCGGAAUUUGAAUCCGAAUCCGAUUGAGCCAUUAGACAUAUAUUGGCAUAUUCAUCAUCACUUUCUUCCCACCCCUGUAUCACUCCAGGUUUAAGCUUUAAGAGCUUUUCGGUACUUUUCAGUUUUUCCUUUCUUCUUCCUCAGAAGAGGACAGUUGGGUCUGAUGUGUCCCUUUUUCUUGCAUUCAAAGCAGACUACAUCUUUGUUUGAUUCAUCAUCCUCAACAGACUUAGUCUGUUGCUUUUGAAAACUNNNNNNNNNNNNNNNNNNNNNNNNNNNNNNNNNNNNNNNNNNNNNNNNNNNNNNNNNNNNNNNNNNNNNNNNNNNNNNNNNNNNNNNNNNNNNNNNNNNNGCUUUCUGAAUCUUCUUAUCAUGAGAGCAAGUUCCUCAUCAUCCAUAUCGUCUUCAGAAUCUGUAACAUCAAAAUCAUCAUUAGAUUUUAAUGCAAUGGAUUUCUUACCUUUAGGGUCUUCGUCUUCAUUGAUUCGUUCCACUUCAUAAAACUGAAGAGUCCCAACCAACUCAUCAACCAAAUAGUGGCAUGAUUCUUUGGGUCUCUUUGAUUGAGGUCUUUAUGUGAUUCCAAUCCUUGGAGAGUCCACGCAGCAGCUUGUUUACUUUCAUGGGAUCAAAAAUUGGUUGACCUUGGUUUUCAAGACCAUUCACGAUUUCUGUAAAGCGACUGAACAUAUCCGUUAUAGAUUCUCCUGGUUUCAUUUUGAAGACUUCAUAUUGACCGAGGAGAAUGUUGAUUCUAGUCUCUUUUACUCGAUCGGUUCCUUCAUAGGUAAUAUGUAAUCUAUCCCAGACUUCUUUAGCUGUAACACAAUAAGAUAUUCUAUUAUAUUCAAUAGGGGAUAAAGCACAAUAUAAAGAAUAAAUUGCUUUUGCAUCAAGAGCUUGUCUCUUGACUUUCUCUUCCCGAGUCAUUUCACUAGACUCAACAACAUCUUUUCCUCUUUCUGAGACAGAUGCAGCUUUAGGAAUGAUUUCUUUUUCUACAACGUCCCAUUCUAGAGGAUCCUUUGAUCUUAGGAAUGCUUUUAUCUUGUUCUUCCAUAUGUUGUAAUCCUUUCCAUCAAAGUAAGGUGGUCUGGUAUUGCUUUGCCCUUCUACCAGUCAUGGAGCCAACAUACUAGCCAUGGAUCUUUAACUCUGUUGCAAAUGGACGAAAAAAAAUUUGGGUAGAUCCACAAAUCAACAUUGAGAUAGCUAGUAUAAGCACCUAGAGGGGGGUGAAUAGGUGCACAAACAAUUUCUCGAGAUACGGAAGCGAUUCUAGGCAAACGAUAGAAAGGAAAAUGCGAUCAAAGCGAAGUAAAGGUUAGGGAAGAGAGAAAUGAACACAAGAUUUAUAGUGGUACGGCUUAUUCCAAGCCUACGUCCACUCUUCCGCACUGACAGCCCACCGGCUGGAUUUCACUAUGAACAAAAGAGAAAUUACAGCAUAACUUUUCCUUGAUUUCACAGUGUAGAAGUUCUACCACACUUCCUCAAGGUUUCUCACGAAUAUAGACUCUGUUUUGUUUACACGAUUUUGCUCAAUAAAUGAAUUGACUAAGAACAAGGAGCUUCAGACUUUGGAAUUUUUCUAUCGUGCACUCCCUCGAACAACUGGAACACCUUCCUUAUAUACUCCUUCUUGCCAUCAUACCCGUUGGCACUUACCAAAGGAAUUCUUCCAAUCUACCCGUUGGAUGGAAUCAAUUAGGAAGAUCAUUCGAGCUAUUAAAGGAACAUGUCGAUAGCCCAUCAAUCUUGUUCGCCCAUACAAUCAGGAUCUCGGUUUCCAUAAAUAGAACCUUCCAAUUAUACUUUGCCACUCAUCAGAUCCUUAAUCUUCGAAUCAAUUAUGAUCAAAUAAAGAAUUCCGUUGUGUCAUAUCCAGCCAAGAGAUCUUCUCCAAUCGAUAAGGCCACAUCCUUAAUGAAACAUCCAGUUCUGGAUAACCUUUCUUCAACGGAUUAGAAACUGUCAAUGAGGAUAGACUUUGAGUCUUGAGUCUGGCUGUCCGGAGGUCUUCAGACUUUAAACAGCAGAGUCUGCAAGCCUUUAGACUAGACUGAUGGAAACGUUUUGUCAACUUCAAAACACUUCAAGAGGAUUUCUCCAACAAACAUCAUUAGAAACCCAAGCAACAUAACAAGGUGUGAUCAGUGGCUAACGGAAGUGUUCGAAAGAAGUGACAUCUCACCUGAAAGAGAACUAGUUGCUACUGUGCUGUGGAAUAUCUGGAAGACCCGAAACAAUUUCAUUUUUUGAGCAAAGCGUCCCCAACCAACUGAUCUUGUAGAUCUCGCAAUAGCACAACAAAAAAGUUUUAGCAGAUGGCAGAAUCAAAAAGGGCAAAAACCCACAACCCGAAGCCUACCGAUUAGAUGGACGCCACCGGACAGAGACGAGAUGAAGCUAAACGUCAACGCCUCAUGGACUCUGGGCGAUUUCCUAGGUUUGGUAGCUGGGAUUGGGUGAGAUCCGUCGGGUCUCGUGGUUGAGGGCUUCGCAGUGCAGAUACGGGCGUCUUCUCCUCAACAAGCAGAAGCCCUAUCUUUGCUGCAUGGUUUCAUGUACUAGAGAGGAAGAGAAGCCGUGCACGUGGGCACAGGAACUGUUCAAAGUUGCAGAUGGGUGCUCGAAAGUGACAGUUCAACUUUGGUGGAAGCUGUGAUGGGUCGGGCCGAAACAUCAUGGGACUUGAAGGAAAUUGUGGAACAGUGCAAAGAAGAAUUAUGCCUUUUCAAAUCAGCAAGGGUAGAAUAUUGUCCUCGCGAGGCAAACCAAGCGGCAGGUUGGCUAGCUAACUCUCACCAAACCAAAAAUGUCCCUAUAAAUUGGGUGACUUUUCCUCCUGUCUCCCUUUCGGAAAUUCUAUGUUUAGAGUUUUACCCAUCGUUGCCUUGUAAGGCUCACUUAUUUUCAUGAAUGAAUGCAAUAUCUUUUUUCGACCAAAAAAAAAAUUCUAAAUUCCCAAUCCUUCAAAGAGAACGUGCUGAAAUAUUUGGCUCGAAGGAUUUACAUCAAUCAUUUUCAAUUCCCCAUUCUAUACUGAUCAAUCAUUUUUUUUUAUCACCUCAACUCUAAAUUUCUAAUCCUUCAAUGAGAACGUGCAAAAACCAGAAGAAUUUCAUUAUAAACCACAUAAGUACAUUUACGCGAUUAAAAUCGAGAGAUAUUUACUAACUGAGCUUCUGUAAGCUAGAAAUUAUGAGAACCCUUUUUUAAUUAUCUUCAUACGUGAGCUUUCUAGCGUUUAUGCUCCAAAAAAUGAGAUCCAAUUUCUUUUCAGGAAGGCAUACACAGAUAAGUAUUUCUCUCCUCCGUGAGAGCUUCUCCAUUAUCCUUACUCCUCAAACGGGCUCUCUAUAUUAUCAUGAGUCAUUUCCAUGUGCUUUCUAUUUUAGUUGACUAGUCCCCUCGCCAUUGUUUCAUCCCUUUAGUAUUCCUAUCACUACACAUUGCCCCUAACAACCAUUCGACGAUAUUUCUGAGUCGAUUCUCUGCUGACCCAUUUCUUUUUUUCUCCUUACAGGAUGGCUGCAGAGGUUCCAUUUAACAUCCCAAGCAUCUCUGCCAGACGAUCUUCUGGGGGGAUCAAAUUGGACUUGGAGCAAGUUGAUGAUAAGGAUGCUGAGAUGGUUUUGAAUGGAAGGAUUUUGUCGGAGGAGGAAUGCUCGAGUCAAGCUGCAUAGCUAAUGUUUUAAGGAAUGCCUAGGCUGGUAUUGGUGAGAUUCCCAUAACCCCUCAAAUUCAUAGGACAUAAGGAAUGGAGGCAUUCCAGCCCAAACAUACUCCCAUCCUCGCCUCAGCAUAGAUCGUGCCAAAAUGAAAAAUGAAGUAACAUGCCUGCCCACGCAGGACUAGGACGCUGGUGGUGGGCCGAUGCUGGACCAAUGCUUUUGGCAGCGGUGGUGCUCCACGAUAUAUCGGCCUCCGUUCAUUCCAAUUGCGGGUGCGGUUCAAUCUGGAUUGCGGAUUGCUUCUUCAGGCCCCAGGCAAUGCCAAAAAAUGGCUUCGUGAAUCGACGGAGCAGACCUCCCACGGCCAUGACUAUGAAGUUCGCCAGCCUCAUGAGAUCGCAGAUCUCCGUCGGAGUGAAUCAACACAGGUUGCGACGUCCAUGGCCCUGGUUCAUGACCAUAGCUGAAAUUAAAUGAGCGGAAACAACAGCUUCCAUUCCUAUUCUUACAAAAACAGGUCCGGUAUGAAAAUUUAAUGUAAGAACACACGUUUGAUAUGUUAUUUUUAUAUAUUCUUACACCUCAGUCUCUUUAUAUACUAUUCGUGUUUAUUAAAAAGCGAUUAAAUAAUCCUUUUAGGAUUAUCAUCUUAAUGAAUGGGAAAUUAUUGAAGUAUAGAUAUUUGUUUCAGUUGAANNNNNNNNNNNNNNNNNNNNNNNNNNNNNNNNNNNNNNNNNNNNNNNNNNNNNNNNNNNNNNNNNNNNNNNNNNNNNNNNNNNNNNNNNNNNNNNNNNNNNNNNNNNNNNNNNNNNNNNNNNNNNNNNNNNNNNNNNNNNNNNNNNNNNNNNNNNNNNNNNNNNNNNNNNNNNNNNNNNNNNNNNNNNNNNNNNNNNNNNNNNNNNNNNNNNNNNNNNNNNNNNNNNNNNNNNNNNNNNNNNNNNNNNNNNNNNNNNNNNNNNNNNNNNNNNNNNNNNNNNNNNNNNNNNNNNNNNNNNNNNNNNNNNNNNNNNNNNNNNNNNNNNNNNNNNNNNNNNNNNNNNNNNNNNNNNNNNNNNCCCCUUCUUGAGUUUUACAUUAGUAGUCAUCUCAAGAGUAGAGGAUUAUGUAGUUUGUUUUGUCGCUGGAGUAUCUAUUUUAUCCAUACUAAUAAGAAUUGUAUACCGAUACAAAAAACAAAAAAAAGAUUAAUACUACAAAAAACUCAAAAUUGAUAUAUUUAUAACAAAUUUAUUCCAAAUUUUUUUUUUAUUAUUAAAAAUCCUAAAUUGGUACAAUGACAAUAAAUUUAUCCUCCAUUAAUUUUCAUUAAAUUAAAUUAAUAUCAUGAAAAAACAAAAAUUGGUACGCCUUUAUAACAAAUAGAGAAUAAGACCCCACAUUAAUACACCAAUAAAUUGUUAUAUGUCAUUUAACUUAUUAAUUUGAUGAUAAAAUUUAAUAAAAACUCAUAGAAGAUGAAUUUGUCACAGAUGUAAUAGUUGAAGGUCUUUGGCAAUCAAAAAUUUAAUUUGAGAUAAAUUUAUAAUAAGCGUAUCAAUUUUUGUGGUAUUAAUCCAAAACUAUUUCCUUUUCUUUUUGAAAACAAGAGAACUAUUUACCGACCAAAAAAAAAAAAAAAACUAUAUGAGAAACCUGACGUUAAGGGUGAAAAGAAACCUGAGCAGUAUCCACUGCAGCCACCUCAAGUUCGUUUCCUGACUAAGAUAUUUCACCCCAAUGUGCACUUCAAGGUAUAAUUUGUUUGUAUAGGAAUGCUUAUUGAUGAUAACUUAGUUGGAACUAGUUGCAGUGCAUGCGAAUAGGUCAAAGGGUGAACUGAUUUACUGUGUUGUUUGGCGAUCAAUGUUUCUUCUUGUCAAUACUUAUUAUGUUCAGAAUCAGAAACUUGAAAGAGUUGCUAGGUUUAGGGUUUUGUUUUAUUUGGCACUUGAAAAUAGAUAGAGGUGCAGAAGCUGAGAAUUGGAGACUUCUUUGACACUUUGUCAGGAAACAGUCUUGAUCCUUUUUUUUUUCCAAAUUCUGUUUCCAGAGAAUCUCUGCAUGAAUAGAUUUUCUGAUAACUACUAGCUUGGGAAAGUCAACAGAGAUACCUGAUGCAUAAAUAUGAGAUGCUGUAAAUGUUUGUUUGACUAAUAGAUUGACAUUUUAAUUUACUUUAUACAGACAGGGGAGAUAUGCCUUGAUAUUCUGAAGAAUGCAUGGAGUCCUGCCUGGACACUUCAGUCUGUUUGCAGGGCUAUAAUAGCUCUCAUGGCCCACCCUGAGCCUGACAGCCCACUAAAUUGCGAUUCAGGUAUCAAUGAGUUUUUUUUUAAAAAAAAAAAUAUAACAUCUGUAUCUAAAAACUCAUUAUUCUUUCAUUAGUACAUAAACCUCAACCAGAAAUUUCCUUACCUAAAUUCUUUGUAACGCCUAUUAUCUAAGUGACCUGGUGUUUAAUAUUUGUUGCUUGCACCUCUUGCAAGGAGUGCAUACUCGUAUGCUUGCAUGUUCACUGUUUCAUGAUAAAAUGUGGCAGUCUCGCUUCCUUAAUAAUAUCUAGUUGAAUGUUGUCUUACUUACAUUUAAACUAUGCAGAGUCAGGGCCAAGAGCCAAAAGUUGGUAGAGUCACCUUUCUUGGUAUAAAAAUCUUGAUUCGGGGUUUCCUCCACCUUCCCACCUUGUGAAUACCAACAACAAGAACAAGAAGCCAUUGCACUUUAUGGAGUAAUAUUUCCUCUCCUCAGCCAAAAAGAGAAAAAUGAAAUUCCCUCUAUACCACCUGGUUAGAGGAAAAGAGCAAAACUUUAUAGCGUAGUUCAUAUGAGAAUAAUCAUACUCCAUCCUCCUUGAUAUUGACAUAGACUAGUUGUAUCAGUGACGAAGAGGAGUGCCCUUGACAUCUUGCGGGGAUUCUUGAUAGGCUGCUUUUAGAACGAGGUGCAAGAGUGUCUUUGAUUGAACUUUUCUGGAAAUAACAAGGGUGAGACCUUUGUAAUCGUUUGACAAGUAUUGAGAGAGAGCGUGAGAUUUCAGUGGGAAUCUUUCAUGCUCCUUUUUUACAUUUUGUUUCCUAAUCCUAUCUCAAACGAUACUUCAUCUCAAAUCUUUAUUUCCAAUGGUCAGUUUGUUGGAUCGGAUAUAUAGGACAGUAGUGCUGCGACAAGUGAUAAUAGUUGGAUGUCUUUGCCUCGAUUGAGUAUUCACAUAAACACGUUCUGUUGUUCUGUCAAUUACGCAUGAGAUUCUGGGGAUUAGAUGAAUUAGGUAUGAUAUGAUGCUUCGAUUUCAACUCAAACUCUAUCUGUUAAGAACCUUGAGAGCUAUUCAUCUUAAUCAUUCAUGCAGUCAAGCAUUCUCAGGGUUUGUUGAUUGCCUUCCGGUGGGCCAAUAUAUUAUAUGGCAUCAAAGAGAUAAUUUCAACAAUGAAGUGCUAGAGAAUGGUAAUAAAGAACAAAUGCUUGUACUUGUUCAAUGUAACAGUUGAUGGUUAUUUUUUUCCUAAUGUCCUGGUCCUGCUUGUAAUGGUCGUAGUGUAUUAGAAGAGAGAUCAUGUUUUCCUGAGGUAAUCCUUCAGAUGAGAAUGUGGGGCCCCUGGGCAGGACUGCCUGCUCUGCAUGAAUCCACUGUUGUGUUGGUCAUGUUCUUAUACUGCUGUCCUUAAUACAACUCUUCACUCUGCUCGACCAUGUGUGGUGAGGCAAACCUCUCAUUUCCUUUUAUUUCUCUCUAGGCAGCUCUCUUGCUCAUGUUGCCGCUGAGCUCUUGGAAUCAUCUUUGAUGGGAAUUAGGCUCCUUGAAAGGCUAACUGUGAGAUAUCUUGUCUGAUUACUCAUGGGAGGAAAUAAAAGAUUAAAUAAAAGAAGCUCUCACUCAUCUGACAGGAAUUGUUCACAGCAAGUGAAAGAAUGAAUUUUGGUGCAGCUAAGAAGAUGAGAAUUAUAAAUAAAGCACAAUUGCAGAGACUAUCAACAGUUGAUCUUCCUGAAUUUGAAUGAAAUUUAAAAGAAAAAUUCCCUUGGGGGUUGCCAAACUUGAAGGAGGUUUGUAGUUAACAUUAUUUUCUUUAUGUCGGGUUCGGUUGAAGUGAGUUUAUAUCCCCACCUCUCUCUCUUUCUCUCUCCAGGGUAUAUCCAUAACUCAUAGGUGUGGAACUUCUUCCUAGUAGUCAUCAGAAAUGCACAUGCUAAAUCUCAUAAGAAGGGAUGGCAUAUUAGUUCCAAUUUGAUCUUGUAAUCCAGGGAUGAAUGACUUCUACGUCAAGGAUUAGCUUUGAAUGAUGACUUGCAGCGUGUACUUGCCAAGCAUGAAGUCAUUGCUUCUGGAAGUUCAGUUCAGGCUGAGAAAACCCCGCCGGGACCUUCUGGCACCAUGACCGAUGUCAAAGGUCCUCUACUUGAUAUUGUAGAUAACAGCACAAAGCCUGAUGAAAGGUAACUGGUUCAUUAGUCAUGAUUGCAAUAUAUAAACCCCAAAUACUUGUUCUGUGGCAAAUUAUGAAGUUCAGCUGAAGUCUAUGAACUGAGCAGUGCUACUCUUAUGAUAAGUUGAUAUGGAUAUUUUUCGCUAAUUUUCUGCUGUUUGGUAAAACUUGGUGGAUAUUUAUACAUUGAGGCUCCAUUUGUUUCAUGAAAAAUGACUGGUUUGGAAAAUUUUUGCUGAAAAUGACCAUUUAUAUUGCUUAUAGAAAGGAACGAAUGAAAAAUAUUUUCAUCGUCCACGAAAAUGUUUAGACACAAAUUGUUGUCGACAAUGAGAACAUUUUCUGUUGACUAAUUAUUUUAAGCAAAACAAGCUAUUGGUGAAAAUGUUUUCCAAAUCAUUUAUUUUCCGCAAAACAAACGUAGUGGAAAUUUAUCAUCUGUCUUUUGAUCCUCCAGUUGUCAAGACCUUGUCUGGUGCAACUUUCUUCACAGCAGAUUUGGCUGUGAAAAAGGUGUGUCUGCAGCUUUUAUGGACUGUUUGUCAAAUUCUUUACUGCUGUAGUGCCCUCAAAAUUGCAGCAGUCAUAACAGUUUCGAGAAAACUGCCUUGCCCAUUUUUGAGGUGUUGCAGCUGUAAAGGAUAUAUUCCAAACAUAGAAGUUACAGUGCUUCACAGCACAACCACCACAUGUGCUACAAUGCAGACACAGGCCCACAGCUUUACCAGGCAGAUCCUUAGUAGUACUAUUGAUGUGAUUUAGGUCUUGAGAGAAGAAGAAAGGAGAGAAAGGGAGAAAUGUACCAAUGCAUCUUGUACAUGUGCUCAGUAUAUACAUGCAAGUACAAAAUGAUUGAAGCAUGCUGCACUAAACAUUUAUCUUGUGGCUUAAAUUGAUCUAAGAUCUCAAAUAUUUGCUCUUGAAACUUUGUGUCUAAAAGGCUGAUUAAACUUUGGGAGAUUGCUGUCCAACAUUGUGCAUUCAGUUCUUGAGUUCCGAGUGUUUCUAUGUCUCCCAAUUUGCUCAUAGGAUCGCUAGGGAUCAUACUUAAAAAGCUAGUCUAGAUUGACAAGAGAGCAGCCAUUUUUUUGGGUUAAACACCUGCUGUCUCUCUCCACUUAUUACUUGAGAUUUACAUAAAGAUCGGUUCUGUUAGUGUUAUACAGAAAGAAAUUUAUUUGAUACAGGAUAAGCAUGAGUAUACAUAAGAAUUCGGAUUUUCUAUAAUAGAAUGUAAAAUGAAGUUAUCACGACUUCAUGCAAAUUCUAUUCUAAUGGAAAAGAUUUACGUGGUAGAAUAAGACCAUUUAAAUUACAGACUUUGCAUAAAUAUUAUAUUUAAUAAUUGAAUUUUGUUAUAUUUUUGUGCUAUCUUGUGAAAGUUAAUAUGAAUAUUAUACUUGUUCUUGUGGAUGUGAUACUAUAUAAUCACUUAUUGAUAAUUGGCAUUUAAAACCUUAAUAGACUAAUAAUAAGAUACAAAAAAAGUUCCAAGUUCAGCAAACACCCAGGAGAGGGAAGUAAAACUGAAAAUCAUGUACAUAUGUGCAUUUUUACCUAAAAGUACCAGUAAUUUACUAUUAGAGGAUCGGUGAUGAUCUUGAUUUAAAUUUUUAACUAUUGAACACCAGUUUCUGGCCAAUUGAGCUAUAAGAAGUGGGAUUUUCUGCAGGUCAACAUCAAGUGCCGGUACAGGGUCCAGCUAAACUUGAUCCAAAAACGGACCUUCUCAGUGGAGAGGACUACAGCUCUCCUAAAGGCAGAGACUUCACUAGCACUAGUGCCUGUUGGAUACCCACAGGCAACUGCAUCUUAGUCACAGCAGAAUGCACUUGUUCUUUUCGAUGUGUUUUCGAACAGUAACAACAAGCCCAAUACUAUCAAUACCCAGAGUGGCUAUCCAACUACACAAAGCAAUCCUUCUACUCCUCAAUUCCAACAGCAGCAGAAUCUGCAAGCUCCACAACUUGGGGUUUAUGCUAAUGGCAACAUGCCAAACAUGGGAUCGAACGAGCAUGAUCAGUCACCUUAUUCUCAAAGCUCUGUUCCUGUUUGGAAUGGCCAUAUUGCGCAGCAGCAACAGCCUCCCUCUCCUGUCUAUGGUGCACUUCUGCUUCUUCAUCAGUACCUGACAUUACUUUCUUGGUGAUGCGUAUUUUGUCUGUUGGCUUGUACUGUACAACCUUAUUUGGCAUGUACUAGGGGCAUGCUUGGUAUUCUUUUCCAGAUUACUGAGUUGCUAUGAGACUUAAGUCCUUUUGGUGAGCGUUGACCUCUUCUUUGUGGACAUAGCUGAACUCCUAACAAACAAUCUUACAAUCUGUUGAGCCUACAGUUUUGUGGUGCUUCGCAGGUGCUCAAACUAGUGAUUCGCUACCACCACCCCCUUGGGAAGCUCAGUCAGUGGAAAACAGUCAGGUGAUGGGCACUCAGUACCCCCAACCAAUGCAAGGUUCACAGGUGGUCGUCCUGCAUGCACAACCUGCACUGAGUGGAUUGCAUCUCCAGGCACCUUAUCCAAUGGGAAUGAGCAAGCGAUGGGCAUGUACUUGCAACCAGUCGCAGGUGGCCACAUGCCAUUGCUGAAUAGCCAGGUUGUUCCGAUAAACCAAAUGGUAGGACUUAC